rnacentral:lncRNA from 1 species
CAUAAAACUCAAAGAUGAGAGCGAGUUGGGCCCUUUUUCUGCAUGGAAUAUAACAGGAACAUAUAGAGGUUUGUCAAUUAUCCUGCUUUGAAUUUUAUCAUCUUAGAUCAAGGCUCUUUUAUUCUCACAUGCAUCCGUUCUCUGGUCUUGAUUAUGUAUACCUUUUCUAUGUUGCUGAAUAUGCUUAUAAGUACCUCAACUUUGCUGAUAAUUAGUAGUCUAUUUUAUACAUUGUGUUAAGCCUGAAGGAUAUGAAUGAAAUGUGCUCAAAGUUGUUCUUGGAUACUACACCUUGCUGAUUAAAUGAUUCAAUGGAUUUAUGACAUGCAGGAAUUAAUUGCAUAGUAUUGGGAUCUUUUCUGAAUGCAGUUGGUAGGAAACCUUGGGAUAUAAGUAUAGCAACAGUGGAUAUGUACGCUACUAGACUAUAUAAGUAUAGUAGUAGCGAAUAUAUAUAUUCUGGUCUAUGUCAAAUUUGCAAUCUAUCAUGAGACCUUUUUAAUUUGUCCAGGAUUUGGAUGUGGUACUGCUGCAGUUCUUGACUUUGUUCUUUUCAUAAAGCUAUCAUGGGUGGUAAAAAAAGAGCAAAAGGCAUCACUAUGGCUAAUGUGGUACAUAAUCAGAGAAGUGCAUCUCUCUCUAAUGCUUAUAUGUCUCGACCUAUUCAGCAUCAUGUGAUUAGGUCUCAGUUUCAGUCGAAGAUGCUUACACCUCAAGUUGGACUUAUGCAUAGCCAAUUACAAUCAUUUUCCCUUACCCAUGCUUCCAGAUUGGAUUUUUGGUGCUUUCCUUAGUUGACGGGUAACAAAAUUUCAGAAAGUUGUCAUGUUUGUAUUUCAUUUCAUCCAUGUGUCUAAUAUAAACUAAUAUCUUGAAGGGUCCAGCUGAGUCUACUAAUAAGGAGCAGUAAACUUGUGAUAGAUUUGGUAAGUACUUUUGACUUGUGAUAGAUUUGGUAAGUAUUUUUGGCUUUUCUCUUCCUUUCUUCACGACUUUGUUGUUGAAACUUGCAUAGAGUGUUGGGGUGAAAGAAUGAGUAGUUGAUCAUUCCAAUAUGGCAACUUGAUGUUCUGAUUGCUGCAAGUUCUGAUUGCUGCAUGUUAUCUUCUGCUUUCUCAGGAUUAGGCAAAUAACUAGCUGCACUCAAUUUGAGAUGCCUUAAUUGAGACAUUAGCCAAAUCUCUGGCAGUAAAGUUGGAUAUUUUUUCGAUCUCUUGCUUGUCCAAGAACCAUAGACUAUGAUUGUUUGCAAAUUCUAGUGAGUGCAAGGUGCCUCAAGUUUAUCAGCUUCAAGAACACAUGAAGCAAAUGAAAGUUGCUGACUUUUGAGUGAUUGUUAGACUAGCUCUGUUAAUGACAACUAAUGCAGCGUAUGUUGCCUGUGUCUUUUGGAGAAUCUUGUGUUUGCUUUGUUAUGAUAUGUAUAGUUUGUUUUGUUGAUAGACCAGACAUUUAUAUAGUGCCAUGUUGGGUUGGCAUUAAUGGAUGGUUUUAGACAUUAAUACUCAGCCAUUUAUUUUGCUAUUAAUAAAUUUUGUCUUUUUCUUAUUUGUCCAUCACGUGAGGUUUAUGGUUGGACUUCUUUCUAGUUUUGGGCUUUCAAAAAAAAAAUGAAAACUGGUUGAAAAGGAGGAAAAAAAACAAAAGAAGAUGUUUUUGUGACUUGCAAUUCUGCUAGUCACAAGGUUUUUGGAACUCACUUUUAAUGGUUAAUUAGUGGGUCCCAAUAGAACUUGUGCCCAAAUAAACAUGACACAAAAUAUCUUUUAUGACUAUUAUUUGCAUGUCACUAAUAAAUUCUAGUUUUUUUUACUUUUUAUUACAUUCAAAAUGCAAGUCAUAAAAAGUAUUUUUGCAAGUCACAAUUGAUAAUGUGACUUUCAUAUUCAAGUUAUAAAAAAUUUGUGACUAUUAAAUCCGUGACUUUCAUAUUCAUGUCACAAUGUAGUCACAAAAAGUUUGUGACUCUCUGAACCUUUAUAUGACUAUCAUUAACAAGUCACAAAAACAGCUUUUUCUAGUAGUGUAUGUGUGAGAUAGUCGUGCAUUCUGAAAUUGUUCAAUAUAUUUUCAUGGCUAAUUUUAAUUCAAUUGGGGGAUUUCUACAGUAACGCAAAAGAUUGGACAUUAGAGCAGUAACACGAGAAAUUUAUAGACUGAAACUAAUAAGAUAAAAGACGGAUAUGAUCUUCUCGUAAAAGCCUUCCUACCCUUAUAAAUAAGUCCAUUCUUCUUCUUCUUCUUCUUAAUGGUACCGAACCCCCAGAAAGAACCAUUUCUGGUGCCUUGCUCGAAGACCUAUUGUGUCUUGUCCGAAGUAAAUUUAGUGGGCUUACUUAUUUUUUUUGGGGCUUUGGAAUUUGCGCUCCACAUAAUGGUCAGGUAAAGUUAAAAGUGCUUAUUUUGUUUGUUAGAAAUUAUCAAAACUAUUAAUCUUUGUUAAACACAUAAGUUUGAGAAAAUUAUUUAUGUAGAAGUAGCAGAAACCUUGUUUGGCAUAAUUCAAUAUAUUUUUAUCAAUGAAUUUUAAAACAUUACUGAUAACAGACUUGAAAUAAAGUUGAGAAAAUUAAAGAAGAAAAGCUUUAGUGAGUGAUACAAAUUUGAGAAAUGAUACUUUAGUGGGAGGGACAGAUUUUAGGAAUCAUUAAAUGAAUACUUGUAUCACUAUUAAAUCACUUGAGUUGGUCCAGUGGUCAAAAAAGAGAUUUCCAGAUUCAUUGUUCAAAUCUUAAGUCUGACAGUUCAGGUAGAGAGGGUCUGGGGGAGAAUGAGAGGGUCUAAAAGAAGAACACUUGCAUCACUAUUAAUUUGAGUGACGGUCAGUGACUGUCUCAGAUAUGGCAUCUGAAGCAACAUCUCAGUUAAAAAAGAAAAGUAAAGGGUAUUUCACUUGGACUCCUGAAAUGGAUCGUGUAAUGGGCACUUGUUUUAUUGAUCAAAUGAACCAAGGAAACAAAUUGGAUGGUAAAUGUGCAUGGAAGACAGCGGCCUACACUGCAGUAACGAAUGCUUUAUUUGAUAAACUCAAUAUAUUUGUGACAAAGGCUAAUAUUAUAUCUCGUUUCAAGACAUGGAAGAAACAUUAUGACAUCCUAUACCCACUGCUCCAGUCAUGUAACUCUGGAUCUACGAUAAUAUGGGACUACUCUAGAGGUAGAAUUGAUGUUCAUGAUGAGGAUGUAUGGAAUGCUCGAGUAAGUGAGAAUCCAAGAAUUCUUUCUUAUAGAAAAAAAAUUGUGGUUGAAAAUUGGGAGGACAUCUGUACACUGUUUUCACAAGAUCGUGCAAAUGGAGAGGGUGCACAAACUGUUUUUGAGGCUAAUGCUAAAACUGUAGUUGAAGAGUCUGCUAAUGUAGAGGAAUCAUUUGAGAUUGAUUCACGAUCUUUAGAAGAUGAAGUUAUGAAUGCAUUGCUAGCUCGACAACGGUCAAAAUCAAAAGCUUCAUCUUCAACAAAUGAUCGGUGCACAAAGAGAAAACUAACAAGCUCUCAAUUACUUUACAAGGUGUUGGGACAAAUGGCAGAUUCACUGGAUAAGUACUUAAAUUCAGAAUGCUCAAAAGUUACAACUAAAAUGGUGGAAGAUGAGUUAUCUAAAAUUGAAUUGGAUAGAUUUCAAUUGUUGAAGGGUAUUGAUUUACUUAUGAAUGAUAGGACAAAGUAUGACACUUUUCUGGUCUCCGAGAUGACUUAAAAAAGGAUUGGCUAUUGAUGCACAUUGGUAAUUGACUUUUUUUUGGUAACCUCUAGUUGAAGUUGCUUUCGUAGAAGAAGUUGAGCUGAUUGCUGGAAGCCCAAGUAGAGAAAGUAGAAGUUGUUACUACUCCAUCGUGUAUCCAUGACUUUUUAAAUUCCGAUGAAUUCUUUGUUUUUUAUGUAAUGGAUCAAAACAAGAUUAUAGAAAGAUUCUAGGGAGUGUUUCACCUAUUUUCUAUCUGAUUUUUGAGAUGAUAAGAAUGAGACAUUGGAUCUUUUUGUCUGGCGAACUAGCAUUCUAGGUAUUGAAAUUAACAUAGUUGCCUAUGUUGAUGACUUGACUUGUCCUUGAGCUACAUGAACCUUUGCAUUCUUUCUCAAAGUUAAGGAGCUUUUGCUCUCUUUUUUGUGUAUAAGUGCUCUUCCUGUAGUCUGUUGGUUUUUAUCUUCCACAAGUCUGCACACAUGCUAAAGCAUGGAUGGCAGAUUUUUUUUUUUAUUGAGUUUUAACUCUCUAAACUGUUGAAAUGGGUGGGAAAAUGCAGUAGUUGAGUCCAUGGUUAAUAGUGCCAUUAGAAGAUUACAGAGUUUAAAGAUUUUAUAUAAGACUAGAAAAUGAAUAUUUAGCCAUUCUCUAUGUUCCUUUCUGUUUGCAUUUUAAACUCAUUAAGAACAACUAUUCACCAAGUUUCCAAUCUUGUCACUUGCAAACAGAUAUAUUCACCAUUUCAGCAUUCAAAACAUUAUUUCCACGUGAAUGACUAUGUUAACUGCUAAGUAAAUAAGCUAGGUGUCACUAUACGAUGAAGCAUUUGAUCAAGUGUUUUUGUUACAUAUGUAGGAUUUAUUUGUAACUGAUUGUUUUCUUUAUCUUUUUUCAUGAAAUAUUGCUUCUUGAUUUUGUAGUUAUUGUCACAUGAGUGAAAAAUUGUUUCAAAAUAAAUUAUUAAAGGCACAAAUUGGUUUUUUCUUUUAAAUCUUCAGUAAAAAUUAACUAAAUGGAAGAAAAAAAAUUAUGAUAUAGAAAAAAGAAAAAAAUUUAUGUAAGCAAAUGUUUCAUGAAAACAAUUCUAAUUCCUAAUGAAUUCUUCUCUCAUGCAAACAAAGAAUUUGGAAUUCCAAAUAAAUUCUAUAUCAAUUCUAUGCAUUUCCCAAAGAAAAGAAUUGGAAUGACUUGGAAUUCCAAUUCAUAGAAUUCCAAUUCUAAUUCAAUUCUAAUUCUAUAGAAUCAAACGUAGCCUAAGAUUUUUAUGUGUGAUGCUAUGGCUGAAAUGUUGUCUGGACCAAGGAGUAUCAAGUAAUUAGUUUCAUUGAGUCAUUUAGAGAAGCUUUUGUGUGCAAGCAAAGUCAAAUAAUUUUUGUUUAAAAGCAAUGUAUAUUAGGUAGUUGCACUAUCUGGAGAUUCUGGACUGACCAAUCAUUUCUGAACCUCGUGCCAUAGAUCUCCUAACAUUUUCCCCCUCUUCUGGAUCUGCAUGCUUCCCUUCUCUCCCCUACCUCGUUCCUUUCUGCUCAUGCUUCCUUUUUUUUUUUCCGUAAGUUGCGUCCUUCUUUGAAAGGGAGUAAGGUUUGUUCUUCCUCCACAAACCUUAGCUCCCCUCGCUGCUUUCUUCUCCGCAUUUUUGAAGUAUUCCGCACACCAAGUGGCAUACAUAUCUGAUCUUGAAAUGUCCAAAAUCUCCUUCCACUUGGGUCCUAAAGAAAAAUCACCAUUUCUUCUCUCAGCCUAAAACUUUUAAGAACUCCGCUGUCUGAGGAUUUGUUUUAACUUUGUCUUAGCUCUUUAUUUUGAUGUUAUAUCUGAUCCACAAAAGGUCUAAAUGCUUAUGAUAUCAUGCUAAUCAUUAUUUUCAAAAUCUGCCAUCGAAGUUUCUACUUUCUAUUGAGUCAUCAUUGGUACUUGCCAGAUUAAAGUAAGCUUUGAAAAUUGUGUCUAGAACUGUAUUUGGUACCCUAUUCGAGUGGGAUUGGUAAGUAUCGUAAUUGAGUGAGCAUUUGAAAUUAAACCUGCGUGUUAUUUGGCUCGUGUUCUGCAAAUUGUGUCUUUUAUAGUCAAUAUUCUUCUCUGCUUCUAGAAAUGGAUGCUUCUAGUCUUUUACUUUCCUGCUUUAUGUAAUAAUAGAUAUGUCUGCUUUACCUUCGUCGUGGUCUUCAUGGAUGUCUAACUGAAAUUCAUAAAUAUUGCAUUACAGAAGCGUUACGAAGAUAUUCCAGUUUUGGGUCAGAGGCAGAGUGAAUGAAUCAGCUUUUGUACUUGAUAGUUUUGGUCGUCCAUCAUCAUUUCAGGUCAAAAUCAGACUUCUUGCAAUGAUCCAUUAAUAAUUAGUUCUUUAAUUGGACUAUGCAGAUUGGAGACUUGAGGUUUCUUUGAACUGUUGGAAUACCUUUUAUCUGUCAAGAUAUAUUUUACCCUUGUGUGGAAGUUCAUCUGAUAACCCGAUGUGCUUUUGAACAUUGAUUUUCACGAGAAGUAGAAGUUUAUUUGAUUAGGUGUUACUGAAGCAACUCUUUGAAGGCUAAGUCAAUGGUAAAACUAAUAUGGUUCUUACAAAGCUUAUGUUGUGGAAUAUUACGCUUAUGUUCAGUCCACUGAACACAAUUCUACAGAGAAUUGACGAAUUUCACAAACUGUAAUGCAUGUAAAGUUCACUUACAUAACUGUUUUUUGUUUUUUUUUCCUUUUUGUUGUAAAUGUUUUCCUUCAAAUAACGAAAAAAAAAGAAAAGAAAAUGACUUGUUUAAAACAUUAAAGGGCUACCUUGUUUGAAGUUUGAUCAAAGUACAGAUCAAGAGUUGAGGGCCUUGAGGUCUAACCAUAUUACAGUCGCCAUCCGAUCUGUGCUUUCCUGCAUCAUACCUUGCCAUCUUUCUUUCAUACGUAGAAAAAAUCCACCCAAUAUUUGAUGGGAAUGUUCAAACUCUAUUCUUUGUUUUCUCCGUCAUGCUUCUGUUAGGGUGGUUAUCUAAAUUUAACCAUUGGUGAAAACCAUCACCUUUAAAUCCAAAAUCUAUAAGGCGAUUAUUAAAAAAUAAAUUAACUAUAAAAUAGCGGAAGCGUACCUGAAUCCAUAUUAAUAAAUUUGACACUUGAAUCUCUAGAGAUUUUGGGGUGGCCUUCCAGGUCAACAGGUAUUCACCAAUCAUUUGAGAGAGACAUUUAGUUUCUCUCUGGUAUCUUUCCUGACGAUGGGAUAUCAGGGAAGAGCUAUUUUGUGGUAUUAGGAAAUACGACAACUAAAACGAUACCUGUGACUUGGGGAUCAUAACCCUAUUUAUAGGUAACAUUUAGUAACCUUUUGGAGCCCUAUUUCAGCCCAUCAUAGAAAUAGGAACCCUUAAAUCUCUACACAUUAAAGGCCCACAUCCUAUUAGAUACAUUAAACCCAAACUAUAUUUGAUCACUUUAAUUGGAUUUAACCUUAAUUGACAGCUUGCAAUACAUAAUUAUUCACAUAUAAGUCCAAUGUUGGAUUAAGAAUCCAACAAUCUCCCAUUUGGACUAUAUGUGUAACCUUAUAAUUAUAUUUCGCAAUUAACCGUAUGAGUUCAACUUUAUUGUCAUUAUCACAAUGUAUCUGUAACCAAUUCGGUCCAUCAAUCAUACCAACAUAGGAUCAAAGCGGCAUUUGUUACAAUUUCGUAACUCGACCCAUCAAUGGUCACAUACAUUGAUAUAAUUGAAUGACAUGAAUCAUGAUAUGAAUGUGUAGCAUGAAAAUUUCAUGUAAUGUGAUCAAAACAUGCCUAUUUUCAACUGGUCCACCUUAAAUUUUCAUGUGAUCAAACCAUACCAAAGUCAGAGUGUAAAUAAAUCCAAACUUUAUUCAUGAAUAAAAUAUUCUUAAAUCCUUAAUAACUGAGAAAAAUCAUAAGAGCAUUUAAAAUAAUAAACUCCUAUUAAAACUGUACAUCAUUUAAUACGACACCCAUAUGAGCAGUAUACUCAUGAAAUAUUUUGGGUGGUAAUCCCUCAGUAAGCGGAUCCGCAACCAUGGAGUUUGUCCCGAUAUGUUCUAUCGAUAACUGUCCAUUCUGCACUCUUUCUUUAACAGUCAGGAACUUGAUAUCUAUAUGUUUAGAUUUCGUCGAGCUCCUGUUAUUAUUGGAAUAUAAGACUGCUGACUUAUUAUCACAAAAUAAUUUGAGAGGUCUUUCAAUACUAUCCACUACACGUAAUCCUGUGACAAAAUUUUACAGCCAGAUUCCUUGGUUGGAUGCCUCAUAACAAACUAUAAACUCUGCAGCCAUAGUAGAAGAUGCUAUGAGGGACUGUUUAGCACUUUUCUAGGAUAUGGCAGCCAACAAGUAGAUAUAGCCUGACGUGACUUCAUAGUAUCUUGGCAUCCAGCAUAAUCGGAAUCAGUAUACCCAAUGAUCUCUAACUCAUCUGACUUCCGAUACGUGAGCAUGUAGUCUUUUGUUUUCUGUAGAUACCAUAAGACUCGUUUGGUUUUUUUCCAAUGAUCUAAUUCAAGAUUACUCAAAUAUCUACCCAACAUCCCAAUAAUGUACGCAAUAUCCGGACCCGUACAUACUUUAGCAUACAUUAGACUCCCUACUGCUGAGGCAUAAGGAAUCUUUUGCAUCUCUCUUUUCUCAAAAGCAUUCUUAGGACACUGUUUAAGACUAAAUUUGUCUCCUUUAUCCACAGGAGUGUCACCUGAUUUACAAUUUUGCAUGCCAUACCUUUUAAGAACCUUUUCGAUAUAACUCUUUUGUGAUAAUUCUAAAAUAAUCCGAGAACGAUCACGGUGUAUCUGUAUGCCUAACACAAAAAAUGCAUCACCAAAAUCUUUCAUCUCAAAAUUCUUAGUUAGAAAUUUCUUGGUUUCAUGCAAUAGACCAAUAUCGUUGUUGGCAAACAAAAUAUCAUCAACAUACAAUACCAGAAAAAUAUACUUACUCCCACAGAACUUAUGUUAUAUGCAAUCAUCUACUAAAUUCAUCUCAAAAUCAAAUUAGAUGAUCACUUGAUGAAAUUUAAAAUAUCACUGUCGAGACGCUUGUUUGAAUCCAUAAAUGGAUUUUUUAAGUUUGCAAAUCAUAUUUUUUGGAUCUCCUGAUACAAAAUUUUCUGGUUGCACCAUAUAAAUCGUCUCAUCAAUGUUACUAUUGAGAAACGCUGUCUUUACAUCCAUCUGAUGUAACUCAAGAUCGAAAUGCGCCACUAGUGUCAUGAUAAUUCUAAAAAAGUCCUUUGAAAAGACUGGAGAGAAGGUUUCUUUAUAGUCGAUACUUUCUUUUUGUGUAAAUCCCUUAGCGACAAGACGAGUUUUGUAUCUUUCCACAUUGCCUUUCGAAUCCCUUUUGAUUUUAAAUAUCCAUUUACAACCAAUGGAUUUCGCACCUUCUGGCAAUGGGACAAGAUCCCAAAUAUCAUUGUUCGUCAUGGAUUUAAUCUCCUCAUUCAUGGCAUCGAUCCACUUUUGAGAAUUUGAACUUUUCAUGGCUUGACGGAAGUUGAUUGGAUCAUCUUCCAUCAAUCCAAUGUCAUCCUCAUGUUCUUGGAGAAAAAUGAUAUAAUCAUCUGGCACUGCACUUCUCCUUUCUCUAGUGGAUCUUCUUAAAGGCACCGGUUCUUGGAGAGAAAAAGUUUAUUCUUCUAUAACAGUUUGUUCUUCAACAUUGUCUUGAUUUGUUAUGUCAUGAUCUUGUUCAAGAAUAGGAUCCAGAACAAGAUGAAUGACACCUGUGGGAAUAUUAAUAUAUUACUCUUUAAAGACAAUGUCUCUUACUGUAUUUUCUCCCCCAAACUCGACAUUCUCAAAGAACCGGGUAUUUCCUGUCUCAAAAAUUGAUUUGGCUGUGGGAUCAUAAAACUUGUAACCUCUGGAUCUUUCAGAGUAUUCAAUAAAAUAACAACUAAUCGUUCUUGAGUCCAAUUUCUUUUCAUUUGGCCUGUAAGGUCUUAUUUCAGCUGGACACCCCAAAACAUGCAUAUGCUUUAAACUGGGCUUUUUUCCUGUCCAAAACUCAUAAAAGAUUUUGAUAGUUGCUUUAGUUGAAACUCUAUUAAGGAUAUAUGUUGCAGUCUUAAGUGUUUCACCCCAGAGUGAUUCUGGUAAGGUAGAAUGACAUAUCAUACUCCUUACCAUGUUUUUAAGCGUUCUAUUUCGUCUUUCAGUUACACCAUUCAUAGUGGGUGAAUCCGGCAUAGUGUACUGUGGGACGAUACCGCAUUCCUCUAGAUAUUUAGCAAAUGGUUCUGGACGUUGUUCACCUGAAUCGUCAUAUCUACCAUAGUACUCACCACCACGGUCAGAUCUGACGCUUUUGAUUCUUUUGUUGAGUUGAUUCUCAAUUUCAGCGUUAAAAUUUUUGAACACGUCCAAUGACUGUGACUUUUCAGAAAUGAAAUAUAUGUAACCAUAUCUUGAAAAAUCGUCUAUGAACGUUAUAAAAUAUUGCUGACCAUUCCAAGCAGAUGUAGAAAAUGGCCCACAAAUAUCCGUAUGUAUAAAUUCUAAGACGUCUGAAGACUUAUUGGUUUCAAAUCUCCUUUGAUUGGUUUGUUUCCCCUUUAUACAAUUAAUGCAAUCAUUAAAAUCUAUAAAAUUUAAGGGGUCGAGAAUUUCAUUUGACACAAGUCUUUCCAUUCUCCGCUUGGAGAUAUGUCCCAAUCUCUUGUGCCAUAAUGCGGCUGAAUUCUCAUUGGUUAAUUUUCUCUUUACUCCUCUAGUACUCAAAUGCAGAGAUUCAUUAAAUGAGACAAUCGUAUCAAUUAAAUAUAGAUUAUCGUAAUGCAUUAAAGAACCAGAACCGACCAAUUUUGAAUUAUGAAACAAUUCAAAAUUUUCAUUUUCAAAUGAACAAAAAUAACCAAAUUUGUCCAAAACAGAAAUAGAAAUUAAAUUUCGUCUAAAAGACGGUACAACAAAUGUCUCAUAGAGAUCCAAAUAAAAUCCGAUCUUUAACAAUAAUCUAAAAACUCCAAUUGCCUCAACUUGAACUAUAUCUUUCAUUAUCAUUAGACUUUCCUACAAUUCAGGCAACCCUGCAAAGACACACUGAUGUGAGUUGUUGCACCAGAAUCUAACCACCAUGUGUGUCUAGGUACUGAAGUUAAAUUAAUCUCAGAACAAACCAAAUUAAGAAGCAUACAUUUCUUAGCACGCCAAGCGUGAUAGUUGGUGCAAUGCUUCUUUUGAUGCCCUUCAGUUUCACAGAAGAAACAACUAUUCUUUCCUUGAUCAUAUGAUUUCUUUUGUUGUUUUUUUUGUGGCGCUGUACCUGCAGCUCCUUUUUCUUUCUUUCUCUUAAGUCCCUUGCUAUUAUUAUUAGUAGUUGACACCAGAUGGACACUUUCUGUCUGCUCUUACUUCAACCUUUUCUCUUCCUCUACACAGUGUGAGAUGAGUUCAUUUAGAGAUUAAAUCUCCUUUUGACAGUUAUAACUCACCUUAAACUGACUAAACUGUGUAGGAAGAGAUAUUAAAAUCAAAUGCACUAGUAACUCUUCAGAGAGUUUCAACUUAAGUGCAUUUAAUUUCGAAGCAAGAUGAGACAUCUCCAUGAUGUACUCUCUGAUAUUGCCUUUACCACUAUAUUUCAUUGAAACUAGGCGUGUCAAGAGCGUACUAAUUUCAACCUUUUCGUUCUUGACAAACGUUUUUUCAAUGUCCUGAAGGAACUCUUUAGCGGUUAUAGUCGUUUCUGACAUUGUUUCCCUGAAUGCUUCUGGAACAACCUUUUUAAUGAUCAUCAGACACAAGCGAUUUGAACUCUCCCACCUUUCAUUAUUUCUCUUUUCAUCAGAGGUACUCUGAUCUGUGAGAGGGGGGAGAAUCAACCCUUAACGCAAGGUCGAGAUCCAUUGCUCUAAGUACUAUCAAGAGAUUUUCUUUCUAGGACUUGAAGUUUGUGCCAUUCAGCAUAGGACUAUUAUUGAUGUUGGAAGUAAUAUUUGUAAGAUCAUUUGCAACUGAACAGAAGACAUAAAAUAAUUAAAACUAUACUCAUAUAAACCAAAAUAAUAAUAAAUUCAAAUAAAGGUAACCCCAUCUCAAGAUACCGAUAUUUCAUUAAUAUUUCGUCUUUGGACAAAAAUAUUAACUUCUGAGUGAUAUCUUGAUGCAGUAAUAAAUACUGAUAAUAAUAACAUGUCGAAAAUAAAUUUUUCUUUGGGCCAAUUUAUAAAUCACAUGUAAAAUUCAAAUAAUUAUCACGUAUUUAUUACCACAAAUGUACAUGUAACUUCAUUAAAUAUUGACCUUCCUUUGGGCCGAUCAAUAUUCAUAAAAUUACUAGUACCCAACUAGUUAUAUUUUAAAAUAAAUUAAUUUUCAUAAUAGAGGUCACUUUGGUGGCAUAUUAUUUCAAUUAAUUUAUUCCAAAAUAUAUAUAAUCAUACCAAUAUUCAAAUUUAAAAUUAUCCAAAUUAAAUAAAAAAUUUGAUCAAAGUCAACUUUGGUCAACUUUGAUCAAACCAAUCAAUUGGAUCAAAACUUAUUGGAUCAAAGGUCCAUAUCCAUAAUUUGACCCAAUUUAUUAUUCAAGCCCAAUUUAUUCUUGAAGUCCAUAAGCACUUUAUAAAACUAUAUAUUUAAUGGGCCAAACAUAUGAACUUUAAUAGGGCUUAAAUAUCUUAUCUAACUUUAUUAGGGUUCACUUAAAUUAAAGAAACCCUAAUUUCUUUAACAUAAAUAUAAAUAUCGAUGAGUAAGGAAACCAGCCAAAGAAUCCAAUUAUAAACAAUUGAGCUACAAGGAAUCAUAUUGAAUAUCAAUCUGAAUCCAUAGACGAUGAAUCGGUCAACUAAACAUCACAGCAAAUAACCAAAGACGUAAUGGAAAGUCACAGCAAAAGAAACUAUUCUGGCUUUCGGCUUUUAGCAUAGCAAGACAAUGGCCCACUAGAAAGUCAUGGUCUUGCAUGUUUUUGCUUUCUGUUUCGGCUUUCUAUUUGAGAUAAGAAAAGGGCAACUACUACACAAUUAAUUAAGAUCCCGAAAUAUGUGCCAAGUAGUCAUAGUAUGCUAAGUCAAAUACUCCAGAUGUAAAGGUCAAUCGGCCAUUAUAUCAAACAAACCUACUGGAUACAAAUAAACUUAAGAAUCACAACAAUUGGCCAAUUCUUUUGGAACAAGCAAAACCCUUUUUUUUUUUUUCUCUGACCGAUUCUUUACAACAGAAACAGGAGUAGGACAUCAUUCAUAAUUUACAAUCUUUAAGAUAAAACUAUCAAAGAUCACAAAUUAUUUUCUAAUAAUCAACCAUAUAGGCUCUGAUACCACUUGUUAGGGUGGUUAUCUAAAUUUAACCAUUGGUGAAAACCAUCACUUUUAAACCCAAAAUCUAUAUGGCGAUUAUUAAGAAAUAAAUUAACUAUAAAAUAGCGGAAGCGUACCUGAAUCCAUAUUAAUAAAUUUGACGCUUGAAUCUCUAGAGAUUUUGGGGUGGCUUUCCAAGUCAACAGGUAUUCACCAAUCCUUUGAGAGAGGCCUUUAGUUUCUCUCUGGUAUCUUUCCUGACGAUAGGAUAUCAGGGAAGAGCUAUUUUGUGAUAUUAGGAAAUACGACAACUAAAACGAUACCUGUGACUUGGGGACCAUAACCCUAUUUAUAGGUAACAUUUAAUUACCUUUUGGAGCCCUAUUUCAACCCAUCGUAGAAAUAGGAGCCCUUAAGUCUCUACACAUUAAAGACCCACAUCCUAUUAGAUACAUUAAACCCAAACUAUAUUUGAUCACUUUAAUUGGGUUUAACCUUAAUUGACAGCUUGCAAUACAUAAUUAUUCACAUAUAAGUCCAAUGUUGGAUUAAGGAUCCAACAGCUUCACCUUCUAUCUCUCCUCAAGGUUUUUGUUGAUUGGGCACGUCUCAUCUUCCCAUAUUGAUUGAGCCUUGCAUUCCUCCUUCCCAUAUGAGUAGGCAAAAACUUGAGCCCAUGCACCCAUAUGUGCCCCAUUCACCUUAGCACCAGCAGGAUUUGAACGAUGUUGCCGGGCUCAUCAUAAAUAGAGAGAUGUUGAUACCCUUAACACGUUCAGCCAAAACAUGGAAGAUCCGCUUGUCAAAAAUUCAGUAGUCCAAAUUAAGUUGCGCCACUUGGUGAGAUGGGUAGCACAAUUUGACCUAUUGAAUUUCUAAAGAUCGGAUUUACUCAAGUGUGAGUCAAGUGUAAGCCUUCGAUGAUCAGAUCAUCCAUGACCACAAACACGUAAUUUAGGACUAUCUAAAAAAAAAAAAGCUUUUAAGGUACUUUUGAGUCAUAGUUUUGCUUAAAAAGUGAUUAGAUCAGUCCUAGACAUGAUUUAAACGAUGUUGCCGGGUUCAUCAUAAAUGGAGAGAUCAUUAUACCCUUAAUGCGUUCCGCCCAAAUUUGAUAGAUCCGAUUUUCAAAAAUUCAAUAGUCAAAUUAAGUCGCACCACUUGGUGAGAUGCGUAGCACAAUUUGAUCCAUUAAAUUUCUGAAGAUCGAAUCUAGCCAAGUGUAAGCCUCGAUAACUAGAUCAUCCAUGACCACAAACACGUAAGUUACUUUUGAGUUACAGUUUUGCUUAAAAAGUGAUUAGAUCAAUCCUAGGCACGAAGGAUUUAUUCUUUUGAUCUUCAUUAGGUUUUAAAAGUGUUCUCAAGAAUAUUGCUUUUCAAUUAUGUAUAAGAAAUUCCUUUUCCUACUCCUCUUCAUCUUUUAAAAGCUUUCGUAGAUUCCCUCCAUUCAUGUUUAAUGGAGUAACAAUUUUUUUUUUAAUAUUUGAAUUCCUUGCCAAACCUGUACUUUCCUUUGAAUUCAAAAUUUUAUUUAUUGCAAAAUAGAGGAAAUUUAUUUCAAUGACAUAUCUUCAAAGUGAAAGCUUCAACAGUCAUAUAGAAACGUUUGGAGGCGUAACGUGAUUCCCAUUUUAACAACUACAUUUUAUUCACUUCUCCACUAAUCAUAUAUCUCCAUAAGAAAGCAAUCCAUUGGAGAGUUGGAGUAGAAGCGUCUCAUGACCCAAAGUUACAAUAAUUUAUAUUUAAGAGUGGAACAUUUGAUGCUCAGAAGUCAUCAAAGAUGUUCAUAUCCAUAUGCCAACUGAUUAGAGAGGCUGAUGCGAUAUCCAUCUCUCAAGCAUAGUUCUGCAUUCGGCAGGCUUGAACAUAUAAGCAACAUGGGCUCCUCCCUUCACCCAAAAAUAGAAAAAAGGGGUGCUAGUUAGUCCCAAGAAGGUUCUGACCUUCUUGUUAGUUGUUACCAUGCAUGUGAACAAAUCUUGCACUGAAGCAAUAGAAACAGGAAUUUCUUACCUUCACUGUUGCAAAUGUCAUCUUAUUUGCGUAGGUCCUUGUAUAACUGCGAGCAGGAAAAUAGAACAAAUUUAGAUGAGUUGGGUAAAGUUAUCUUUUAUCUCGUGUUAAUGGCAAUCAAGAAAGAAACAUUUUCAAUUUUUAACCAACCCGGCAACUUGGCCUUGAUGAAUCCACUGUCUCCAAUCAUCAAUAAUUGGGUAAUGUAGAGAUCUUAUCCAUGCUUGAGUUUCAAUGUGCGGUGCCAACAGAUCAUGGUCACCACUGAAUUACAAAGUACUCCACUUUCAGUACCUAAAAUAACUGCUGCUAACCUACAUGCAUCAAGAUUCAGAGCUAGGUACCAAACCUGUAUAUAAGGGAUCUAUAACCUUUAGUGCUAAGGUUUGCAUGAUAUGGUACAACACUCCCUACAUUUGUUGUGUAUGGCAAGGUAUCUCUGCAGCUUACCCACUGUCCGAUAGUUUCCUGCAAUGUGAUUACAGAAAUCAGUUCAGGCUUGCUUCGGCAUUCAAAUGCUACAUACCAUAGUGCUUGAUUUAGACAUACCCUUCGCACAUGGAGGGCCUCUUGGACGCUCUUGUUGUUAGCCCAGUGCUCAACGAGCGUAAUCCAUUCCAUCUACGAUUGCCAGUGAACAGAAGAAACGCGAUCAGUUGUGCUACCAAGAACAGAUGGUCUUAUCCACGAGUUUACAUAGAACAUACUAGUGGUAUCUUACUCGACAUUUGACUGGAGUAGAUUCCCGAACGUCUAGCUCUUCAAACUUCUCAUACAACAUUUGUAUAAUGGAUCUCCCACCAGUAAAUAAUUUAUUUGGCUCUCGUGAAAGGGGAUGACAUACAGGAAUCAAGAUAUUUUGUUCGUCAAUAUUACGAACCAACUGCAGAAGCAAAUUAUUAACCAUCAUCCUUUAUUCUGAUUCUUCCCACCUUGUCACCUUUGUGGCCCGCAAAUUAAAGGGAAGGGGUAGGAACCAAUUGUUAGUACAACCGUUUCUGGAAAGUGUGUUAUUGUUUGAAUAAAUUAGAGUAAUUCAUUGUCAACUUAUACAAUUUUCGCAACAGAAGUAUGAUGUUCGAUCAGUGCUCGUGUAAGCCCCUAACAUUAACUGCAACUCUGUUACGAAAUUGUAUGAGUAAGUUACAAUAAAUUACUUCUUGUUCAAAUGAUAUUACAUUAUUCAGGAACGGUUAUAUUGACGAUCCUUAACUCUGUCUCUCUUUCUUGAGUUUAGGGGGCGCUUUAAGUAAAUCCAUUAGGCCUUGCCUAAUUUUUGAAAAUAGAGUCACAUAAAAAUUGCAUAGAUAUGAUUGCUUACCUCAUUGUAUGCCUGCAUAUUUUUCGAACACGCUGCAUUACUGGGAUCUAUGAUUUCAUAUUCCCCUUUACAGCUAACCUUCAAGGACUGCGUUGUAAAUAUAUAGGUCAAUUAGAAAAUCACGGGUAGUUUUACAUUGUAAGAAUGCAUGUGACAAAUGACAGUGUUCUAAGAUAUCAAUAGGUAACAAACAAAAGAAAUAAGUUACCUCAUAGAGUUCAUCAGAAAUCAGCCCCAUAUCAUAAGCAAACGGAACCCUAUAGUUCUGAAUUCCUGAAGCUUUCGACCAAGGAUUUCCAAGUAUGUAUCCCUGAAGCCAUAAAUGGAAACGUCUCGAUUUUAAACUCAGGAUGGUAAAUUUUUCUCCAAAUAGUAUGUAGUCAAUCAAGAUUAGGUAGACUAGAAAAGAGAAGAUCAUCAAAGGUAUAGACCUUAAGGUCAAUACGUGGUUCAAUGCCGUCCUCGUUUCCUGGAAUAACACCAAAAUACAUGUAAGUUUUAGGGCCUUAUUAAUAGUCAUAGAGCAACAAAGUAUUGAUCCUAUACUUCUGUAUUUAGCAAACUUCAACUGAUCAUCUUGUGGCAGGAGAUAAUGUAGAACUCUGAACUAGUCAAAGAAACGUUUUCUUGCUUUAUCCUGGAGCGUCUUAUAACUUAACAUAUUGACAGAAAAGAAUAAAAAGCCUGCAAAUUUCUGAGGGAACUUUUAACCAUUUUUCCCCCUCUUAAAGCUCUGCAUUAUGUUAAUAAAACCCAUUUAGCUUAAGGUGGCAACUACAUUCCUACCAAAAGAGACUUCGCAUAUACUACAAGCUUACAGAAAGCAUUUAUAGUAUAUUCAGAUCUCUUACAAUGCCUAUGUAUUUGCAUGACAAUUUCAAUAAUCAGAUUGUAACACAACCAAAAAACUUCCCCAGGGUAAAGAGCCACAUUGAAAAAAUCUUACCAUUUGAUAUAAGUUGAGUUAAUAUUGGAACAGGAAUGCCCCCAUACGAGAUUCCACUAACAUAGAAUGAACUCGACUUGUACUCUGGGUGAUCAUGUAGCCACUGCAGUAUAAUCAACUAUCAAAACGAAUCUUGUAAAAGGUAAACAUCUUUUAACUAUAAUUUCUUUCCCAUUCAAGGGAAAUUAAGUUUUUAACUCGAGGUUCAAAUGGGUAAAAAUGCAACAAAUAUCGCCUGCCCAAGCUUCUAUAAUUGGCAGUUGUAAUUGCACUGUGUACCAUAGGCACUGGCAAACCAAUUGUAGACAUUAAGAUACAACAACAAGCAAAAAGACAAUAAAUUGCCUCGCUUAUUGAAAUUUGUACCCAAAAUUGAAUUGUAAGCAUCAAAUUCAAAAUUAGUCAUCUUCCACUAUCUUUUCAAGGUAAAACUGUAAGUUCAUUGAUAUGGGACAAGUUUGUACAAGAGAUAGAAUAUCUCAGUAUACAUGUUAAACUAAUUAUCAUAGGAGGCCGUAUCAGAACAUUUCACUAACUAAACACUGUGAGUGGGAUUUUCCAUUCUAGAGAUUGCCACAUUUCAUGAGACUUUGGGAUCUUUCCCAAUGCAAGAGACCUCCUCCUCUACUAUGGCUUCCAUGACGCUAACUGUCGAAACUGCCAUAGCCAAUUAUUAUUGAUGUAACUUUUAUUCAUCUUCCACUGUCAACUGUUCUAUACAAUCAAAACCGUGUUCAUAGAGAACUUGAAUCCAAUGGGGGCAAUUUUGGGAGGGCCAUGCAGGAUUCCGCUAUUCAGAAGGAAAAUAAUUAAAUGGUAGUAAACUGGUCUUUUUGCAUAAUAAAGGGGCUAGAGUCAAAUAUGGCAUUUUCCUGAUUAGUAAUUGUCCAACGUUCCAUGAAGCCUUACGAUUCAUUAAUUAGCUGAGUGAUGGGCGUGUACCUUCCUGAUAAAUUCAUAAGCUUGAUCAGGGGCUUGUAAAUCUGAAGAUUGAGAAGCUUUUGCAGUCUUAGCAUAAGAAAAACCAGUUCCUACUGGCGAAUCCAGAAAGAUGAUGCUUCCAACCUAACAAGUAACAAGAAAUGAUUCUCAAUCUUGCAGUCAACUCGAAUGCUUAAUCUUGAAAAUUAGGUUUGUUUGGAUAAAGAUUAUUUGAACGUUAUUUCAAAAAAAAAAUUUUGGAACCUUAUUUGUAUAUGUAUCUCAAUAACCUUUUCAUCUAGGAUACAUUACAUCAUAAUAAAUGCUAAAUAAAUAACACUUCUAUGAGUCUAAGAUAUACUCAUCAACUUAAAUCUCUUUUUCUCUUGCAAGAAAAUAAAAUAAAAGAAAAGAGAAACUCAAUUCUUGAGCUUACCUUGAUCAAAGUAUAGGGAUUUAAUACCAAGUUGGGCAGAGUGCCGUCGAACGACAAUGGCUCGACAAUUAUUGGUCCUGCAACAGAAAAUCACGGGCCAGUGACUUGAUCAAAUGCUGGCACUCCAGUUUAUCAGUCAUCAUCACUUGAACAUUAAAGACAAAAAAAGACUAUGGCUCCAUUUGAGUUAACCGUUUUUAGGAAUGUUUUUCAAAAGCUUUAUUAUAGCAAUGCAUAUGAAAAAAAUAUUUAGGUGUGCGUUUUUGGAGCUUAGUUUAUAUUUUGGGCUUUUUAAUUUGAUGUGAAUGUGUAGUUAGUUAAUGUACAGAUGUUUGUAGCAGUUGCUACUGGCAACAAAUGGAUGGUAUUCAAUAAAAUUAAUACUUUUACCCAAAAAAACAAAACAAAAGACCUUACAUAAAGCUUCGUCAACCAGACAACAACGUCUUUUGUCUUUUUUGCAGAGUUUCAACCAGAAAGGCUGUUUGCAGAGUUUGAAGAUUAUACAAAAUCAAGAACAAAAAAGUGCCGCAAUUGUUUUUUUUUUUUUUGGGCGACACCUAAUGCAAAGUGUAAGGCAUUAGAAUUCACCUGUCCCAAAGAAAAGUGCAAUAAAUGAACUGCAGCCAGGUCCUCCAUCUAACCAAAGGAUAAGAGGAUCCGAUUGAGAAUUUGACUCUGACUUGAUAAAAACGUAGAAGAGCUGCACAUCCUCUGAUUCACCAACUCCAAUAUACCUGAUAACAUCAGAAAAUGGAUCAACUAUUUCUUCUAAGUUUUGAUCAAUGUUAAUUUCUAGUGUUAUUAUAUAUAUGUUAUACUUGGUGGCUCAUCCGGUUUCGAGUUCAAAGGGGAGGGGUCCUUCAAAUCCUGGAAGAAACUUAACUAUGGAACCAGCCAUAGCAAGGUUUGAACAUGCUUGAACAUAAACUAUCAGCAAGAACAGGUUGCAGAAGAUAGGAUGCCUUAGGAGCACCUGCAACUUCUCCAUUGAGCUUGGCCUAUAUCUCGUUCAGGGCACUGGGCAGAGCAACUUUAGACUCCAGACGCUUGGAUAGAGUUCUUGGGCGAACUCUAUAUAAGUCCUGCAUGCUGCUAUGUCUACUGAGAAUCGCCUUAUCGGAGCCACAAAUUUAACUUACCCUACCAACACAAAUGUCAUUGUCUGCCGAGUGCCAACUCAUGCGAUGCAGCUUUACUGUAAAGCGGCAUGUAAAAGACUUAGCUCCAGUUUUCAAAGAUGGUCCAAACUAAUGUUACAUUACUUGGUAAAAUGGUGCGUAACGUAACUUUUGAAUUUUGAAAAGGAUAAUUUCAGAAAUCUCCCCUGAGAUUACUAACAAUUACAAAGAGCUCUCUUCAAAUUUAUUAAAUUACACUUACCUCCCUUGCUUUUACUGUUUAUAUAACAAUAUAAGUCCAAAAGGCUAUAUAUUUUCUCAAAAGUCUUAAACUUCCCUUUUUGUACAAAAAUUAUUUUGCCAAUUGCUUUCUUUCAUAUUUCAGGCUAACCCACUAUACUAACAAAUUAGCUUAACAAACAAUCUAAUUCCAAAUUCUAAAUCCAAGCAAUUCUAUCAUCACAGUCAUAAAAUUGCUUCUCCCAAAUCAUGCAUUCAAUUCUGAAGAUUCGUUCCAUCCUUCAAAAGUACUCUUACCAUAUAAUUCCAUGGAAUGGCCAAACUCAUAAUCAACUACCCUUAUAUUUGCAUAAUAUUCAACAUAGGAUGCCAUGGUUUGGUUCCAUAUAAGUGGCCCAACUCCUACUACAUGAGCUACAUUAUGGCCUUGAAGAAAAUUCUUAGGAGAGAUUUAGGCAUGAAUGAGAUUAAUUAAGUUUAAGAGAAAGAAUGGCAUCAUUAUGAUUAUAGAGAUUUUCAAAAAAUUCAUUUUGUCAAAAAUCAAAAUUCUAUCUACAACUAAUCACACCCCAAACUUCAAAUCCAAUACCCAUACCUUCUCAAAACAAAAUAAUCUGACCUACCAUCAAAUCUCCAAACGUGUUAACAUCUUAAAUACAGAGAAGAAACUCCAUUUCCAUAGCGAAAUCACAACCAACAAUUGUCAAGCAUAAAAAGAAAUAUAAAUGUACUUAUUAACAUCUUAAAAAGUUUUUUCGGAUGGAUAAUAAACAAAUUAGCAAAUUCACCAAUUUUAGUCCCUCUUCCUUUUUUGGCCAAUGAUUGCAUUAUUUGUUCCAUUAUUAUUGUGUGCCUCUUUAUGUCCUUUUAGUUUGACCAUAAAAUUGAAUUUUACUUCUACCAUCAAAUCUAAUCUCUCAACUAAACUUGUGAUUUGGUAAUUCCAAAGGGAAGAAAGGAGGAAUGGGAAUAUAUAGUAGAGUUUGAGGGAUCACUUGUUGUGUGAUUGACUGUAAUUAUAAGCAAUAAUUGGUGGUAAUUUGAAAGCGAGUUAUAGAAGGAAAGGGUUGAUGGAUGAAAACAGAGUGAUAAUAAGUGAAAAAGAAUCGUCAUUGGCUAUGUAACUUGUUCCGAAGAGGUCAAGUUUUUUUCUUUUUAAUCUCAUUUCAUUAUACUAUGAAUUAUUUAUUAAGUGAAGGUUGUAGACACCAAAAUUUGUCAAUUCAUUUUAUUGUUAUUUUUUGUUAAAAAGAUUGUUGUCUAAAUGAAUUCAUUUUUUUAAAUUAUUUUGUUUUGUUUUGUAGGAAAGUGAAGGAAAGAAAAGCAAAAAAGAAAAGGGAAAGAAAUGAAAAUGUUGUUUUGCCAAAACAAAAAAAAAAGACCUUUCUACGCGUGCGUGCGAGCCACGCCAGCGCAUCAUCUUCUCAUUUGGUCCGUACUGAAAGCCAUAGUACAAGAAAAUUCCAGCAGCAAAUUCACAGCCAUUUUUUUUUUUUUUUUUUUUGCAAUUUUCUUUCCCUCCAAACCCCUAAGUACAAUGCCAACUCAUCUUAGUUGUAAUCUAUCAAGAAAAAACUAGAAUCCAAAGCCAUCUAAUGGCUCAAAGUUGCCAAGAAACCCAUCUUUCAUCUACACCAUGGCUGUGAGGGUUUAGGGAGCUUAGUUUCAUAUAAAAUCCCAUCAAAACGUAACAAGGGGAAGAACAGGAGGAGGCGGCGGACAAGAAAAUAGAGAGGAGAGAGAGAAAAUCGAGGGAGAAAAGCAAGAAAAGUGCAGAAAAUUCUGGGGGGGGAACCUGAGCCAGGGUUGACAGUUAGGAGGGUUUCGUGGUCACCUUUCGAUCUCUGUAGAGCCUCUUUGGAGCGAUUAUUGGUUUCUGGGUAAUCUAUGAUGAUCAAGGAGGAAUAUUGAACUUGGUGCCUUCGUCACCCUUAAAAAUUCUGCAGCGAGCUUGAUUGCCAAAUUCCAGCGUUGGAACGCGCCUUUCUUGGAUUUCUCCAUAUUUGCUUGCUGCCAAAAGAUGUCAAAAGGUAGCCCAUUCAUUCCUCUUUUUUCGUGUAUACCCGAAUAUGCAAUAAAUGUGACGAAAUUUGCUCCAUUUGCUCGUCUCUUUCCUUUUUAUGGUGUAUUUUUUCAUGGAUUAUUAGCUUAAGAUUUUUGCCAUGUUUGUAUGUGAUUUAACCUGAUAAGCAAGUGAUGAGUUUUUGCUUGAGUUUCCAGGCUGUAUGAUUUUGUUUUGGUCCAAAUGUUGGAUGAUUUGUUGGUAGCGUCUUUAGUUGAUGAAAACCUAGCAAAGUUGUAGAAGAACAAAAGCUGUCUUCGAAGGCUUGCAGGGAGAUCUUUCAAAAAUUUUGAAUUAGCCCCUCAACUUUUACCUAAUUCUAGUAUGCCCCAAAAACUUGUGAAAUUGAACCAAUUUUUGCCCAUUGUAAGUCUUGAUCCUCUUUUUAUAUUUUAAGGGGGUUUUUUUUGGGUAGAUUAAUUCUAGAUUUUGGGAUAUAAUUAGGUUUAAUGAUUUUUAGUUGAUUUUUAUCUUGUUGGAUUUCGGUAAUAUAGUUCAGGGUUUGGAUUAGGUUUAGUUUGAUUGAGUUUUGGAAGUGGGUUUUGAUUUAAUUUGAUUGGAUUUGAUAUGGGUUUGGAGGGUUAAAGCCCACCCCUUUUCGUUAGAUUUAUUUGGGUCAAAAUGAUGAUCUGGCCCGUAUUUUUUUGUUGGACUUUCGUUGGGCUUAAGAGGCAUUGGCCCAAAUAAUAAAUAAGGAAUGGCCCAGUGGCCUGUUUUCUCAAGAAAUCUGGUAACCGAAAUUGCAUUUCAGCCCCUAUACUUUUGAGUAAUUAUACUAUGUUCUAAAUACUUUGGAUUUAUUUCAAUUAGGCCCCUACUUUAGUUAUAUUUUGAUCCCUAAACUUUAUUUUUCUUUGAUUUUGACCUCUAAUUUUUGUAAUAAUUAUAGUUUGACCUUAAAAACUUUUAAAUUUUUGCAAUUAGAUUCCUGAUAGUUUUGAUUUCUUAAAUAUAAGUUGCUUUUCUUCUUUAAUUGUUAAUCAUACUUCAUUUAAGUGAUUUAAUUGGUGAAUUUCAUGAUUAUUUCAUUUUUUAAUAAUUAAAUUGGUGUUUUGAUCAUCUUGUUGAUUUUGGAAUAUAAGUAGGGCAAAUUUCACCCCAUUUAACCACAACUUCAAGGGAGGUAACCUUCUUUUAUUAUUUUAAAUCCUUUUAUGUGCUCCAAUGUGUUUUUAUGUGUAAUUGCAUGUUUUGAGUGCUUUUCCUUUAAUUACUCAUUUUAUUCAUUUUAAAUUUCAUUUAUUUUAUUUAAUCUUUGAUGAUUAUUUGUGAGGCAUUUAAAUGCCAAAUUGUAAUAGAUAGGUGCUCAAGACAUGUAUUUAGUUAGGCUAUGUAAUAGUAAGUUUUAAUUUUGUCAAAAAUAUAAUUAGUUAGAUAAAUGUAAUAGUUAGAUUUUUUUUUAAUUUUCCCCUUAGAUUGUAGUUAGGGUCCCAAAUGUAAUAGUUAGGUUUUUAUUUGUGUUUAUUCGCUUGUGUGCUUAUGGUUUAUUCGCUUUCCUUAGGGUCUUUGCAUCUAGAUAUUAUACUUAUAUGCUAUAUGCUCUAUGUGUUUUAUAUGUUUACUUGUUUUAAUUAUGUUUUAUAUGGUUUAUUUAAUUAUAAUAAAUGCAUAAUGCCACCACGCUAGCCCAACGAUAGUUGUGGCCAUUUUUCCCGAUUUCUCACUAGUCCAACGCUAAUGAAAACUUGUAGAAAUAGGUUAGUCCAAUGCAAGACCCUUUAGAUCGUCUUGUGCUAAAUUCACAUUCUUUGCAUGACAUUCAUCACAUUUCAUACAUUUUUUUUUUUAAUUUUAGGGUCUUUUCUCAUCUUGCAUGAUCUUUUCCCAUUAUUAUUAUGUUAACCCUAUGUAUGCCAAACAUGACAUUUAAACUUGUAUUUCAUUUAGGAAAUUAGAAGUAGGCUAGUUCAUUUGGUUGAUUAGGUUAGGAGAGCCACCCUUCAAAUAUGGAAAAUGAACGAGUGUGGUUUCUUAGUCUUAGCACGCUCUUUUUCUUUCUAUACGAAGGAAAAUUUGAAUCACGAAUUUUAGUCUCCAGUACCCGUUAUAUUGCAUUCCUCUCCUUUAGGUCACGUAUAUUUAUAUAUUAUAAUUCUUCUUUUGUUUGAGUCUCAUCUUUUGCAUAUUCGUGACCUCUUCUAAGAAUCAUUUUGGACGUCACAAUUAAUGUGAUUUGUACCAAUUAAAUUUUGAAAAGAUAUUUCGACCCUUUUGAUAUCCUUUAGGUCUAUAUUUGCAUUCAUGUAGAAAAAUCCAAAUGUGAUAAGUUUUAUAGGUUAGAUUAAGAAAAUUUUCGACUAAAUCUCACAACUAGUCUUGGCUAGAUUGAAAGAGUGUCUUAGGUUUGAUUCUGUCAAAUCUUUGUCUUCCCUUUCUCCAAUCGUGACUCUCGAACUCUUUUCUCUUGUUUUGAAAGACCUGGAAUCAUCUAAAAAGGGUUUUACCUAUUUUUUUAAAAAAAUACAUUUUUAGGUGAUUUGGUACACCUAAACUCGAUAUCAAGUGGCGACUCCUAUUUUUCCUAAAAACCCUUUCUAGACUAUUAUUUUGGGCCAAAAUUGUCGCACUUUUUAAGUCCCAUUCUAGGCCCUUUUUCCUUGUUUAUUCUCUAAAAUAAAAAAAAUCAUUUUCCACUCAUCAUUUUCAAAUAAACUCAAAUUUUCUCAAUAACUUACAUAUAAAUUUAUUUUAUCUUUAAAAAAAAAAAAAGACGCGACAAAGGCCAUUAUAGUCAUUUAUUGUGACAAGGGAGGUUUGUGUAAUUUGUAAAACUUGAGGGGAGUCGAGUGAAAUUGUCAUAAACCUUAGGGGAGGUUUGUGAAAUUAUCCCUUUGAAAAUUAAGUCUGCCCAAAUUUUGAUUGUAUAUAAAUAACUAUCAAAAUGUUUGCGAAUAGAUGAUAGGAUAAAAUCUGCCAAGUACCAAUGAAUGAUCGAUCAAAACAAAGCAACUCAUCAGAAGAAUUUAUCAAAAAAUUAAAAAGAAAAAUAUCUCACUAUCCUUUUAGCUCUCUUAUUUUAAUGGCUUAAAAUAUGUUUCAAGUAAAUUAGAAUCAUGCAAUGCUAAAAUCCCCACACAAGAUAACUUCGUUAUGGGUAUUUUAGUUGGUGGACGCUUGGCAUGUGUUAAAAAAAUUAAUAUACGAGUUUGGUUUAUUGAAGAAUUUUUGAAGUUACCACCCAACUUUCAAGUUACGGACACUUUUCUUUACCAAUUGUCAUACUUAUACUUUUCUUCUUAAAAAGGUGGCGUAAGGACGAAAUAAAAUUAACCUUGUUAUGAAAAUUGCCUUAUUUUUGUUUUAAGUAGUAACAUGUAAUGAGAGUAAGGGAAGGGCUUCCUGCUACGUGAGAAAUGUCAUACUACGAUUGCAUCGGGAUUCAAAUUAGAUUUUUCUAUUUUUCUCACAUAAAGAGUUUUGUCUUUAUAGAUAUAGAUUUAAUAAUUGAAUUGAACCACAUUAAUCUUGUAUCUACUCGAAGUUUCAUGUUUUUUUAUUUGUUUAAUUAAAUUGUCUUGUACUUAAUUUUUCAAUGAUUCUUCGUUUGCACUUGGAUCCCAGCAUCUUGUAUAAUAUCAUAGCUAGGUUUUGGUUAAUUAAUGAAAUUAAGUGAGUUGUGGUAAUUUUCAAUUCAAUAAUUUAAUAGGAAAAGAAUAUUCAUGUCAAUAAGGCUAGGAUCGAAAGACAACAAACAUAGAGGAUAUUUGCCAGUAAAUUUGGGCAAGUGAUUCAGAGGACAUGGAAAAACAUAGAGUCUAGUGUUAAAUUAGGAUGUAAUUUAGUGGAAAUGUUCUUAACAAUUUCCAAUGGUAUGUACUUGAUGUUGGAUGUAUUUCAGUUUUGUUCUUUGAGCGGUAUGACACAUGUAUAAAAAAUUUUAAAAAAAAAUCUAAUUUCAUGCAUCCCGAGACUCUCAAAGUUACGAGGUUUUCAUUAAUGAUGGAAUUUUGAAAAGCACACACAGGCGAGACAAUAUUAUGAAGGGGAGGAGUAUGGUGAUUUGUUUUUUUCAAAAAAAAAUUUUGUUACUUGAUUACCUCAAUAGUUGGGAGCAGAAUUAAGAAAGGGAUCCAAGAUUGCUUUCAAGUUGAAAGUAGUGGAAAAAAGGAAAAUCCUACAAACUUAAGUCAACUAAAGAUUACAUUCCAACAACGUAAUAAUUCGGUAUGUAUAACUACACAUCAAGCUUUUUGGUGGAGAUUAUUAGGAUAUUACUUAUUUUGUUUAGGCAAUUUUGUGACAAGUAAAUAGUUUCUAGUAAUUUAUACGUAUUUGGAGUAGUUGCCAAGAAAUUUUGUAUUUAUAUACGUUUGGAAAUCAGGUAAGUUAUUCUUUUAUUAUUAUUGAAGUAUUUGUCCAGUAAUAUAUCCUAUAAAUUGGAGGGGACUGUCAUAUCAUAAAUUAAAGUACACAAAAAGGAGUCAUGAUUAUAGAUGAGAGUGAGAAAAAGGACUUUGGAAUAUGAGAAAUAUUACACAAGAGUUGGGUUUAGAAUUCAAAUUGUAUUUUUAUAUGAAUUUUUUUCAUAAUAAAGAAUGGGUUAUUGAUAUGAACAUGUUAAAUCUUUCUUGUCAAUUGUAUUUUCAUGUUUUUGACUUAUUUUCCUUAAAUUGUUACAAACUUGAUGUCUUAUUAGUUGUUUAUUUCGUGCUUAGAUCACAAUAACAGGUCAGUGGAUUUCAAUUUUCUUUUUUGGUACGAUAAAAGUUUAAUCAUUACUCAUUGCAGAUUUGGGGACCAACAAUGAAGAAUUUCCUAGUUUUUGUCAAAAUAUUUCUUUGACGUUAAUUGGCAAAACCGGUUUUAAUUUUUUGUCCUUUGUUUUCAUUUUCCUUCAAAUUAUCGCAGGCCAAUUGCUGUUUAUGUACGAGGAAAGUGAAAACUCCGUGCAGAUAUAGUAGAGUUCCAUGUGAGGUCCAAAUCCAAUUCCAUAAUUGUGGCCUUACAACUGUAGUACAAUUCUCGGUCAGUUCUAGAACUUGUCUCCCAUGCAAGUUUUUAGUCUAAUUUUUAAUAGACAAGUUUUUUUAUAGUAAUCCUCUAUAAACAUCUCAAAAUUUUUAAUGUACACGUGGCUUAAUAUCUAAGAACACACAAAAUUUUCACUUUUUUCAUCAUUUUCUUCCUUCUCCCCCACCUCAACCCGCUACCGUUGGCCGACCGAUGCUGACGUCACCAGCUUGCAACUUCCUCCCUAUCCUCUCCCUCCCCCCACGCCCCUCCCAUAGUUCAUCAGAAUUCCACAUAGAGUUCAUCAGAAAUCAGGCCCAUCCCAUAAGCAAACGAGACUACAUGGUAAAGAAUUCCUUGAACUUUAGUCGCUGGAUGUCCAAGUAUGUAUCCCUGAAGCCAUAAAUGGAAAUGUCUCAGUUUUAACCUCAAGAUGGUAAAUUUUUCUCCAAAUGGUAUGUAAUCAAUCUAGCUUAUGUAGGCUAGAAAAGAGAAGAUCAUCAAAGAUAUAGACCUUAAUGAUCAAUACGUAGUUCAAUGCUGACCUCGUUUACUGGAAUAACACCAAAAUACAGGUAAGUUUUAGGCCUUAUAUAUAAUUAAUCUUAUAGUCAUAGAGCAACAAAUUGUUGAUCCUAUACUCUUUGUAUUCGCAAACUUCAAUUGAUCAUCUUAUGGCAGGAGAUAAUAUAGAAUUCUGAACUAUUGAGGUCCAACACGAAAGAGUACUUAUGCAAUGAAGGCAUAAAGGAUCCCAUAAACUCGCAUCCUAAGUAUCUCCUAAAUAGAAGUUUUCAAAGAAACGUUUUCUUUCUUUAUCCCAGAGCAUCCAAGGAAGUAUCCCUAAAGCAAUCAAUUUAACAACGCCGCAACAUGUUAGCAAGACGUAUAAUUAAGUAAAAUCUAGAUAGUGAUUUUUGGAGCCGGAAUAGAGGAUGUAACUUUUUGCCUAAGUGUUUUUAUCUUGCUACAUAGGUUAAGGAGAAAGAAAGCUAUGAAAUAUGUAGAAGUUAAGAUCAAUAUGUGGCUCAAUCCUAGCAUUGUUACCUGUAAUGACACCAAAAUAAAUCAAGUUCUAUGAGAUGAUGUUUCAUGUAAGUAUUCAUGAAGCAAUAAUUUGUUGCUUCUAUUUUUGUUUUCAGCAACUUGAAUGGGUCAUCUUGUGGUAGGAGAUUAAAUUAUCUGAAUUAUGAGAUCCAACUUGAAGGAGUAAUGCCAUCAAGAUAUUAAAAAAAAAAUCCCAGAAAAUUGCAUCCCUAAGUAUCUCCUAAUUAGAUGAAAGUUUUCUUCUUUACACUUCAUGAGUACUUCUUCAUCAAAGGUGAGGAGGAGAAGGAAAAGGGAAAGAUACCAAGAGAAAAGAAUAAAAAGCUUAAAAACUCCUUAGUAAAGUUUUUAAUUCAUUUUCCUCUUAAAACUCUGCCUAUCAGGUGCAAGCAUGAAAUAUCCCUAGCUAAGAGGCUUUUCGGAUUCACAAGUUUAUAAAAGAGCAUUAAUAGUGAAUUUGGAUCUCUUUAGACGGCUAUAUAUCUGCAUAAUUGCUACUCUCAGUUUCAAAUUUAACUGUUAAACUUGCCAAAAUCGAGAACUAAUGGAGUCCUUAUAGAAACGUCACUGAUUUUGUUACUGAAUGGACAACCAAGUCAACCAACUUAACAUGGACACAAAGUGGAGAUUUUCGUCUGCAUGCAUGACAAAUAGAUUAGCGGUUAGGGUUUUUCUUAUAGCGGUUGUCAUUUUGUUAAAGCUCUCCCAUCAUCAAUUUUUUUUUUCUCUACCAGAGGAAACUAUCAUUAGCAAACUAUAUUGCACGUGGUUGGAAUAUCCCCAGAGAGAGAGAGAGAAUAGAUCUGAACCGUGUACUUUAAUUUCUCUUUUUUCCUUUUUGGAUCGAUUAGAACAGUUUAAACUUUGCCAACAAAAUAAAUUUUUGAGAAGUAGGAUUCAGAUAAUGUUACCUAACAAUAACAUAACACAUACUUUUAAUUGUUAACAAUCUUAUUAAUUCAUGUCACUGUUAUGAAAUUAUAUAACUUGUGUCUUGUAUACAAUGAAUUGUAAUUUGUCACUAAAGCUUUAUACCAUUUAGAAAAUGGUUGCGCAAUCAUUUCUGCCCCAAAAUUUUCUUCUUCUUUAUUUUAAGCUAAUUUUCUUGUCUUCUUUUUUUUUUUUUUGGAUCAUUUAGAAAUUUUCUUUUAAGUAUGAGCCAUUGGAAGGAAAUGAUUUUUUUAAGCAUUUUUUUUGUGAUGCAGCUAUUGGGAUGGGUCCCUGAAUCUUUGGUACAUAUAAUUUUUGGUAUUUUACAGGAUGUAGAUAAUUCCUUUUUCUGUAAUUGUUUUCCAGCUAAAUUUAAAGAUAGUAGUGUUGAUGGCCUUAGCCCUUCUUCUCUUGAUCUAACACGUUGGCCACGCCAGUUUCUAGAAUCUUCCUGGGAUCAGUUAUAAGGUUUAUAAAUUUUGGAAAAAAAAAACAAAAUCAUGGUUGCAGAAUGGCUUUGAUACUAGAGGUACAGGGUAUAUAAAUAAGGGAUGAAGCAUGGUGGGAGAGGAAUAUUUGUUUGGCAGAUGGCAGAGAUAUACAUUAAACGAAGAUGUCCUAUAGUCAAGUGAUGUAUGAUACUUAGCCAUAAAAGUGGAUUUUGAUUGUUAUAAGUAUAGGUGGCAAACAAACUCAUUUAACUAAAUUUAUCCAUAUUCGUCCAUGAAUAGAAAGAUAUCGGUAUUUUAAGUUUUUGUAUAUGUGUACAAAUGGAUUACCCAAUAAUAUUCAUUUAAUAAAUGGAUAUUAAUUGAUAACACAUCAAACCCAAUUAACCCAUUUAAAAUUGUCUUUCCCCAAAUCUCCUCUCUUCCUUCACCCAUUUUUUUUUUCAGAUUCUUCAUUUUGUCAUGAUGUUAACUACUUUUGUUUUAUUAUUAUUAUUAAUUAUGGGUUUUAUCUUAUCAUAUUAUUUUCUCUUAGUUUGUCAACUUACUCAUUUUUUUAGCAUUAUCAAUUUAUGACAAGUUUUAGCCUCUUUUUCCACCUUUUCAAAAUGAAAUUUUAAAUUUACACACGAAAAAAAUAUUAGGAAUUCAAAAUUUUUGAAUCAAGUUUUUAUGUUAACUUUUAUAGUACUUAUGUCAAAUUUUUAUAUUCUUAUUGUUCAAUUAUUAAAUAGUAUAUAAUUUUGCGACAUAGAGUACGGAUGAAAAAAAAAUUGGUAACUAGGUUUAUUGAACAUUAUAAAUAAAUAUUUAAAACUAAUGAUGGGUGCAAAGGGUGGUACAAAUUGAUAACAUAGUUUACAAAAAUGAAUUUAAAUGAGUUUAUGAAAAGUUAAAAUAAAUGGGUUAUAAAUGGAUAAUUGAGUUAUCCAAUUCAUUUUUUGACUUACUCAUUUAUACCCAUUUAAUUAAAUGGGUAUAAAUGAGUUGACUCACUUAUGCCCAUUACCCAUUUUAACCAACUCAUACCUGCCCAAGUCAUCCAUUUUCACACCUCUAGUUAUAAGAAAUUAGGAAAGAUUGUUGCUUGGAAGUAUUUUGAUCAGUUCUAUUUAUUUCCCCUUCUAGUUUACUGUCUAAUGUUCCUUUGCUUUAUUUACUUCAAAUAAUGCUAAUCGAUACAUUGUCAAUUGGGGAAGGGAUGUUUUCCUUUAAUUAUUCAUUGCAUUUUCUCUUUGAGAAAAGGAAAGUGAGGGUUGAAUAUGAGGUGGAAAUACAGUGGAGAUUAAACUUGUAUUUUCUCCUGGGGAAAAGGAAAGUUUUUAGGGGCUGUUGGAAAUUGAGAAGGACGAGUUAAAAAUGAUGUGAAUAGUCACUUAAUUUUUGAUCAUUUUAGAGGUUUCUGCAAUUUCUUUGUGCAAGAUUGUAGCAUGCUAUAUAAACAAGACGCUGGACAAUAAACCCAGCCAACUGAUACAAGUUGAUAGUACUAGCUGAAAUGCCUUGGCUCAUCUUCCUGUUGUUUUAGGAAAUAGAGAGAGAGAAGAAAAUAGUCAUUGUGGUAAUUCUGAACUGAUGCUUGAAGUGUGUUUUGUGCACGCUUCUCAUGAUACAUGUUGGAUAGUGUAGGAUUAUAACUGGAUGCAGCUGAAAUUCGUUUGAGAUACUGUACAGCAUAGCUCUUACAGGCUCAAACAUGUAUCAUAUACAAACAAUGGAAUUCUAUUAUUUAGUCUCUCUUGCGCCUCGCAUUGUCUGCAGUUUUGGCGUAUUGUUUAGCAGUUAUCUGCUUAAAUUCACCCUUUUGAUGAUUUAGACUUGUACCAUGGCUUGAUUAAUAUAUAGGAACCUUUGAAUUUAGAUCCAUCUUUUCAAAGAUUUAUUUUCUGAUUUUAGUUAGCUAUUUGACUAAUUGAACAUUCAUGAAAACUUAAAAGCCCAAGUCAAACUGUUGAUUACUAAAGAACAUGCAGUGAAUCAGCUGAAUUAGACUGAACUCUAAUUUUCUCUGGUUGCUUCUUAGUAAGAAUUGUUCCGAUAAGUUAUUUAUUAGAUCAUGCAAAACAGCAUUAAUACAAUAGAUAUACCUCUUAUUCCACCGUAUGUAUUCAGCUAAUUUUUGUUUUGUGUCCUAGAUUUUCUGCCAUAGUUUUUAAAAGAAUUCGAUUUAUGCUAAGGGUCUAUCUAUGGACGCUUGUUAAAAUAUACUUCAGAUGUUCGAUUUUUGGAAAGGUAAAAUUAAUUAGGGGAAGUAUAUAAGUACAAGAGAAAGUAAUAAUUGUUAGCGUGUGUACAUACAGAGAAUAGGUUGGAUGGAAUUUAGAUAUGGUAAGGAGUGCCAAUUGGACACCUAUAGGAAAAACCCCCUAUGCAGAUUUGAAGACAGUUCAGGAGUCAAUGAAACAACCAGUCUGGAUACAAAGUACAUAUGGUUAAAAUACUGGAGUCCAUGCAUUAACCAAAAUGAAGGCAGGUGCAAUCAAGGAGAUCUGCUUGGUAUCUAGACUUCCCUGAAUUUAAACAAAUUUUAACAAUCAUAAUGAUUAUCUGUUCAUGGACAAAGAGAAAGAAGAAGAAAGAUACUGAGAUUAAUGCAGGUAGCUAAUAGAGGGAUCUUUAGCAGAGAUGAAAUGUACUGCCACACAGCCUAAUUAUAAGCAAAUUAAAUAAUUAGCUUUCCAUACUAAAUCUCCAACCCCAGACACACCUAUAAAUUUCUUCGUUGAGGUUGAAAACCAACAUCUCAAGAAAAGCUACUGAGCUUAGCUACAUUGUUGCAAUGAGAUCUUCAGCAGCAGCAGCAGCAGCAUUUAAGGCAUGUUUAGGCUACCUUAUUGUGGCAAUUCUGCUAUCUGCUUCUUGUGUAUUAGCUGCUGAAAACAGUGAAAAAUCUUUCCUCCCUAGAAAGGUUUACUUUGUUCAUGGCAUCAAGAAUAGCUAUCCAGAUAAAACACAUUGGUCUGGCUUCUACUGGGAUCCUUUCCCUGGAUUUAAAUGGCCACCUUUCCCAGGAUUUAACUGGCCACCUUCUUCACCACCAAGUGGAUCAUCACCACCUUUCCCGUGGCCUUUCCCAGGAUUUAAAUGGCAGCCUAUUCCAUCCCCUUCUUUUCCACCUCCACUAGCAAAGCCAACAAGUGGAUCAUCACCACCUUUCUCAUGGCCUUUCCCAGGAUUUAAAUGGCCCCCCAUCCCAUGGCCUUUCUUUGGACUCCCAGAUUUUCACAGGUCACCUACUCAAUCCCCACAUGCAUCACCUCCGCUAGUACAACCACCAAGUGAAUCACCACCAGUUGGUGGUGCUUCAAUCUCGCCGUCACCAUCACCACCACCACCGUAUCAAGGGGAAACACCACCACCAAGUCCAUGGUCAGGGUGGGAGGAACCUACAUUUACUCAAAGUACACCUGAUUGGUUAAUUUGGGAGGACUCAACCACAAGAAGCAUCUGAUUGGUUACCUUGAUCAGCGACUACAAAAGAACAUCUACGGUAUUUUAUCGUAUGAUUUGCCUAAAAUGAGUUUGUACUGAAGUACUCGUUCAGACUAUCAGCAUACUGUUCUUACAAUAUAUUCUUGUGGAAGGAAUAUAAAACACAAACCUCAGCAUUUUGAUUUGCUGCUUUUUAACUUACUAUUAAGUGCCAAUUGAUUCUACAAGCUUAACAAGGCAACUAUAUAUUUAGGAUUCGCCAUGUCCUUGAUAUUGUUCACUUUCAGCAGCACAGGGUCAUUGAACUUAAGUGACUUUCUGAUGCCGAAGGCCUUAAAUCAUUGGCUGAAAAUCUGAAGUGAAUAUGUUUGAAUGAAUUGGAAAUGUCUGAAGAUAAUGCAUACUUGACUAAUCCUAAACUUCUAGUGAAACUUCAUGACAGCAAUAAUCAUACAAUCAUUCCAUCAAAUACAAAGUUCUGCAAAAUAACAAAAUUAUUUCAUCACUGUCUUUCCUGAAAAUGAAAAAUAAUUUUGCAGAAUCAAAUGGUUUCAAGUGCCAUAUUACGGAUCAUUCUGACCAAAGGGGCUGGACACUUGGUGACCAUGUCCAAUCUGGAAGGAUUUGAGGCAUGACCGAACAGAGACAGGCAAAACAUGGCAAGCUCCCUUAGUGAUAAAUUUGAAGACAUAAACCCUUUCCAGUGGUGAGGAUCUAAAUCAAAGAAAGCAUCAAAAAAUCUUCUAGUCCCAUUUAAGUCGAGUUGCAGUAAGGUCUCCAUGCCAAAAGAGUGGAAUUCUCUGAUACGUCUCCUCUCAACAGGCCAAAGGCCCUUCCACACUCGAUCAUAAAGUGGAGUCCCUCUAAUCAUUCUGGUUGAGCCUAGGCACUCUGCAAUUGUAUCAGCUAACACCGGUGCUAAAGCCAUUGUCCGCGCCACCAUGUAGCCGCUUGAAGGAUGCACUAUGCCUGAAUUUCCACCAAUUGCCAUCACACUUUGAGGGAUUUUAGGCAGUGGCCCUCCCAUCAGAAUGAAACACUUCUCUUCCUCUAUAACACUCCUUACUUUAACGCCUAAGUGUCUCAAUCUUGCCACCAUCCUUUUCUUAACCUCCAUAUACGACAACACAGGCCUGGCAACGAGAGAGGUCUCUUCAAGAAAUAUCAAAUUUGAAGAAAAUGGCAUCGCAUACAGAAAAGUUGGAAUCUUUGAGUUAUCUUUGCGCAAAUCUGGUUCACUUCCUAGAUGGGAAUCUCUCCAAUCCAUCAGAACCAUCUUAUCCAAAUCAAAGGGGUGAUUAUCAACUUCUGCUAAAAUUCCAUGAGCAAUUUGAUAACCAUGGUUUCUCGGCUUGUCAUACUCAAUAAAAGGACUAGCAUAUCCACUUGCAUCAACGAUCAAACUUGCCUUCAGCUCACUUCCAUCAGUGCAAACAACAGAAGACUCAAAUUCUUGAUGCUCUAUUUUCCAAACCUUAGCCUUGUGAAACUUGACUUGAUUUGAAACACAACCACUUAACAAUUUAAUCUUGAGUUCCUUUCUACUUACUCUACCAUAGGCACGGUCUAAGUACCUAGUCUUGUGAUCGUUGAUAUAAACACUACACAUGGGCCAUGUCUUGUCCAAACAAUCAUCAAGGCCUAAACUUUCAAAUUCAUCAACCCAAACUCCAUAGUUAUUUGGCCACAUAGAUAAUGGUGAAGGGUCCACGCAGCAUACCUUAAUCCCGUAUCUUGAUACUUGCUCAGCUAGUCUUAAACCAGCUGGUCCAGCUCCAAUGAUGAUCAAAUCAAAGCGACGAUCAGAAGGAUCAAGCCACGAUACAUCAAAGUCUAAAGGUUCAGGUUUCCAUGCAGGCUGUAAGUCAAGAAAGGAAUUAAACUUGCUGCUUCUGACUCUGUUACGAACGUUUCUUGCAGAAGUUUUGGUUUUAGGAGAAACAAAUCGAGGGUUCAGUGAUGAACAUGAUAUUGGAGGAUGAGAAGUUGAAAGUGCAAGAAAUGGAGACGGCCUCAGAAGAGUUUCCAUUGACAAAAGACUGAAUUGAAAAUCUAACUUUGAUGGUUUAGGCAGAAAAGAGAGGAGUGAAGGGAAAUGUUUAUGAUGAAUUGAUGAUGAAGAAAGCGUUUAGGUACUCUAAUGAAGACAAUGAAGAAUCAACCAACCAGGACCAGCAAUGGCAAGAAAUGGAUGCUUUUUAUAAUCGAUUCUUGGUCGUUUCUAUCAACUUUAACAAGAAUUAAUAUAGUAGAUUCUUGUAGCUAUUAACUUAAUCAUAGCUAGUUGGCCGUAUGGAUAUGGCGCCUCAUUUCUGCUAGGCAUUUUAUCACCUGUGUUGUCAUAUUAGACAACCUUUUAGUCUUUAGUUAAAAAAUAAAUCAUGUAUGCAUAGGAGAGAUUUGAUGUGAAUCAGCUUCCACUUUAGUUAAGUAGUAAUGCAAAACUAGUAAAAUAUGUUGGAGUAGAAUUUACAGAAUUACUCAAGUAGAUAUAUUACCAAAAAAUAAAAAAAUCUAGCAAAUGUGGCUCUGACAGACUUACUUAAUGUCUAAAACUAUGCAUGCCGUAUUACAGGUAACAAGAUUUUAUUUUUUAAAAAAAAAAAAAUUCCUGCCCAACACGGCACCCAUCAUUUUUUUUUUUAAAUAAUUCGUGGGGCUGCCGUGCUGACUUGUUUUUUCUUGGAUAGGAACCAAAAAUCAUAGUCAGAGAGAGCGGAUUUUGGGAAAAAAAAAAAAGGGGAUGCCUUGUAUUGUUAGAUUAGAUAUUAAUGGGUGCAUGAUAAGAAACCUACCUUGAUUCUCGCUUUAGAGUCCGAACUAAAAUAGUAAUCCUGCCAAAGCAAACUAAAAGGCACAAAACACAAGAUUGAUUGAUCAUACUACAAACAUGAAUUAAUGAAUCGUAUCAUACUACAAACACAAACAGGGGCUGCUGUGCUGAACAAAUGUUUUUAAAAAAAAUAAAACCUUGUUGCUUGUUGUACUAACACAGUACGGCAGGCAUAGUUUUGAACACAAAUCCUGUCUAAGCCAUAUUUGCCAAGUUUUUUUUUUUAUAUUUUGACAAUAUUUUGAGGAAUUAGCCUACCAUCAAAAUUCAGGAAAAAUGAAGUGAAAUAAAUCAGAAAACCAAAAGUGUAACAGGAGUGGUACAUGGUCACCAUCUCAUUUUUUUUUGGUAGAGUUUUUAACCAAUUAAGUAAGAGCAUGCAUUAUCAUUUUUAUAUAACAUUUUGCAUUGCAUUAGUAGGAAUUUAUUACUUUAAAAAAAAGGGAAACAAAAAGUUUUUUUCCAAAGGAAAAAAAAAAUAAGUGGGCAAAUAGCAACACAAAUAAAACAAGGGUUAAAUGCAAAAAAAACCCCCCAUGAACUAUAUACCUCAUUGCAGUUUACUCCCCAAAUUAUUUUUAUAGGCGUUUUGCCCCCUUUCACUAUGUAAUUGGACAAAUCUACCCCAUUAUCUUAAGCAUUGUUAUUUUUUUUAUUCCCUAUCUUUUUCUUUUUAGAUUCUUCCUCUUUAUUUUCUUUAAACAUUGUUUAAAUUAGUAUACUAAAUUAAUCAAAAUUUGUUUAUUUCUUAAUUUCUCAUGUCAACAUUUUAUAAAAGAAUUCUAUGGUGUAGAAGAUUUUUUUUCCAAAUGUAGAAGUCAAUAUCAUUUAAGAAUUUGAACUAUUCAAAUAUAUAAGAACAAAAUAGAGAUAUUGAUUAAUCAAUUAUUAAUAGUAUUAAUAACAAAUAAAAAAUGAAUUACUAUUGUUAUUUAUUCCUAUCUUUUUAUUUCACUACAAAAAACAAUUGUUAACUUUUCUUUCUUACGUGAUAUAUAAUAAGUUACUUUUGUUAUAAAUAGUUGAGUAAUUAUAAACUUUAAUUGGUUAUAGAUACUUAAAUUGUUGAAUUAUUGAAUUAGUAUAUAAGUUACUUAAAUCGUUUACAAUAUAAACUACAUAUAUAUUGUAAUAACAAAGAGUUUAUGAUGAAAUAUUAAAAAUGAAUGAAUUAAAAAAGUAGUUCAAAAAAUAUUUAAAAUUUUGAUGUAAGUCUUUUAGCAUUGGAGGGACACAUUGGCUAGUUCCAUGAGACAGGGGGGCAAAGCAAGAAAAUAAAAGGAAAAAGAAAUGGGAGAAAAGGAAAAAAAAUAGAGAAAAAAUAGAGAAAAAAAGAAAAAAUUUAAGAUAGUAAGGAUAGUGUUGCCCAAAUGUAUAAUUCAAGGGAGUAAAAUGCCUAUUAUUAUAGUUUAUGGGGUAAACUCUAAUAGCUAAUUACUCGGAAUAUCGUUGAAAAAAAAAAAGUUGGACAUAUAUGGGUCCCACAAGAUGGUAGUGCAAAUCUAUGGCUGCCAGCCAAAGAGGCAAAUUUUUUUAAAAAAAACUCUGACACAGCUCAGACAAAAUUCUUUUUUUUUACAAAGUCAUUGGCCUGUCAGCCCGGCUGCGGCAAAAUUCUGCAAAAAUUUGCAGGAGAUGUAGAAUUAUUGCUGCUGCCAUCGCAUUCAAGAUUCCGUAUGGGGGCCUUUAUAUUUUUCCACAAUCCGAAACUAACACUGGAAAUUUGUCAAACACUUUUUUUUUUUUUGCAUGUUUCAAUGAAAGUGACUGAUGUCAUUGAAUAUUGAAUGAUUGAAGAUAUACUUUUCGUCUCUUUGAUCUGUUGAUUUCAUCUAACAGCGACUAAGAUUUUCUUUUUUUCACUAAAUUUUCUUUUAUAUAUGAUUUAUGUGUUAUCAUUUGUUGGUAAUUAAUUUAACGAAAAGAUGCUCUUUACACUAAUAUGUCUUGACAAUGUGGAUUACUUUUAAGAAUUUUAAUGAGAUUUAGACCACAUUUUUUAUGCAUUCAAUCUAAUUCACAUUUUAUUUCAUUUGAAAUAUAAUUAUUUAAAACAUAAGGGACCAAAAAAUAUGAAAUCAAACUUUUGACUAAUUCUAACUUGAUUUGACCGUUAUAUAUUAUAGUUUUGUAUUAGUUGCCCUAAAUUUGGCUAAAAUAAAAAAUUUGCUAUCAUAAUUAUUUUGGUUAAAAUAUCACGGAUUAGUUUAAACUCAUAGACCAAACGUUGGGGGGACCAAAAUUGCACAUGUUCCUUUAUUUUAAUCAUAUUUGAAAUCCCAACCCUUUCUUUUAUAUUUACGCCUCAAUUAUUUCAAAAAUGAAACUCAAUUAAAAAAAUAAAAUCUACCACAAUAUUUGUUUUGACAUGUACAAAAUUCACUAAAUAAUAUUGAAAAUUUCACCCAUUUUCCAAUGCAACAAUUUCACCCCUUUUUUUAUUAAAAACUUAUGCCGCUUGACGUACUAAAUCCGACAGUCUUUUAAGUUAAUUAAAUUACGUUUCAAAAUUGGAACGUAAGAAAAAGAUGAAAACAGAUUUGUUAAAUCAAUAAUUACUUCUAUAGGAUGUUAAACUAAAAAAAGGCUGUUUUAAAAAAAAAAUCUCAUUCAUUUUAUAAUAAGAUGCAGUUCUCAAAUUGUUGAAAAAUUAUUUGUUAAAAUUAUUAUGUAAUUUUUAAUGUACAAUAUAAUUUUAUAAAUAUAAAUUUGUUGUGCAAUAUAAAAACAAAAUAGGCAAAAAAAAUGAAAAGAAGAAAAAAUGCAGAACAUGACAUUAUCAAAUUGUGAAUUUAAAAAUAGCGAUAAUUCUGCCUGGCAGCAGCAAUAAUUCGAUGGCAGCAAUAAUUCUGCAUUUGAAGAAAAAAAUGCAGAACAUGACAUUAUCAAAUUGUGAAUUUAAAAAUAGCGAUAAUUCUGCCUGGCCGCAGCAAUAAUUCGAUGGCAGCAAUAAUUCUGCAUUGAAUGCGAUGACAUUGAAUGAUGGCAGCAGCAAAUUUUUGCAGAAUUCUGCCGGCUGCCGGCCGUCAGAGUUUAAAAAAAAAAUUUGCCUUUUUGGCUGCCAGGCAGUGUCAUAGAUUUGCAGUACCCUUGUCAGAUCCACACAGCCCGGAAGCCAUAGAUCCAUAUGUGUCCGACUUUUCUGUAUACAGUUCGUGCGGGAUUUUUUGCAUUUAACCCAUUAAAGAAGGGCCGAAUUAGACACGGACCCAACGCGAGUAUACUAAGAUCAACAUCAAGCGGAAGAUUUGUGGGGCGGCAAAAGUUGAUGGCUUAUCACUAAUCAGCCGCGCAAAUAAAUACUCUUGUUUUUCUUUUGGUUUUUGUUUGAAAUGAAUAGUUUAAAAGUCCUUUUAUAGUACUUAACAAAAUAGUAUCCAGUUUCAUUUUUGGGAUUGGAAAUCAGAUCCUGCAACUGCUUCGACCACUGAACCAAAUGAACUCUUUUUAUCUUUUGGUCUUUGUUUGAACUGCAAAGUUUUAAAGUCCUUUUAUGGUAGUUAACAAAAUAGUAUGCAAUUUCGCUUUUGGAAUUGGAACGUAAUCAGUGAGGGAUGAAAAUAUUCAUUUUUUGAAAUAUGAAGGAUGGAAAAAUUCAUUUUGUAAAAUAUGAGGAACGAACAAAUUUGUUUUAUAAAAUAUGAAGGAUUAUAGAUUAGAUUAUAUAAAAUAUAAUUUGACAAAUUUACUCUUAAAAAAUGAUCACGUGCCUUGCACGUGAUGGAUUCCUGCUAAAAAAUGAUCGAAAACCUAGUUAGGAACUAAAUUUGACCGAUGUGAAUAUGUAAGAAACAUAAAAUUACACUUUUAAAAAUGAAGGGCGAAAAAAAUCAUUUUACAAAAUAUAAGAGACGUUUUGAACAAUUUUCGCUAUAAUUAACAUAUAAGACCUUCGGCACUCAUUAGCGAAAUCCUUUAAAAUUGAGACGCUCGUUAGCCAAAUCAUUUGAAAUUUUACCACAAAUAAUUAAUUUUCCGAUAAAAGUCCGAAACAAAUUAUGUUCUAAUAUAAAUAACAUAACUACAGGUCGCUUACCCAAAAAUAAAGGAAAAAAAAAGAAAAGAAAGGGGUGUUUUACAAGGAACUACAAUUAACAUUUUACGAGAACCAGGAGGCCCAAAAAUUCUAGCAUUUAUAAUAUACAAAAAAAGAAAAAGAAAAAAGAAGAUGACCAUGGUUCUUGAUAUUGUUCUAUUUCCACACAGCUCUGGGACAACGAGGAGCAGUUGGAAGUGAUUAACACGGGCUAGAGGAAGGAGAAUCCAACGAUAUAUAGUAUUGAGAAUCAUCAUCCCAGAAUCAUCUAUAGCAUCCCUGAUCCAAGAAAUCACCGUUUCCGGCAGGACGGUAGGGUAAUGCCACCACAAGCAGCAGCAAUUAUUAUGUACAGCAGUAUUACGAUCAAGCACGUCAACAAAGCCCUGCAUAAAUGUUAUAGGUUCCUAUCCGUCAGUUCAAAGAGCCAGAUUGCUUUAAACCUAUGAGAAAAUUUGACGGAAUGCUCCGUUGCUGAGAACAUAAAGGUAAAGAAACUAUAAACUAAAGAAAGAGAGAAGCAAAAGAAAAAAAAUUAUCGAUAAUAAAUCUAAAAGGCUGUCGAAAAUUCCCAACUUUAUGAUGAAGCCAACAAAGAAAAAGACAUUUUCCAGUUGCAGUAAACGAGCAGCAGCUAAGGAAAAGAAGACGCUAGGAUGCGUAGAUAAGAUUAGUUGUUCAAUAGUUUUUUGCCAGCAAUUAUUCUGGCUAUUUUUAAGAUUUUGAAACAAGAAUGCUCCCCUUGGUUUCAGUUUUCUACUGGUCAUUUUUCUCAUAACCACGAGUCAAUUAACAAUAUCUAAUUUACUCUAUAACCUAAAUUCAACUAAAGUUGUCAUUCAUGCAAAAGCAAAAACUGAAUGAUAACUUGCUGAGCAUGCUGUUGAACUGAAUUGAUUAAGAAUGCCACAAUUAACUUCAAGCUAAAGUCUACAUUGAAUAAAUUAUCAUCCUACAUGAGUCGAAGUUACUUUUUCCCUUCUAAUUGUAGAACGAGGCUACGAUACUCACAGGAGUUUGGCAUUCUUCAUCCAAAGAGCUCGACGAAGACGCUUUGACUGUUUCCUGAAGUGAAAUGCACUAUCUUGCAUUGUUGCUGUUUUAUCAACAAGAAGUUCAAUGCGGUCACCUCUUUCAAGUAUCUUCUCAAUGUUAUCCACCAUUAUUGUGCGUAUCUAGAGAUCAGGUUAAAGAUCAAACAAGAAUAUUACCUAAAAGAAAAAAAGACUGUGCAAAGUAAGAGAAUAAUGCUCAAUGACAGUUACAACCAGCAGACAGAAAACUGUCACAAGUUCCUAUUUCACUCAAUAGAUAGUAAGCCAAUCAUCACCAAUCAACUUUUAUCUCUAAAUUCUCAUCUCCUAUACAACUAACCUAUGCACAUGCACGCACAAAUUUUCAUCAAGGAAACAGUAAAUUUCCAAGUUACGCUUGGAAGUUUUCUAGACAAUGAUAUCACAGAUCUAUUUGGGCUUGCUUAAAAGGUCAUAAAAGUCAUAAAACACAUGGAGCUUUUGUCCCAUGCUCUAGCAUUUCCACCUCACACUAUGUGGUAAAACGCCUCGCUGCAAACCUUCUCCUUGCCAAUUAGAUCACUCAAAACUACAACUCUUGUCAUUAUAUUUCUCUUGAGCUUGUUUCAACUCAAAAACUUGCCCGCCACAAAUUACAUUGGCUAUAUCAAGGGAUUGAAAAGUAGCUAUUUGAUAAACUUGUAGAAGCAUGUUUUAAGGGCGAAAGCGAAUACUAAUACUGUGACUCUUCCUCAAAAUAUAAAAGCAAAAACGACAAAAAAAGGUGGAGAUGGAGGGACCCAAAAGGAGGGGGUAGGACCUUUUUAGAUACUACAAGAAUACUUAUCCUCAAACCAAUUCUGUGCGUAAAACUUAAAAAAUUGACCACAGAAUACAUAGUUAUUACUUCGAGACAAAUUUAAGGUAUUCUAGCCGGGAACUAAUAUUUAUGCUCCAAAAAAGUCCUUAUUGGCGCUCCACUGUCUUUUCAAUAAAUGUGAACAGACAAAACUGCCAACCGCAGAUAUCUAUCAUAUUAGGUAAGUUGUCGGAUUUAUUAGGAAAGUUCCUAAAAGUUCUAAAGUUCUACAACUAGUUAAAUUUUCUAUUUAGAAUAUGGAAUUACGAGUUUUAGGAAGCUUUAUGGUGUACAAAUAGUUAUGUUAUUCUAGGUACAGAGAAUUUGAUGAAUGAAGAUUGAGAUUUUGUUUUAUUAGUUGCUCUGUUCUUCCCCUUAAAUUAUUUUCCUCCUCCCAUCUUUUCUUACCACAUUACUGUUCAUGGGUACUUUUCACGGCCCCUAAACAGGCCACGAUCCCCUCAUUCUUCUGCUAGUGCUAGUAAGGCAAGAUCUUACUUGUCCUUACAUCAAUUUAAAGUCUGAAUCUCAAUAUGAGUCUGUCGGGACAUGUUACUAGAAGCAUCAGCAUCCACAGUAUGCCCUAUCCAAAUCAACAGCUCCAAUCAACUCAAAGCUUUAAAUUAAUGAAGACAGAAAGCAAAUUUGCAGCACUUCACUGGGAGACUCUUGAAUAUUCCCCCCAUUCCAUGAUUGAGAAGUGAAUACAAAAAGACAAGACCUUUUGCAAAGUAACAUGCAUGUUGCCCGAUACAUCCAAAAGAGAUGGAGAAGUAAAUGCAAACAGCAAACAAGAAAAUGCGAUUGUCUUGUUCUCUCUUGUACAUUUCCUUAAAGUGUUUCCUAAUGUCUAAAUGAGUACUCCUGAUGAACAGCUAGAAACAAGAAUAACAGACCUUUUAUUAAAAGUAAUUAGAUUUAAACUUAGGCAACUUAUUGCUACAUGUCCAACACAGGAUGGAAAACCAACAUCCAAAUCACCAAAUAAAACAUGCACUCCAAAAAUGACAAAACAGCUUUUUAUAUAAUUUCUGUUUUCAUAUUACCCCAUGUAAGGUAAAAGAAAAAUACUUGCCUCACUAACUUCACCCCUAACACGGUGGAGGGUAUCAGCACUAGGAUUACUUGAGAAAAACUCCAUUUGUUGAUGCAAGACUCUUGAGAAUUCAUCAUUCAUAGCAUAAGCAGGUGCAUAAGGUGCCACUUUGCCAUAGUUCUUCAUGAAUCUCAUAUGUAUAUCCUCUAAGUAUGAGAAUGGUAUCCUUCCUGGGUCAAAUAUGCAUUAAAAUUUCAAAUCAGAACUUAGAAAACUUUACAUAGCCUACACAUAGUACCAAUGUAGAAGUGUGAUUUAGCAGAAAAAAAGUAAGCAAAAAUGAGGAAAUGAUACCUAGAGACACUAACUUAAAUAGCGUGUAGGCAUUAAGAAUUCAAGAUAUGCAACAUUAACUAGAAAGGAAAAUUAUGCUUUUAGAAGCUUUAUAUAAAAGCAAAAUAGCGUAAUGUAGGCAUUAAGAAUUCAAGAUAUACAACAUUAACUAGAAAGGAAAAUUAUGCUUUUAGAAGCUUUAAAUAAAAGCAAAAUCACAUAUAUUUGUGUCCACACAAAGCAUGGCGAUGACUAAGCUUUCCGUCCAUAUUUUCACCACCUCCUCGACCCAAUGAUCCAUUCUUUUUUUUUUUAAUAGUAUAACAUACACAAAGGGCUUAAUCCGAAAGGACCCCAGAAAGCUAAAGUCUUUUCUUUUUCACACCUCAUACUAUCAGGAAGUCUCAAAAUGCAAGUUUCAAGCUCGAUCAAGAUAUUGCACUUUAAUCACGAGUACGCAUUUAAUCUGAAACUUCCAAAUAUUGAAAACCCCACCUCAGCAGCACUUAAUCGACCCUCAGAACAUAUCACACAAGAAGCAGUCUGUGCACAAAAGAUAAAUAUCUAUGGCCUAAUCUAUACAUAAUCAUCAUCCAAUCCUACAAAAAGAAAAUUAGCUGCUGCUAAAUGUUGUACAUAUAAAAAAAAAUCCCACCUUUUUCAAUAAACAAAAAGAAAUGACUCCAGAAUUUCCAAUUUAAUUUUGCAACUCCGUCAACAAAUAAUACCUCUAUCAUCAAUAUCCUACUGAAAACAAUAGUUAUCCAGUCAAAAAAGAAAACGAGAAUUUAUGAAUUUAAGACCUUAAUCCAGGAAAAAUGAAUUUCUUAUUAAAGAAAAAAGUCAAACCCUCAGAAACUACACAGAAAAGGGAACUUUAUAAACAUACUUCCGAAGGUAUCAUUAGCCAUACAGAGAAAAGUCAGGCCAUCAGAUUUGAGAAUAUGGAAAAUAUAUCGAUCCUGAGAGAAGCAGAGUCUCGACUCGGCCUCCAACGGCAGCUUCUCCAAUAUCCGCCGCACAACUGCUCCGGCGUUCCCCGUGACAGCGCUGAACUCCGCGAGCACGGUAGUCCCCCGAGCCACCACCGCAUAGACUAUCGCCAUCAAAGUAGCCCGUCCUCGUUACCUACUACUCAAUAAACGUAUAUGUAAACUUAAGUAUAUGUAUCUAUAUGGUAUAAUUUACAUACAUAUACAUGGAAAUUGAGGUUUGAUUAGGGUUUUGAAUUUGGGUUUGAGGAAGUUAGUUGGGACAGUGAAGAUCGGGGGAUGGUGUCCACCGGCUGCUGUAAGUCCACGCCUCCACGGGCUAGUCAGUGUUCUAUUUCUACUACAUCCAAUAAUUUAUUAUUUUUGGAAUUCACUUGAUACGUUCCUCACAAAGAAAAAAAAAAAAUUCACUUGAUACGCUUUGUUGUGGCCGGUUUUUAUUUGGAAAAUUGGGAUUCGUGUCUUAACUUCGAAGUUCGAACAAAUGGUGUCAAUUGGGAUCUACGAGCUGGAUUUUAACAAACCUAAUUUCAAUUCAAAAAACACUAGGGCUUUAUUGGAAUUCAUGUCUUAAUUUGGAAUUAAGAGUGUCAAUCGGGCUCUAUGAAUUGGGUUUUGAGAAGCCUAAUCUCAGUUAAAAAAUAAAUGAAACUUUUGAGUUUUCGAGUUCGGGGCUAGGUUAGAAUAGUCAAACUCGACUCAUCAUUUAAUAUGAGUUGCGGUCUUAUAUUAUUUUCGACUCAAACUCAUAAUUAACUAUAUAAUUAUAUAUAAUAUAUUAAUAUUUAUAAAUUUGUAUAUAAUUUAUUAAUAUUUUAAUCUUAUAAUAUGUGUAAUUAUAUAUAUAUCAUUUAAUAUGCAAUUAUAUAUAUUGUAUUUUUAAUUAUACAUAUGAGCAGGUUAGGCCUUAAUCAGGCUUGAACAUAAUGAUGCCCAAACUCGACCCAUAUUUAACUUGGGCCUAUUAUAUAUAUCUAAACUUUACUUGAUUUUAUGCUUUAGAAAAAAGAAAAAAAACUCUACUUGAUUCUAUUAAAUAUAAGACUCAUUGGACUUUCUAUGGAUUGAACAAGGUGAGCAUGGGCUAGCCCAACCCAUUGAUAACCCUAACUUUGAACCCUUGAUUAUUGUGCAUUUAAGUUUUACUUAAGAUUUUUUUUGGUUCUUUACAUGUAUUAAAACUAAUCAAUUUGUCUAUUUUGAAUAAAAAUGAAAAAGAUUAAAAAUGUAUAUACAUGACUAUAGUAACACAAUUGUAGGUGUACGUUCUCUGUUUACAAUAGCGUGAAUGUGCCAAAACCUUGAGUGUUUUUACACCUUAAUGAGCUAAGCAAUUAGGAUAAUUACUAUAUGCUCUGUUUGGAUUUAGGCUUUUUUGAAAAAUAAUUUUUUCAUCUACAAUGCUACAGUAAUACACAAACAAAAACAAUUUCAAAAACACCAUAUUCAUACAAUAUAUCAAAAACAACUCCAAAUAUACCAAAAAAAUACACAACUACCCAUCACUCUCCACCACCACAACCACCACCUUACCGCCACCAUCCCCAUACCCACGACCCUCUCUCCUUUCUCUCUCUGUUGGUUUUUCCUCCCUCUCUCCUCCUCUCUUUCCUUCUCCUUCCUUCUUUUUUCUUUCCCUUUCCCCACCCCCCAAUUUCCUUCUCCUCGACUGACUGCAACCUUCUUAGUCACGAUCAAAUCUGAUCGCGAUCAGAAACCGCGACCAAGAUGGUCGUGAUUAGAGUGGUGGCUAAAGUCGCUGCCAUCACCUGCGAGUGGGAGAAGGGUUUGGGGUUAGGAGGAAGGAGGAGGAGGGAGGAGAAGGGAGGUGGAGGAGGAGGAGGGGGGAGGAAAUAGAGGGGAGGAGGAGAGAAAGAGAAAGGAGACAGGGGGGGGAAAUGGAGGGAAUAGUGGUGGGUCAUGUAAAAUUUUAAAAAAAAAUAUUCCAAAAAAAUUGUAAAUUAUAAAAAUACUCAAAAAUAUAUUUUAAAAAUACCUUUAAAAACAAUUCAAAAAAUAUUUACAGUAAAAGUUUUUCAUAUACACAGUUACAGUAAAGUUUUUGAAAAACACCUCCAAACAGCUAAUCCAAACACCUCCAAAAACAGCUACAGUAAUGUUUUAUGUAGUGUGUCUAAGUUGAAGUUUAGACCCAAUUAGCAGGAUUAGUAGGCAACAUAAGUUGAAGAUGAAACAAAAAAUUAAAAUUAGGAAGCCAAAAAUGUAUGUUUGGAUAAAAGAUUAUCUGAAAUAAAAAUUGGAAUGACAUUGUGAUUUAUUUUUUGUAAUAUGAUAAAUGUAAGGUAAAAAGGUAAUUAGACACACUUUUUUUUUUUUUGGAAAUGGUAUUUGGACUCCUACCAUUUGUUAUAUCAUAUAGUCUAAUCGAUGAAAACUAUAUGAUAAAAAUGAUAGUGGGAGUGCAAAUAACAAAAAGGGGAGUAUAAAUAACAUUUUCCUCUUUUUUUUCAAAUAAUGUUUCCAAACAAAAUUUUUGCGAAUUAGUCCACAAUUUUUUGGUUAUGUGUUGAAUAGGUCCUUCAAGUUUUUUUUUUUUCCAAUUUGUAGUUGACCACCCUUGUAUUAUGGAUUUAUCACGGCACUACCUUUCCCUUUGCAUAAUUGCAUUAGCCAACUCUAACGGUUCAAUUGUUUUUUUUUCUCUUUUUUCCUUUUCAUCCCUCUGUCCUUUCCAUUUCUUUUUCCUUUCUUUUUUGUUUGUACUUGUCCAUUCUUUUGUAUCGCCACUUAUUUCAUUUCUUUUUUUGUUAGCAAUUUCUGUUUCUUCUUAUGCUACCUAGUAGCUAAGUUUCUCCUUUUCGUAAAACUUACUUUUUAAUAUGAAGAAUUGAUUCAUCAUCAACCUAUAUAUUGAAGUAAUGAAUUAUCAAUUGAAGAUGUGAUCUUUAACCGGUACAUAUUGUAUUUAUAGCUAUUUGAUCAAAUUAUUUAUUUUCAAUGUUGCAAUUUAGGUACAUUUAGAAGAAAUCGAAUUGUUUUAUUGGAUGCCUUCAAAUAUAAAGUAUUUUUGCUAAUUACAUUUAAGUGUGUACUAGAAGCAUUUCGCCCAGAGUGCCUUGGUUUGAUAACUAAGAUUGAGAUUUUAAAAAUUAGAGUUCCUGAGUUUAAAUUCUCUUCAUCAUUUCCGCUUCUUAAAUAUCACUCCUUCUUUGUAAGAAAAAAAAAAGCUCUCUGUAUCACGUGUUAAAGACUUUCAAAAGGAAAGAGAAGAAAGAAGAAAAAUGUCCAAAUGUUAGGACCGGGUUUCUAAAGAAAUGGAAGGGGUAAAUUGAAAGAUCGAAAAGUGCAAUAUUAUCAUUUCUAAUAAACCCCUUCGGCCAACUAAGAAUGAUUAAGAAAACUUGAUCAAUUCUAGAAUCAUUCAAUUGGAGAAAACUAAGCUGAUCAGUCAUCCUAUCGUAUGGUUAAAGUUCGAACCACCCGCUUGCUUGGAUUUGCCAUCGUCAAUGGGAAUCAAGGGGCAAUGAUGCCCAUACAUAAUUUUUGGUUUAGUGGUCAUUAGGGGGCAUUCGGUUUGAGGGUGUGGGAAUCAAGAUUUAAAAUGAUGUCCAUUUUAAUUUUUAAAGGCUUGGAUAAUAGGUAUAUAAUCUAGCAAAUUACUAUCAAUCCCUUUUGUAGGUGUGUUACUUUCUCUCUCUAAGUAGGGAGCCAAAAUCACCUUUGGCGGGUGUUUUGAACUUGCUUUUUCAAAUUUCAAAUUUCUCGUACUUUCCUUCAAAAAACAAACAAAAAAGCAAAAAGCAAAACAAAUAUACCUUCUUAGAUCCACAUUGCCUUCUACAUCAAUGGUGAAUUCAAUGGAAUAAUUACGCUUUAUCAUGAUGUUUGUUUAUCCUCUCCAUUUAGUGUUCUUCUUUCUGUAAUUUACAUUCAUUCCAUGGUAGGAUGACUAAAGAUGGCGAUCUAGAAGAUUUCUAAGCUAAGCUUCGAUCAUCUCUCUUUUGAGCUUGCUUUUCUGUUAAAGUUUCCAUUCCAAGUUCAAUUACCAUUUACAGGUCCAAUUUUCCAUUUCAGAUCCAAUUAUCUAUUUCAGAUUCCAUUUUCCAUUUCAAUAAUCUAGCUACUCGGUGUCAGUCAUCUUUUUCCUACUUUUCUUUGGGCUUUAUUGGUGUUUUCUUAUGCUUUCAUAGUUUCUGUUUUUAUUUUUGGACAGGUUACUGGUAUUGAUCUUCAUUUUGUCUGUGUUUAGCUGGGGAAUACUCUAAUAUUGGUUCAGGAUGACUGAGGGAUUAGAAGAAGUUUUGAGAAGAUUUGUUCUGACUGAAGAAGAGGUCGAUGGUUUCAGGGAGUGGCUAAUGUCAAAUGAGUAUCAUUGGAAAGGUGGUGGGGGAGAAGACUGCAAACAUAUCAGGUGUUAAAAGUUUAACGAAUAAUAUGUGCCUUUUGCAAGGAAGUUAAAAGUAGUUGAGAUUAGGGUUAAUAUGUUUCAGUUUAUAUUCAAUAAUACUCAUGAUAUGGAGCGGGUACUACGGGGGAGACCAUGGAUAUAUGAUAAUUUGCCGUUGGUAGUAUUACCCUGGAAUGAGGGGUUAGAACAGAAUGAUGAAGCUUUUAAUAGGACUUGGAUUUGGGUUCAGCUAUGGAAUUUACCUAUCCACUGGAUUACCAAGGAAAUUGGUAGGAAAAUUGGGAGGGUUUUCAAUUUUGUAAAUGAAGUUAUAAUUCCAAAUUGGGAGGGGGGAAGGAAGGGAAACAUCUAAAAAUUGUGGUGGAGUGGAGUUAUCUAAACCAAUGAUGAGGGGAACUAUAGUGAAGCUAGAUGAUAGUACUAGAUGGAUAGAAUUUAGAUAUCAGAAAUGUCCUAAUUUCUGCUAUUAUUGUGGGAUUAUGAGACAUAAUGAGAGAAACUGCAGGGUGAAAGGAUUUAAUAUAAACAAGGAAGCUCAAUAUGUAGCUUGGUUAAGGGCUAGUAAUGCUAGGAGCUCAACCAGAAGACAGAAUAACUCAAGUAAUGUGGAAAGUAAUGGUGGUGAAGGCUCACAACUGAAUAAGGAGUGGGGAGAAAGGGAGCAGGAACAACUCUUGUUACCCUGAAAACUAGUUGAGGUUAAUGUUGACACAAUAAUAAAGGAGACCAUGUAGGAGGAAACUAAGGAUAGGAAUCAAGUUGAGUUGAUGGAAGUUACUAAGAGGGAGAGUUGUAUGAAGUCUGGAUGUAAAAAGAAGGGGGAUGAACUAAAGGGAAUGAGUAAUGUUAAUAAAGAUUUAAACUUAAUGGCAGAAGGGGAAAUACUGAAAGGUAGCCAAAGAGAGGAUUUCAACGAUAAGGAACACUUUGAUUCUAUAUGGAUUGAUGGAUCUGUUAUAAAAACCAAUGUAAGUGAGAGGGGGGAAGGGUAUAGUUCCUGCAAAUAAAAAACAGGAUCAAACUAAUAGUAUAGGUAUGAGAGUUGGUAAGUAUAAGGGGAAUAGAGGGUGGAAGAGACUAAUUCGUGAGGUGAGUAAAAGAGUACCUCUGAGCGAAAAGAAUGAGGUUAUGGAAAUUGACAAUAAGGGGAGGAAAAGGAAACUGAGCGAGAAUGCUGAUAAAGAGAAUGACAGAGGACAGGGGAAAAUCCAGAAAAAGAGCGAGACAGUAGAAAGUGAAACAGGCCUGGAACAAACAUCUGAGGCAGUGGAGUCCUACCUUAAUGGGGCUUCCAGGUCUCAAUGAAAGCUCUGGUGUGGAACUGUCGAGGUGUAGGGAGCCUCUUGACAGUUCCCUAGUUAGAGGAGAGUGUCAAACUCCACUCCCUUAAGUUGAUUUUCUUGUCUGAAACAAAAAACAGAAAGGAUGUUAUGAAUAAAAUGAGACUAAAGUUAAGGUAUGAUAGGCUGUUUGUGAUUGAUCCAGUGGAAAAAGUUGGUGGACUGGCAGUAAUAUGGAGGAAUGAACUGCAAGUUUGUAAAGUGCUAUAUACUAACUUUACUAUUGAAAUGUUGCAGGAAAGGAAUGGUGCUAGAGCUAGAUGGUGGCUGUUAUGUGUAUAUGCCAGUAGUGAGGAUCAGAUUAGUGAGAAGCAGUGGAAGAUUAUAGAGGAUAGGAAAAGCUUAUGGGGUCAGAAUUGGGUAUUGACAGGUGACAUGAAUGAUAUAUUGUCUAAUGAUGAGAAGUGAGGAGGUAGUAGAAGGCCAGAAAGAAGUUUUCAAACAUUCAGGGACUUUGUUAACAAUAAUCAACUUAUUGACAUUGGGUUUGAAGGAAUUCCAUGGACAUGGUCAAAUAAUUGGGAAGAGGGGAAGGAAAUUAAGAAAAAAUUGGAUAGAGUCUUAUGUAGUAGACAGUGGAAGAGAGAAAAUGAGAACGCUAAAUGCCUGCAUAUCCAGAAUGAUGCCUCUGACCAUACUAUGCUGCUGUUGGAUACUGAUUCGAAGGGUAGGAAGUAGAAAAGGAGGUUUUUCUUUGACAGGAACUGAUUAAAAUAUAAAGAAGUAGGUGAACUCAUUAGCAGGGUAUAGGGAAAACAACGGGAUGGCUCAAGAAUUUUUAAACUACACCAAAAGAUAAAGAGCUGUAGAGUAGCUCUCUUGAACUGGAAUAGGCAGAGAGAUACUAAUGCAAAAAAAGAGAUUAAGGAGCUAAAGCAAAAACUUGCAGAGGUUCAGGGUGAUGGGUAUGCCAAUAAGAAUCGAAGGGUGAGAGAGCUUCAAAAGAAACUGGAAGAGGCUUAUAAGAAAAAGGAGGUGUUUUGGGGGCAGAAAGCGAGAAUUAAAUGGUUGAAGGAAGGUGAUAAGAAUACAAAAUACUUUCAUGCAAGUGUUGCAGAGAGAAAAAGAAGGAAUAAUAUCUCAAGUCUUCAGAAGGAAAUUAAGAAAAAAUUGGAUAGAGUCUUAUGUAGUAGACAGUGGAAGAGAGAAAAUGAGAACGCUAAAUGCCUGCAUAUCCAGAAUGAUGCCUCUGACCAUACUAUGCUGCUGUUGGAUACUGAUUCGAAGGGUAGGAAGUAGAAAAGGAGAUUUUUCUUUGACAGGAACUGGUUAAAAUAUAAAGAAGUAGGUGAACUCAUUAGCAGGGUAUAGGGAAAACAACAGGAUGGCUCAAGAAUUUUUAAACUACACCAAAAGAUAAAGAGCUGUAAAGUAGCUCUCUUGAACUGGAAUAGGCAGAGAGAUACUAAUGCAAAAAAAGAGAUUAAGGAGCUGAAGCAAAAACUUGCAGAGGUUCAGGGUGAUGGGUAUGCCAAUAAGAAUCGAAGGGUGAAAGAGCUUCAAAAGAAACUGGAAGAGGCUUAUAAGAGAAAGGAGGUGUUUUGGGGGCAGAAAGCGAGAAUUAAAUGGUUGAAGGAAGGUGAUAAGAAUACAAAAUACUUUCAUGCAAGUGUUGCAGAGAGAAAAAGAAGGAAUAAUAUCUCAAGUCUUCAGAAGGGUGAUGGAACUUGGUGUGAGUCAGAACAAGAAAUUGAGGAUGAAAUUAAUGGUUAUUUUCAGGAGCUUUUCACUUCUAAUAACCCUCAGCAGGUUGACUCAAUACUGAGUGGAAUUCCCCUAGUGAUCACAGACCAAAUGAAUGCAAUGCUGGUUAGACCUGUAUCAAAAAUGGAAGUCAAAAAAGCUAUUUUUUCACUGCACCCAAACAAAGUCCCGGGCCUGAUGGUAUAACUCCUGUUUUCUUCCAACAAUUCUGGAAUGUGAUAAAAGAUGACUUGAUAAAUGCCAUAUCCAGUUUCUUUCAUUCUGGUCAGUUAUUGAGGAUUGUCAAUGAAACUAUCAUUACUCUUAUCCCUAAAAUAGACUCCCCUGUAUUAGUGUUUCGGUUUAGACCAAUUAAUUUGUGUAAUGUAGUCUAUAGGAUCAUAUCUAAAAUCCUAGUCAAUAGACUAAAGCCUCUACUCAAGCUUUGUAUUAGCCAAAACCAAUCUGCUUUUAUUCCAGGAAGACAAAUCAUUGAUAAUGUUGUUAUUGCUCAUGAACUCAAUCACUGUUUAAAUAACAGGAGAUGUGGAUCUAAUGCUUUUAUGGCCUUGAAACUUGAUAUGUCCAAAGCUUAUGAUAGAGUUGAGUGGCUUUUUAUGCAAAAAAAUUAUGAAAAAAAUGAAUUUUUGUAAAAAAUGGAGAGAUUGGAUUCUGAAGUGUAUGUCAUCUGUUGUUUACUCUUUUAAUUUGAAUGGGAAAAAAAGAGGUCUUGUUACACCUACAAGGGGAAUUAGGCAAGGAGAUCCUUUAUCUAUCUCCAUACAUAUUUUUACUAGUUUAUAAGGGAUUAUCCAGUUUACUUAAGAGAGAUAUGUCUAGUCAGGAAAUCUCUGGACUUAAGAUUGCUCAGCAUAGUCCAACAUUGUCUCACCUCUUUUUUGCAGAUAAUACGUUGAUUUUCUAUAGAGCUAACAAAGAAGAAGCAGAUAAAGUGAUGAAGCUAUUGAAGAUGUAUGGGAAAGCUUCAGGACAAGUUAUAAAUGCUGAGAAGUCACCUGUAUUUUUUAGUAUGAAUACUGGAGAUGAAGUGAAUGUAUAAAUAUUGGAUAUCUUGAGAGGCAUGAAGGAAGCUAGGCAAAGCAAAUAUCUUGGCCUUCUAUUGGUUAUAGGAAGACCAAAAAAACAAGUCUUCAACUACAUUAGGGAGCGUGUCAUCAAUAGGAUGUGUGGAUGGAAGGAGAGACUACUGAGUAAUGUUGGUAAGGAGGUCCUUUUAAAAUCUGUGAUUUUAGCUCUACCUGCUUAUGCUAUGAGUUGCUGCAAACUACCAAAAGGUUUAUAUGUGAAUAUUUGUAAAGAAAUGGCAAAGUUUUGGUAGGGUGAUAGUGAGAAAAAUAGAAAAAUUCAUUGGGUGGAGUAGAGGAAGUUAUCUGAGAUUAAAGGGAAGGGAGGUUUGGGUUUUUGAGAUCUCUAGCAAUUCAAUAUUAUUAUGCUUGCUAAGCAACUAUGGAGGAUCUUGACAAGGCCAAAUCUUUUAGUUAACAGGAUUGUUAGGGGAGGUAUUUUAGAGGAUCUUCCAUUUGGAAAAUGAAAAUUAAUGCUGGGGAUUCCUAGGUAUGGAAAAGCAUUCUAAGUGCAAGAGAGCUAUUGGAAGAAGGGGUGAGGAAGAGAAUGGGGAAUGGCCAGCAGAUUGAUAUAUGGGAAGAUAAGUGGUUACUAGAUUUGGAAGUUGGUAAGAUAAGAUCGUAAGAUAAGAUUGAGAAAACCUCAACAUUGUCAUAUACAAAGAGUCAAUGAGUUGAUUUCUGAAGGGACUUGGAAUAAGGAAUUACUGAGAGAGAUUUUUUAUGAGGAAGACUGUCAAAGAACAACUAAUAUUCCAAUAAGUGAGUGUGGUGAUAAGGAUAGACUAAUAUGGAUGUUCUCUAAAUCAAGGGAGUAUAUUGUGAAAACUGGCUAUGUGGUGGCUAAAGAGUUGCAGAGAAAAGGAAGAAGGGAAAGUCAGUAACAAGGGAGUAGUAGCAGGAAUGAAGCUAAUUCAGGGGUGUGGAGAUUCUUAUGGAGCCUGAACGUAAAGCAUAAGCUAAAACAUUUUGUAUGGAAAUGUCUUCAAAGAAUCUUGCCAGUGAAUGAAAUAAUUAGGAGAAGGAUUGGACAAGGAAAUGAUAGGUGUUGUUGCUGUGGAGAAAGGAUAGAAACUCUUGAACACAUGUUCUUUUUCUAUAAGCAUGCAGAGCUAAUUUGGAAGACUGCUCCAAUUAGCUGGGAUGGGUUAAAGGAAUAUAUAUAUAGCUUUUGGCAUUGGUGGAGUAGAUUUGGAAAUCCAGGAACCAGAUACAAUUUAAUAGGGAAGGGAGAUGUCCAGGCAUGACAAUUAAUAAGGCAAUACAAGAAUGGCUAGAAUUCUAUAAUGUAAACACAAAAAAGGGAGAGGAUGAAAAAUGGUACAGGGGCGUGGAAAAAGGAAAUGUGAAUGGGACCCACCACCAGAAAACUUCAAGUGCUUAAAUGCUAAUGCAGUUGUCAAACAAAAUGAUGCAAAAAUAGGAUGGGGAGUCGUGGCUAGAUGCAAGGAAGGGAAGUUAAGAGGAGCUUGGGCUGGUUGUGAAGGUAGAAAUGGUGUUCCAGCUGUUGAGGAGGCAAGAGCAAUCCGGAAAGCGCUUAUGUUUGCCAAGAUGAAUGGAUGGAGGAAUAUUAUAAUCCAAUCAAACUGCAAGAGAAUUAUUGAUCAAAUCAGAGAGGGAAACCUGAAUGACCAUUUAGCAGGUGCUGUCCUAUUUGACAUUCUAGUGAUUAGCAAGGACUUUAGUUCUUGUCUCUUCUCUUUUAUUAAGAGGGAAGGGAAUAAUGUGUGCCACCAUUUGAUAAAGUUUGCCUUAAAUUUAGUUUCUGAGAUAGCUUGGAUGGAUUCAUUUCCAAGUUGGCUAAUCAGUCUAGCCAAAGAUGAUGUAGGAGCCUUUGCUCCAGAUUUGUAAUACUUUUGUUGAAGUAAUGAAUUCUUAUAUCGUUUGGAAAAAAAAAAAGAUAAUAGGUAUGGAGUUGGAGAUUUUGGAAUGAAUUCUAAAAUAGCAACUCUCAAUUCUUGAGUAAAUUGGUGGGUUUUGUUAAUUCCUAAAUUUGAUUCCAAGAUAAUUGUAUAAAAUAUGUCUUUUGAAUUCACCUACAAAAAAUGACUAUAGUAAAUCACAAUAUUAUUAAACGAUAGACACAAAUAUGAGAAUUUCUAAAAAUCAAGGAGGUGGGCUACACAAAUAUGAAAUCGCUAAAAUCAAGAAGAUGAGUUAUUCAUUAUUUUGUUUCUGUCACUUAAUUCAUAUGUUGUUUGUAUAGGAUUUCAUCUCCUCUUUUAUGGCAUCUAAAAACUUUCCCCUCAUUGCCCUCACACACCAUAUGGACCUUGUUUGGCAAGUGAGUUUUUUGGGUGUUUGUAUAAAAUUUUACUGUAAUUUACUGUAGAAGUUUUUUAAAAAAAUUUUGAAGUGUGUUUUGUUUUUAAUAUUUUGAAGUGUAUAGUUUAAAACUUUGAAAAGUUUUUAAGAUUACUGUAACUAAAGUUUUUAAAAAACUUAUAGCAGACAAACUUGAUAAAAAACUUAUCUGCCAAACAAGGAUGCAUGACAUCUCAAAAACUUCCACCUUUCAUCUCACUAUCAUCACUCCUUCCUCACCCUCAAAAUCCUAACCCUAAACCCCCAAACCAAAUUUCAUCCAUCACACCAAGCUCUGCACAUCCUCACCUCCAAGUCCAAAACAGUACCAAAAAUUUACCAUCACGAUCUCAAGGGAUUCAACAUCAACUUGAGGAAAGGAAAAAAAAAAACUGCGUCGGAUUGUGUUAAUGUCACCCCAGUCAAAAUCCUUUAAAUCUAUUAGCCAAGCCAUUGACAAGUUCUAAAUUUGCAUUGUAUCAAUUGACAAGAAAAAACGAGAAGGUGAAGUUGCUUCAUCAUUUGGGUUAUGACUGGAAGUUGGAGAGAAAUGAACAAAAAACAAAAAAACCAGGAGGUCUUGAUUGGUACUGAUUCUUUAUAAUUCAUUUCGUAUCCGAUUUCAAUUCCGGAGGAUGAACCAAGCACCCCUCACUUUUAGGUCUUCCAAUCCCAUUGAUCCUAUUAAAGAGUAAUUUGAGCACCCCUUACUUUUAGUUCUUCCAAUCCCAUAGAUCCAAUUAAAGAGUAAAUUGGGCACUAUCAUACUCAUUCUUGAUGUGGCCCAUCUCAAAAUUAAAAAAAAAAAUCCAAUUAAACCCAACACAAUAAACAAGCUUAAGAAAGAAAAAACGCCAUUCUUUUCAUCUCCUGCCUCAAAAUAUUCAUCUGUUCAAUUACCUCUUCUUUAUCAAACUUUUUUAAAUUCUUGCUUUGGAGGUUCAUAGAAUAUCUCGCAAAGAAGAUGUAGAGACAAGAGAGAAAUAGAAGAGGGGAGAGAUUUGUUUGCUGGUGUUCAAGAAAAGUUGAAAGGAUUAAAUCAUGAUGGAAUUGAGAAAAAAUGACCACGGUCAAAAGGAAGAUGGAAAAGAGAAAGAAGUUCGAUUUUAUAACUAUGAUUGACUGAAGAUCUAAUUUUGAUAUUUUUUGCGAAUUUUGGCUCAUAUUUAGUCUAACAAUCUUUAGUUAAUUGUUGCGGGUUCUGAUGGUUUAGAGACAUGGGCGGCUGUCAAGAAAGUUUUAGACUUUUAGUAGCAUGAGAUGCCAUGAAUUGCUACUACAAUUGGUGAUGGAAAGCUUCAGACUUUCUAGAUAGCAGAAAGGACGAAGACGAUGGAAAGAGGGACCAAAGAAAGAAGAAAAGAAUAGGAAAAGAAUAACAAAAUAGAGAUGGUGAUUCCAUUCUAGCGCAGGGAUCAAACAUCAGUUUUAGGAAAAAAAAAAAAUUUUGCUCAAGUCAUUAUCAUUGAAGGGGUAUUGGAUGGUGAUUGGAAUUGCCAUUGCCUGGUAGUUUCAAAACUCGUGGUGAAGCUUUGCUCUUUGGGGUACAUAGACUGCGAUGCGAGUAGUUUUUCUUUAACUUGGGAAGUUUCAGCUCAAGUUUCCUUUAACAAUUUUGAGAGUGAUCUUACUCAGCCUAUAAUAACGAAAAGCAGAGAAUUCAAGAAUUUUAUAGGCUAAGAAUCACCCGUGUCCCAAGAAUAUCCGUCCAUCCAGCUGGCCGGGGGCCACAAAAAUUCUGCCUCCAUUUGUUUGUCGAAGAUAGCAAGUAAACCUCCUCGACCAGUUUCGUGUCCAGUUUGGAUUCCAGUUUUCUUUUUCUUUUUUUUUUCUGAAGUUUGUAUAGAAAAAUGUACUGUAAUAAUUUGAUAUAUGUAAAAUAAAAAGUUAAUUAAGAAAUGUAUACAUGAAAAGCGUAAAAAAAUUUUGGUAAAAACUGCAAUCCAAAUAUAUACCACCAGUGUUGCAGAUAACAAUAAAACAAAGAAAGAUGAAAAAGGCGAAAGCAUACUCUCAUAAACUACAUUCCAAUAGACAUAUUUCGUUUUUAGUUUUCUUUCAGCCACAAAGCUGAUUUACUUCCUUAAAUAAGUAUCAAAAACACCUAAACCAAUUGUUAGCAUUGAUUCUUGACUUUUGGUGGUGAAAAAUAGAAGGGUAAUAUACGUUGGGGUUAAGCUUUAUAUUUAUACUACACUUUUAGAAAAUUUUGAGGUAAAAAAUUUAGAAAAAAAGCUUAUAUUUAUUUCAUCUUCAAUGCUAUUUGUUGGACUGCUACCAUCGUAAUAAAAAAAUUUUUGUAUUUUCACCGCGAUUUAUUCUCGCUGUUUUUAUGAGACAAAGUAAAUAUGAGUUUUUUUAAUCAUAGUGAUAGCAUUAAAGACGAAGCAAAUAUAAGCUUUUUUUUAAAAUUUUAUUUUUAUCUCAAAAUUUUCUAAGAAUAUAGUUUGCCCUCAAAUUUUAUUUAGAACAUUAUGUUAACCUUAGUUUGAAUGGUGAUUUUGUAAUUUCAUAAUAAUUUUAUUUGAAAACUUCAAUUAUUCAAGUUCAACCAUUAAAUCUAACUGAAAAUCUAAUAGUUCUAUUUAGAUUACAACGAUGAUAAGGAGUUAAAGUAUAGAUUUUCAAAUCAUACGGAACUAAAGUGUAUAUACACCGAAUUAUAGGGAUUUUUUUUUUUUCUGUACUUCAACCCAAAAUAGAAUGACGCUUAAGAACGAAAAUGUUCAUUCUUGAUUACGUAAGUUCGUUGUCGGGAGAAUGAAGCAAUCCAACCCAUCAAGAGCCAAAGGGACCCUACGAAAUACGAGUUGCCUAAUUUUUCAUGACUCGAAGUCAAGGUCUUGAGAUUCCGUUUUCAAGAGAAGUCGGAGAGGAUAUCAUAUAAUAUAAGUGAAGGAAGACCUAAGAAGAGGCUAAAGUCGUCGGGGUACACACGAGUCCAGAUUACUUCAGCGGCACAAGGGGGACAGGCAAUAGAAUAGAACAGGUCAAAUCGCGUGCAUGUUCACAGCGACAAAAAACUAGCUUGGUGAGUACGUGCAAUUGGACCUGAUCUUGAUCCAUCCUGAAAAAGAUAGAAGUGAUGUAUUUUGUUGCUUAGGCCCCAUUACUUAGCUGUUUUUCCAACUCAAAGCUGAAAAUUACUAUAUAUUCACUAUUUUUCAGUGCUCAGCUGUGCGAAAAUGAUAGAUGGGUUGAGGAAGUCUAAACCGCAUCAUAACAAGAAGUGGUGGUGAGGUAAACGGGUAAGAUAAAAAAUUUGAUCCUCACUGUUUUUGUUCAUUUUAGUACAUGUUAUUUUGAUCUGUUUAACGGAUGCCCUAUAGGCACGAGUUAAGAUGUAUUUGAAGUGUUAAAUUUUUUAAAAAUAUAAAAUUAAUUAGAAAAAUUGUAUAAAUGGAAGAGGUUUACUUAGGGAAAGUGUAUAAAUGCAAGAGAAAGUAGUACUUGUCAGUGUGCGUAUAUAUAUGAUAGGUUAGGUGAAAAUAUGGAUGUGUUAACGAGUGCACAUAGAUCACCUAUUAGAAAAUCCCUUUAUUAUUGAUUAGCCUCACAAAGUGUUUGUCAUAAAUCACAUGUUUUCCAUAAUUACCUCUUCUUUCUCUAACAUGUUAUUGUUGCAUGAUAUGAAGAACAUUUCAAUAAGGUCAAAUGGUUGGGCAGUAAGUGGACAUUUCAAUAAUGUCUUUUGGAAAAAUCCAACUCAAUUUUUUAUUCGGAUUUUGAAUUAUGUAGGUGCAUUAUUACAAAGUCAUAAUAAAUGGCCCUUUUUGACUUAUGAUCAAAGAUUAAAGGCAUAGAGGAUAACAAAUUUCAUCAUGAUACUUAAUUAGGCAAUAAAUUCUUCCAACUUGCAAAUUUCAAGAGCUCAUGUGUUGACUUUUGCCUUCCUCACAAGGUCGUCUCAGUUGGAUUUCAACCUAGAUUUUAUACACCGAACGACUGAGUAAAUUUUACACUUAAAAUUGUCUCCAUUAUUAUACACAAAACGAUGACCUUCGAAAUAUUCUUAGUUUCAAAUACAAAAUGUCAAAACUCAAAACCAACUCUUACAGCCCCUGAACUCACAAUUUAGUCUAAAUCAAUUCCCCAUAAUCCUAUCUAGAACCUAGUUAACAAAUACAAAAUGUCAAAAUAUUCUUAGUAACAAAUAAUACAUAAUGUCAAAACGAACUCUUACAGCCCAUGAACUCACAAUUAAUUAGUCUAAAUCAAUUCCUCAUAAUCCUAUCCAGAACCUAGUUCACAAUUUAGGGAAGCUGCAUAUGGUCAUUAAACUGAUCCCACUCCCACAUCCUUCUUAAUUCACCGUCCAUCUCCAAGUGCUUCCCUUCACCAUCUACACGAUCAACCGAAACCUCCUCUGGUGAGGCUGAAAUUUCUACUGAGUUUUUUCUGUCCAUCGUUGCUCCCCUCUGAGUCUGAGAACGAACAUCUUUAUCAUCAUCUUCAAUGGUGGGUACUACUGCUUCCCUAGAAGUACCUGCCCCUACUGGCCUUCGAUCAAAUGCUCGAAAGCUUCCUGAUACGAUAUAGACCCUACACAAGCUAACUUCAUACCUUAACUGCAGCCCACCAGAAAAAGCAAACGUAUUUACCUUAGGUCUGCCAUUAGAAUUAUGCGGUGCAAGUGGCAAGCCGCAAAGCUUUACAUGCUCGAGAAAAAGGAAAUCAGAAGUGGCCAAAAAAGAAAGAAAAAGAAAAAAAGAAUGACCAAUAAAUAUCUGCGACUUUAGGUGGUACAGAUUGUUUUCAGCGGGUGUACCUUAGGAAUGACGUGAGUGGAUGAAGUAGACCAUUCUUCCUUAAUAGCUCUAUACUCAUUCAUCUUCCACUUAGUUUUUCUUCCCAUUGGAGCUUUUCCUUUGUAGAAGACCAAGCUUUUCUUCACCCCAAUGACUCUAUUAUCCGAAGAAUAAACAUGACUAGGAGAGCCAGUGGCUUUCCAGUACCCCGAAGCCGUGGUCCGGCUAGGCCUUCCACCUCGAGCUUCUCUUUCUUGUCUCGGUACAAAAAAGAACCAUUGCUCAGCAUCUCCACUGCACAACUCCCCCGACAGCUCUACAUUUUUCAUGAAAACAGAUAAAAAAAAAAACUUAGUCGAAUUUAUACCGAUAACCGUGAAGAAAUGAAAGUAGAUAAUGAAAGCUAGCUAGAAGCCAAAGAAUUCGAACUUGGAAGCUGCCAUGGCUCUGACUCAUAAAUGUUGAUGACUGGGAUGACUCGAUUGAGUUCUUCCACUCUCUUUUCUUCAAGCUUGUUGUGAAGAUAGAAAGAAACUAACUCAUCUUCAGUUGGAUAAAAUCGAAAGCCUGGGAUAGUUUCUUUGGACAUUCCCUCUUGCUUUUCUUGUUGCAUAUCCAUGUAUGAUGUUGCUGGCAAGUGGUUGUGGUAUAAAGUUUUAAGAAUUUUAAUUUUUGGUGGGCACUUUUGGAUCACGACUUUUAUAUAGGCAGUGGAAAAAGCGUGUGGGGAAGAAAGGGACAAGGCACGGUAAAGACGGUUUCCGAGUGAAAUGAGAAAAUCUGCUGUGGGAUUUGAGAUAAAGCUUGGAAACGGUAUAAACGCGGCAAUGAAGAGAAAAAGUGGGAAAAUGAUAUGCUGUUGUCCUCCAAUUAAGAGGGUGCUUAGUGAAAUAGCAAUAACUUUAGUUGGAAUCAGUCAGACUUACUUACUGGAGAGGAAGUCUUGCACUCGGAUUUUAAGGGAAAUUAUGAGAAUUAUAUGUGCCAAAUGGACAUAAAUGUAAUCACCAAUUGGGAAAAGGGAUAAUAUCAGAAAUCUCCCUUGAGGUUUCUCCUAAUAUUAUAUCACUUGACACUUUUGAGAUUUUAAAAAUAUCGCGUACCUCUCCUAAUAAUUGUAAAAAGACUAUAUUAACUCUCAUUCCGAUACAUAAUUCACAUAUAAAAUAAAUGGAGCUCAAAAAUAAAAAAGAAAUGAAAAUUACUUUCUUCUUUUUUUUUCUCCAACAUUCUGUCUUACUCAUUUUCUGGAUGACUAUGUAAUAUUUUAUUUAUAAAAUAUAAUAAAUUGAAUUUUGUUUAUCUUUUACUUUUUGUGAUUGUGAUAGAGUGGGGUAUGAUUUAUUUACAUAUUUUGAUUUGAUUUUUACAAUAAUUAGUACAAUUUAAAGGUUUGUGCAUGGGUUGAGAAAAGUAGAAAAAAAUAUAAAAUUCAUAAGAAAUCGGUUAUAAGCAUAUAGAGUUAAUUGGUGCAAGUGUAUUUAUUUACAAAUAUCUUUUUUACUUUUUAAAUUUAAAUUUAUAUGGGUUAUAGCAUUAUAAUGUGGAAGUACUACUAGAGAUUAUUUUUUAAGUGAUGAUUUUCUUAAAGUAAACAAAGUGGUUUAGAAAAUUUUUUAAUAGCAAGUAAAAGAGUAGUUUAGGAUUUUUAAAAAUUUUGUUACACAAAUAAUAAAAGUAAAGAAGGUAAGUGAUUUUUUAAAACUUUAGAGGGACCAGAUGAUAUUAAGAGAAAACUUAGAGGAGGUUUCUGAUAUUAUCCCUUGGAAAAAAAAAAAAAAGGAGCAAAAUUUUGGUUCUCAACCACGUACGCUACUGACCGCCUCACCAGGUCAAAUUUGGAAUGGGGGGACAGUUUAGUACUAAGAGAAAAAAUUCUUACUUUCGUAAGAAAAUGUCAGAAAAAAAAAUAGUACUAAGAGAUUAACUUUUAUGAAUUUUUUUUUAACGGCUGCUUAAUAGACAAUUUUUAAAGCAUCUGAAAUUCUGAAUCACAUUUAAGCUAAGCUAUUAUGCGAAUGAACAUAUUAAUAAUUAUUUUCCUAUCUUGUAUUUAUAAUUUUUUUAUUAUAUUUAUGUUUUCAAAAAUAUUUAUAUUUGAACUACAUUUUAACGAAUACUCUAUUGCUACUUAUUAGAUAGAUCCUAAUUUCUAUUAUAAACUUUUCUACCAUUGCACCUUAAACCAUGAAGGACAUGAUGGGACGGAUGCUAUUGAAGUAUUGGUAUAAUUUUUUUUUUUUUUUCAGUUAGGGAUAUCCGGGCCUACACCCGACUAUUCCCCUAACCCUGAGGAGAGCGGGCUCCACCGAUCCUCAGGAGAAUACCCCAGGCUGCCCAACCUCGAAAUCGAAAUCAGGACCGGCGCCUUAACUAAGAACGCGAAACCCAGCCGAGCAACCCGUGGGCUAUGUUUUCAGAACCGGACCGGAUAGCGACUCGGCCGAGGUCAGGGGUCAGGGGUCAAUGGGUUCGACCGGGGGUCGAUAGGGGUCGAACCGGAUGACGUCAUAAAUAAAAAUUAUUUUACAAUUAAAAUGUUAUAUAUAUAAUAUCUAAUAAUAUAUUGAUAUUAAUAAAGGCAUAUUCAUAUAUAUUUGAUGUUUCAAAUAUAUUUAACAAGAAAAUACAAAGAAAUUAGAACAAUCAAGUAGCAAUUUAUAUUAUUUAAUAAAUAUUAACAAGUUUAGAAUUAAAAUUAUGAAUUUAAUUGAAAAAUAACAUCAAAUUUUAGGACAAUAUUUAUAAAGUAUCAAAUAUUUGAGGUAUAUCAAUAAGUUUUAACAAUUUAGGGGGUCAAAACAUAAUAUUAAAAAGUUUGAAUUUUUUUUUUUAAAAAAAUACUGUUGAACCGGAAAAACCGGUUUUUUCCCGGUCAAACCCGGUCAAACCCGGUUUUUGACCGGCUUUGACCGGGUUUUAAAUUUCCGGUUUUCUAAUGUGACUCGGACCGGCUACCUGGCCGGUUCCCGGUUCAACCGGUUCGACCGGCCGGUCCGGUCCGAGUUUGAAAACAGAGCCCGUGGGGACAAGUAUUGGUAUAAUUGUUAUACCUUUUUAAUUGAUUUACCGUACACUUAAUGAUUACGUUAUAGGUGGGAGUUUUGUUUAAGUACCAAUUCAAUAUAUGUUCGCAUAUAUAAGUAUGAUUAAUCUUUCGUACAUUGACAAUGUAUACACUAUCAACAGGAAUGAUAAUUAUGUAAAAUUUAAAUUUAAAAUUUAACUUUUAUAUACAUGUCAUGAAUCACACGGUGAUAGUGUAGUAUACAUUAUCAAAAUAUUUAAUUGCCCCUAAAAACGAAUUGUACAUGUCCUGACCCAAAAAAUGAAAUUAUGAAUCAUCGAUUGCAGGAAGUUGGGACAUAUCACCCCGUUGACUCGUCACCUCUUCAAAAUUGUAAUAUAUCCAUUGAAGUUUCAAUUUUUUUAUGGGCUUUUUGAAGGACAAAGUAGCAAAUUGCGUACGUUAUAUGCUAUAGAUUGUAAGCUCUAGAGUAAAUUUCUGAGGUAGUCUUAUUAUACAUACAUAUAUAUAUAUAUAUAUAUAUAUAUAUAUAUAUAUAUAUAUAUAUAUAUAUAUAUAUAUAUAUAUAUAUAUAUAUAUGUAGGGAUAAUUUCAGAAACCUCCCUUGAGGUUUCCAGCAAUUAUAGAGAGCUCCCCUCAAGUUUCAAAAAUUACACCUACGUCCCUUGCUUUUAAGGUUUAUGUAAUAAUAUAGAUUCAAUAGCUUAUAAUUUUUCACAAAUAUCCUAAAAUACCUUUCUUUAGAGAACAAGAUAAAACAAAACAACGUUUUAAUCUUUAAUUUCUUGUAUGUGUUAUACUCACUAAAUCAAACAAAGUCCAGUGACUUCAACUCAUCUCAAAAUUUAUUAGUUGCUAAUUCUUGCUUAAUGCAACUCACUACCACCACUACCAAUAUCAAACUAAGAAAUGCCCCCCAUGUGACUAAAAAUAUAAUUCAUCAUUGCUCUAACACUUAUAGAAAUAGAGACAAAAUUCUAUUUUUAUAAUAAAACCACAAUCAAUAGGUAAAUAAAAGAGAGAACCAAUGAGUAAUUGCUAUACUUUUUUGCUUAACAAACAUAAUAAUCACUUCUUUAUGUUCCAACUCUCAAUUUCAUUUUUUUCCCUAUAUCACUGCCACUUUUUUCAUCUUCCCCUAUUUUGGCAAUAAAAUCCAUAGUUUGUACCUUGUUAAUUUGGUAACUUCAAUGGGCUAACAUUUGUAAAGAGUAAAACUAUUGGAAAAAAAAGAAUGGGUCUAAAAUUUUUAUAAUAAGAAAGAGACAGGAAGACAAAAAAUACAGAUAAAUUUUGGAGAUGGUAAAAAAUUAAUAAUGGUGUGAUUGGUAACAAUGGAGCAUGAUAUUUGAUGAGAGGGAGAAGCGAUUGUAGGAUAAAAAGAGAAAAAAAUAUGAAAGAGGAAACGAGGGAGGGAGGAAGAUAUGAAAAUUAGAAAAUUGAUGAAAAUUAUUUUUUUGAAAUUAGAAAAUGACAAGUAGAAUAAUAAGCAGUAUUUUUCGCCUUUAGAUGCCCCUUUAUGAAUUAACUAUUAAGUGAAGGACAUUUUAAUCAUUUGAUUAUACCGAGGAAGGUCUAAGCAAUUAUUGAAACCUCAGAAAGCCAGAGUGAAAUUGUCAAAAACCUCAUGGUAGGUUUCUGAAAUUGUUCCUUAUACAUAUAUGUGGUGGAGAAUAUAAUAGGUGGAGAAAUUGUGGUGGAGAAAUUGUCCCUAUAUAAUAGGAAAAUAGAUCGACACCUAUCAUAUACCCCACAUUCUUGGAUGGUUAGAGACCCCUAAAUGCUCGAAGCAAAGUUUCCUCGGACGGGUUAUACAAGAAGCAUUUAAAAUCUCACCUUUUCCUAGCUGCACUAUUGGAGCAAUUAAUGGGUUAGUUUAAUUUUUUAAUGGCAUUAGCAAAAUCCAGAUAAUGCACAAAUUCUUACUUUACCUUCAUUUUCCCUAUUCUGUUGACCAAGGGUUAUCUGUCUAAUAUACUUUGGAGCAAGGACUAUACCAUCAGGUGAUUAGAAGCUUCAUUUUUUUUCCCCUAAUCAAUGCAUCAUAAUGAUAAGCGUACACUAGUGUAGAUUAAGGUUAAAAAUUCUCUGAGUCUGGUACAAAACAACUGUGUUGGAUGGUAGUCACUGACUUCUUGGUGGAACAUAUUACUGCUUCACCAUUCUGUUGUGCUUGACAAUAAGCAAGUAAUACUCUGUUAUCGAUGCAGCUGUUAUGUAAGUGGGUAAUCUAUAAGAACUUCUACAAGUGAUUUAUGAUUAGAGAGCAUACCCUACUCAUGUGAUGGUGAUUGGCGUUAAAAUCAGCUAAUUUUCCUUUCUACCAAAAAAAAAAAAAAAAAAAAGCAAGCAAUACUACAAGAAAAGGGGGAGGGAAUGGAUUAAGGAGUGAAAAUUCUACAUAAAUGUCUUGAUGAUAGUUUCUUAGCUCAAAUUUUUAAAAAAGACAUAGGGCCAAUAUUCUAUCUAAACUUCAAAUUUGUAAGUGUAGCCAGGGGAUCGAAAUGGAAUCUCAUACGUUUGUGGUUCUAGUAGAAACGUUUUGAGAGUUCCAUGCUCUUGAAGAAACCUUUUGAAAAGGAUUCAAUGACUAUUUAUUGAGGCUUUCAAUAAUGCAUACAUCAAUUAGCUGAACCAAACAACUGUGGCUGUAGUGUGAUCAUUUUGGCUUCCUUAAGUUCUUUUUUGACAACAGAAAUGCAUAAAAGAAGAAACGAAAAGGAGUCAUGUAGGAGACGACAUAUAGAUACCUACUUAUUUUUUCUAUUAAGACUUAGGCAAUGUCCAAUGGUGGCAUCUCAAAGCAGGCAUCAAAUCGUACUCAGAUAGGUGUAAGUGGUAUUCAAUGCAGACAACAACCAUCUUGUGAACCCUUCGUUUUAUGCUGGUCAAGAGGUGUCAAUAUAGCCAUGAAGAUGUUACUUAUACAUAAUUUCAGCAAUUAUAAAUUUUAAUAUUACAAAAAAAAAGUUAUUAUUUUGCAAAAAUAAAAAUAAAAACUUUUGAAUUUGUAGAUGUGCUCCUUCAGAACUUUUAGAAUAUUCUGUACAGACUUCUUGCAUGUUUCAUUUCAAAGUGAAAAUCCUGCUCAGUCUGUAGAUAAUAGGUGUGUAUGCCCAACUUGGAUGCUGUAAGACCUUCCUCCAUUCAGAAAGUCUCUUUAUUUCCCGUGAGCAAACUUUCAAAUAUUUUGCAAGCAGUACUCUUGGCUAUUAAGAAGUUUUGUUAGAUAAAGAGAAGUUCAAAAGUUUUGUCCAACAAGUGCAUCUGGGAGAUUUCAAGAUUUCUUUUGUCAUUUCAAAAUUAGGUACAAGAGAGAAUGUGCAACAAGUAGACAACUUCUCAUAUAUGCAAAAUAUUUUGUUCAUCAAAUCAUGAUGAAAGAGAGAGAGAAAGACAGAGAGAGAUAUUAAAAUGCAAGCCAAAUGUAUAGUAGAAAUGAGGCACAUAGAAAUACAACAACUCAAAAUCAGUACAUUAUACACACACACACACAGCUAAGAUGAUGAUAAGAGCAAGACAUCAAGUCUUCUCUUUUUACUCAAAAAAAAACACACAUAUCAUAUAUAUGUGUACUGCUUAGUUUAUGGAGUUCAUAAUACUACGAACAUAAACUUCAAGGAAUUCCAAUAAUGGGAAUGAAAGGAACGUAGUAGCUAGAUGGUGCCAGUCCCCAUUCCCUUGGUAGAGGGAGAUCAACUGUCUUGGAUGAACCAAAUUCCAAGUCUACAGAUGCACAUUCUGCAUGCUUCUCUGCAGGGCAUGAUUUGUAGAAGUUAAGGGGCUCUGUAUUUGUGUAGUAGUCAUGCCCUUCAACCUUUUCAACCUUAGAAAUUGUCUUCUUUCCUGAAGUAUAGAGCAAGCUUGGACCUCCUAGGAUCUUGGCAAGGCAUUUUAGUGAAUUAGGAGAAGUUGUAGUACCCUUGGCAAGAUCAGUCUCAAAAGUACCAUCUUCUUUUGUGGUAGCCACAUCCACCUUUUUCACAUUGCUGCACUUCACUACUAUCUUAAUACCUGAAAAGAAAAAACAAAAAAGGAAUUGGCCUCAAAUAAAAAAAAAAAAAAAGAAGAAGAAGAAUUUAUGUAAUUUAUAUCUCUAUCGCACUUUGUGAAGAAUAAAUAUCUGUGACAAUUCAUGCAAGAACCGACUGUGUUGACUAGAGAAAUGCACAAAAAAUACCAAAAGUAUUGGAGGCUAACCUUUUUUUAAAAAAACUAAAAAGCCCAAAUGUUUGAUAGACUAACCAGAUAGAUCACUGUGGCCAUCACAGUCUAGACAGGUGACUGAGCCCCUAAGGACAUUACUUGUGGAAAGUUCAAUUCUUGCAAGAGCCAAAGUGAAGAAGAGAGCUAUGAUAACUUGACAGGAUGCCAUGGUGAUGGCGGAUACAAAUAAAACUGAGUAUGAAAAAUUGGAGAAGCCAAAGGACGCUAUAAAUAGUGCUGGUAGAGUAGUAAGCAGAUAGUAAAUGAAGGGCCCCAAGCCUGAGUUGGUAGUUGGUAUGGAUGAAGCCAGCAGUUACAUAAAUUCAGCAGAGUCCUUACUCCUUGGGUACUAUAGAAUGCAAUGUGCCUUGAAUUGCAUGUCAAAAAAUCUUUAGAAAUCAACGACAUUUGAAUAGUUUAUGGUGAAUUCGUAAUGGCACUGAUCAACCACUCGGAUAUCUGUGGGACAUGAAUAGUAAAUGUUAGUACUUGUUUUUUUUUUUUUUUUUUCAGACACAGGGGUAUCCGAAUCUUCGACCCGACUAAUCCCCCUGCGACCCGAGAGGGGAGGCCCUAUCCUCUCGGACGCGGUAGCCACAGGCAAAACUCGAAACCUGGUAAACCUUGCUACUAGAAGAGCUAACCCAGGGAGGACUUAGUAAUUGUUAGUACUUGAAAUGGUCAAAUAUUGAACUACCAGUUUGUACGUACCAAGCUGUACCAACAGCCCAUGCAGAAAAAAAAAAUUAAAAAAAAAAAAAAAAGUUUACGAGGAAAGGAGGUCAUUGCAUUCUAAGGUCAGGGCAUGAGACUGGUACGGUAAGAGAUUUACACUGUUCGUUAGAUAACCUUUUACAUUGACAAAAAAAAAAAAAAAUUAGAUAACCUUUUAGGAUUUUGACAUUUUGUGGUCGAGGGAAUCUUUGUUAGAUAAAAUCUGAUCCAAUUCCAUUUUUAGUUUAUAGGCUUUGACACGGUGGGGGUUAGAUAAUGUAAAAUACAGCAGACAACUAAAAUCAGUACCAGAACUUGGAAACCUUGGUUAAAAUUUUUCUCUUCCCAUUUGUUUAAGUGUACUAAAUUUAUCCUGCUAUUAAGUUUAGGAUUCAAAUAUUGAGCCUGAUAGUUAGGGAUUGGAAGAGUGUAGGGAGGGGGUGGGAGGGUAAAAAAAAAAAAUAGUGUACUAAAUUUAUCUCUUUAAUUGGAAUUUUUGUAUUGAAUAUCCAUUUCCAGUCUUUAAAUGCUUAACAAACUUUUCCUACGGAGCAUUACCAUUCUGCAGAAAUUCUUGAUGAAUCCGAAGAACGAUACCGACCCAACUCAAAGGAAAUCCUUAAAUAUUCUAAGGCACCUGGGACUUGGGACUGAUGCAUAUCCAUCCCAAUGCCAGCUGCAAAAGCAGGCUUAUUUUCCUUGUAUUUAAUACAGUCACACAAUCUUGGUGAUGAUGAAUGGAAUGAAAAAAAAGGCUUGAUGAUGAUAGAGAUGUUGAUGCAUGUUAGAUGAGAGGGCACAAUACAAAAUUAUGGUUCUGUUGUUUAAGUGAAGAUUUUUCCAAUGAGUGUCAAAUGGAUAGGAGUAUAUGACUAUACACAUAUUUAUAUUUUGGAUUUGACACUCAUUAAGGAAGGUUUCAAGUGUUAUUAUUUUAUAAAUAUAAAUUUAAUUUAAAAAAGUUUUAAAAUACAAUGAAUGUAAUAAAUACAAAUAUGUACAUUUAUAUAAUAAGUCAGGUAUAAUAUAAAUAUCAUAGCGGAUGCUUAGUCCCAUUAGAUUGAUUCUUCUAUUUAUUAUCUCUAAUAUUUAGACACUUUUUUUAUUCAAAUUUUAUUUUUCCCAACACUUGAGGCCCUUUUUCUGGGCCACCUAUUGUACAUAGAAUUGAAAGGUGAGUCAAACUGUUCGAUACUCGAAUCGAACUUGGAUUGAUAAGAACACGUUUGAGUUUGAUUCACUAACUAGUCAAAUCAAAUUUGAAUAAUGUUUUGUAUUGGAUAAUGUUUAAAUUCGAUAAACAACUCGUUCAAAUUUGGUUCGAUAAAUAAAAAUAAAAAUUGAUCAAAAUUUUGUAUUUGCUAAAAUAAUCAAACAAGUUUGAAUGCUAGAGUGUUCGAUUUGAUUAGAUUUAUUUACAUGCAAAGCCAUUAAUCAAGUCUCAUCAGAGGAUCACGAGGCUAUUAAUUGUCAGUAGCAUGGCGGACAAGCUUGUGCUGAAGCCCAAGCAGCUUUUGUUAGUAGCAAUCUAUACAAAAAGGGAAAGAAAAGCAAGCAAGAAAACACCAGCAAUGACUUUUCUAAUUCAAUCAGAGAGAGACCUUCAGCUAACUUUGCAAUUCAAUCAAAGACGUAGGGUAGGGUGAGAAUGAAUUCAGGCCAGAGAGUUUGAAUUUCAGUGCAAUUUCUGUGGACCCUCAAACUAUUGGAGUCGAUAAUUUGCACCCUAAAUUGCUAAAAAUUGUUGCCAAGGUAAACGUUUAGAAUGUGAAUUAUCACAUCCAAAUUGCUCAAAAUAAAAGUUUAGAUUGUGAACCACAAGUUCGAAAUAUGGGGAAAAUAAGAUUAAUUCUGGUUUGUAAGAGCUCAAUUUGGACAAUUUAUCAAGCACUGUGUUUGCUCCCUGUCUAUUUCUCAAAGGUCUGCCCAAUAUCAGAAAACACAUUAAAUCUUUACCACCAAGGUUGUUGGUCUGCAUUUACUCUAAAUGCCACGUCCAUUCCAGUACUCUUCCUCUAUCUAAAUGCAAGCUGUGCAUUUUCCUCAUGUUGUUGUUGAUGUUUUUAUUUUUCUUAGUUUAUCCAGCAAGAUUUUAUGUAGACAACAUUAAUAUUCGGAACUUAACCAGAUUAGUUACAAUUUUACUGCAAUUGAUUAAGACUGAUACAUGUUUUUGAUGGGAUGUGGUUCCUUAAUCAGUUGGAUGCCCAUAUCCUUGAUCUGGAAAUGAACCAAAGGGCUUAUGACUUACCACUCUUAGUUCUGCCAUUGACACUUACAGGCAAAAGUGAUAUUUAACUUUAUCAAACUUGUGAACUAAUUAAGAAUACCAGCAGUAAUAAUUUGGUUACUUAGUUUACUAAUUUUAGAAUCUGUUGAAAUUCAAAAGGCCAAAAAUUAGUAAGUACUUAUCAUGAAACGUUUAAUAGAACUGAAACCUAUUGACCAUAAUAGUCUAUUGGAGUCAUUAUUAACCUUUGACUGGUUUUAGUAGAUGUCAAGAUUUUACCUAAUUUUUUGAAUUUAAAAUGAAAUACUAAGAGCUCUCCUGGUAGUCCGAUUGGUUCCGUAACCUAGUAGUUAUCAGCAGGUCUCGUGAUCGAUUCUUAUGUAUUGUCUCGCUAUGCAUUCUUGGGGCAAAGAUCUACAUUCUUUUAGAGAAUUAGUUUGGUCGAAAGGUUGGUGUACCCUUGAGUUAAAAAAAAAAAAAUACUGAGAAUUUUCACAUUCUAUUACGGUUCCUGUCGGAUUGAUCCCAGCUGUCGAGUUGGACUUAAGCGAGCUCGGACAACUGCAGUCGUUUCAUGAUGUAUGGUUUUGUCAUCAAUUCAUGGACCAGCUACCAUUUAUCAUCACAUGUAGUUUCAUGGCCAAGGAUUUCGAGUGUCAUCUAGUUACACCUACAAGUUUAUAAUAUUAAGAAAAAAAGGUUACCAAGAUUACAAAAAUUCUGGCUUUGAGAUUACUAUAAUCCAUUCCCAGUGUUUUAAUAUAAAUUAAUCUUUCAAUCUGAUCGUAACCUCAUUCUUAGAUUUUAGAUAUAGUCGCCCCCGAAAAGUGAACACUUUCGCAACUUCUUGAAAUCUCAGACGUAGACGUUUGCGUCGCAUUUGUGAUCUUGGAAAUUACAGCAUCUCUGAUACAACUAUUAUCUUAAUAUUAAUACAUAUUUAUAAUAGAAAAAAUUGCAAAAACCUCCCCUGAAGUUUCGGACACUAGCACUCACCUCUUAUAUAGUUUAAGAAAUAGCACUGACCUUCUUUGAACUUACUAAUUCUGAUGCAUAUUCAACCCAAGCUAGAAAAAAGUGCCAUUAAAAUAUUGUUUUAAGAAAUGAGAUCAGAAAGUUGUGCCAAUGUGCUCUUUGUGCUGCAUGCCAAAUAAUAUUGGCAAAGGAAUGACAAAAUACCACAAAGCAAUUAACAAUUAAUAAAUUUCAGGGGGUAUAAGUGCAAAUCCUUUUACUUCACAUAAAACAACUAAAGUAUCAUGAACUAAGUAACGGCUAGAUUUGCAAGUUAUUGCAACAGCUUAUGAAGAAUGAACUUGACACGUAAAACUCUCUAUUAGCAAUGUGUGUGGUUGUUUGUGAGGGUAAGAUAGCUACUUUGAUUGAGUUUAGAUUGGCAGUUUGAGGUGAAGUGUUGCAGCAAAGAGAAUGGCUUCUUCAAGCCAUAGGGAAGGAUCAUAAAACUCCCCAACAUCUUUCACAAUUAAGAACAAAUAUUGCAGCUAUUGUCGAAAGGCAACAUUGAAGAUUUUUUAGAGUGAAAACAACCCCAACUUAUAUUUUUGUUAUGCAACAUGGUAGAACUAACAGGUAGUUUAAUUAGUUACUUAAUUUGUUGACAAGAAACAUGUUUCUUUUGCAAAAUUCGUUCAUUAGGUUUCUCCAAAUAAUUAGGAUAUAAAGGCAAAUUCCCAUAAUCUUUUGUCAGCAAUAGGCCCCAAUUUCCUCUUAGGGCAGCCUUGUGUUAUUUCUUAAACCACAGGGGAGGUAAGUGCUAGUAUCAAAAACCUCCUCAGGGGAGGUUUCUGCAAUUAUCCCUUUAUAAUGUUGAUACAGCAGAUUAGCACUGCUCAGCUGUUACCAUUCAAAAGUUCAAACUACUACAACACAUUCGACUUUAAGCUGUUUUUGUGAAACUCGAAUUUAUGUUUGCUGUUGAUGGCUUGAUGUGGACUGAUUUCUCAAAUGGAAACCGCGGAAAUUCUUAUCAUGGAUUUAAUGUAGAAAUUCAACGUAUUUAACGUUAUCUGAAGUAAAAUGUUAAAGAAUUUAGUGGGAUAAGCUCUUAGGGAAAGUCUUUCAUUUUUCUUUUUUUUUUUUGGGAAAAGGGGGAGGGGGGGGGGGAUAACAAAUUUAGACAGUAAUGUUUUCCUAGAAGAUAAAAUAAAUGAUAGUAAAUCGCCAGCUUAUAUAACCCCAAGUGUAUUAAUUGUGGCCUCCAAGUUUAGGAUUCUCCUCUUCUUUUUUUUUUUGUUUAUUCUUUUCCUAGGAAGGAACCUCAAAUUUCGUGUUAUUGAGUUUGGAUUAUCCUUCUCUGUUUUUUUGACCUUUUCAGGUGAACAAAUUCAGACGUACGUAUAUCAAUCGGGUCGGCAAAACAACAAAAUUCGCGGCCGAAUAAAUUCAAGAGAGACAAGAAAAAGUACCAAUUCAGAGGAAGGACCCAUAACCGCCUUCGGUAUCCUUAUAUUCAUGUAAAAAUUUGUUCUUUAUUUUUUUCUGAAAUAAGUGCAAGUAAUAAAUGAUUUCUCUGAUGUCAUCUAGUAUUGAAAAUGUGAAAAAUUCCAAUAAUGACUUAGGAACAUGAACAACUACUUUGAAUAGAAUAACGGAGGAAUAUUUACAAAAAAAAUAAAAAUAAAAAAUUAUUGCAUUAACCAUAUUACCUUGCACUUCUCAUAUUUGUGUGAAAAUAGAAGUAGACUUUUUUUUUCUUUAUGAGAUAGAGGGAAUAGACCAGUUCGUUGUUUUACCUUUGUAUGUAUAUUUAAGCUGGAUUUACGUGCUUUUUUUGUCCAUUAAAUAAUGAGUACCCCUUUCAACAUCAAAGGCAACCAAUUUUUUAUGCACUUUUAUUGUAGGCAUAAAAUCUUAGUUAAGGGGCAUCAAAUUUUUUUACCAACUUGACUCAACAAUCAUUGGUGUUAUAUUACUUGUUUCCACCAAUUUUAUGCCCUGUGACAAUAUAUAGCAAUUGAAAUAGAUAAUUGGUUUAGUGGAAACUGAAAAUUGAGGCUCUUGUUUUGCAUUCGAUUACUGUGAUACAGACUAGGACCAAAUUUAAUUUCUUUAUUUUUUUUUCUUUUUCCGACUGAACUGAAUUUCGCAAAUAAUUUAUGGACCAGCCUUCAUAUCUUUUCUACGCGGGAUGCAGUAUUGAAAGAAUAGAUUUUGUGUGUGUGUGUGCAUUUUUUCUAAGAUUUUUAAAAUUAUAGGUGUCGUUUUGUCAACAUUUUGUGUCUGCUACUAAUGCUGUGUAUCGUGGUGCUGUUGGAUCAAUGGAUUGAGUGAUGAAAUAGCUUGGAGGAGCGGUUAUGCAAAGUCCAAAUCUUUUUCCAAAUUUGCUUAGUAAGCUGUCCCUAGCUGUGAUUGUUCAAGAUGUUUGCCAUGCAGUGCACAAUUGGAGAAAAAUGGUUAAGGACAAGAAAAAGUGGGAGCUAAGCCUCAAUUGGGCAUUUGAUCAAUCUAGUUUUUACUCUAGAUCUGGAGAAAAGUGGCUAAGGCAAAGAAAAAUAGGGAGCUAAGCCUCAGUUGGAGAUUUGAUCAUUCCAUUUUUUUUCACUCUAGAUCUGUAACAUGCACAAAAUUCUGGUUUUCUGAUGAAAUAAAAUUUUGAGCUUUUAGAAAAAAAAAUUCCAUCUCUUUAUAAAUGUCUUUGAAUAACUUGUUUCAGCUGUUUAUGAUGAGUUACCACGACCGACUUGGAUCCCCGCAAUGCAACCUAGUUAAUAAAUUUGACAAUCGAGGUCGUUCUAGAUUCUAGUCGAGUUCGAAUUGAACUCAGUCAUUAAUUUAAAAUUCAACUAAAUUGUCAAUACGCGUUUGACUAGGUCGAGGUUAAUAAAUUUUACGGUCGAGAACGUUCUAAUCGAGUUCGAAUUGAUCUCGACCAUUAAUUUAAAAUUCAAAUGAAUUGUCAAUUCAUACUUGACUAGGUCGAAAGUCCUUUGUGGUCGCGCUCGGAACUUCAAAGGAUCCAGCUGGACAUGCCACACCAGUCGCAUAAAGAAGAAAAAGCUAAAAAAAUCUUAAAUUAACCGUCCAUUGUUUCUCUAUUAUUAGAAUACUUAUAGUUUCUAUGGAGAAUUUUGAACGAUAUUUUUAUUAGCUUUUACCGCUGUUAGAUACGUGAAUUAGGCCUUGGAAUGUGCUUGCUCCUCUCCUGCUAAACUUUUACAACCCCAGAAAACGAAAAAAAAAAAAGUUUUUCAAGUGUUUGAAAGAAAUCUUUUUUCUGCGUCGAAACCAUCCAAAUUAUUUUAAAAGUAGGAAAAAGAAAAGCACUGCAUUAAUUGUGCUGACCCAUUUUUUGGUUUUUACUCCCCGGAACUUAGGCGUAUCUAAUGUUUCGUGCCGGAUCCAACAGAGAUGAACAACCGUUACGAGCUCUAAUGACAUAGAUUUUUCGAUCUGUUUUGAUGUUAAAUUUCAAUCUAAACCUUAAAAGUUAAAAUGCAGAAAUUUGCUCGGCCAAUCUGAUUAAUCUUUUGGCAUCAAAUUCGAUAAAUUUAAACUGCUCCCUGAUAAAGUUUCAGAGAGUUAUCUUUCUUUCUAAACUGUAAAGGGAUACAACUAGUAUAGAUGCAAUAACCCCAACAACAUGGUGACUGGUACGCAAUCGAUAUAUAAAGAGAAAUUUCAGACAAUAUUUGUUCUCUUUAUAAGUUUGCAAAAUCUUGAAGUUGUCAGCCAAUUUCUAUGCUUGGGGGCUACCCUGAACGCUAGCCUUGAUCCUCUGAAUGGUAGGGAUAUCAGUUUUGAAUGACCAAGCCAAGAUUCUGUCCUCAAUAUCGGUUUGGAACAAAUUGGAAGGAAUGGACACAAGGCCAGGAUUUGCACUUCCAAAGGCAGAAACAGAAAUGGCAGGAACAUCAGGUGCAUAAUUGAACUGAUAAUGCACGAGUCCCUUAGGAAACACAUACAUGUCACCAGCAUUUAGUGUUUGAUUGAAGAGCUUAUUUGUUGAAUCUAUAAAUCCCACUUCCAAAUAGCCAGAAAUGAGCAGAAGGAGCUCGGUCGCGCGCGGAUGGCUGUGUGGAGGGUUGACAGCACCUCCAGGCAUUCGCAAGACGGCUAAGGAAACACCUUGGCCAUCCAGGGCAGGGAAGCUAGUUUUGUCAGCAAAGAGAAAAUUCAGGGCCGUCGGUGGCUGUGCUCCUACAAGUGAUCUUGCAGCAGUAUACGUGAAAAAUGUAGCAUCCACAUUUGAUACAUUUGGUGGAAGAUUAAAAUCUGUCAAGAUAUCAGCAUCACUAGCCAUUGCCAUUGGAGGAAAAAUGGCAAGCAAAUUGAGCAUCAGUGUUAAGAAUAAGUUGGUAGAUGGCCUUAGGGCCAUGAUGGCAGAAAAGGAUUGUUUGACUUGAUGAAAUAAGUUGAGCAUAGUAUAGACUAUAGAGAUUGGGUGCCCGGCUUUAUUUAUAGUACUUGGGUAACAGGAAAUCAUUUAAAAAUGAAGAAAAAAAAACAUCUUUACAGGUAAAUUCCAAUUUGUAUUCAGACUAUGUUGUUAUUAUUGCAACGAUUAAUAAUGUCAAUAGAGUGGUUUCUGACAGAUAUUUAAAUAUUUUCCAUUUUUGACAGGGGUUUGACAUUUUCUUUAUUUUUUUUUUUAAAAAAUUAUUUUAAAGAGGUGGGAAGUUUGACAUUGAUUUGCAAAAGGAAGUUUGACACUCUAAUGCUGUUCUUAGCAAUGUCGUUAAACUCGGACCGAGUAGCGAUUCGGCUAAACUAUUGGGUCGGGGGUCAACUGGUUCGAUCGGUCGGACCGUUCUCAAAAAUUCGCUGACGUCAGCAUGAUAUUAUAAUUAUUAUAUAUUUUUUUAAGUUUUAGAAAUAUUGAAAUUAAGUUCUUGGUUAUAUUUGGCCAAUCAUGAAAAAUGUUCCAAAAAUAUUAGACUUGCAAUCAAAUAUACACCUAACAAUUAUAUAUAAAAAUGUAAAUUCAUGGUUAAAAUAUGUCCAUUCUCCAAAAUUACUUGAAAAAACUAAAUUAAAACAAAUUAAUGCAAGUUGGAAUCACUGAUGCUAAAUUAAUAAGAUCAUAAUGAUGAAAACAUUUUGAUUUAAAGAUUAUUUAGAAAAGCGAGUGAUUUUGAUAUUUACACUAAAUGGAUGACGUUUUCUUAUUUCUAUUAAUAAAUGAAAGUGUACAAUUUAGAUAAUUCAAAUUAUGUUUGGGGAAAAGAAGAAAGAAAUUUUUGAGAACCAGGUUAACAAAUUGAAUUGGGUCACUAAUUAAGCCGAUUUUUUAUGGUUUUAAUUGAUUUUUUACAAAAGUGGUUUUAUACUACAUACUAGUUCGAAAGAAGGCCGGUUCACGAUCAGAUUGGUCUAACAAAUUGAAUCGGGUCACUAAUUAAGCCGAUUUUUUAUGGUUUUAAUUGAUUUUUUACAAAAGUGGUUUUAUACUACAUACUAGUUCGAAAGAAGGCCGGUUCACGAUCAGAUUGGUCUAACAAAUUGAAUCGAGUCACUAAUUAAGCCGGUUUUUUAUGGUUUUAAUUGAUUUUUUACAAAAGCGAUUUUAUACUACAUACUAGUUCGAAAGAAGGCCGGUUCACGAUUAGAUUGAUCGAACCGGUCGAUCCAAUUCGGGUCUAACAACAUUGGUUCUUAGUGCUUGCAUGCUACAUGGUUAAUGGAAGAUGUUAGAGAUUUUGCACUCAAGACUUCAGAAAAUUGUCAAAAGCUUCAUUUGGAAACUAGUAAAUCACUUUCUUGAUGUUGGACCGGGAAUUUUACAAUUUUGGCGUUUGACUAUGACAAAUAAUUGGUCUAUCCCUUAUUAUUGUAUCUUUUUUAUAAGUGGAAGAUUUUUAAUUCAAAAUCUUUUAUUUACAAUCUCUCGUACUUUACUAUCUAAUCCAACUAUCCCUUUAUUACUGUAGUUACUAACUGUUUGCUCGGUAAACAAGUAUUAAACCGGAGUAGUUUCGAGCUUACUACACUUUACCUUCACCUGGUACUGGAUUCUUUUGUAAAAAGAUUUCUAAGCACGAGUAGUUUUAUUUAUUUACAAAUGGAUUUCUUAGUGGGAAAAGAUCUAUACACGUAUAGUAUGAUUUGUUUUAAAGAUUUUUUAACCGAAUGCCUCGGAGACAUUUGGCAAGACAUUUAAAUUACACUUAACAUGGUACCAUAUGAAUGCAUAUAAUCACAUUUAUUGGUUCUGCCACACUUAGAUAUAUUUCCAAAUUAGUUUCACUAUUACCAAUUGAGUGCCUCGAGGGCACUCAUUAUUUUUCCAAAUUAGUUUCAUUCUUAGAGGGCACUCAUUAACCAAAUGCUUAUUUUAACAUGGAUUUUUUCUAGUAGUUGCCGUUGGAGCACUUAUUAACCUACUUAACAUUCACCAAACCUAUAAUAUAUAUACACAUACUAACAAUUAUUACCAUUCCUUACAUUUAUAUACUUUCUUAUUUAUUCUUACCUACUCUCCCUUGUAUUUAUUUACUUUCCCUAAUUAAUAUUACAUUUAAAAAAGAUGACACCUGAAAUAUAUUUUAAUUUAAUCUCACCUACCCUCUCUUGUAUUAAUUUACUUUCCCUAAUUAAUAUUACAUUUUAAAAAAUAUGACACAUGAAAUAUAUCUUAACGGUUGCCCAUAGGGUUAGAUAGACCCUUUAACAUAAGCGAUAUUUACAUUCCAAAAAUACUAACUCGUAGCAUUCUGCUUUAGCAUUUCUUUUGCGUUCACAAGAUGAAAUGCAAAGAUUUAUUUUAAAGUGCAAAUAUUAUUUACCUAUUUUAUUCUUGUAUAACUGAUACUAAUAUCACAAGUCCUAGUCAAAAUGUUCUAUAUAUACUAGCAAUUGGGGUGGGUUGGGCGGGUUGAUAUUGAAUUUUCAUGUAAAUAGUUUAUACCCAACCCGUUCAACUUUAGAAUAGAUUGAUUUUGGACUGUGUCAUCUCAAAUUCAUGACUCAAAUAUGACCCAACUACAUUGUGAUACAUAAACACUCUUAUACAUUUACACAUAUGAAAAGAUUUUUUUCCACAUACAUAAAUAAUUUUCACACACUAACACACUUUCACAUACACAAACCCACACUCACUUUUUAAACUCCUUGGAAGCACAUCAUAAAUAGAAUAAUAUUUUAUAUUGCUUGUAUUGUGAAUUUUAGACAAUAAAUUGUACAUUAAAUAGAUUAACUAAAAAAAAUUGUUUACUUUAUACUUUUUAAUACCACUAAUUGAUUGAAAUUUAUUUUUGUCACAACUUAUUUAACACUUUUACUAUUCAUAUAUGCUCUAUUGUAAGUUGUAAUAUUAUGUGUAUUUAAAUUAUUGAAUGCUAGAUUAUAUUAUGCUCGAAAAUGUAAUUAAGAGACGUAUAAUUUGUUGUAUUAUAAUAUUAAUGAGGAAUUAUUAGCAAUAAAAUAAAACAAGUUAGAGAAAAGUAAAAGAAUGCAAUUAAAAUAAAUUUAAAAUUCUAUUCUAGGUAUACAAAAUAUUAACGGAUAGAAGUAAGUAGCAAUUGGAGAACAACAAUAAAAAAAAAAGAGGAUAAAAGGGAGGGAGGAAAACAACAUACUCUUAAAAGGCAUAAUAAAUUAUUAUAAAUGUUGAGCAAGUUUAACUAUUAUUGUAAAGGUAAAAUAAGCAUGAGUUUUUAUUGCAAGUUUCUUUUUUCUUUUAAAUAAAAUUUUGAUUGAAAAACUAUAUAUGAGAAUUUUGAAUACAAAUUGGUCAAUAAAUUGUUAACACAUAUCUAAAUAUAAGUGGUCGGACAAAUGUGUAUUGAAUCUUGUGUUUAUUGUUUUGAAUUAUUUUUAAACAAGUUGAAUAUUGGGUGCUCAAAUAAAUAAUCAAAUCCACCUAGUAAAUAAGUUGACUUGUUUUUAUCCAAUCCAACAAAAUCUAUAAUCCAACUGAGCCAAUCUAUCCUUUAAAAUUAAUGGACAAGUUGGAUGGGUUAUUGGAUUUUGGACUUUUUUUACAACUCUAGGUGUUGUUUCAAAAAUAAAUAAAUAAAUAAAAAGAGAGAGUAUAUACCCUAUAGCGUGCGGACUUUGGAGUCCCCUUCCUACGCGAGCUACAAGAGACCCGAUCCGGUACUCGUGUUUGGAGCGGUUCAUUUUAGUAGAGUUUGAGUAUUAUUCAGUUCAGUAGUAUCGUAUUUCCUUCACUGGUUUGAGAAAAAGAAGAAGCCACGGUAGAAACGGUGUCGCUUUAAGGGAUAUUGGAGUCUGUAGCUGAGAAAGGAGAGAGAAAGAGAGAGCAGGCCAUGGCGUCAAAUGCAGCGGUGCCGUUCUGGAGGGCAGCCGGGAUGACAUACAUCACCUAUUCGAAUUUGUGCGCGAAUUUGGUCAGGAAUUGCCUCAAGGAGCCCCGUAGGACCGAAGCUCUGUCUCGAGAGAAGGUCCAUUUCUCAGUUUCCAAAUGGGUGGAUGGCAAGCCUGAGAAGCCCAGUAAUUUUUCCAAUCCCAUGGCUCUUUUUUCAUUUUUGUCUCUUUUUCAGUUAUUAAUUUCACAGGAUGCUUUGGAUCUAGGGUUUCCUGUGCGGGUCGAUGUUGGUUAUUUUUCGUUGAAUCAAAUGUUACUGUGGUCCGUAUCUGUUAUUUUCGUUUUUAUUUUGGUUCUUUUUGGGGUCAAGUUUGAUAAUUUAGUGGGUUUUUGGUAUAAUUAGAUAAUUUAAUGGAUGAUAGGUGGGUUUUUUGGGAUAAUUGGAGACGGGCUUUUAAAUUUAGGGGUUUUUUUAAGGUUUUCUUCGCGGAUAAGGAUGUUGAUUCUGGUGAUAAUAUGCUGAGUCACCCCCAUUUUGGAAAUUCAAGCUCACCUUGUAGCAAUUGCAGGGCAUAAGCGACUGUGAGAUUUGUUCUAGUUUGUUUUUAAAUUGGUCUAAUUGCACAAAGGUGCGAACUUUACAUGAGAAUUUGAUUCUAGCUUGUGUUUGAUUGGUCUAAUUGAGAACAACUCACACUUGAUAUGUAUGCAUUGUUCUAAACACUAGUAGGAUUACUGGUCAGCAUGAUGCUUUAAGCAAAUGAAAUACAGAUCAUAAGAGCUUCUCUCUUCUUAUUUUAAGUGUUUAGCAUUUUUUUUUUAUCUUUAAGCUAUAUGUGAAGAGCAAGAAAGAAGUUGAAACGAUGUCUUUUUUGUGGUCCUUGUGCCAGAAUCAUGCAUCUUGAGACGUACAACUGAAAGGCUGGACGACUUUGUGGCUCCUUGGCAAUCCUAGGAUGCAUAAUCUUGUCUCCAUAUGUUUGAAUUUCAGAUUAUCAACAUUCUUUUUCAACUGUAGCAAGUUCCUAUUCCUGAUUUUCGAUAUUUUUAAGGCUUGACGAAACUUACAUUUAUUUCUGGUUCAUGAUGUCACUUCGUAUAAUCCAUAACACUCUUGCACAAGUAGUUUAUACUUGAUGAAGGAUUUGAAUGCUAGGUGUUAUGUGGUAUGCCAGCAGUGUGUGUUUUGUGUGAUGAUUGGACAUUCCUUUUGGUUCAGCUGCAAUGAAUUCAUUGCAUUGCAAUUAUUGAUGUCAUUGUGCAUUUAAGUCGCCAUUAUCUUUUCAGUCUUAUGUUUCUCUUUACAGGACAUAAUUCUUCCGUUGCCUAACUCAAUUAUUCAUUUGUCUAUCAGCCAUCCGCUCGGAUACUCCGGAAGAAUGACCUUGAAGUUGCAGUACCAACCAAGUCUUCGAUGAAAACAUUUUUGCUGGAAAUUUGUUGUUUAACUUGUCACUUGGAUCUUUAUUUCUGGGUCUAUGGUGACCUUGGAUUUAGAAUGUUUGUUUAAUGGGCUUUGCAUGAAGAUGGCUUUGCAUGAAGAUUGCCCCAUAAUAAUCUUUCUGCUAUGACUUGAUCUUAUGUGGUGCUGGUGUUUUAAUGGAACGCAUAUUGUCAAUGUUGAUGACUUCUGAAACUCUUUCCUUUUAGGAAUUCUGUGUUUUCCUUAUUGUCAUGAUGGUUUUUGGGCUGUUUUCUGUGAACAUGAAAGCAGCCUUUAAUUCCCCCCCUCCACCCCUUUCCACCCCAACUAUCAAGCACAGGAAUUGGACCCUGAACCUGGCAGUGGAGGAAGGCUCUUACAGCCCUUAAUAGUUAUUCGCAAGUUUCUCCUCCUUUCAGUGAUGGUUGUUGCUGAAAUGGAUUGUCUUCUUCUCCUAUUGUUCCCUUUGUGUUAAUGACUAGUGAUCUUUUUAUUCUUUUUUGGGAUUGUCCAUUUUCUUCUUUGGUCAUGAUGGUGUGAGGCUGUGGGCUGUGAUUAUGUGACAUAAAAGCUGCCCUUAAUGGUUGCUUGCCAGUUUCUCCAGUGAUGUUUGUUGCUGAAAUUGGAUUUGUCUGCUUCUCCUGUUGCCCCCCUUGUGUUAAAUUUGCGUCCCAAUUGCUGGGUUGAAAAGACGGGGAGACAGACAUUUGAUUGUUGAAUAUAUUCUGUUCUAUAGAUAGUGAUUUAAUCAUCAUCUUUUGAUCAGUUUCAUUGACAUUUUUACUCCUUCGCCUUUGGGUAGAUGUGCUACUUGUAUCAUUCUAUUCUCGGGGCCAGUAUUCUGUAUGCGGCAGUGGGUGGACGCUGUGUCUGUGUGUGUUAAUCCUCGUAACUCAUAUAUAGAACUUUAAUGAACGAAUGGAAUGUGUUCGUCCUAGCUGCGUAAAUUCCUAUAAAUUUGGUUAAAAGUGAUGGAACAAAAUGCAUUUUACUCGUAGAGUUAUGCUACUAGUAUAUGUUUGUCGUACUUUGGAAGGUUAUGACCUCCAAACGGCAGAGUGAAAGAAUUUCCUUUGUUUCGAGACACCCCCAUAAUCCGUUGAUUCCAUGUUGCAGCUUCUUGUCAAAAUACUAACAGGCUGAAGUACAGUCCUUGUCAGAGGCAGAUCUCGAAUUCUUCAAUCCAUUGAUUCCAUUCUUUGUUGCAACUUCUUGUCAAAAUAUUGAGACUGAAUUACUGUCCUUGUCCAAGGCAGAUGUCGCCUCACAUUUACCCGGAUGAGCUUGACACUCGCCAGAUGGACAACCCCUAAAUUUCCUCAUCUUCUUAAGAAACUACCAUUUGACCAUAUGCAGUAGAAAAGCGCUUUUUAAAGCAUACCUGAUCAACUUGCCCUAAAGAAUAUGCUCCUGCAUAUGAUUUACCCGAGUGUAAUGAGUUAUGAUUUAUAAAACCUUAAACUUCAAAAUUUUGCAACCUAACAGGGUGGUAAUUGAGCAUCCCUUUUGCUUUUAAAGGCCAAAAGUGAGUUCCUAAUGAGGCCAAGGCAUAAAUAAGUAAAUUUGGUUUUUUUUAUUUCACUUAGCUUUUCCUUCAAGGGAGCAGAAUGCUCUACUUAGUUUUGCAUGACUUGAGCUUCCUUGAUUUUGUGUUUGUGAAAACUGAGCACAUUGGAAGCUCCAAGAGAUUAAAUCCUAAGCCUCUAACCAUACAGAUGGACAUUAUUGAAAGUUCUUCUUGCUUUGUCAUCUAAAAGAUGGAAUACGUGGCUAAAGAAUGGGUGUAGGAGCAAUCCAUGCAAUAUUUGAUCAGAAAAUUUUUUAUCCCCUAUGGAUGUGCUACCAGAAAAGCUACACAAAACAAGAAAAAGAUAAAUGGUACGGGUACCCAAUUUUCAGAUUGAAAUUUGGAGGACACGGAGUCCUUAAAUGUAUAAAUUAAGACAUGGAGGUGGAAAAUAUGCAAGUUUCCAGAAUCUGAGCUUCAGUGCUGCAAGCAUUGUUAACUAACCUCGAAACAUACACAUCGUUAUUUGACUAGACUAAACUACCUAAAAACACAAAAAAAAAAGGGGGGAAUUCAGUAGUGUUUGGAUUGUAAGUUAUUUGAAAUAUUUUUACUGUAGCACUUUUUGUGAUGUGAUGUAUGUGAGAUAAAAAAGUAAUUGAGAAGAUAAAAAGGUGUAUUGAAAAUUGUAAUGGUGAUGUCAGCAAAUAUAUUUGGCCAAAUAAUUGGCUGUCCAAACACAAACUACAGAGAGUCCAAACUCAAGCAUUAGAUGGGGCGAAAAAGGCAGAGUAUAAUAUCAUAUGCACCCAAGGAAGAAGAGCCCUUUGGAUAUUCUUUCAUCUCUUCUUUUGGCAAUUGAAAGCCUUGGCUGUUUUCGCUUUCAUGUGGUGGUGUAAUACAUUUAUCUGUAGAAAAUUUCGCUAUAAUGGUCAUGUUUUAUCAUUUCCUGAAAAGCUGAGGCACAGUAAGAGUGUCACAUUUUUGUUUGUUUUUGAGUUUUGUGGUUAUAUAUGCCAUCUUUCUUCAUUUGUUUUAGACAAUAAAUUUUCAACUUUAUUAAUAAAGUUUCUUUAUUUCUUUUGUGGUUAUGCCUAUCUUGUUUGUUCUUGGGUAUUAAUAAAUUCUUACUUACCAAAAAAAAAAAAAGUUUGCAUUCACUCAUGCCAACUACUCACCAUUUCUUUUGAUUUCUGUUGUAAUAGAAAAUUGCUUCAUUUAUCAAAACUAAACACUGUUCAAAAUGAAAGAUAAGUUCAACUUGGACACAUGAAAAAAUCUUCAAGAUUUUGGAAGCUUAAUGCAUAUAAUGAAUAUAUAAGUUUCAUUUUAAAUUCAUUUUUGGGUUUAUUUUAUAAAGAAAUUGUACAAUGUCUUAUUUCCCAUGCAGGAAGGAAAAGGAGAAAAUUCGAAAUGGUCCACACGAAAAUUGGUUGCCGGUCCUAUGCUGCUACUUUUCCAGGCUUACCCGGGCCGGCCGUUUGGUUUCUCUCUAUUAAUUCUUUCAAAUUAUUUGACGACUCUAUUUCAUUGGCUUUCUACAUUACUAGAAGCUACAUCACUUCUUCUGCAUUGAAGAAGCAACCUAUGCCAUAUAUCUUUCUCCAUUCUUCACAUCUAUGAUAUAUAGAUAGGGUGUCUUCAAUUCAACUAAGGUAGCUGGCCAUAGGGUGGCUAUGAAUUUAAAGUUGGACAUACUACUGAUUUGACCAAGCUAAAUAAGAAGGAAUUAGGACAGGCUAGGGUUCAAAGCAAACUUGUAGUAAUAGAUAACAAUAAGAAUAACAAGAAAAAUACUCCCUUUCGUCUCAAAUUAUUUGUCGCAUUUCGGAUUUCAAAUUUUUAAGAAUAGUAACCUGAUAGCGAUGUUAGUGAACUUAUUUUUCAAGUCGCCCUCUGAAAUAUAAAUAAAGAUGGGGAUAACAUUAAUUGAAAAUAAAGAUAAAAAGUAACUUUAAUUUUAGUAAGAUGACAAAUAUUUUUGAAUAUUUCAAAAUAUAUUAAUGUAUGAUACUUUCAGUGGAUAGAAGGAGUAGAUUAUUCUUCGUCCUGCUCAGUUCUGCAAUGAUCCAAACAGUUGGGAAUGGAUGAUUUGGAGAGAAAAGAAGGGGAAAGAAGAGAAAGUGAGCAUUUCCUUCGUUUGUUAGUUUUUAUUAGGAAAGAAAAGAAGAGAAAUUGAAGGAUUUAAAAGGAUAAAUAGUAAGUAAAAGUUUUCCUCCCAAAUUGGAGAGAAAUGGAGAGAAAGUUGGAGGAAGCUUAUAAAAGUUCUUUAAAUUAAAUACCUAUUUUAUCCUUAAAAAUGUCUUGAACAAAUAUUUAAUGACUUUUAUAUCCAAAAUUAUUUCACUAGUUCUCAAAACUCCCAAACAACACAACAAUCCCUUCUCUUCUCUCAUAACUUAAGUUUUCCCUUCUUCUCUUUUCUAUCCAAAACUCCCAAACUUAGCGUUAGUGUAGGAGCUAGGGUAAAGUGAGAAAUGGUUCUGCCCUUUAUUGAACCUUGACAAUGGAAGCUCUACUACAUUUUUUCUCCCAUAGUUUUUUCUCAAAGGCCACUUAAUGGUUUAGCUACUACUAGUGAUUUUUAAAUGUUGUUCUCAGUUUGAGCUUCAAUUGAAAAAAAAAAAAAAAGAUAAUUAAACUAUUUGGCUUGUUUAUGCUGGAUUAAUUGUUUGACUACGACUGUGAAGACGAAAAUCAAAUUAAUGCUGAUGUUGUUGUUUUUCUAAAAGCUCGGCCUACGCGGGAGUCUCCAACAAUUUUAGACUUGUAGCAAUGCUAAAAGCUAUAGACUUUGAAUACUAAUUUGUUGGAAUUCAAAGUAUGAACUAAGAAACAACAUUUAUCCUAUAAAAAAAUAGGUCAUCUUUUUAUUCAUCAAUUUUCCUUUUAUAGAGGUAGAAUAACAAACCAAUCACAAAUAUUUCCCGACAAAUCUCAACAAAAAAAAAUACUUGUUAACAACUCAACAUCAUCAUCUGAUAAAUCUCCUAAACAAUUUCAACAAAAUUUUGAAAAUUCCUACAAAUGAGAAAUAACCAAAUACUGAAAAUGUAGAAAAACUCCUAAUAACUAGAGAUUUAUUCAACAAGUACUUUAUUUAUUCUAGUGCUAGAAAAUUCAGAAAAAAAUUUGUAGAGAAGUUGCAUAUUCUAACAAUAUUCCUCUUUGUUACUUAUAUUGCAGAUUUUCAAUUGUCUUAUCAAACUCUCAAAUCUUGUUUUGGACAAGACUUUUGGAAAAUAUCUGCAACCUGAAAAACUCUCAAUUAGCCUUGCAACAAGCUUUUUCUUUCGACUUUUUGUACAAGCUGAUGAUUAGCUUUACACCAAAAUACUUCUGUUGGCAUCAAACUCCAAAAUAAAAGAUGGUUUCUUUGACGUAUCUAAAUAACAUUUUCAUAAGUUCAAAGUGGAAUAUCCUUUUAUAAUAUUUGAAUCUAAACAGAAAAUGUAAAACACAUAAAUAAUUAUUAUGAAAUUCCCAAAAUUUCCGCAUGGCUCUUCAUAAACCUUGUUAUCAUCGUCAUCUUUACACUUUUCUUCAAUUGUCACAAUAUAGUCUAAAUUCUUUGAGGAUUUUUCAAUACCUGUAGAUAAAAAAAAUCACAAUUAUAUUCUUGAUAAAUAUUAGGAAUUAGUUUGAUACCUUUGGACUUAUCAAUAAUCACCUCCUAAAUUUUUCAAGAUCUAAAUUCUCAAUUUCAACAUACUCCACUUUAGAAUUGUCAAAAUCCAGCCAAUUCAAAGUGAAAUUUCUUUCUUUUAUAUUAAUUAAGAACAAUUCAUUCUCAACCAAAUCAUAAAUAACAUAAGCCAUUAUUCUUGUGAAAAUGAUAUCAAAAAAUGAUGUAUGAAUGCCGGCCUUCAAUUUUUGUCUAACUGCAACUCCAUGAUCUCUAAUUUGUGUAUCUAUCGGACCUUCAAAUAGUGCUAGAACGUAAUUCCUCUUUAGCAGAUCCCAAAGAUCAUUGAUUACCAUAUAGUUUCAAAAUUUUAUGACCCAAAUUUGGCAAAUUUCACUACUAAGUUAGAGCAUUAGACACAAAAAUUUCUCCCACCAUUUUGGUUUUAACUAUAAAAGAUCCGCACCAUAUAUGCCCUUCACAAAAUAUCACGAACCUUUAAGAUAAAGGCUCUUAAUACCGCUUUGAAGAUUUUGACUACCAAUUUGUUGGAAUUUAGGGCAUAAACUAAGAAACAACACUUCAACUGUUAAUGCUACAAAAAAUUGGCUAUCUUUUUCAUUCACCAACUUUCUCUUCUAUAGAGGUAAAGUAGCAAACCAACCACAGAUAUCUCCUAGCAAAUUUCAACCAAAACAUAUUUGUGAAAUUUUGAAAAUUUCGACAAACUAAAAAUAACCAAAUACUAAAAAUGUGGAAUGACUCCGAACAACUAGACUUAUUCGACAAUUAUUUUAUUUAUCCUAGUGCUACAAAAUUUAGAAAAAUCUGUAGAGAAGUCACAAAUUCUAGCCCUGAAAUUGUGCAGAAGGUGUAUAGGCUUGCUGGAAACCUAGAUUUAGCUACAAUACAAUUUUAGAGGAAAUGGAAAUGUCAGUCAAGCUGUGAAAAUUAAUCUGGCAUACGGGCUUGCUAGAAACCUAGUUUUAGCUGUAGCACAAUUUUAGAGGAAAUGGAAAUCUCAGUCAAGCAGUGAACAUUAAUUCCACCAUAGGGCAGUCUGCGCUUAUGGACUUAUAAAUUGAUGGCCAAGUGUUGUUGUGUCCCUGUAAGUGCAACCCAUAUCAACUUGCUAAUACCAUCACUUGUAACCUGCUCACAAUGGUCUCGUUUUCAUUCAAGUUUACUCUGCUAAGCCUUCUGGCUAUCUUCGCCAAUUCUUGGAUGGCCAUAGCACGAGAUCCGGAUACUUUAACAGAUUUCAUAGUGCCAUCAAAUCUGACUGGAAGUAAGAUCACCGGUGACUUCUUUACCUACCAUCUUAACACAACUGGAAACGGAGGUCCAGACGCACGAGAAACCGAUGUCACAAUGGAUGAGUUCCCAGCUCUUAAUGGCCAAGGUGUUUCACUUGCUGUUUAUACUUUCCCUCCACGUAGCGCAUAUCCAACUCAUAUUCAUCCUCGUGCUUCUGAGCUAUUUCUUGUCACCAAAGGCAAGGUUGAGGUUGGUCUUGUGGAUACCGCUAACAAGCUCUACACAAAACCCCUUCAAGCUGGGGAUGUGUUUCUGUUCCCAAAGGGACUAGUACACUAUCAGUACAAUGCUCUUGCUGGAGCAUCAGCGUCAGCUGUUUCUUUCUUUGGUAGUGCCAGUCCUGGAGAAGUUUCACUUCCUACAACUUUGUUUGCAACUGGUAUUGAUGAUGCAAUUCUCGCAAAGAUAUUCAAGACUGAUGUUCCUACCAUUCAGAAACUCAAGAGUGGUCUUGCAACACCCAGGUUUUAGCUUAACUCGAUGCUGAAUUUGAUCCUUGCAGCCCCUUAGUACUAAAAUAUAGUAAAUAAAUUCCCAAUAUAAAUGUUGGGAUCCUGUCAUAUCUCAUAGGUCAGAUCCUAUGCGUAAGAAUUUGUCAUGAAUUUGACUACAACACGACUGUUUUUAAUCUCCCAAUAUGAAUGUCUCCAAUAUUUAUUAUUAAAGGUCUAAUGGUCCCAUAAUCAAGGAACCGAAGCAUUCGGGUUCAAUCAAGAACUCAAAAUAGACCCUCAAGAAAAGGUAAUAUAAACGCACUGCCGCUAGUUUAUGAUAAAAGCGCACGGUAUUAAAGGUUCCAAUGAGCUAGCUAAAGAAAAUGGUGGUCACCAAUGCAACUCUUGAUGUAUAUUUCCUUAAUCGGAUAUCUUGGAUGAAGCAAAACAAUUUAUAAACAAGUACAUACGAGGUUGCAUGCAUAUGCAAGCCAGAAAAGAAUGUCAGCAGCGUAUCUUUUUUGAACUGGGAUUACAUAAACGGUUACAUUCUAUUAUCUUACGCUACAAAAUGUUUUAUUUUCAAUGAACCCCCAAAUUUGGAACGUUCCAUGAAAGGCCAAUUUUAGGUAAAAUGGGGCCUUAUGCUGAUUUUGAUCAUUGAACGUGUUGCAGUAUAUAUUAGUAGCAAUAAUCCUAUUGACUGGGGAUUAUGGUCCCUCUUGUGCUGGUAAUCCUGCAAUUUCCUUGAGAGGUUUCCACAUGAACUUCCUCCUGCACCAUGUAUAGAUUAAUAAAUUAAUAGCGAAUAAAGAUUACAAACGUCCCUAUAAAACAUUGUGAUUUCUUUCUCUUUAAAGGAGAUUAAAGCCUUGCUUAAAAAAAAAAAUAUCUGGAGGUAUAAACAGAGCGAUUAAGGUGGAUUAGUUUACCAGUUUCCACAUUCUGCAAUCACUCUGACUCUAGGCCUCAAAGUAGGAAGUAAUGCAAGAAACUGCAGUUCAGCCUUUGACAAAACCUAGAAGAUCCAAGCCAAUUAAUAACUUUAACUGAAAAUUCAUCAAAUAAUUGGAGUCUUAACUAUCAAGAGCAAAAGAUUUUCUGUUCACCUUUGCUUCAAUUAUCCAAACCACAAGUCCUUUGGCAUUUGGUGGAAGUAACGAGAGCCUAUAAUCAACUUCUGGUGGGAAAUACCACCUAGCAAUUGGCUGCUUCCCUACAUGCGGCUGCAACAUUAUUGUAUUUCCAAGAAUUCCAAUUAUAUUAAAAUCUCAUCCACACUAAAUUAAAAUGUCAACAAUAAAAAAGAAAAAAGAAGAGGAAAUUGUAAACUAAAACAAGGGUCAAGACUAUAAGUUUUGCCCUUUUUGGGACUCAAGCUAACAAUACAUUUUCUUUUCAACCAAUCAGUGUUAAAUUAAAAAAGAAAAAAGGGCUUACCGGACAAACAGGGUGAAAUUUAGUGAGAGUGGUCUCAGGAUCACCAAGUCCACGAGCGGUGAGGUCCAAGAAAUAAUAGCCUUGAUAUCUUAGCCUGUUGAGGUAGCGACCCUCAUAGCCACCCUCAUGGGGAGAGUAGAUAGCUAAGGCUUUGUGCUCUUCAACAUCUGAUAACCAUUGGCCUAAAUCAAACUUGAGAAGAUCGCCUCCAAUGAAGUCCUCUAGACUAACAUUACAUGCAACAUUUGUCUUCCUACAGUGCCCUCCACCACCUCCAAUGCAUGUCUGCUUUCCGCUCAUAUUCAAUGUGCUUGUUGUCAUGCUGGGGAAAAUUAGCCUUUGUUGCUCAGGUGUGGAUGAAGGUAGCAGAAUUCCAUGGUAUGAGCAGACUGACCAUGCCAUUUUUGUACCGAAAUGUUUGCUAUGUACAAUAUGGAUGUGGCUGAGCGUACUCUAUUGUUGAAUUCAGAACUAUAUGGUGGAGAAUCAAGAUAAGGGACAUUUGAUUUUGGCACAAUUGGACAAUAUGUAAACUGAGCGUGUCGUGUCACUGGCACCGGUACCACAUUUUGCGUAGGAAUUUUAAUGUAAUUUAACAGUGCCCUUUAGAUGAGAUGAGGUGGAGUUUGUGGUACGCAAUUGUGGUGGCCUGCCAUUACAAUUUAGAACAGCAUGUAAAAUAGAUUUAUGCGUUAAUUUCGUUUUGGUCCUACGAGGUUCUACAGAAUAUCAUCUUGGCCCUCCAAAGUACUUAAAUAUCUUAAUUUGGUCGCUUCAAGAGUGAAAAAGUCUCAAUUUGGUCUUGCAAAGUACUCCCUCCAUCCCAAAAUUUUUGUCCCACUUUUCAUUUUAGAAUGUUCUAAGGCGUUUGUCAUGUGUAGAAAGUUAAAAACUUUUUUUGGUAUUUUUUUCCAGUAUUGUUCCUACUUUAAGUCAAAUGCAUGGUACAUUCAAAUUUAAAAUUUGAAAUUUAGGUAUAAGAUUGAAAAGAAAAAUCCAAACAUCACAAUCAAAAUACUGUUGAUAAAAAAUUAGACUCCCAAAGUGUAACCAAAAUUUUGAGACGGAGGGAGUAGCACAUAAUCUCAAUUUGCUCCUUUUAUGGAUGUCAAGGACGAAUUUUGGAUUACCGUUUCUUGAUCUCGAAGUAACAAGUUGAUGUUAAUUGAGUAAUAAAUUUUGUAAUUAAUAUCUGUAUGUUGAGCUUAUCCACUAGUCUUUUUAUUCUUCUUGUUGUGGUCCUUUAACGGGUUUUCCUUAAAUAAGAUAUUUAUUUUGAUGGAUUGAACCUAGAAAAAUAAUUGUAACUGCAAAAAGAGAACUCUAACAAAUUGUAGAAAUUGGUCGAAGAAAUGUUCGGCUAUAGUUUGUUUUGUGCCUGAGAAGAAAAAAUUUUCAAACCAUAAACUAUAGAAGUCGGUCGAAGGCUACAGUUGGCCAUAUUCUUAAUCUGAAAUGAAGAUUUAAUUUUGCAAAUUAUAUCUAAUUGUCCCACGAUACCACAGCAGAAGCUUUCAAAGGAAAUAAGUUGAAAAUGUAACAAAUGCAAACGUAAGUUAAGAGUUUAUUGCUGUUUGUAUUGGACAGAAACAUUGUUAAAGUACAUAAUUGAAAUACAUCAUCCAUCAAUUUUAAAAGGAGAAAAAAUCAUGAAUAUUACACAUUCUUGAAUGAAGAAACCAGAUGGAACAAUAUGAAAUUUAGAAAUGAAAAAAAAAACACAAAAUUUUGCAGGAAGUUUUUUUUUUUUGGAAAAACUUGUCGAUUUUGUCAUUUCGUAUUGACUGCCCUGCAUGACGUCCUAAUUUGUCCUUGACUACCUGUGAGGACUUGGACAGCACCCAAAUUAAUCAAGGCUUGACCAAACUUAGUGGAAAAAUCGACCCCCUUUGCUAUUGCAGUUACUAAGCCCCUGGUUGAUGGAUCCUGUGCCAAUUCUUGAUCAAUUUGAAGAACUCCUCUGUGCAACAUUAUUUGCUGAUAAUAAGAGUUGUCGACAAUUGACGAACUCAAAGGGUUCUGAUCAAGAUUAGCUGUGUUAUCAAUUGUUGCAUUCUGAGGACAUCUCGUUCUCAGGAAAAAUAAUAGCGAUGGGCUCAUGGUAUUAUCAGGUUGACCACUGUUUUGGAAAUUGUACAGACGAUCUUGGAAGAGGGAACAAUGAGCAACUCCCACAGUAUGGCCACCUUUAUAUAAACAAAAAAAAAAAAAAAUCAAUCAACCUUCUGAUACUUUCCAUUUCUAUUCUGAUCAACUUUUAGAUUUGUUGCUCGACUCCAUAUACAAAUUUUUUGGGGAUAAAUUUACACUCAUAAGCAGCUUGUGCAUUUUUUUAAGGGAUAGUGUCAAAUUGCUACUAUGUUAGUAAAGAAGGUCUUGUUACUAAUUAGUAAUAGUAGAAGUUUUCAUAAUUUGCAUGUCCAAUAUAUGUGGAGUAGAAUUCGCAUGCAGUUUGAAAUGUGAAGUAAUUACCAAGAAGAUAAACCAUGUCCACUACGCUAAGCCCUUUCUUGGAGAAUGCAUUGAUGGAAUUUGAGACUGAUAUUGAAGGAGCUGGGAGAUUCACAUUCUUUGCAAGCGAAACUGUCCCGUCUCUCCUUCCAGUUUGUACAAUGUAUCGCCCUCCUCCACUCUGCAUUUACAGGAAUUAAUUGAGUGAUCAAUAUUGCCCACGUUGAGCUUGGUGAGAGAUGAUUUCAUGCUAAACCAGGUCAUGUUACGUGGUAAAGCAUCAAAUCAGAGAGGGUAAAAGGUAGAGUUCUAAUAAUAUUAGCAAUUUUUUUUUUAUAAGAUCCUGAGCAACACAUAAUCAGAUUGCGACUAAACACUAAUACAUUAUAACUCAACAACAUUUCAAACAAACUCACAAUUGGUGGAAUGAACAAUGACGUAUCAUGAAACGAAAUUCACAUGUCGCGAAACUUCAACUCGAAACUUCUAAUUCUUGUAAUCUCAAUCUUAAUUAAAAGUAAGAGUUUAACGUAUUCAUGGCACGUAGUUGUACGUGAUAUCGUAGUUAUGCUACAUUAAUUUGAGCUUCGCUAGGAGUCUAAUGGUUCUAGUUAAUCUUUUCUAGUUUUGUCUAAUUGAGAAUUAUGCAUGGUAUGUAACUUUUCAGAAAUAGAAAAAUUAAAGAGAGAGGGUACGUAUAUCUAUUUACCAGGGAUACAGCAUCUCUGGUAGCCAUUGAAAUGAUAUCAGCACAGGAGACCACACCCGGGCAGAUUGCCUCAACAGCUGCCUUUGCCGCAUCAAUAAGACCAUAUCCCCUAACACUUAAAUUUGGUAUUGCAGUUUUCUCGCUGUUGCUUCCAUCCAGAAGAAGAGAUGCAUCACAACCCUUGUAAACAAUGUCAGAACGUCAACAAUCAACACAAUGUUUUCCAAAUUGCCAGCAUAAUUAAUGAGAAAUUUACCAAAAGAUCAAAAAUGUAAAUAAAGAAGAAGAAACUUCGUACAGUUACGAAACAAUCAUGGAAUUGCAUCCUUAGUAGAGCAGGAGUAAUUGUAGAAUCGCUAGAGAACCAUGUUUUGACAACUCCACCAACAACCACCUCAACAUCAACCGUACCAUUGCAUUUUCCUUGGUAGAAACCAACCUUAAGUGGUGGUGAAGCCCCGUAGCAUUGGCCGGAGAAUGCCACAAAAAUGAACCCUAGGACCAGUGCUACAGAGGCAACUUUCGACAUUUUUUUCAGCUCUUAGUUUUUCUUUUUUGGUAAUUCCUGUUUUUUUUUUUCCCUUUGCGAAUUUAGAUGCAGAUAUAUGCCAUCUAUUUAAAGAGUGAGUGAAGGAAAUGUAGGUAGGUUGGAAUGCAUGCCUGGCACAACCAUUUCUAUGAAGUCAAGAAGGAAUCAAUUGAUUAAUUAGUAUAAUAUAUAGAACGUGCAUUCAUGUAAACAGACAACCAGAUGGUUAGUUGCACGAAAGUACACGGGAUUAGGGAGCAUUAACCCAUGCUAAUAUGUUAUAAUUAAGUAAUUCUAGUCGACGAAGUUGAGGAAUCAUUUGUUUCUGGGACAGGUUUUCCCGGAAGUCAUCAAUCUGGAGAAAUUAGUUUUGUUUAAUGAUUUAGAGCAUUAACCCUUUUUAAUAUGUUAUAAGUAAUUCUAGUCAACAAAAUUGAGGAAUUAUUUAUUUCUGCAGGGACAGGUUUUCCCGGAAGUCAUCAAUCUGGAGAAAUUGGUUUUGUUUAAUGAUUUAUUGGGACUUAAUUAUCUUUGCUGAAGAAUGAUGAUCGUGGAGAUUCAUGGUUCUCUAUGCAUGGAUCCCGUACCCUUGAAGUUGGAAGGACUGUAGGAAUUACGCCAGCUAAAGAAGGUUAUGUGUAAUAAAUCAUUAAACCGAACAUUUAACAAAGAUUUGCCUUUACCGUUUUCUCUUUGUUAUAAAACUCGACCUAUGGGGAGGAUUAGAUUAGGUGGUUUGAGAGAGAGUGUGUGAAUGAAAAGUUUCGAAUUCGAUUCCUUCUAUUUACAUUAAAAAAAAUCUCAACCUAAGUGUUGGCAUGCAACAAAGUACUGGACGAGAGGGCUCCUUAUUAAAAAAAAAUGGACAAGGGAUGGCUGGCAUAUGGAGAUGAUGUAGCAAGGCUUGCAAAAAUAAGCACCAAGGCAAUCUUAAACGUUGAUAUGGUAUUGCGGAAUCUGUGGACCUAUUAUUCAAGUAGUUUACAUCAGGUAAUCUGGAAAGAAAACUCACUCACUAGUGGGAGUUUUAUGUAAUCUUUUUAAUUUUUUUUAUUAGAUUUGAGUUUUUUCAAAUUUGGUUGUCAAAUUUGGAAAUUUUUCCCUUUGUACAUAUUGUGUGGACCUAUUAUUGACAUGUAAUGUGCCAUAAUAAAGUGCGUAACAACAACAUUUUUAAUCUUGUAUUGUUGUUGAAUUCACUUAAUUAUAAAAAGUGCGACAUUAUCAAAUAAUAGACACAAAUAUAAAAAUUCAUAAAAUUAAAGAGGUGGGUUAUCCAUUAGUUUGUUUGUUUCGCUUAUAUCGCUUAGUAUAGAAUUUUGCUUGUUGUUAAUCGCGCUCUAUCUAUCUCCUUUGUGUAUAUUGUAAAAAUAUUAGAAUGAAGUGGUCUAAUUAGCGAAAAGUUAAGUAUCAUUUUUCAAUUUUUUAUUCUGUUUCUAGAAUAACGAGGAUGCCAUUUUUCUUUCUUUUUAACCUUCUAGAUGAGAAGGAUGAUGAAUUGGCAACAAAGAAUAGCAUAGUGACAAAAGUACUUUGUUUCUUUUUCCAUUUUAGGAUUACACAAGUAACUCACAUUGGUCGUGGGAUGGAUACCUAAGAACUGUAACUCCCUACGGACUGCAAAUGAUUAACAACAUACAAAUAGUGAGAUGAAGAUUAAUAUGUAGUUCAAGUAAAUUCACAUUUAAUGAUAAUCAGUUCUUGACCAAUAGUUUCUAUUCUUCUCCCAGAAGCAUCUUUUGUCAACUUUGUCCUUGUGAUUUUUGCAAAGGCAAUUAAUGACAAUAAUUACAAGCCAAUGUUUUUAUUGUUUUAUUUUUUUCCCCCAUAGGAUCGGAGUAUUCAUUACGGAUUUAUUAUAACACUACAGGAAACCAAUGAAGUGAUCGGGGAACAAUCUUAUCUCAAAAUUAAGAAGCAUAGUUGCUAAAUGACAUGAAAUUCCGUUAAGACGUGUGUAUUGGCCACUUUCUCUAUUUUUUUUUUUUUGAAGUUUUAUACCAUUGUUUUAUAGCAAGUGCUGAUUUUUGAAUUUGGUUGAACGUGCUAUGACAUUUUUUGGAACCGUAAUCGUAUAUAUCAAAAUUUCAAUGAUAGUAGGAAAUAUUUCUUAUUAAAGGUGGAGAUAUUAGACAACAAAGUAUGGUCUAAUUGGUGAGAUGCUUCACGCAUAUAUAACUGAUAGAUCGCGAGUUUAAAUCAUCAUGAGAAUAUGCAAGGAACCACUAUUGAUUGAUCUUCUUUAGAAAAAAAAGGGUCAAGACGUUAUUGUUUUUUACAUUUGGUUGUGGCAGUGUUACACGUCCACAAAAUACUGAUGGCAUCAUUAAUCAGAUAUAAAUUAAGAAAAUUAUAUAAUUAAAGGUUAUUUAUAUUGGACUGUGUCCUCAUUACAGUUCCCCAAAAAAAAAAAAAAAGAGAAUGUCUAAUGCAUCACUAAUCAAGAGAAAUUCUAAAAUUCAGAAACCUUGAUGAACAGAAAUUUUGGAAUGAAGGGAAAACAAAAUUAACCAUAAAAAAUUCAAAGAAACAUAUCAACAACAAUGAGAAUUGGAAAAAAAAAAAAAGGGAAAAUAAAUAUCUGAGCACAGUAGAACAUAUUGUCUAGUGCUUUGUAUUCUCUUUAUUGUUCCAUUUUCCUCCUGUGUUACCAUUUUCGUCAUUAUUAAUUCAUUUUUCUUGGUUACCAUUGGUGUCAUUGUCCCUUGCCCUUUUUGUUAACUGCCCUGCAAGAACUCCUAAUCUCCCCCUGGCUUCCUGUUAGGACUUCAACAGCACCCAUUUUAACCAUGGCUUGACCAAACUUUGUGGAGAAAUCGAACCUGGUUGCUAUUGCAGUUACAAUGUCCUUGGUCAAUGGGUCCAGGGCCAGUUGUUGAUCAAUUUGCAGAAUUCCUCUGUUCAAUUUUGUUUGCUUGUAAUAGGAGUUGUCAACAAUUAAAGAGCUCAAAGGGUUCUGAUCCAGAUUGACUGUGUUAUCAACUGUAGCAUUUUGAGGACACCUGAUUCUCAGGAAAAAUCGCAGCAAAGGGCUCAUGGUAUUGUCUGGUUGGCCACUGUUUUGGAAGUUGUAGAGACGAUCUUGGAAGAGGGAACAAUGAGCAACUCCCACGGUGUGCCCACCUUGGUUCAAUCAAGAAUUGAGAUUAGUUAUAGUCACCUUGGAAAUAUUUCGAAUAAGAUUUUUUUCCCCAAUAAUGAAUAACUAAAUCUAUUUGCAUUAAAUUAAAAAAAAAAAAGGAUUUUGCCAUUAGAAUAAUAAGGCGUGAGUACUUAUCAUGAAAUAUAAGAUUAUAAGACUGUUUUUAGUUUCUUUAUGAAAUAUAAGAUUUCAAAAAUGUUUUUAAGUUUAAUCAAACCAUUCACAAUCAAUUUCGUGGUUGAUGUUAGUGACAUGUGAAAAAUUGAAAUGAAAGGAAGCCGGUUCACCAUUAAUUGUGCGGGUAUAGAUUUUAUCACAACUUUCUCAAUUCGUGUACCAUCCCAGUAUUUUGCAAAGAGAUUAGAUGAUGAAACUUUCUCAAAUGAAUUGAUUUUAUAGUAAAAUGACAAUUUCUUCUAAUAAAGCUAAUGGCAUGUUAAUAAUUCUUCUCAAGUUUAAUGAGAUGUAUACAAACAAAUGAAGGGAAGGCAUUAUCUAGGGUCUAAAUUCAAAAGACACAUUAAGUUCAGUUACUCGCAAUCUGAUUGCCAAGAACAGCAAAUUCAGAAUGUAUUUAGAAUUUUAUUUUUUUUUUUCAGAUCUAUUGUAUUUUAUGAUUUUCAGUUUCUGUGGCAUAGUAAUGUAUUUUCUACCAUUAGUGGCAAUGAAAUUAUGCCUUUUAUUUUUUAAAAAAAAAAAAAAAGCAAUGAAAACUUGAUUAUUCACUAGGAUUGGCCUAAUGAUUAGGGAAGGAUUUUUAGAGUUUUUCCGGUUGUCAAAUUUAGGAUUCAGAUCCUGUGCAAGGCAGUUGAGGGUGGAAAAGAUGUGGCGAGAGAUGGGAGAGUUAAAAAAAAAUGAAAAGUUGAUUAGAUUUGCAAAAUGAAGUAUAUACCAAGAAGAUAAACCAUGUCCACCACAUUAAGCCCUUUCUGCUGAAAUGCUUUGAUAGAAUCCGAGACCGAUAUAAAGGGUGGCGGCAGGUUCACAAGCGUGGCAAGCGACAAGGUGCCGUCUUUCCUCCCGGUUUCUACAGGGUACCGUCCUCCACCACUCUGCAUUUACCAAAUCAAGAGUAAUUCUAUAAAGAUAUUGUCCAAUAGAAGAACAAUAAUAAGAAAUGUUGGUCCAAGAAAUGAAAUUAGUAAUUAUUUUUCUAAGGCUCUUAAAACUCAACGCUUAUUUUAAUUUUUAACUACCACCACAGACUUAUAAAGGUUGUUUUUUUGCAUAGCUAGUCAACUUCUUUGCAGCUAAAUGUACGAGUCAAACUCAAAUGUCAGCACCUCUAAAUGACUUUUUUUGAUAAUAAAGGCAUAUAGCCGGAAUUGACUAAUUUAGAAAAAUGAAAACAACUCUUAAAGAAUUAUCUUACCAUGGAAACCGCAUCCCUAGCAGCCAUUGAAAUGAUAUCAGCACAGGAGACCACACCAGGGCAAAUGGCCUCAACAGCUGCCUUUGCCGCAUCAAUAAGAUCAUACCCCCUAACACUUAAAUUUGGUAUUGCAGUUUUCUCACUGUUGCUUCCAUCCAGAAGAAGAGAUGCAUCACAACCCUUUUAAAUCAUAGGCAGAAAGUCAACAACCAACCUAAUAUAUUUGGAUUAAUCUUUCCUACACUAAUAAUAGUGUAUACAUCGUUAGCAUUGGAUGAAUGGUAACUAUGCAAAAUUUGAAUUUGAAAUCCAACUUUUGUACAUGUGUCGUGAAUGUAAUGGUGAUAAUGUAUACACUGUCAAUGUAUAUAAAAUUUAUUCAAUAUAUUUUUUUCUCAAUCAAUUUAUUUUAAUCAUUCUAACUGUGCACGAUGAGUUUUUACGAUAUGUUGGAAAUUUUACCCCUUAAAGUUCUGUAUGCAUGUCAAUUAGUCCCAAUUGAUAUUAAUGACGCUGGCGAACUCGAGAGCAAUGCAUGCACGUAACAACGACAUAAGAUUAUAUGCAAUGGCGAAGUCAAGACCUUAAGAUAUGGAGCAUUUUUCUACAAGCACAUGCACUAUGAUAAGAGUAAUAAAGAUCAAAUGUUAUGAAAAUCAUUCUAUUUAUUUGAAUUCUCAUAGAUUCAACUUAGCCGGUAAGAACAUUAUUUAAGUGAAUAUGAGACCCUUGUUUGAUUUUAUCAGGACACACGUAAAAUUUAUUAAGAAAAAAAAAAGAAGACGAAGAAGAAAGAACAAUGUCCUAGAAAUAAAUAUUCAAGAUGCAAGAUGGAAAUUGACAACACUUUCAAAGGCACUGCAAAAGUGGAAUUUGACUUGUAUACUUGCAUUUUCCAGUAGAGUUGAUGAAAAAGGACGGCAAAGGGAGAAAAGCAAAAAUUCUCUUACCUUAACAAAGCAAUCAUGAAAUUGCAUGCGGAGGAGAGCAGCAGUAAUUGUAGGAUCCUUAAAGAACCACGUUCUCACCACACUGCCAACAAUCGCCUCAACAUCGACCCCUUUGCAUUUCCCCUUAUAAAACCCUACCUGCAAUGGUGAUGAAGCACCAUAGCACUGCCCCAACAAGCCCACAAAAACCAAUCCCAUGGCUAGUGUUACUGCAGCACCUUUCGACAUUUUUUGUAUAAUUGAUCUGGAAACGUUGGUUACUUUUUGCAAUGUAGAUGGCACAUUUCUGCUAUCUAUUUAUAUGUGACUGCAAGAACUUUAAACAUGAGCACGUAGUUUGGAAUAUUGCUUGGUUCUAACAACCAUUUGGCACAACUUUUCCCUCUCAUUGUGAUUGAUUGAACGUGCAAUCAUGAUAUAAUGUAUUUGCACUAAAGAAUGUACCACUGGGGAGCAAGGAUUUAUUUUUUAAACAUGUUUAGCUGACUUAGAGCUGGACUAUUAUGCAUCGGCUUAAGUGUUUAUUUGAAAGUUAUUCGUGUUUAGAUUGCAAAUCUUGUUGGAUUUGCUUACCAUUUCUGGUAACUAAUUAUGGAAGGAGAAUAAGAAGCUAGCUAAUUAAACUGCAUAUUCUUGAGUUAUUAAACUAACAACUAAAAUUGAAAAUUAGUAAGGAUUGACCUGCCUAAUUAAGAAGGUAGAGGGAAUCAGCAGAAGUUCCUUUCCCCUUUCCUUUAGCUGUGAAAAGUCUUUGAUGAAUUGCAUAAUCAAGGUGGCAGACUCUUUCCUAACAAUUAACAAAUACCUGCCCUCAUAGCAAAUAAUUAUUUUAAAACCUACCCCUUUCCCUUUUGGCUUUUUUUUUUUUUUCAUUUCAAAGAGUACUGUGUUAUUGUUAUGUCAUGCAUGAUGGUAUAUAAUUCUCUCUCUCAAAAAAAAAACUAUAAAAAACUCUCAUGUUUGUAUUAGGGGCAGGAAUUGAUCUUCAACCAAUCGUUUAUCCAAUCAAUUCACACACAUUGUUUUAAAAAUGUGCAAUCUGGGUUUAUGACUAAUAAUUCUUUGAAAACUCUAGUUGUAACCUACAAAGUAUUCCUUCGUUGGAAAAAAAUUUGGGGGGCAUCAAAGCAGUCCCAAAAUAGCAAGAAAACACAUUUAGCCCAUAAAUAUUUUGAAGUUUGACAAGAAUAGGACCACUUAACAGGAUGUGGAAUCAACUGCUAAAUGAAAGGUUUUCUUUUUUUGGGUAUUUAAUGGGGGACUCCAACUCUUACAAUAGGGAAAGGAGCAAGGAGAUGGCUUAAGAAUCGAACCAAAAACCUAAUGACUAUUUGGCUAAUCUCCCUAUGACUUAGGUAAGAAUAGUUUAGUUCCAUAAAAAAAUGUUAAAACACUUGGAUGCACAUAUGGCUUUCCCUUUCAUAAAUCUAUAUGUUGAUAUUUUCAUGCAAGUGAGAAAAAUGUAAAAUUGACUUCAUAAAUGAGUUUGAGGGACACAAAUCUUAUCUUAAUAUAUGAAUUAAUUUCCACGUUACUCAAACAAUUAAUACUUCACAAGGUAUUCUUUUGAAAAAACAAAUCCCAAUUGAAGCUCUAUCUUGAAUUAAGAUCAAAACUUCUUGGAUUUUUUGUUCACAGCCCGGCAUGAUGUUCUAAUCUCUCCUUGGUUUCCAGUUGGGACAUCGACAGCACCCAUUUUAACUAUCGCUUGGCCAAAUCUACUAGAGAAGUCCCUAACCAUGGGCAGUGGGCUAUGUAGCAGUCACAGUGUCCUUUGUCAUUAGAUCCAAUGCCGGCUCUUGAUCAAUUUGAAGAACCCCUCCAUGCAAGGCUAUUUGUUUUUACUUUAUAGUGAGGAUCAUCAACAGGUAUUAGCACUAGGAGGGUUUUGGUCGAGUUUAACAGUUUGAUCGAAUCCAGAUAUUUUAGGACACCUUUUUCUCGGAUUGCUCACUAGAUUGGAAUCCAUUGAAGGGUCUGGCUUCCCUGUGUUGUGGAAAUUGUAGAGGCGAUAUUGAAUGAGGGAACAACAAUAAGCAUUUCCAGCUGUAUGACAACCUUCAAAAUUCAACAAAAGUUCAUAGAUGACACUUGCGAGUACAAUUGCAUGAAGUGUGAAGUAUAAUGACUCGAUGACACUUUCAAAUUUUAUUUUCAUAAUGGUGUUAUUGUUACCAUCUAGUUAUCCUGAUUGCCAUAUAGGAUAAUAAGAAAGGAAAGAUUUAAUCUAGUCUAUAGUUUUCAACAUGAACUAAAAAUUUAAAUUUUUGUUAUUAUAGAGGUGCAAAAAGAUUGCAUGACUUCGAUAAUUUUCUUAUAUUUAUUUAAAAUAAAUUCGAUUAUUAUUGACCUUACUAUUAUUGGUCUCUACAUUUUUUUUAAAUGUAUCAAACCUAUUGCAUAUAUUUUUUUCAAAAAAUAAAAUUUAAAAAAUACAAAAAUUGCAAUGAAAAUUAAGCAAUAACGAGGAAAAGUUAGAAAAACUUCAAGGCAAUCAUAUUUGUUUAUGUUAUCCUUCCUACUCCUUGAAAAGAAUUUUUGCAAAAAGUAAUCAAGCUAAAAUUUUCAAGUUUUCAAUAACAAAUUGAAAACUACCAUAUUAUUAUAUAAGUAAUCAACAAGUAUAAAAAGCAAAAGGCAUCCUAGAUAUGAAUAUAUAUUGUUAUGUAGUUUUCUUCAUAGACAUUUUAUCAAACAAAAGGUGUGAGAAAUCAUUUUUUAGAUAAUGGAAGGAAAAAAUGCAUAAAGGUUCAGAGAGAAAAAUAGGGAAAAUAUUAGAUGAAAAAGAGAAAUGGAGUACGCAUCUAUCUUCAUCUUGGCACAUAUAGAGCUUAUGUGGCUAAAAAAAAGGAUCAUAAAAGUAAUAAAUUUUAUAAUUAGGUUACUUUGGGUAUAUGUUUUGAAAGGAGAGUUAUUUUGACAAUAAACUUGUGUGAUGUUGAGGUUGCAUUGCUAUCAUCACAUGCCAAUAUAUUGAAAUAGCUCCACUACCUGAAUUUAUUUGGAUAAGUUUGCUCAAAUUUAAGGUAUAGUAUUAUCAUCCCAUCUCGUGCAGUUUAUUCCUAGGAGAUACCGAAAUGGCUAUUGUCUCUUGGUGGCAAUUAUAAAUCUCAAUGUAUCCUUGAAAAUUUUGAAAAUAUUCUCAAAAUAAUUGAAAGGGAAAAUGUUGUUAAAAACGAAAAAGAAAACACAUGUAAAACCAAGUUCUGUCCUUGUAACUUAGAAUAUGUUCUUGAAACACAUUUUUUAAUCACUAUUUUAUUUAUUCAAUUAUUUUUUAUUUCAUAUAUAUUACAUUAUAAAAAGUAAUACACGAUUAAUCUACAUGAUUUUUUCAAAUAAUCUUCAAUACAAAUGGACUUAAUCUGAUCCACAAUACAUACAUUGUAUACAUACGCCAAAUCUAGGAACACAUUCGAAAUCUAUAUUUUAGGAGUAGUUUUGUCUCUUAUGGGAUUGGGUGAGGAAAAACAAUUUAGGAGGUAAAUAUUGCAAAUUCUGAACGUACCUUGGGGGGAAUUUUUAUGAUUAACCCUUCAGGAAAAUCAUUUAAAACGUUCCGUACGUAUGUCAAAUGAAUUUUCUCUUCAUUUACUUUUAAAAUAUUCAUUUUACGCCGCUUACAAAUUCAAGUUAAUUAGCAAAAUUUGAUCUCAACCUUAGUUUCCGACUAUUUUUUAGUUUGAAAUCAUCAUAUGACCUACAUGCAAUUAUUUUUUAUAUACAAAAUAGUUAGAUCUCAAUUUUUUUAGUGGCAAAAAUGAAUACAAAUUAAACCAAAUCCUAAAUGAGUAUAGUUGAGUCAGAUAUUAUUUUUUUAAGAACAAAAAUGAAUAUAAAUCAAGUCAUUUAUUAUUAUUUUUAAAUAGGAUCUAAUCUUUUUGUCCCUAAUAGAAUGAUUAUGUGUCAAUCACGUGAUAAAUUUUGGAUAAAAAGUAUUCAAAAACUUAUAUUGGAAUCAAAAUUAACCGAUUUGAUUUUACUAUUCUAAAAGUAAAAAACAAAAGAACGCGAAAUAUGAUGGAUGUUUGAACGAUUUGGCGCACCGCUUGGACACCAAAUGUUAGAACUUUUUCCAAGCAUAUAAAAUUUCUAAGCUACCCUUCAUCACUGCCCUGGAGGCCAAAGCCAACAAAGCAACUUAAUCAAGGGCAAUAUCGUCAGGAAGGUCCAACUCCAAUGACAAAAAGUCCCCCAAUAGUCGGCCUCCUCGUUCAUCAUCUCCUUCUGCGUGGACAAAUCGCCGUGAACCUCUCAUCUCUUCCGUAUCCUUCUCAAGAACCCAUGGGCAAAAAGGCCAAAUGGAGCUGGACCUCCGCUUUAGUAGGCGCAGCAACCGCCGCAGCCGCGUCGGCAAUACUCUCCUCAAAGCCGCGUGACCCCACUUUCCACCUAAUCUCAAUCAACCUAACUUCCUUAAAGCUCAACUUCCCUGUUUUGGACGCAGAGAUGAUCCUGACGGUCCACGUCAGCAACCCAAACGUCGCGACCGUCCGAUACUCCUCCGCGAACAUGUCCAUCUACUACGCCGGCUGCCUCCUGGGGUCAGCGGUGGUGGAAGCGGGUUCCCAGCCGCCGAGAUCCUGCCAGUUCCUCCACCUUCCGGCGCGGCUCAGCGGGCUGGAGCUGGCUCAUCAUGCAAAGGAGUUCUUGGCUGACGUGGCGCGCCGGGAGAUGGUGCUGAAUGCAGCUGUGGAUAUAGAAGGAGAUGCUAAGGUUCUGUGGUGGGACCAUAGGUUUAAAGCUCACGUGGACAGUCACGUGAGUGUUGACCCUGUUUUUCUUGAUGUAAUUGACCAGGAAAAUAAAUCUGAAAUGAUGCUCUUUAAUGCCUAAUUUUGUACACUCACGCUAAUUUUUUUUUUUCUCCCUGGUAAGAAUUUGUCAUUGCAAUCUUCAAUCGUGUAAUUUACAGACUUUGAUGAGAUGAAAAUUAAAUAUGAGAUGGGUCUGAUAUUAAUAUAUUGAUGUGUCCACUGCACGUUCAAAAAAUCAAAAUGCAGAAAAGAGGAUUGUUAGAGUAUAAUGCAGAAAUGAUGCUUCUGUAUCAGCAAUUAAACAAGUCAUUGGCAUCCGCAGUUACGAGGGUCAAUUUAUUUCUGGCUUAUCUAAGAAAGUGCAGAAUUGGCAGAAAAGUUCUUGCUGCAAGGGAAGCAGUGAAUUUCAACAACCAACUUAAUAUAUCCCUUUUUUUUUUUUUUUUUUUUUUUUUAAAGAAAUGGUUGUGUAUCAACCUGCAUACAUGAUUUAGUUGACUGACAGGAAUAAAUAAUCACUACAAGAUUCAUAAUUCUUUGUUUUUGGUCAGUGAACCGUUUUAUUUUACCAAAAUGAUAAUUCAACUAACUGAAGCUUACAUUUUUGGAGUAAAAAGUGUAUGUUUUAUUAAUUGAAUGAUCAAAAUUGUACAUAAGUUGAGUGACUAAAAAUUAUAUUUUUUUUCAUCAAUUGAGUAAAAAUUUUGACAGAACAAAAAGUUUAAGAACCGAAAUAAGAAAGGGAUAAUAUCAGAAACCUCCCUUGAGGUUUCUUCUAAUAUCACUUGGUACCCCUAAAGUUUUAAAGUAUCACUUAUCUCCCCUACUAAUUGUAAAAAAACUAUAUUAACUUUCACUUGAUACAUAAUUCACAUAUCAAAUAAAUGGACCUAAAAAAGUUUUUAAAAUAAAAGUCACUUUCUUCUCUUUCCCUUUUCUCCAACAUUCUCUCUUACUUAUUUUUGGAGGAUUAUACAAUUUUUUAUUUGUAAAUUAUAAUAAAUUGAAUUUUAUAUAUCUUUUACUUUUUAUUAUUAUGAUAGAGUAUGGUAUGAUUUAGUUGCUUAUUUUGGAAUGAUUUUUAUAAUGAUCGGUAUAAUUUAAAUAUUUGGGCAAGAAUUGAGAAGAAGUUGAAAAAAAUAUUAAAUUCAUAAAUAAUCGGUUUUGAACAUAUAUAGUUAAAUUAGUCAAAUGUAUUUCUUUACAAAUGCCUUUUUAUUUUUUGAAUAUAUAUUUUUAUGGACUAUAACAGUAUGAUAGGGUAGUACUAUUAGAUAUUUUUUUUAGAUGAUAGUUUUCUUAAAGUAAACAAAGUGAUUGAAAAGUAUUUUUAUUUAGCAAGUAGAAGGGCAGUUUAGAAUUUUUAAAAUUUUUGUUACACAAAUAACAAAAAUAGGAGAAAUAAGUGAUAUUUUUAAAAUUUUAAGGAUACUAGAUGAUAUUAAGAGAAACGUGAGAGAAGGUUUCUAAUAUUAUCCCAAUAAGAAAACUGGUAUUAUAGUUUAGUGACUAUUUUUUUUUUCCGUUUGCUCUAUUCUACCACAAAACUUUUCCCAAAAAUCAUCCAUCCAAUAAAAAAAAUAAAAUAAAAUCAAACGCACUUAGUCGUUUGAUCGUAACAAAACCCCCACAGCCCACCGCCCUUUUGUAGUUUGUGCCGGUCUAAGCUUUCCCAGUCCCAACUCCCGUGCGUUAACUCAAUUCACUCCUGUCGUUUAUUAAACGACUCCUCAGUCCUCAGAAAAGAGCUGAACUGCGCAAGUAAGAGAUUUUGCAAAGUAGUACCGAUGGAGGAUGGGAAAAGGGUGGUGACCGUCUCAGCUCUCCAGUUCUCCUGCACUGAUGACGUCUCCACCAACGUUGCCACUGCUGAAAGGUCCCCACUUUUUUUUUUCAUCUUGCAGCAACUUUCAGCAUGAACCCAUAAGAAAUUUUUACCCGUUGAUGAUAAUUUGGAUCGGGAUCAAGGAGUUUCUUGACAUAAAUAAAGAUGUGAAAAGGGUUUUGGUGGCUUAGUGCAAAUGAUUGAGGUUUUUAAGUAAAAGGGUAAUUGAGGUUUCGUUGAGUUUGAUUGGCGAAUUUGAAAAAUCUGAUCUUGUUGCCAUUCAUUUUUCGAUAUCCUUGCUGAAUUUUCUUCCAGUAAUGUGUUUGUCAGAUCCCUUUAAGCUAAAAGAUUGGAGCUUUAUUGUUUGUUUGGAACUUCCAAGCACUGGAUUAGAUGUAGCUGAAUUCUAGCACUAGCUGAUAGUCAAGGAGUAGCUGUGAAACUUGAGGUUCUAAGAUUGAAUCUGGUGGAUGUAAAUGCCAAUAAUUGAAGCUUAGCCAUCUUCUUUACCUUGGGUCACCCCCAUCAAAAUUUGGAAGAAGUAAAACGUGGCAUAAUCUUCAGAGGAAUGAAUUUCUGUGGCUCAUUUGCAGCUAGAAACAUAGAAAAGGAUAGAAAACCUUAACGUGGGAGGUUUAAAUUUCAAAGCAUGGGGAUUCUUUGGCUGCAUGACUGUAAGGUUGUGUGAAAUGUACACUUGGUUUACACUGGGUCCUGUGUAUGGUCAGGGCAUUAUGAAGCAGGUUUGUCUAUUUAGGCAAAAUAAUUACAUGGCACGUGUGAGUAAAAGGAUCCUCUUGGGCAGUUCUCGAUUGGCAGACUGAGAUAUUCUUCUGUUAUAAUAAGUGAAAUAGCUGUUCCUUAUUAGAAAAUUGAGGUCAAGAUUAAACAGAAGCAGCUACUGAAAAUGAUUCAAACCAGUAAAUCCAAAGACAUGGCAAUGCACUCUCACUUCGAGGAUAUUAGAAAUCUGUGCUCAAUGUUUACGGAAUGCUCAUUCAUUUUGUCCACUAAUCUAACGGAGGAAAGGGUUGAUUUAGUCAGUAUGCAUGCAUUAAGCAUUUCUUUUGAUGAAGAGUGGUUCCACUAUUAGUGCCAAGAUGCACUUGUACAGUCAAUUUGGGCCUUUGCUCGACAAUUGUAUAGCUUACUACAUAUCAAUGCAAUUAUCUACCGUUUCUGGAAAAAAAAUAUUAGAAUAAUGGUAGAAAAACGUCUUUGGUUGUAUUUUUGUGGUUUUGUAUUAAUAAUCUGGAGCUAAUCACCCAAGAGACGAAAACAACAUGACUGUUGAACAUUGCCUGCUUGUGUUUUUCAUACCAACUGUUUUAUUGAAAACCAUGUUGCUAAAACAAAAUUGGGCUUACUAAGAAUUUAACUUCAUCAUAUGUAAGAACACUGUUGCUGAGAUAAUAACCUUGAGAACAAGAAAAUUAAACCUUUAUCAACUAUUGAUUUUUAUCUCUGACUUGUUCCUAUUUGCAGAUUGGUUAGAGCAGCUUAUCAGAAGGGUGCUAAUAUCAUUCUCAUACAGGUUAGUCCUCCCCAUACAUGGAAUAUACAGCUCCAAACAGAAGUCCUCCUAGUCAUAAUCAAUCUUGAAAUUCUUCCGCCAUUUCAUUUUUUUUUCAUGUUUGUGACACUUGUGGCAAAAAAUGACGUGUGCAAUGGCAAAAACCUGGUACAACCAGUUACAUUUCCUAACAGAGUUGGAUGAUGUAGUCAUAGUAUAUCUUUUGUCGUGGAUGCUACUUGUGUUUUAUUUUCCUUUUGGAUUUCCAGGAAUUAUUUGAGGGUUACUACUUUUGUCAAGCUCAAAGGGGGGAUUUCUUUCAGCGAGCAAAGCCUUAUAAGGGACAUCCAACAAUUCUAAGGUGAAAAAUCUUCUUUUCUUCAUUUUUUCCUCUUUGUACUCGUGUGGCUGAUGGAGCAGCUUGUUUUAAUAGAAAUGAUUUAUUUGCUUCACAUUCAUUGACAUUCCUUGAGCAAUAUUUUAUGCAUGGUGUGCUUCUCAGAAUGCAGAAGCUCGCCAAAGAACUGGGAGUAGUGAUACCAGUUAGUUUCUUUGAGGAGGCAAACAAUGCCCAUUACAAUUCAGUAGCUGUAAUUGAUGCUGACGGAACAGAUCUUGGGCUUUAUAGAAAAUCCCACAUCCCUGACGGUCCAGGUGUGCGAGUGUGAUAGUUGAUUUAAAUCUGAUAUGUGAUGUUUUCAUUUUGUUUAUAUCUGAUAAGAAAUUAAGUCUGAUAUGUGAUGUUUCCUCUCCAGGGUACCAAGAAAAGUUUUACUUUAAUCCAGGAGACACUGGUUUUAAGGUGAUUUAGCUAGAUUACGUCUGAGCAUAUACUGCUUCUGUCAACACCAAUCGUGAUUUCUUUUUAAUAACCUUAAUGUUUUGAUGAUGGUGACAAUGACCAGGUCUUCCAAACUAAAUUUGCAAAAAUUGGAGUUGGUAAGUCUUCCUUUUUCCUUGAUUUUCAUAUCAUCCUGCAAUCAUUUUGAAUGAGGUGUGCCCAUAGGUUCCAGAUUGAUGUUUCCACUCAUGGUCAAAAUGCAUAACAAAUGAUAUAGAAGCUGUGUCUUCCAAAGCUCAAAAUUACUGGUAGCAGUAGAAAGAAUUGAAGGCUUAAACAAAUGAUUCAAUCAGCUUCCAGAAGGAAAUAGGAAAUCUAAGUUUUCUACUGCUCGUGCUUGACAGCAAUUUGCUGGGAUCAAUGGUUUCCUGAGGCUGCACGAGCUAUGGUUCUUCUAGGUGCAGAAAUAUUGUUGUACCCUACUGCUAUUGGUUCUGAACCUCAAGAUGAAGGCCUUGAUUCUCGAGAUCACUGGAAGAGAGUGAUGCAAGGGCAUGCUGGGGCCAAUCUGGUGAGUUGCAUAUCCUGAAGGAUGUUUUUAACCUUGGACUUUGUCUGGUUGAUCCACACGUUUAUAUGUUGGAUUAAAAUUUUAGUGGGGACUUCCACAGUAAUUGUUGCAGAUGUUUCUUGUGUUCAUAAGUUAGUGGUUCUGGUUAUUUUGUCUUGAAGGAGUCGGACCUAUAUGCAUGCACUGUAUAACGCAUAACAAACCACCAUUUACUUCCUCUUGGUAGAACUCUUAAGUAUCUUGGACUUCAUUUGACCAUACAAUACACAAUUAACCAAAAUUGUCUUCUUUUAAAUUUGCCCCCAUUUUUGUACAAUGAAAAGAAGUGUCAUGGCAUUUGGUCUGCUGUUGCCUGGUAGAUUACAUAUAGGUGGGACAUGAUUUCAAAUGCUUGUCUUCAGAAUUGAGUCUGAGUCUAUGGCUAAGGCACCAAAGCACUUCCACUACCUUAACACUAUACAGGAGAAUUUUGUAUCCAAAAGUUUAUCAGAGUUACUAGAUACCUGUUUAUCUUUAAAACUGAAGUAUUGAAAUGCUAAUUCCAGGUUGUCCUGUUCCCUCCUUGCCUUGAGAAGCUCUAAAUUUAUCUCUCAUGGGCUCCAUUCAUAAACGGAAACUCCUGUCUCCUACAUGCACAUUAGCUAAGCAGCAAAUCCUUUAGGGUUUCUUGCAAGCACCACUCUGUGUGUCAAGAGUUUCCAUAUUUUGAGCUUGCCAUCUUCUAAUGCAACAAUCCUGGUUGAAAUUUUUCUUGUUGCUUGAAGCCCAUGGCACUCAAUAACACAGAUCUCCUUCUGUUUCAUAUUCCUUUUCUAGGAAUGUUUUGUCGUAGUUUUCCAAACAGUUUUAGAGUUUCUGUUUUCCAAGGAAAGAUGGUUGUCUCUUCUUUCCAAGAGCUAAAUGCUUUGCUAAAAGUUCACAUGGAUAAUUUGACUCUUGUCCAUCUAAAGCUGAAGAAACUUUGUCAUGCAAUAAGAUUUCUAUCUUUUGGCCCCUUCUGUUUAACUUGAAAGUUUUAAGAGUAUAAGCUGAUUCAGGGGGCCAUGUAAAAAAUUUUGCCCCUAGCUCUGCAUAUUACUUUCCAGGAAAUAUAUUUUCAGGCUUCUCUUUGAGAACCUUGUCCCUUCCUACCAGUUCAAGAAUGUCACCUUUUGUUUACAAUUGUCAUUUCUCGAGGGGCCAUCAGAGUAUUCAUCCAAGUGUCAAUCGAAGAGUUUCUCUACCUUUUAUUCCAGUUACAACAUUGAAGUGAGCAUCUAGCAUAACUGAUUCAUCACUGGUCACUGAAAUUUGUGAUAAGACAGCCACUGAAUGAUAAGGACCCUUUCCAUAAAUCAAAGCAAUACAUGAUGGUUGGACUAUUGGCUAUUUCAGGUGUUGGUUCAUGAACAAAAAGCUGAUGCUUUUGAACUUCAGGAAUGUAAGAUUUGUUAGUUUAGGAGGUUGCAUAGAACUAAGUUUUUAAUCUUGCAUUCCUGAUCAUUUUGUGCCUCAUUUGAUAUAUGCUGGAAUAUACUUUUGUCCCUCACUGUAGAAUUUUAAUACCUUUGAGUACACAAAUGUUUUAAUUUGUCUAAAUUGAGGCCUUGCUGACAUAUGUGGUAACAUUCAGGUGCCUUUAAUAGCUUCGAACCGCAUCGGAAAAGAGAUAAUUCAGACAGAACAUGGCAAAAGUGAAAUCAUAUUCUAUGGCAAUUCCUUUAUAGCGGGUAUGUUAUGUGCCAGUAUAACUAGAAUAUUGCUGGCCUUUAAAAAGUUUCUUCAUAUUAUCAUCUGUGUGAGUAGGAGUUUGAGCAUUGAUGUUCUGAUCAGGACCAACUGGAGAAAUUGUUGCAAAUGCUGAUGACAAAGAGGAAGCUGUUCUUGUGGCGAAAUUUGAUCUGGAUCAAAUCAAAUACAAGAGAUAUAGUUGGGGAGUGUUUCGCGAUCGACGUCCAGAUUUAUACAAGGUGCUAUUGACAUUAGAUGGCAGCAAUCCACCUGUGUAAUUUAUGCUGUUACAAUUUUUAGCUGAGACACUUGAAAUCAUGAGAUGGUACUCAAUUUUUUGAUGAAAGAGGAGUUUGGUUUUUGUUUUGAGACUUGGGUAUUUCUUUAGAUAGAGAACCAAUACGUAGGAGCUUAGCAAGAGUAGUAGAGUAUUCAGUAUUGGACUUCUUUAGAGAUACAAGCAUAUCUUUUGCUACUUCCAAAAGCUACACCCUGCUCUAUAUACGUUAGUUGUAUACACUACUGGCAUCUAAAAUAUCUUGGUCUUAGUAAGCAUCUAAGUCUGAGCCUCAGAUCAAGGUUUCUGAGCACUGUCACUGUGUGAGUGGCUACGUGGAACAUUUGUGUUAACAGUAUAGGACUUACCACUUGAGGAUCAAAUUCUGGAAGAUUGCAUGUGUUAGAUAUUCAAUGAUUUUUCGGACCAGUUAUUGGUGUUUUUUUUGGUCAUCAAAGUGAUGUAUCUGUACAAGGUGGUCCAUGAUAUCUUUUAUGUAAUAGUAUAUCUUGCAAUCUGAUUAACCAUUAGCUUGUCUUUGGGUCCUCAGCUGACGUGAAGGCCAAAUGUUGCCAAAAUUUUCUAGUGCCCACCCAAACAAAAAAGGAGAAUAAAAAAGCUAGUAGUAUUUCGUUCACUUCAUUUGUCUCUUCAUCAAUCUGCAUUUGGCCCACAGCAUCUGAUUAUCCUUUCCUGCUUAGACAGAGGAUUUGACAAGGUUGUAAUGCAUUCCGAAAUAAAGCUACUGUUCUACUCUAAUCUUUUCUUGCAUAUGGAUUAUUGUACCUGAGUUAAAGUGUAAACUUUAUAAGUCUCAGAACUUUUUCCUCAGAGAUUAUUGGGUCCAAAGGAGGAAAAAAGGUGUGUCGAUGAGCUUGGUGAUGGCCCUCCAACUUGGUUGGAAAUUAUAUCAUGGAUGGUUACGUUUUUCCGGAUCUUUUUAUUCUAUAUACAUUACAUCAAAAAAAUUAUAAUAUUUCUUUUUUCAAAAAAUUAUUCCACGGCAACUUGGAAGCACAGUGGCCUCAGAUUUUAGUCAAGAAAGCAGCAAGCUGUUACAGCAGGCUCCCCGUUUUCAGGCCAAGAGACAGAUGGCUUUUAGUGUUCAAAGACUUGGUUGAUGUGUUGCCAUGUGUGACAUGAACAAAGACUUAUUUGGUUGUCAACAAAAUCCAAUAUGACCUAAGAAGAGCGUCUCCGUAGAUGUACCUGUCAUUAUUUUUGCUUUACUACUUUUUUUUAUCCAGAAAUAAGCUGAAAAUAACUCUCAGAAUCUAUUCUCACCAAAAUAUCAAUGGCCUCCGGGGCUUUGAACAGUUUCUAUGUAGGUCUUGUUUCCAGUCAAUGUUCUAGUGCUUUCUCCUUUCUAGUUGGUAUAGUGGCUACCCAUAAUUGAAGUUGGCUGGAAAAUAAGGGUAUUAUGCAGGCAAUCUUGACUUCUAUCAGCCCUCAUGUUUUAUUAUGUUAGUUUGGUAGCAUCAGGCAUGGCAUGACACAAAGCUCUGAGUUGGGAAACAUUUAUCAUUUUUUAUGUGUGUUUCAAGACCAAGUAGGGCUAGUGGGUAAGAAUGCACUAAUAUUUCUACGCACAACGUCACAGUAAAAAUGCACUAAUAUUUCAACACUGCUCCUGUUCAUUUUCAGCUGCAAAAGUUUGAAUAGCUGGGGUUGGAUAUAGGAUGAAGUGUCUGUGAUUUUCAUUUUCCAUCAGAAGAAAGGAUACCGAGUUUUGGGCUGGCUUACGCCGUUUUUUUCAUGCUUUUUGGCUUUUCUUCCUCUCUGUGGUGGAUCCUAGAAAGGGAAAUAUGGAAUUGGAAAAACAAAUAAUAUCAAGAACUACUGUAUCAAGAAAGGGGAGAAAAAAGAGAAAUUCAAAUUUUUGAUAUGAAGGAACUUGACUGCUGCAAUAGUUUAUUCCCAAAGUGUAUGGGAAGCAGGCUUCUGAAUUCACGAUUAAAUAUUUCCCCCUUUUUUAAGAUUUCAGCUUGCUUCUACCACUUGAUGUUUACAUGUGGUUAUAAAACUUAAUCAGAGUACACUUAUGAUUACUGCUCAGGCACAACAAGCUCUUGAAUUUGGCUAUUAACACUCUUCUGAUCAAUCUUGAUUAAUUUUUUUCUUGUACGUUGAGUUGAGGAAGAGAUGCAGGCAAGAAAUCACGAAUACAUUUCCGAUAGGAGUUAGAAUAAUCCAGGAGAUAUGGCAGAAUGAAAUACUGCAAAGAAAUAAAUGAGAAAAUAAAGAAACAAAAAUUGUCUGCUGGAAAAUCUAAAGGUGAAUUCACCAUCUGCCUAUAUCAAUAUUCUAUUUAUUUCCAAAUUAAGAUCACAAAAACAUGCCGCAAACUUGGAAGUUUUGGCUGCAGAAAGAAUCAAACAAGACUGGGAGCUUCUCUACCUAUUUUGUGAGCUAUCUUGGUUAUUGUUGGUCCUGAUUAGAACAUGCUUUCCAGCAUCAUUUCUUUCAAUCUCUCUUCUGUCUGCAAUAUUCUAACGGUGCUCAUGCUCAUCAUCGCUAUCAUCACCAUCGUUUUCCAAAUUUACUUCCUCAGAAUCAUAAUGAUCCUCUUCAUCUUCCUCAUCCUCCUCACCCUCAAGAAUUUCAUCAUCUGAUUGAAUAAGCUGCAACCUCAAACGUCCAUCUUCUCUGCAUGCAUGCAGAAACUCUUGAGUCGGAAAUCUAAUCUCCUGAAGAAUAAACCUGCCGUCUUGUCUAUAUGAUCUAAAAGACACCCAAGGCCUUCCUGUCCUUCCUAUACAAGAAAUUGGUGGAGGAAAUGACCCUUUAAUUGUUCUUGACCUUUUUGAUUCCUUAAAAAAGCAUAUUUUCUCCUCUGGGGGCUGGUGCUCCUGCUGAAUGUCAAAACUAGUCUCAUUUCCCAAAUCCUCCACAUCGUCAGAGCUUUCAAAUCCAAGACCCUCCGUGCAUAAUGAUAAACUCUCCGAAUUCACGGAAGAAAAGCUAUUACUGUGCUUGUAAUAUUUCUCGUGGCUUGGCGUUGGACAAUAGCUUGAUGCGGGGCUUUUGCUGCUGUCAUCCUCCUUGUCAAGUGGACUUUCAAUCCUAUUUUGUUGAUAUAUAUCUGCCAACAAUGAUGAAGAGGACAGCGAUGACGGUGACGAUGAGGAUGAGCAAGAAGAUGAUUCAGCAGGGAGAUCAAGAGAAGAUGAAGAGGAAGAGGGGGACUCAACAGAUUCAACAACUUCAUUCUCCUUGAAAUGUACUUCUCCAAAAAUCUCUGCAAAAGAAGAAUCUGGGAUUGGGUUCAUGGUUUUAAUCUGUUUCCAUGAAGGAAAGGGCUCAAGUAGAGUUGGACUUUCUGGUAAUGGCCUGUCAAAUAUGUGUUGAAGGCUUCCACAGGCCGUAGCCAUAGUUUGUACUUUCCACUGUCUUGUGGAAAAGAUGGUUCGAGAAAGAAAACAUGACAGGACUAAGCACAAAAAGAGUUAUGCAUCAGAGAUAAAAAAAAAAGAGAGAGAUAAGAGAGCAAACAGCAAAGCCUAAGAGGGAGACAUGCACGGGAAGGGCAUGGUUCUGCUGAUAAAGUCAAGAGUGGAAAGUUGCCAUUUAUUUGGGGAUGCUGGUUUCAGGGUGCCUCUAACUUAGGAGUGGAACAAGGAUGGGUGGUUAUCAAACUUUGGAUGAAUUUUGGUGGUCACAGUUUUUGUGUAGAAACUGUAAAGAAAUCACCAGUUGCCUUAUCUUUCCUGCCAGAUGAUAACAUUUGGCAUAUACCAACGUUUUAUGCGUGCCAAAUAUCUGAAAGAUUGUAACAUAGCAUCAUUGAAAGUUACACAAUAUACGCAUAGAUAUAGGAACUACUAGUAUCUGCUAAAGGUGCAUUGAGCACAAUUUUGAAAGGUUAAUUGCAGUUUAAAAAAAAAAAAAAACCUUUUGUUUCCUUCAAAAAAAAAACCCUUUUGUUUUAGUAUUUUUGAAUUAUUCUAGCCUCUUUUUUUUCAUUUUCUUAAUCGAUAUGCUAUAAUACAGUGAAUUUAAUUCUCAAUUUAACCUUUACUCUUCUCAUUCGUCAUUGAUGAUCGUUUGUCUUCUCAUUUAACACUUCUAAACCAACACAUAUCAUAUAGUGUUUUUGUUAUGAUUAUUAAAUAGUAAGGGCAUAAUAUGAUAUUUCAAUCAAUUAAUAAGGGCAUAAUGAUAAUAAGAAAAACUAAGAUCCUAACGAUGCUUGCAUUCAAAAUACCAAGACUCAUGGUACCUUUAUAAUGGUAAUAAAGAGAUUGAUAGAUAAAUAAUAGAUGUUCUUGAAUUCAACAAGGACUUGAAUUCUAUAUGCACAGGCAAAAUGGUACUCUUUUCUAACAUAAAAAUCUUAUCUUGGCCGAAAUUGGAGUUCUUCUCCGUACAUAGGUUAUCCAUUGCUUCGUCAUUGAUGAUCUUUUGUCUUCUUAUUUAACACUUCUAAACCAACACGCAUCACAUAGUGUUUUGUCAUGAUUAUUACAUAAUAAGGGCAAUAUAUGAUACUUCAAUCAAUUAAUAAGGACAUAACGAGGAUAAGGAAAACUAAGACCCUAAUGAUGUUUACAUUCAAAACACCAACACUCAUGGUAUCUUUAUAACGGUAAUAAAGAGAUAGAUAAAUAGAUAAAUAAUAGAUAUUCUUGAAUUCUACAUGCAAAGGCAAAAUGGUACUCUUUUCUGGCAUAAAAAUCUUAUCUUAGCCGAAAUUGGAGUUCUUCUCCUUUCAUAGGUAAUCCAUUUGCUUGCGUGUGAAGGUUAAAGAAUUCCUCAUUUGCAUCUACUUAGUACACAUAUUGGGAGUGCGAAUGGAAGGUUUAAAAAGCAGUUAGCAAACCACUGAAGACGAUGAAUGAUAUUUGCAAAGAGGGCUGUGCUAUAAAUGGGAUCACAAGCUCAGCAACUUUAUUGCAACUCCUAAUCUGUACUGGCACUGCAGAAUGCUUUACAGAGCAUACUGAUGUGAUCUGUUAAAACCCCAAAACCACAACGAACACUUCUUAGCAUAUCAGCAACUCCCACCUCCCAAGUUUUCCCUAUCAGGAUGGAUGUUAGUACUGAGUCAUGAAAGGCUUCAUCAAGUCAAUUUUUCUUGAUGUGAUCCUCGACUGUUUGAACCUGUUUUGUGAGCUAAAUUUUGAUGGUCACUACAGUUUACUUUACAUCAUAGAUGGAUUGUCGUCCCAAAAAAGAAAAUAUAACGACCGACACCAUUAGUUUCAAUUACCAUCAGAUCCCAGUAAUAUUCCCAUCUAGUAGAUUCAAGAAAUGGAGUAUUUGAACUUUAUGUGCAUUAGGCUUCUCGAAGUUCCAUCUCUACCCAAAAUGACAAACGAAAAGUAUGCUAUAUUGGCUUUAGUGUUGCCUAUCCUUGGCUUUGAUGAAUCCAAGUCUAUAGCACCGGUGCCUAAAGAAUAUUCCAUAUUGGUCAACAACUACUGGCCACCCUGCUGGAUCUUUCAGAUCUCUGGGCUGUCUAAAGAAUCCAAGGAUGAGGAUUGCUACUGAGGCAGCUAGUGAGAAUCUAAAAUCCACAGGAUAUUUUGCUUUUCCAGUGUUAUUGGCUUGAAAAUUUACCACCAUCAGAUAGUAGUGGUGCAAACAACAUCCAUAUCUUUGAUGUGGUCCUGGUGCAUCAAAAGAUGCAUGCACUACAACCAGCAUCCACAAGAAAAUGAUAUGAGAAUUUGCCUUUGAAAUCUUAAGGGAAAACUGCGGACUAGGCUCCAGAAGAAGCACCAUCAUCCAUCUCAUGCUGACAUCCGUGGAUGCCAACUGAAACCAAACACAUGAAAAUCAUUUUCUUGAUGUUCAGGAUAGAAGCUAUUAAGAAGUGUACGCUUGGAAGUGAAACUGCUGUCGCAAACCACUGAGUAGCACUACAUGGUAAUUCACAAUUUUUCACAUAUCAAAGUAUCAAACUGAACGCAGAACUGUUUCAUCAUGAAGUCAGUUCUGCUAAGUUAUUGGGCAUCAUUAACGCCAGGCUUCAAUUCUCUCUGUCAGGGAGUUUAUACGGCUCAAAUUGCUGAUUCCUUUGCUCUUAUUCUGAACUCCAAUAGCUAGAGCCACCAUAUGCUGCUCCUCUGUUCUCUUAGUACAGUUCAUCUGAAUGGAAUCACUGGACUGGCCAGUUCUGCUUUCUGGGAUGCUCUCUUUGAUGUCAUUCCUUGGACCACUUGCUAGAUUGGUUGCUGUAUAGGGACCAAUGGGAGUUCCACUAGACACACUUUCAUCAGAACAUUCUUCAGGAGAAGUUGAAGAACUGACAUACUCCUCAACGCUAAUGUUAUCUACUUGCUGACACUCAGAAGCACUAUCUGGCUCAGGUUCUCCAGCCACAAACAAAGGUUCGGGCUCUUCAUUUGACUCAGUAGCAUCCUCCACACAAACCUCUGGACUCUGAUGUCCAUUCUCAUCAUAGGGUUCACGGUGGAACAUGGAAGCUUGUUCUACAACCGAAUCUUCUCUGUCUCUUAAGGUCUUCUCAAUAAGAGUCUUGAGGAAAUUCAUUACUUGGACUGCAUACAUUAAUGCAGUCAAUGGAUCAGCCAUCUGCAGAAGGAAAAAGAAUUAAAAAGAAUCAACUCAGUUAAAAAGGAACAAAGGAUAAUGUUAAGAAUAAAUUCAAGAAGAGCAAAAGUAUGAUUAGCGAAACUCACCAUAUAGAUAAGGUCACCAUAAAUAUGUUAACAUUCGGACAGGUUUUGCUUUUUUCCUUUUUCUUUUUGGGAGGUACAGUGGAGUUGGAACAGUUACAAAUGCCCAUUAUAACUCCCUACUGUCACUUCAGAGAUGCAUAAUUUCAAGUAUGAUGCUGCUGUCAAAAUUCUUAUGGCUGGGCCAGAAUGAGAUAGUAAUGCACACAUAGAGAUGAUAGAAAUGGUCUAAAAUUAUCAUUCCUUCUCUUAAAAGUAUCUUUAAGUUGGUCUCACUAAGUUUUUCCCUUUUAAGCUUAACAAAUUUCCUGGAAGUGGUAUAUUGUCAUAGCAUCUGACAUUUGUGUGUGAAGAAUUCUGCCUUGGAAGCUUAGUUCCCCAAUGGACAAAAACUAAGAUUUGAUUCUUAUACCUUUUCUUUAAGUAGAACAAAGUAUGUUUUCAGGUAUGCAGUGGAGAAAAGUGAAUCAUUAACUUAAUACAAAUCACAAUAACCAAAAGGAAGCAAAGUUGAUUUAAUAAAAAAAAAAAAGUUAAAUUAGAUGCUCAUCCUAAUGCCAUCAAAAUUUACAGCAUUAUAAAAGAUAAGUAGCUGCAAGAACAUUACCUGCGUCAUAUUGGGCGCAAAUACCAUGGCAAUGUUGCGUGAGUUCAUCUUGUUUAGAUGUUCCAAUUGAACGACAUCUGCCAUCAAGUUGAUUGCCCAAUCCAGUAGAGCAGCUUCAGAUGAGGGUAGAAGCCUCACCAGUGCUGCACAAUCCUCCAUUGUUUGGCAUUGCAUAAUCUGUUCAGGUGAAAUAGGGUCUAAUACACCGCUAGGGAGUUCUCUGAACCAAGCCUGCAGGAUCAUGUGAAAAUUAAGUCAACCCUAAAACUUGCAGUGACUACUAGUCAAUGGGGUUAGCAAAAUAAAAUGCCUACUGAGCAAAGAGUAACUGUUGCAAACUCAAAAGCAAGUACAACUAAUCAGAAUUUUUCCAAACACAGAUCUUUUUCCAAAGCAUAUAGUCAAUCCAUUUUUAUGCAACUGUUUAAGAUAUUUGGACUGGCCCAAGAAGAUGAAUUUCUUCUUGCUUCUGCUCCAAAGACACUUGAGAGAGAGAGAGAGAGAGAGAGAUCUUUCAGGAAUGAAUAUAAUCAUCAAACCCAGAUAUAAAGAAGACAAAAGAAAAUUUGAAACAAUCUUCGUACUCUAUUAAAAAACAGAAGCAGAUUACAAGUAGAAUUCAUUUGGUAGAGAUUUAUAAUCUAGAUUUCAUAUCUAAUGCUUAAUCAUGAAAGUCCACAUAUUCACCUAAUUACAUUCUGCAUAACCAACAAUCUCCAUCCUAAUGCCCAAAACUGAGCCCAAAAAGAUGAUUAAUUGAUACUACCUAAGAUGUUGAACUUCCAUCUUAGCGCAGAAUUUCAUUGUUGGUCAAUAAGCUAAUGGGACUCUGGGUGGUCUUUAUCAUUCAGUUACUGACAAUAAUCAUCAGUAUGGUGAUGAAUUACAAAGAAGUUAUACUUCAGUUUAUCAUAAAAGGCAUGAGCUGACACUAGGGUACAGAAUAAUCGAAUUAACACAUUACAACUUUCAAGGUUGGAUGUGCUAUAUCAAGGAGCUUAUUGCAUAAUGCGAGUAUCAAAACACUGUGUCAAAAUUCUGUAUAUAAGAUUUCAUACAGCAAAACACAAUCACAGGGAAAUGAACAUAUUUACUUAAGAAUACAUGUAUAGCAAAGGCCAAUAGAAUCAGUAAUUCCAUUAAAUGUAUGAUACACUAAAUGGAGAAGUACUUAACAAGCUAGAAUUCCCCAAAUUUAUUCACAAAAAAUGAGAGGUAAUUCAGAUGGGCUUCAUUUCCAGAAUACAAACAAGAACAAUAAGCGGGAACCUUUAUUACAACGAAAAGGCCAGCAAAGGUUUGUAAUUGUUUAUUAGCAUAUAGGGAAAAAAAAAAUAGAAGAAGUAAUAUAUACCAGGUUGUCAGGUUAGUUCAACUUUUAACUGCUUGAUAACACUUAGGAUAGAUAUCAAUGGCUCAAGCACUCUGUCAGUCUCAAUACUGUAUGAUCUAGGUUAUGCCUUUAACAAGAUAUGUAUCAUUAUAAACACGAAUGAUCUUAACAUAAACCAUCCAUAUCUACUAACUUGUAAUAUAAAUAUGCACUCCCAUUAAUAUUGUCCAACAGAAGAAGCAAAGUUAUAACUAAAAAAGGAUAUGGCAGUCAUAUCUACUCAUAUUUUGAGGUCAGGAUGAUUGCAAAAUAUCCCUCUAAUAAAGUUAAACAGCCAUUGGAGAAACUGAAAAAACGGAGGUAAAUAUACAUAUAAAAAUUUCAUUAAUGUACAUUCAUCCUAGCUUUCCCAUUAAUGCCAUCAUGAACAAGACAUUAUUAAAUAACAGAAUACCAAAUGCAUUUGAGGUGCACCUUGAUUAGGCCAGCCAAACAGUGAACAUCAAUGCCUUCCGGAACAGUUCCCCCGUUUAGUUGGUCCCUCACAUACUCUUCCUGGCUAUUUUCUGCAUUUAUUCUGAAAAUGCCUUCUGCCUGCAUAAGUUGAAAAGUUAAACUUCAAAGCUUGUGAAUUUUAUUAAAGGGUAGGUUGUGGAGAGCUUACUAGCCAUACAGAGAAAUGUAUUUCAUGAAUGAAACAGAAGAUCCUAACAAAAAGUCUUCACCUGUAGGCCACCUUGAGCAUACAAACGUCCUUGCAUAAGUAAAAGGAUUGUUGGAAUACUGUUCCCUCUGGAGUCAAAUGAUAACUGCAUGGAUUCUGUGGAAACUCCAAAAACAGUGGCACUGUUGGUUCAAGUUCAAAAAGUCACUAACAGUGAGGACACACUCAUGCUAAGAAAAUGAUUAACACUUAAAAUGGAUUCUCAAAGAUGUAAACUACACAUUGAAACAUCACAAAUAUGUAGGAAUGAAAAUAAAGAUGUUAACUUCUGGACACCCCAAGGAACCAAGUCCAGAUUAUAUUCUGCUUGGUGCAUGAUUAAAGAGAUUUACAACUGAUAUAAAGAUAAGCAAACAGCAUACUAUAAAAUAGCUCUAAAUUCUAUCCAUGAAUACAUGAGUUACCGGUGGAUAACACACAUUGCAUUACAAACUUGUCAUACAUAAACGCAAGAUCAAACCAGCCAAGGCAGGCAUCCAGACAUGGGAAGUUUCUGAAAAUGCAUAUGCUCAUAUAUACCAGAUAUGCAGCUCUUAAUAGAAACAUAAACACCUUUAUCUCAAGAACCCACUUUUCCACUGAAGCUACCUCCCUCUCCCUACCUCUUCCUCUCUUCCCCCUUGUAUUUGGUAUUUGCCAAAAUUGAGAUUGGGCAAGUACCAGAAGUCAUUUGCAAACUAAAGCAGAUCCAACUUUUCAAAAUAUCAACUAGUAUCUUCUCACCUGUUUCUAGAAAAUUAGGUCAAUCUUCAAAAAGAGAGUUCACCAAAGAAAAGGGUCUCCAGUUAACCUUCACAUAAUGGGCUUAUCCCAUGCCAAUCCUGCUUGCCAUUAAAAAGAAACAAAUGAAGGACACCUUGAUCUGAAAGAUCCAAAUAUGCAGGUGCCCCAUCUUGGUCCAAGCAAGGUUGUAAGGUCCAGAAAACAGUAGUGUCCCAGGGGAAUGAGAUAAUGCACAUUCUGGCCAAUGAAUAUCAGUUUAUAGACAACACUUUCCUAAUGCACAUAACAAGGGAGUUAUUUGGUAGCUCACAGACAAGACGAGGAAGGAUAUACAAACUACUUUUGUGCAUUAUCACUUGCAACAAAAGAAAGGUUCGAGACAUCUACCAAAUUACUUGAUACACAAUUGGAGGUUGACGUAUAACUCAUAUUGAAUGGACAAGAACAGAGAACAGCAGAAAGCAAAAUUAAAUGCUCCCUUAGCAGAUACAGAUUUGUUUUAGAGGAUAACAAAAGCACAAAUGAACAAGUAGAUUCAUGCACUGAUUCAAAGUGGAGGAACAUAUUGUAUCUCAUCACAAAAAGAAGAUGGAUAAACGCAGUUUUGACAGGAAAUCAUUUUUUGGUUACAGCAAAAGAUGAGUUCUCUCAGAAAGCAAAUUGGCACAAACACAGUAGAAUAAGCAUAUAGAUUAGUAGAAGCCAGGGUUUAAGCCUAACUCCAGCUUAUCUUCUUUUUCAAGAUAAGGAAACUCUGGUCAUAUUUCUGGAAACAUCUUUUCCAGUUACAGUUUGAGAAGAAACUCAAUGCAGGAAAACUAAUCAAUCCUGUCUUUUAAUAUCUCAGAGGUAAAGUAUAGCAAGUCCACACCUUCCCAUAUACCUUAACCCACAUUAAAAUUGAGAAAUAAAUUACUGAAGUAUCAUAAAAGGUGUUCAACCAACAAAUUUUUACUUAUAAAGCUCUACUCGCAUAUAAGUUUCAGUCCCUAGACCAUUUGACUGAAGCUAGAUCUCAAUUUGGAAGAACCAGUACUCCAACUUUUGUGUCAUAUAUCUAAUGUGCCAAAUGAACUGAUAGAAUCAUAAGCAAAACGUACAGCCAGUUAAACAGCAGCAAGGAAAACCUAAAUUUACAGAAUUGCGUUCAAGAAAAACCAUCAAGCUAGUAAACGUUCAAUAAAAGAAUCAGCUACACAAGUGCUCAUUGAUACAAAAAUUAUUUUGUCCAAUUCCAAAAUUUCCUAUUAAACACAACUAACAAUUCACCAACAAAAAAGACUCACAAGUUCAAGACCCUGAACCCAAAAUGCACACGUACACGAACAAACAGCACAAAUUACAAAUGGAGAAUUCCAAAAUCCAAGAAAAAGAAAAUUCGUCCACAUUUCAGGAUAGAUAAAUAACCAGAAGGAAGAAAAGAAAGAAAGAAAGAAAGAAUGUACCUAGCACUAGGAGCCCUUCUGGGGACUUCAGGCUCAAACUCAACAGGCAAACCCAAGAAGCCAUUAAACCUAUCAAAGGUGACAUGUGCAACAUGGCGGACAUUAGUAGGCCACCCAAUCUCCAUCCCUCCUGCAGCACCUCCGCCUCUAUUACCAAGCUCUUCUCUUCCACCACCGCCAGUAGUAGUCUUGCAAGCCAUCCAAAAACUUUUCCUAAUCAAUGUCACCAGAAAAGCUAGUAAAGACAGCUGAUGAUCCCUUCUCUCCUUGUUCUCUUUUUCUUUCACUUCUCCUCCUUCUUCUUCACUUUCCCCCUCACUACCGGUAAUUCUAGCAAUAAUUUCUUCUUCCUCUUCUUCUCUUCUUCUCAGAAAAGACUGAAACAAUGUCCCAUUGUCGGUUGGGGUGGAAAUUGAAGGAGAAGAAGAGGAGGAAGACGAGUGGAGUACCUCUGUCAUGGCUGGCCUUUUCAGUAGAACUAAAAAAUGGGUUUUUUUUUUCUCCAAAAAAAAAAUCAACAAAGCAAGAAUCUCGUCUUUUUCUUGAGAAUUAAAAUAUGGGUUCUUGAAGAUUUGGUAAAGGGUCUAAAAAAAUGGAAGAAAUGGGGUGGAAAGAUUCAAUCUUGAUGUAAAAUGUCAAUAUGGUGGUGGACUGGUGGUUAUAGUUUGAGGGAGGCAACGAAUGGGAUGCAUGAAUAAUAUGAAGAAAAAUGGAAUACUGCGAGAGAUUCGUAUAAAGGGGUAGCAGUUAUACAAGAGUUAGAUUGAAGGAAUGGUAAGGAGCGAGGAGAGAUGGGACGUGAGAAUCAUGAACCGCUGACUGAUGACUAAUUUUUCCCAUUUUUUAUUAGUAUACGUUUCUUUCUUGUGUUGUUGGCUCUGUUCUGGCUUGCUCUUGAAUGAUGGAAGCGUUGAAGAAAUCAGAUAUGUGCUCGAGGAGAGAGAAGAGGAAAUGGAGAGUGAGGAGGGGAAUGCCAUAAAGUUAGCAUAACAAAAUUACUAUCUAUAUAUAUUAUACUACUCCUAUAUAUAAAUCUAGGACAUAGUAGUGUAUUGUGUAUGUGUGAGUCUGCAAGUGUUUAGUGUGUGAAAUUGGGUUUUGGGGAGAUUCACUUCAGAAGGUGAUAUCGCGAAGAUGUGUUCUUGCUUUGGAUCCCAAUAUCUCAUCAGACGUCUGAGCUGCUCGUCAGGGGUCUUUUUGGUCUUAUUGUUUUUUUUUUGGCCUUAUUGUUACUCUGGCCUAAUAUUCUUUUUGGUAUCUUGGUGUAUCCAGUAAGAUUAUGCCACAUCAGAAAUAUAUAGAUCAGUUUUUGUCAUUUGGGGUCAAAGUUGAUGUCAUUAAUUUUUCUUCUUUCAACUUUCAAUUCAUUGAAUUCAGUUUUAAUCCCUUGAGAAAAAGCAUUCCAGAGUUCAUUUAUUCUCUGUUUUUCUUCUUCAUUUUCAAGCAUCCAUUUGUAAUUUCUUCUUCAUUUAUUCUCUGUUUUUUUUCUUGUUUGGACAGCAAUUUUUCAAAGAGAAAUUGAUACGUUUUUUGUGAACACAUUUCUCAAUCACCUUUUUAUCUCACAUAUAUCAAAUCGUUGCAAUAAUUUUUCUAUAAAAAGAAUCCAUAAAAAUGCAAUCCAAACAGGGAUAUUCUUCGAGCAAUAAUGCAACAAUAACAUGUUGCUCAAGUUUUGGGAUCAAAAGAUAGGGUGAUAGCAAUUGAUGGUUCAUUCAUAUCAAGGGUCCCAAAUGAGAGCAAUCAAUGAAUCAUGCUACGCCAUAUAUAUAUAUAUAUAUAUAUAUAUAUAUAUAUAUAUAUAUAUAUAUAUAUAUAUAUAUAUAUAUAUAUAUAUAUAUAUAUAUAUAUAUAUCUAGCAAAGAUGACUGCUUAUCUGCUUGAAGACAGGGACGGAGCCAGAAAUUUAUUUUUGGGGGGGCUGAAGUGUAUUAAAAAAUUUUUUUUGUCACGAAAUAAAUAUAUUUAAUAAGUAAAAUUUAGAAUCAAUAAUUAUAAAAAUAAUAAAAACAUAUAAUUAUACAUACCCAAAAAUUUGUUAUUGAUUAACACUUGAAGUAUUGGUAGUUGUUGCACUCGAAUAACGAAGAGGAGGCAAUUGCAUUCUGCGAGUCUUCAUCCGUUGAAAACGCUGCAAUAUUUGCUCAUUUUCAAUUGUUGCAAAAAUAUCCUUCUCGAUGUAUACAACCAGACAGUCAUUCAUCCACUCGUCUCCCAUUUUGUUGCGCAAAUCAGUCUUGACAAUAUUCAUUGCAGAAAAUACUCUUUCAACAGAAGCAGUUGGAAAAAUUCUGUCGUAGGGAUGGCAAUUAUAGGGCAGGAGAUCCCUCUCCCGUCCCGUGCUUUUAAAAUUCUUUUUAUUUAUAAUAGCAACGAAUUGGGAAAAUUCUGCCAUUUGAUGGCAAUGGGGUGUGGGAUCCCUCUUCGAUCCGAUGUUCUAAAAUCUCCCUGGCCCAGUUCCCCGCUUUUUCUAUCCAUAUACCCUGCCUAUACACCUACGGGUGCCCUCACUAUUGUGUAAUUAUACUUUUUAUGUAUAUAAAACAUUAAUAACAACAUUAUAAAUUAUUUUUUAAAAUUCUUAACUGAAUAUUCAAUGUAAAAUCAAGGUUAAAAAUCACUUUGAUCUUUUUUUAAUUCAUUUCUCUACUUUUAAUAGGAAAUCUAAACUUACAAUCAUUAUGUUUAAACAAUGUAAAAAAAUUGAAGUAAACUAAAAAAUAAUUAAAUAAUAAUGUGUUUAUGUAUAAAUGUAUAUAUAUGUAUAAAACAAUAUAUAGAUCAUUGUAUUUUUGUUCAAUUUUUAUAUUGAUAACCUGCUCCGUUGAAAUGAGGGGAGAAAAAUCUAUCCGGCCCUGCAUUCCUAAUCUACCGCUAGUUAUGCACUUGACAUCAAAAGUAGAAAGAAACUAACGACCAAUAGAGCAAAGGAAUUGAUUCAUACAGAGACAUGUCCAAGUCAUUAUGUUUGUCCGGCAUUAUCAUUAUCUCCUUUCACCGUGGGGGGGCUGGGCUGGCCGCCGGAAUCCCCUAUAUAUAGGGGGUUUUCCGGCGGCUUGGGGGGGGGCUUAAGCCCCCACCAGCCCCCCCUUAAAUCCGUGGCUGCUUGAAGAUAUGGUUAUAUCCCUCUUUUCUUACAAUUUAGAGUAUCAAUUUGCAAUAUCUAAUAUUACAUUUUAUCUCAAGAUAAAGUUUUAAACGCAUGAAUCAAAUAAAUCCACUGUCUAACUCUAACUCAUUAGUGUUUUGACCCUUAACUCCACAAUCACCAAAACUCAUUGCCCUUUUCCUGAAAUUUGGUUUUUAUCCUUGUAAUGAUCCUUGAAGGAAAAUAAUAAUAACAAAUGACCCUUAUUGUACAGCAAUUUUUUCCCUGGUACCUUGCUGGAUUCAUCUACAACUACCCUCGCACCAGCUUCAUUACUUGUUAGUUCUGACCCUGCCAUGAUUUACUUGACACAAAAUUUUGUCGGAUAUAAAAGUGUAGUUAAUUAUUGCAUGUGCUUGCUCAAAUUCAAGCAGGACAACAGAAAAUUUAUUUACUACUAGUCUAAUAAAUGCGUCAUAACAACCUUCACCUUGAUUGGAGACCGACUUAACUUAUUAAUCUCAAUGAUUUUGGUCAAGAAUCAAUCAUAUCAUGCAACCAUCAAAACGCCAGUCAUUUCUCACUUCUGAUAUACCAAGUCUAGGAAACUUCUUGGAUUGAUAAUCAUGUUUGGUAAAUUACCCUUACUUACGCUUAAUCUUUACUCGGUGGAAAACAUACUACUAUGUGUCAAAGCAAAAUGCGCAAUAAGUUUUACCAAGUGCAUUUUACAAGUCUUUGCUGGUAUCUGUUCUAAUUGUUAUUCACAUCUAAUGCCAGAGACAGUGAAUUUGUAACAUAUACUCCUAUGAUCGUGGUAGAUUUGUGCCAAUUCCGGUUACCAUGAAAAGGGAUUUUGGGCAUCAUUUCUUCAUUCUUUUAUGAACUUGGUAGAUGGGAAUUAUGCCCAUUCAAAAUACAUUGCUGAGUGAAAAUAGAUGUAUGUGGUAAUAGACAUAAAAGUGUGGCAUAAAUGUAGUUGAGCCUACUUGAGUAUCAUAUUGAAUCUAUAAUUAACUUGCCAAGCCAGAUUCAUCUUUACUCAAAAUUAAGACGACUUAAAGGAGGAUGGAGCUCUCUAAUCAUUACGUUUUUCUCACUUUGGGUGCUCCCUAGUCUCAUUAUAUAUUUAGGUAGUGGAUUGAGUACCUUAAAAAGGGACAUCAUAAGCUUUUCCUCUUGAACUUCCAAGAUGUAAAAUGCUGCCCCUCUAAGUUUUUUUUUUUUUUAAUUAAAGGUGAAGAUUUCUCAAGUAGUUUUCCAAAUUAUAGAAUUUAUAAUGACUGCCCUUCUUGGUUAAAUUAUCCAACAAAAAUAUGUAUGCCAAUUUAAAAAUCUUCUUGCAUAUAAUACUCCCACCAUCCCAUUUUGAUAGUUUUGUUUUUUUUUCACAUAAUUUAAGAAAAAUUAAUUAACUUUGUUGGAAGAGUAAAUCUAACCUACUAUUUUUUAAAUACCCUUAUGCUAAUAUUAGGAGUAUGACUAAUCAUUAUACCUUUAUUUUAAUUAUAAUAAUAAUACUAAAUAGAAAAUUGCACUAUUCAAGGCAUGAAUCAGAGCAAUUAUUGAAUAAGGUGGAUUACACUCACUGACAGUAAAAGUACAUUAAAUAAGGGUAUUUUAGAUAAAUUAAAAGUUAAUUAGUAUAUUUUUCAACAAAAAGUGAAAUAUAAUUUGAGAUGGAUGAAAAAUAAAAACAAGAAUAUCAAAGUGAGAUAGAUGGAAUAUAAUACAAUGAGGGAAACAUAAUCAAGGUGUAGCGAUGCAUGGGAGAUUUUUGGAAUUUUGUCAAAUUUUACGGGCGAUCAAUGUAAUUAACCCAAAAUAAUUUUGAACAAAAAAUUUAAAAAAAUAUAUGAAGUAGAAGUUGUGGACAAAGCUUACAACAUGAUUACAUCCAUCAAAAAGUUUAUAUUAUAUAUCUCGUAGCGACGGUGUUGUGCUGUACUAGCCCAGAAGACACGUGAAGCCGAAGAAGCAAAACACAUGUAAUCCACGCGUCGUAUGCCCUCUAGCUUCCUCUUCAUAGUUUCUCUUUUGCCUUUAUUUUUUUUUUUUUUAAAUCUCAAGUACAAUUUCUGCUAUAUUUAUUCUUGAUGAUUCUUUUGCUUCCUAGUACUAAGUAGAGAUUAAUUUGCACCUCAGACGUUAAUUUAAGGAAAUCAAGAAGUGCAAUUAUGGCUAGUACUCCUGAUCAAGAAGCUGAUCAAAUGGCUGCAGCUGCUAUAGAUGAUGACUUGACUUAUGAUCAAUUAGGUGAUGGAGAGAUAGAGCAAGAACUUGAUUCUGAUUUUCUUCUUAAUCCUGAUAUUCCCACCUCUUCUAAACAACUAAAGGUACGAAAUUUGCUGACCCUUUAUGUUAUUUUAUAACUUUCAUGCUUUGUAAGCUCUAAUUUCUGUGUUGCUUUUGUCUUUGCUUAUGUCCCAAAAGGAGAAAAAAAAAAAGUGCUAUAUAUAGUUUUGUUAUGUAUUGAAGAACAAAGGUAUGUACCAUGGCUUAAAUCUUAACUUGUCACCUUUCUUGUAAUCUUGACUUGGCAACAAUUAAGUGCUACCUCUUUUGUGAUUAUGUGCUAUUCUGAUUCUAAGGUUGAAGCCCAAAACGUGGAGGUUCUUAAUUUUAGGAUUCCGACUUCAAAAAUUAGCCAAAACAUGUUGCCAAGAUCAAGAAUCAGUUGAGAACUAACCCAAAAGAUGUUCUUAAUUUUAUGAUUUUCCUAAAAUUCAGAGGUGUUUUGAGUUGUUCUUGAAUUGGUUGACUUGAUUUACUACUACAUUGGAACUUGCUGGCAAUUUGCAGAAUGAAAAAGCUGAUGCAGAAAGGAAAGAAAACAAGCAUGGGAUGCCUGAUAACCUCAAGUCCACCCUUCUAUUUUCAGGGGUGGUGAUUGCUGUGGUUGGAGCUAUAUUUGCUGUGCUUAAGAAGAUUAGAGAGGCAUAAAUUUCUCUCCUCCUGAAGUUUUUUGAAGUCACAUCCGCCGUUGCAUUUUCACGCUCACCCAAGUCUGGAAUGUCAAGCCAUCAACUUCUAGCUUUCUUUCAAUAGACUAAGCUGUAAGGAAUCAUUUUGGGUUGCACGUUCAAAUCAACAAAUUGUACAUCGAUCUCAAGCUUUCCCCCUUGACAAAAAUGAAAUUAAUAUCACUGCACUGUAAUUUCCUUUACUUCAGGCUUCAUCCCUUCAUUUUGAGGGAAGAAAAAAGUCUGCCAAGAGACCCAGAGCCUUCUAAACUUUCAAUUUGCCUUCAUCUUCCUAUCCUAAAAGAUCCACCAUCUACGUCCUUCCGUUUCUAAAAUUUUCAGGCCUAAUAUUUAACAUUCCUCUGCAAAGGGUACAGGGCACAACUUGAAGCCCAGCAUUUUCCUGUAAAUGCAGUGGAUACAUACAACGAAUACCAUAAAUUUGCUUCAUAAACAUGGGUUUUGGAUGUUGUACAGGGUCUCCAACCAUAAAGCAGCAGUAGGAGAAAGGAGGGAACAGAUCACCAAUCAGAACAUAUCAAAUCAAAAAUCAUUUGCAUGUAUCAGCGUGUGCUUCCUCCUCCUCUAAAAGAGCUGUAGUUUACUAGAAUUAACAUGGAUAAAAUCGUCACAAAGUAGCAGACAAGUUAUUAUAUCUCAGCUUCACAUUGUAUAUCCACCAUUUAGUGUAAAAGUACUCGUUACAAGGGGGAAGAGAAGAGGUAACACAUCAAAGAUUAGUCUGCAUUAUUUCCUCUUAGCCAUAGCUUUGUGUAAAUUUGCCUUAGUCAUGCACUUCUUCUGCUUUCUUGUCUUUUGACAACAAGUACCAACCCCCAGCACCAAGAAGAGUCACCGCUCCAGCAACAACUGCAUAGUUUCUAUACUUGUCAGUUGACACACCAGGUGUUGAGGAGCUCUGAGCACUAGGUUUAGCAUCAGCAACAGAUCCUGAACCCCCUGAGCCUGUUGCUGUCUCUUCUGCUUUUGGUCCCUGUUAGAAAUUAGCCACGAAGUUUUAAGAAGUGAAAUCAUGAAGCUCAUAACAGCAGAAAGUAAACACAGUAUGAACACAUUUAAAUCUCGCCUCAAUUGGUUAUCAUAUCACCACAUAUCAUAUCACCACAUAGGAUAACACGUUGAUGAGAAUGAAUUACAAAUAUGCAAACUAAAAUGUUAUGCUAGAGAAUAUGCAACAUACUAAAAUUCCAAACAAAUUCUGGCUAGAACACACCAAAGCAGCAAAUAUUCAAUCACCAAGAUGAUUAUCAUGUCGCAAAUUAAUCUGACGAUUCCUUUCCCUAGUGUCAAAGUAACUGAGAAUUUUCUUUCCACUCUGCAGAAUAUUUUGAAUUAAAAGUGUAUAAACUGAACCACUAAUAGUUCACAAACACCAAGGUAAAAUCAUAGCCAUUUUUUUGUGUACCUUGCGUGCAAGCUUCUCCAACUUCUCUUGCUCAAUUUUCUGCAGAGCAAACAAACAAAUUCAGCAGUUAAAGAAUUUGAUCUACACAAAGGAAAUCGAAAUGAACAAUCAAGUCAACAUAGAGAAGCAGAAAUUCAUGUAUAAUAAUUAUAACUACAUCAUAAAUAGUUCUGAAUUCAUACAUUUAUCCUCCGUUACGGCUCUGAGGAAAUUAGUUUCCUAACCUUAGGAGUAGAAGAAUGAGUAAAAGGAGAAAAGACCAAGUAAUAAGAUCAAUUUUCAAGUGCCAUCAAGAGAGAGCUAGACAUAAAUAUCUUUUUUUUCAAUCUGAAAUCCUUUGUGCGGUAGGGUGACCAAUCAACAUCGAACAGGAAAAGGGACAGAGUCAAAACAGCAAACUUAAGUUUCUAGAAAUGCACAGUAAACCCUAGACUAGCACUAAGAAGCCCAACAAAUGGAACGCCUACCUGUGAUCAUGUCUAUUAAACACAUUAAACAUGCUUUAUCCACAUAAGAGCCAUUCUUAGACUAGACAUCCAACAGAAUUCAACACUGUUUGAAGAUUCAUGACCUAGUUUAGACUUGAGAAUCACACAACAAACACUAGAAUAUGACUUGGUGCUUGCCAGGUGCAUAACUGAGGGAUCUGGAGUUGUUAGAUUUUACUCAAAAUAAGAACCAUCGAAACAUGAAGCCUUUUGAGGAGUAUCAAUACCAUCAAAUGUCAGAGUACUCAAUAUACCCAACCCCAAGCAUUUGAGAACCAGAAUAUGCGAUCUUCCUAUAAAGAUUUAGUCAAGCAUACGAGAAAAAACAUAAAAAACAACUUACAACUCCUGCAGGAAACAUAAGCAUUCAGAAUUUUGACAUUUCCGACUAAUCAUUUGCUUUAGGUACCAAAGCCGAUAAUAUACAAUAAUGCACAUGUAUGAUCCUUUCUGUGUAUGGAUACAGUUCUAGACACAGAACAAGAAACAGAUACAAACUGUCUAGCAGCUCAGAUAACUAUGCCGAAAAUAGAACACAAUCAGGAAAUGCCAAAAAGGAUACAGCACCUUCAUAAAAAUAUGCAACUAAAAAUCAAAACUGAAUGCGUAAGUAAAUUGCAACCCAGCAGCAACAUCCAAAAGAUCAAUCAGGAAAAAGAAACCCAAUAUCCCAAAUAAACAACAGUACUUAUUAACCUUGAUGUAGACAUUUUCUGCAGCUUUUUCCUCCUCACUGAGAACUUUGCCACUGCUAGAGAACCUGCGAGAAACAUAUCUCAUUGCCAUCCUACUCGCCAUUGUGAGCUGCCUUGAUAAGAAUUCCCUGUCAAAAACGUAGAUAAUUACAAAAUCUUCCACUGACUACACUAACCUACUGCUUUAGCAAACUAAACCGAAAUCUAAACAUAUAAUCAAGAAAAUGAAUCGAUCCCAUCAUAGAUUCACAACAAAAAUUAAACAAUCCAAAAUUUUUUGCCAAUGAAUUUUAAACGAAAAAACAUGUAUAACAAUAAUAAUUAAAAAUCCUUAAAAAAACCCCAACAAAAGAGAAUAUUAGUAAUGUAGAGACAAAACCCACAAGCCAGAAUCCACAAAAUGUAGAACUUCAUACAAUCAAAAUAAAUUCAUCUGAUUUCGAACCGCUUCAACUAAUAAUGCAGGAUAUGCAUGCGAAAAAAAAAUCAGAAAAAUACUCGAAAUUAAAUAAAUAUAUGAAAAAAAAUCAAGAGGUUGGGUGCUUACCAAGAAAUUCGGAUUGAGAGAAAAUUGUGAGAGUAGCUGAAUAGAGUUCUGCGUGGGUUUUUGUUAUAGAUUGGGAAGAAAAUACGUCAGCAGACUAGAAAGUUGUACUAGCGGAUUAGUAGUAGUUUUUUAAUAAGAAGCACAAUACCUCCGGCUCAAGAAAGGAAUUGAUUUUGUGGACCGGUCCAACACCAUUCUGGGCUUAGAACAUACAAAGCCCACAAACAGCAUUUUCGUUUUCUACACAAGUUUUCAGUAUUAAGAACUACUAAUAUUAAAUUAUCUUGGGAAAAUAUAUUUUGGAUAAUUUGUAGUGCUAUAUUUUUUGGAUUAACUUUUUAUGCCCUAACAUUGUGGUAAAUUUUUUACACUAAUAGUUAUGAAUACAUGCCACGUAUACAUGAUUUGACUUUUAAAUUUAAAUUAAUGUUAUGUAACAUGGUUUAAACAUGCUAGUGUAAAAAAAUUGUAUACUAGCAGUAUACAAAAAAAUUAAUCAUAUUUUUUAGUGUAUCUUGCUAGAUUAUUAAUAUUGGUGUAACCUAAACGAGGAUAAUCAAAUUGAAGAAGUUCAAUGUACAAAGGCCUGGUUUUAGUGUUCUUGAGUAGCUCAUAAUUAUUUAUGUGGGAAUUUUAGCAUUAAAAAAAUGGAUAUUCAUCAAACUAAAAUCAAUGUACAAAGGUCUGGUUUUAGUGUUCUUAAGGAGCUCAUAAUUAUUUAUGUGCGAAUUUUAGCAUUAAAAAAAUGGAUGUUCAUCAAACUAAAAUCAUCUAGUACACCAUGAAUACCUUAGAUUUAUUUGCACAUAAGUUUCAAAAUUUGUUACUAUAUCUCAUUGGGCAUGAAUUUAACCUUUUCUUAAAAAAUUUUAAGAUCUCUAAUUUUUAGAAUUUCAACUUUAGUCUGAACAAGAAUUUAACCUUAAAAGUUGAUGUAAAAGUUGUUAAGCAUCAAAAUUUGUUUGCUAUUUACUUUGAUUGGUUCACGAAUUAAUUUAAACAUAUUCUUGUCCUAUGAUAUUGUUAAAUAUCAUGCUUUUUGUUUUUCAAAUGGUGCAAUCAAUUGAAUUCUUGUGAAUUCAUAUUAGCACUCCCAAGUUUAGUAGCAACAAAUUCCUUCACUUUUCAAAUUACAAAAAUAUGUUCCAUUUGGAUUAAUAUUUUUUGAAUUUUCUAUACAAAAAUUAUAUGGUAGCGAUUUUGUCAUUUAAUGUAUGUAGGGUAAAAAGAUAAGCGUUAUUAUCACUUUGCCCCCCUUUAAUUAUAUCAUUAUUAUCAAUUUACCGCCUAAUGUUAUCUUUUAGUUACUUCACCAUAUAGGUAAUUCAACUCAGCACGUUAAUAAAAUUUUGACAAAAAUACUCUUUUAUUUUAUAGCAUUACUACAUUAUUAUUAUCACUUUAUCCCUUUAAAUUAUAGUAAUAUAAUCGCUUUAUUCUCUUCUAGAUAUUUUACCCUAUUGCUAAUAUAAAAAGUAUGUUAAAAAAUGUUUAAAUGCAUUUACCUUUUUUAUAUAUAAUUAAAAAUAAAAAGUUGGAAUAAUUAUUCUUUCUUUUUUCCACUCUAAGAUUCAAAAAACAUAAAAAUAAAAGGGUUUUCUCAAAUUUCUUCUUUCACACUUAUUAAUACUUGGAAAAGAAAAGGAGAUAGGACAGAAGGAAAUGGAAAAUUAGAUUUUGCAAAAAAAGGGAAAAAUAAGGAAGAAUCUAAUAUUAUCGUAUUACUUUAAUAUUCUCUAAAUUAGAAUUGAAAUUGGGUAAUAAACAGAAAAAUAAAAUAAUUUUAAAAUAAUAAAAAUAUUGAAUCCUUUCUUGUUUGUAUUUAAAAAAAAAAGAAUUGAAUUCUCUCUCUCCGUCACCCAUUUUUCUACUUUUUUUUGAAUAUAAAUAAGAUUGCCAAUAAGAAAUAGAUUAAUAUUUUGACUUUUUUUUUCUUCAUACUAAAAAGGAGAAGAGCCACUCUAAAUUUUUUAUUAUUUUUAUUAUACAAAAAAAGAGUGUCUAUCUUCUAAAGUUUUUUAACUUUUUAAGUUGGUUUAAUGAUAGGAUAAAUUAUUUAAAAAAUUACUUUAUGGGGUAAACUGAUAAUAAAGUUAUAAUUUAUGGGGGAUAAAGUAAUAAUAAUUUUAAAUGUUAAAUAUGUCUCAUCACUUAAAUUAAUAAAAAACUCCGUUAAGUUUAACCAUUAAUUUUGGGAUAAAAUGACUAAAAAUAACAUUAAGGGAGAAAUUGAUAGUAAAGCCAAACAUUAAGGGGGUAAAAUGAUAAUAAUCCAAAAUAUAAUUGUGAUACAUGGUUACUUAAAAGGCAAAAUCGUUCAAAACGUCCCUCACAAUUUGUAAAAUGAUUUUUUUUUGUCAUUCAUUUUUAAAAAUGUAAUUUUAUAUCCCUUACAAAUUCACAUUUAUCAAAUUUGAUCAUUACCUAAGUUUCUGACUAGUUUUUAGUCAAAAUUCAAUGUGUGCCUUGCAUGUGAUUAAUUUUUAGGGGCAAAAUUGUCAAAUCAAAAUUUAUAUAAUUUGAUUUAUAGUCUCUUAUAUUUCACAAAAUGAAUUGUUUCGUCUCUUACAUUUCACAAAAUGAAUUUUUUCAUCCCUCAUUAACCAUGUAUACGAAUAGUUUUUAUUUAAAUUCAUGUAUAUAUCUAUUUAAAUUCACUUGAACUGUACAAAUAGUAUGUAAUAUAAUGCUAUUUGAUUUCACCUAAACAGACUAAUUGUAGUUGUACAUAUAUUAUUCAAUAGAUAUAUAAAUGUGUUUAAAUCUAACAAUUUUGUUUUAAACCAAAAUAUAUAUAUAUAUAUAUAUAUAUAUCUAUAUAUUUGAUUUCACAAUGUAAAUCUAUUCAAUAUUUGUAACUUUUUUUUUGGUAAUAAUUCAUUUUAUCGAGUUGUGUAAUAAAAUCAUCUAAUUAAUCAGUUCUAAUUCGAAUUUUAUAGUCAUGCUAACAAAUUACAGUUUAAAUCUAGAGUUUUUACUUGUCACUUUUAAGACCAAUAGUUAAAUUUCUUACCUUAUGAUUGUUUUAAAAUUUGAAAGUGUCAAUCACUUACUUCUUUUUGUCAUACUUUUUAUUUGUUUAUUUUUUCUGUCUAAUUUUAAUUCGAUAUAAACACUUGAUAAUGUUUAAGAUUAAUUAUCUUCUUUAUUUUCAAUUUUCGAGUAAAAGGAAAUGAACAUGAGCGAAAAACUAACAAAUUAUUUUAAACUUCUGUAUAUCUCUAUUUAAUUUCAUAUGAACAGUAUGUUCAGGCGAAAUCAAAUAAAAAUAUAUUACAUACUGUUCGUAUUAUUCAAGUGAAAAAAAUAGAUAUAUACAUGAGUUAAAAAAAACUAUGUAUUGGAUUAUAUGUACAAAUAACUUUGAAAAAAAAUCAUUUUGUAAAAUGUAAGGAACUAUGUAUUGGAUUAUAUAAAUUUUGAUUUGAUAAUUUUGUCAUUAAAAAAUGAUCAUGUGCAAGGUACGUGAUGGAUUUCGACAAAAAACUAAUCGGAAAUUUGAUAGAGAUUAAAUUUGAUCAAUGUAAACAUGUAAAGGACGUAAAAGUAUACUUUUAAAAGUGAGGGACGAUAAAGUUAUUUUACAAAAUGAAGGCACGUUUUGAAUGAUUUUCAGUAAUUAAAAAAAACUCAAAAGCUGAGGUGGCAAGCCACUAUUAGCUAGAUUCACGUGUAAAAAUUAAAAAAAACCCUCCAAAAAACCUUGCAACUUUCAAUCUUCUUCCUCCAUUUCCAGCUCCGGCGACUGAGACACACCAUGGCGGUGCGGGCAACGGUGGGCCGGUUCCCGGAGAACCAGGAAGCGUUGGAAUCAAGCGGGAUACCAUGGGGAGUAACCGUGACGCCAUUCGCCGGGAAGGACGAGAACGGGAGCCCACCGGCGUACGGAUCGGACGGGAACCUUUUGCCCCGAUGCGAGAAUUGCUGGGCUUACUACAACACUUUCUGCGACCAAGAGCAGUGGGCUUGGACUUGUGCGCUUUGUGGAACCCUCAAUGGACUUUCUUCUCAGGCCAUCGCUCGUUAUUCUCUUCCCCACUCUUGUGCUGAGAAUCUCUCCUCAUUCAUCGACCUCGAAUUGCCAUGUAUUCUUCUUCUUCUUCUUUUUUUUUUUUUUUUAAUUUGUUAGGUUGAAGUUUUUGCUGAUGGUUUUAGGAUUCAGGACAGCACCCAAUAUGAUUUUUCCAUUUGGGAUUGUGUAUAUUGAUUAAAUUGUGGAUUGGAGCUAAAUCAUGAUUAUGGUUUGCAUUUCACUGGACCUUUUUCCAGUACUGGGCAAAGGUUAAUUUUGCAUUUCUAUGGUCAGUUGUCUGUGGAAAUUGUUCUGUUGUUAAAUAGCGUGCGAGUAUAAGUUCUUAUGUAUAUGUUAAUUCACCCGGUUUCAGCUUUUGCUCAUAAUUUAGGUUCUAAAGUUGUUUUCCAACUUAAGCUUUUGGUGAUAGUGUAGGAUGUGUGUUAUCAAUUAUAUUGAAUGAGAUAUCUCAUACAUUGCCAGUCGGUUACCAAGAAAUGAGAUCCUACAUGGGUAUCUCGUUUGCAUUACUAUGCUUUUUUUAAUAUGGUUUGUUGAAUUAUGUUGUUUUCUUGUUCUUGCAGUAGAUGAAUCUGAGGAAAUGCAAGCACGACUUGUUUAUGUGGCGGCUGUGGAUCUUUCAUGUAAGAUUUAACUGGUCGUAAGAAUAGUCUCCUGUGUGCUUUCUUCUUUUUUAUUGUUAAUUUUACCUUUUUUCUGUUGUUGUAAUGUGUAAAACAGUAGUUAAAGGUCGGGUAUUGGAUUUGCUAUCCUUGAUGAUAAGAAGUUUAACAGACCUUGAGCUUUUGCUAUAUGGUUCAGUGAAUAGGUCAUAAGAACUUAAUUGCUUGGCAAUAACAAUUUGAAAGUUACUGUCAGCAGAAACAUGGAAAAAAUAGUUUAAUAUUGGAGGAUUCCAUAGGUUUUUGGGUUUGUGCAUGUAGAAAUAGGUUUUAAUAGAUCUUCUUCAUUGAAACACUAAAGUUUUCCAAUUUAGACUUGUUUUGAGGUUUCUGUCUGCACUGUUUCCUUUGCUAGAGGAACUGGAAACGUUGGGGUUCCUUUGUGUUUUCAAGCUGGAACCUAUGCAAUUGUCAUGAUCGUAGUUCAAGUUUCUAAUUCAGUGUUGUACUGCAUUUUUUCACUAACAAAUGGUUUUACCAGUCAUAAUGAUUUUUAAGGUUGAAAGACAAAUAAAGAAUAAACAGGAUGGUAGUUAUAUGCAGUUUAAGAAUAAAGAACAGCCAUUUAUUUAGGCUUCACUGUGUAACUUUUUGUGCUGAAGUUAUGGGGGUAAUGCCAGUAUUGAAUUUGACUUAUUUUUACUGCUUAACCUUUUUGCUCUCCCUCUCUGGGUGCACUUUCUCAUAAAAUGAGUAAUUCUUGUCGAGGACAAUUUACAACCGGCAAUGGAAAUUGGUUGGUGGCUUUAUGAUAAGAUAGUGUUUCUUUAGAGUGGUUUUGACCUUUUGAUAUGUGGAUCCUAGUAAUGCCUAUGGUUUUGUCCUGUUUGUAGUUUAACACUAGUAGGAAGGCCUCUGUGUUAUUGAAAUUGUUGUCAAGCUAUUGUUAUGUGUGAUGGAUUUAAUUACUUACUUGAACUCUUUUGCAGCCUCGGAAGAGUUUCUGGAACUUAUUAAAAGUGCUUUGUUAGCUGCUUUAGAAGGUGAUUGACUUUUUUGGAUGAUUUGCUCAUAAUUUUGCAAUCUGUUGGAGAAACAUAUCCCUAUUAGACAUUGAUAUUUUGUUUUUCUUUUCUUCAGCCCUUGGACCUGGAUCACUUUUUGGGCUUGCUACUUUUAGCCACAAAGUUGGUUUGUUCGAUGUUCAAGGUCCAAUCCCAGUGGUGAAAAAUGUUUUCAUUCCUCCAGAUUCAGAUGGCAGCCUCCCAAUUGAGCUUGAUGAUGUUAUGCCUUUGUCUUCAUUUUUGGCUCCAGUGCGUUGGUUAACAUAAUCAUUCUAGCGAUUUUCUCUCUUGUAAAAGCAAAAUCAUAUCAAGCUUUAGGGUGAAUCUGGAACAUCUUCCAUUAGGGUUGUUACGCUACUGAAGAAAUUGUGGGCCUGAGUCUCUCUAAUCUCUCUUGCAGGUUGAUACCUGUAAGGACCGUAUUGCAUCUGCACUUGAAGCGCUAAAACCCACAAAUUCGUGGGAGAGGACCACAGCUGCCGGUCAAGGAGUAGAUGGGGUUCUGUUGGGCGGGCGAGGCUUUGGGGUGGCAAUGGAAGCUCUUCUUAAUUAUCUUGGUUCAGAAUAUGGAAAUACUUUUGCAUUAGGUAGUACUGAUUUUAUAAUUUCUUCUACUUGUACAAUCUGUUUUUCUUUGGGUUCUUUUAAUUUUUUAGUAUUCUUGAAUUGCAAUUAUUUUUUGGUCUCAGAAUUUCUUAUAUAUCGUGCUCCAAGAGUUUUUUUUUUUUUUUUUUAAAUGUCAGGUCAUUAAUGUCUCUGAAUGUGCUUAUCAGAGAUGUGACGUUGAUCUUAUCCUUUGACAUUGUUGCACAUUAAUUGAAGUGCAGGAAGAAUUUUUGCUUUUCUAUCCGGUCCACCUGAUUUUGGUGCUGGAGAGCUGGAUACUAGAAGGUAUGGUGAGCAAUAUGCCAGUAAAGGAGAGGAUGCAGACCUGGCUCUACUUCCAGAACAGACACCAUUUUAUAAAGAUUUGGUAUAUAGAAUUCAUGUUGUUUUAAAUGGAUGUUUAAUUAUUCUUAUGGAAAAGCAUUGACAUAUAUUUCACAGGCUACUGUCGCUGUUCAAGCAGGUGUUUGUGUGGACAUAUUUGCUGUUACAAAUGAGUACACAGAUCUAGCAUCUCUAAAAUUUCUCAGUAUUGAGAGUGGGGGCUCACUGUUUUUAUAUACAAAUACUGACAACUCAACACUGCCACAGGACAUGUGAGUAGGAGUGCUAGUGAAUUUUUUGACUUUAUUUGUAUUUUGAAGGUGAUACCAGGCCUAUAUUUAGUCUGAAAAGGAGUACUGGUCUAAUUUUAAUAAAAAAUGGAACUAAUUUUUUUUUCUGUCAAAUUUCUCUACAUUUUAACUACCUAAUUCUUGGGGAUCUUUUACGAGUCUGGGUGAUAUGAUGAUGUUUUACAGGUACCGCAUGUUAAGUCGUCCUUAUGCUUUUAAUUGUGUGCUCCGGUUGAGAACAUCUUCUGAGUUUAAAGUUGGUAAUUCAGUAAGUGCUCAUCUGUCUUUGCAAUUCUAUUCACUUCCGUGAUUGGUGAUUAUAUAUAACAUUGGCAUUUUGUUUUCAUACAGUAUGGCCAUUUUUUCCCAGAUCCUCAAUAUGAGAAUGUACAACAUAUCAUUUGUUGUGAUUCCUUUGCCACAUAUGCUUAUGAUUUUGACUUUGCAAAUGAUUCUGGAUUUUCCAGGUAAAAAGAAUCUUUUCCGUAUAUAUUUUUUUUAAAUAUCUACUUUUAGGUUCAUGUCGUUCCUACUUACUGUGCGGCUUGAUCAUGUCUGUUGUUUCACUAAAUGAUGCAUCUUGCUACCUUAUAUGAGUAUGUAGCUGGUGACGAACAUGUCUCAAUACUUUGUUACCUUUAGAAUCCAUGAGAUGUAAAAGCUUUUGGAAUUUUUAAUUCUUCAGUAUUUUUAGGGGGUAGGCUUGCUUCAUAUUUCCCUUUUUUUUUUUUCGUUUUCCCCUCUUUGGUUUAUUUUCCUGGUUUUAUUUGAGUAUUUUUCUAAUCUGGAGUAGAUAUAAAAUUGAUACUGUAUUGUUCAAUCUCAAUGCAGACAUACUACAGAACUUCCUAUGUUGCAAAUUGCUUUUCAGUACACCAUUGUAGUGCCCCCUGAUGAACUGUCAAAAUCAACAUCAAGUUCUGCAAACAGGUAUGCCAACUAAUUGCUGAAUGAAACUUCAAUUAGGUAAUUUGCUGGUAAGACACUCUUUCCCCCUUUCAUUUAGAUGUCCAUUUGUGAAGAAUGAUAAAUCCAGUGGCAUCAUCUGUAAUUUUAAGUAAAUCUGUUAAACCAUAAACAUAUAUCAUCUUGCAUAUCAGAGUAAUUUUUAAGUUUCAUAAGCAAUUUUUGACAAUUAUUAUCCUUUUAGUGGAAGUGAUUGAUCCUAUAUUUUUUUUUCGGGUGUCACAGCAACAUUGCUGUGUGCUGUCUUUUGUUUUCUUGUCAUUUAGUUUUAAAGAAAUGUUCAGCUCCCAAUAUACUUUACAGAUCUUAUUUUAAUCUUGAAUCUUGUUACUCUGAAGAAACAAGCAUUCCCUUCAGAGGAGACUAAGGAUCCAUACUUUGCAAUUUACAACUGCCCAUAAUAUCAAUGAAGUGUACGAUAGUGUUGAUCCAGAUGUGGUCCUUUCUAUACUUGUGCACAAGGUAAUUAUAUUUUACUUCGAUGGUGAUUUAUUUAUACAUUACAAUAUUUGGAAGGAAUUCUUUGUGUACAUCUUCUUAAAAGACUAUACAAGAUGGGCGAAAAGGGUGAAGAAUAAUAAAUCAGAGGAUGGCUUUAUGACCAGAUUUUGUAAAGUUUAUUAGUUUGUAAAAGAAGUGAUGGUGGAAGGAAGAUGCCCAAUGCUAUUGCGGUUUAAUACUUAGACACUCAUCUUUAUUAUAGUCAGGAUGUGUUGGUGCACACUUGGCAGGAUUAUACAUUUGAAGAGAAAACUACAAACUUUGUACAUCAUUUACAUAUCUCUCUCUUUCAUUUCACAAAGAAAAUGAUAAAUUAGAAUCAUCACUUUGUUUUUCUUUAGAACUGUUUGCUUUUGAAUGAUCAGUUUGUUUUCCUUUAGAACUGUUUGCCUUUUUUUUCUCUCCCUCAAUUGUAGUUCAGCUUAGCUUCAAUUUAUUCAUAAAUAUGCACCUAUGCGGUGGUUAAAAUAAAUAAUCUUUUUUUGCUUGCCUUCUAUAUCGCAUAGUUGAAAAUCAGUAAUACGAUGACAUGGAACAUAGAAGACAUAUAAUACCACCUGCAGUUCCAGCAAGUGUAGAAACUUGUUGUUGAUAAAUAGAAGGUGAUGUUGUCAUUAUUAAAGGAAGUGAGGCAUUAAUUUUUUCUAGCUGAUUGUUCAUAUAUUUUUGACUCAGGUCAUAUUGAUUUCAUUGGAGCAAGGAGUUAGAGAAGGCAGGGUCUUACUUAAUGAUUGGCUUGUACUCCUUACAGCUCGAUAUAAUGAUGCUUGCAAACUUCUGCAAUUUGAGCGUGGAAAUUCAGCUACAGCUCAUGUUGAUGUUGCAUUCUCCCAGUGCCCACAGCUUCACCCUUUGCCCCGCUUAGUUUUUGCUUUGUUGCGAAAUCCUCUACUCCGCCUGCAUGAAGAAGGUGUUCAUCCAGAUUACCGAAUAUAUCUUCAGUGUCUAUUCAGGUAAGUUAGGAGUUUAGUUACUGAGACUUCUCAGAGGUAUAAUCAGUCAUUUCAGAUGCAAGUAGGCGUAAAACUGCAGCUUGUUUUGUGUUGCGUUGCAAGUAUAUGCUUCUUUAGUUUCUCCUUGCAGUAAAAGACUAAGGUAAGGAGGUCAGCUAAUCAAGUAUAAGAUUGGAUUGAAGUGCCAUGUUUCAUAUAUUAAUCUGCCCUCCUUGGUAUUGAAGAAAGCAGUUGAAAAAUUUCUUGCAUGAUUUAAGUGCUGUUAGAUCAAGAGGGAAACCCACACAAGAUUGCAUGGACUGUGAUUCUUAAAAUUGCUUUUGUGCCUAAAUCACGUGUCUGCUGUGUGGUCAUCAUAAUAUAGGAUCAUUGUUUUUAAUCUCAGGUUGUAAUGGGGUUGAUUAAGGGUGACACAAAUAUUCUUUAGCUGAUUUCUGAUUCAAGAUUGAUCAACUCUCAACAUUAUUUUGCCUUAUUUUUGUUCUGAAAAUGUUUAUGGUUGAUUAUCCAGCACUAGGUAAAUGUUUUCUUCAGUCUAGUCAAUUUGCCAUGAUCUAGUUGACUAGUUUAGCAUUUGUCAAGGUAGGAUACACAUGGAGAUGGAAUUUUGGUUCUCUGAAACUGCCAAGGGAGCUCUUCUAAUUCUCUUGUGCCAGUUGUUGAGUUGAUUGAAAAUUUUGGAUAUUACGUCACAAUUCACUGUUUUGAACUUUGGAUGCAGUGCUUUAGGACCUUCAUCUCUUCACCGAGCUAUAUAUCCUAUCUUGACAUCAUUUGCCACUCCGGAUAAACAAGCCUUCCCACGCCAUUCCUUGAGUCGCGCUGCAUUGAUCACAAGUGGAAGUCCAAUAUUUUUUCUCGAUGCAUUCACUACCCUCAUUGUAUUCUAUUCUUCUACUGCAGACCCUGCACUUCCUUUUCCUCCACCUCAAGACUGUAAGUUUUCUUGCCUUGCUUUGAUGCUUUUUCGAUAACCAUAACUGUUUCUUUAUAACAAUGAGAAUUGUGGUUUUUCUUUAUCCAAUGAAUUAAGGUUGGCUUCGAUUUUGCCCACUUUCAUUUUUCUUUUCACUGCCAGGCUUAUUAAGAACUACCAUAAACAAGUUAAAGCAAGAGCGAUGCAUUACACCAACACUCAUGUUUAUAAGAGGAGGGCAGGAUGAUUCCACAAUUUUUGAAAACUAUCUUAUAGAGGAACAAGACGUUGAAGGCAGCGGAUUCACUAGUGUCAUGGGCUUCGUUUCUUUCCUGGAGGAGAUAAAUCAUGGCGUGUUGGAAUAUCUGAAAUGAGUGAGCCGCAUCAUACCUCAGUUAGAUGUAAAAUUAAGGACAGGAUCACUUGGCAAACAAAGAGUAUACUGAUGUGCUUUGUAGCUGCAGUAAGAGAGAGAGAGAGAGAGAGACAGAGUGUGUGCGUGUCUUGAAGCAGAAGAGACGAGGCUGUCUUCUUGUACUAAAUUAGUUCCAUCCAAAGUAUUUGCUGUAGUCGCGAAAAGGAGGGAAUCCAUUUUUCCCUUUCCUAAAAUUAGAAUUUUGUCUGCACAUGUUUAUAUUGCCUCCAUUGUUUUUUUUUUUUUUUUUUUUUGGUUCAAUUUAUUUUGACAUAGUCCAUGUGGCCUAUUCCUCUUUGUGAUUGUAGUUAAGUGUUUUGAAUGCGGUCUUAUUCUGCAAUCAAUAAUCUCUGCAAUGUUAAAGUUUGAAUGCUUGAGACAUAAAUUUUAGUCGUAUCAAAUCUCUAUAUUAUUUCCUUGUAUGUUUCCGCUCAUACUUGGACUCUUGAACCCUUCGAUGACCAAGGUUGGUCUUCAUUAAGGCGAGAACCCUUCGACGAUCAAGGUUUAGUAAUGCCAAAACUUAAAAUUAGUCGGAUCACAUUUGUAUGAUAUCGCGCUCAUGUGCAUCAUCCGAAUGAGAGUCCAUUUAGAUAGUGAGUUUUUUUUUGGAUGUUUGUAUGAAAUUUUACUGUAAUUUAUUGUAAAAAUUAUAGAAUAUCUUUUUUAGAUUUGAAGGUUUGGAGGAAUUUUUUUUCUUUUUCUUUUUCUUGUUUUUCUUCCCUCCCGCCACAUCUCGAGUUGUAUCACUAACAGCCAUCACCACCUUAGCCCUCUUCCCCCCCCCCCUCUCCUCCUCCGUUUCUGUUCCUUCUCCUUCUCUCUUUCUCCUCUCUCCUUUCCUUCUCUGGCUUUCCCUUCUUUCGACCCCCCUUCCCCUCUUGCGCUUUCCUCUGAUUGCAUGACCAGAGAGAGGCAGGAGAGGGAUUGAGGGAAGGGGGAGGUGGAGGAGAAGGGAGGAAGAAGAAAGAAGGAGAACGGAGGAGGAGGAGACGAAAAAAAAAAGAAAGAAAAAAGGAGACAUCGGUGGAGGUGCAGGGCAACCAUGGUCGGCAACGGAGUUGUUGGUAGUGAGUUGAGGUGGGAAGAGGACGAAGGAGAAGAAAGGAAAGAAGGAAUUUUUUUUGUUGUAUAUUUAGAUAUUUUGAUAAGUAUAUUUUAAAAAUUUUGAAAUUUUUUUUGAUAUUCUUAGUUGAAGUAGUUAAAAAAACUGGGAGAAGAAAAAUUAGGCAAAAUUUGCCUUCCAAAUUCUCAAACAAAUUUUUGUAUUUUAUGUAUUUUUAAAAUAUUGUAUAAAAAAUACUUGUUCUUUUCAUCUAAUUGUGUAAAACAUGUAGAAAUAAACUAUUGAAGUUCAUGAAUUAUAUUUUAAUUUUUAAAAAGCUUUAUAAAUUAUGUAAGACAAUGACAUAUUUUUUGAGUUAUCACAAAAUAGCAACAAGGUAUAUCAUAAUUAUACAUCACAGUUUUUAUAGAUUAAUGUGUAUAAUACUAAUAAGGCAAUAAAAUCUCAACUAGUUUAAUGUCUAACAUGCAUGGAUAAGAGUUAAAAUUGGUAUUAAUAUUUCAUAAUCUUUAAAAAAAUGUUUUAUUAAUUCUAUACAUUUUUUAUUCCAUAACUUUCCAAUAUAUUUCUUAUAUUAUUCAUGUGUGGAUUUAUCUGCAUAAUUUUGCCAUUCUCGUAUUUUUUACACCAACCUUAUAAUAGUACUUUCAAAAACAAAUUUUGUACGAGUGAUAAUAAAAUGCCCAUAAGGGGGACCCAAGUUUUAUACUUAACACACAAAUUAUAUAAAUCCUAUCCUUGCCAACACUUGAAAUGGACCAAAAUAAUGAGGAGAUAACUUCUACAGUGAUGAGAGCGUAGAAUCUGUUGCCUGUAAGGUUGAAGUUUAACAUAAACCCAAUCACCCACAUCAAACUCCCUCUCUGACCUGCGUUUAUUAGCUAACUAUUUCAUCUUGUGUUGAGCCUUGGACAGAUUAUGCCGCAGGGAGUGAAUGACUUUCUCCCUUACAUGUAGGCUCCUGUCCACAGAUUCAACUGCCGUGGUCUCAGGUAGGUAAGGAAUGUGAAGUGGGGGAGGCUGGCCAUAGACUAUCUCGUAAGGAGUGAAUUUGGUAGGGGAAUGAAAAUUCGUAUUAUAGCAGUACUUGGCCAUUGGCAGCCAUAAACUCUAAUCCUUGGGAUGAUCACCAGCCAUACACCUCAAAUUGUUCUCUAAACAUCUGUUAACUACCUCUGUCUGGCCAUCACUCUGAGGAUGGUAGGAAGUGGACAUGUUCAACUAGACACGCUGCAACCUGAAAAUUUCCUGUCAGAAAGAGCUCAAGAAAAUGGGAUCUCUAUCACUGACAAUGGUCUGAAGAAGACCAUGUAACCUGUAAACUUGGUCUAUGAAUAGCUGGGCAACUGAGAUGGCGGUAUAGGGAUGAGCCACAGCCAUGAAGUGAGCAUAUUUGCUGAGUCUGUCCACCACCACUAAGAUCACCUUCCUGCCAUGUGAGAGGGGUAAGCCUUCAAUAAAAUCCAUAGAGAUGUCAGACCAAAUCUUCUCAGGUAUGGGUAAAGGUUGUAAUAGGCCCAGAUAAGCUGUAUUAUCUGACUUAUUUCUUUGAAAAACGUCACAUACUGCUACAAAAUGGGCCACAUCCUUGAACAUGCACGGCCAAUACAAAACCUACUUAAGUCUCCUGUAAGUGACUUCCAUUCCAGAAUGCCCCUUUGUGAACUUGAAUGCCACAAGGCAAUCAACAUGUUCCUUAAAGACUGAUCAUUGCCAACCACCAAUUUGCCCCUCCGCUUGAGCAACCCUUGCUGCCAAGAAUAGUUGCUAGAAUGCUGACCAUUGCUGCUUAACUUUUGGAUCAAUUCCUGGACUAUCGCAUCUUGUUGCCAACUCUAUUGGAUAUCUUUGAUGAGAGAAGUUGUGACAGUAACCAAGGCGUACAGUGAGCUGCCUUCCUAUGGUUGUCUGGACAAUGCAGCCGCUACAAUGUUGUCACUCCCCUUCUUGUACUGUACCUCAUAAUCGUACCCCAUCAACUUGGCUAUCCAUUUCUGCUGCAGUGGUGUAUGUACCCUUUGCUCCAUUUUAUACUUCAAACUUUGAUGAUCAGUUUUGAUAAUGAAGUGUCGUCCCACCAAAUAAGCUCUCCACUUUAAAAUCGCAGUGACUAUGGCCAACAUUUCUUUUUCAUAUACUGACAGAGCUUGAUGUUUAGUCCCCAGUGCUUUACUGAAAAAAGCUAAUGGUCUCCUUUUUUGCAUCAACACCGCCCCAAUCCCAUUUCUAGAAGCAUCAGUUUUCACAAUGAAUUCUUGAGUAAAAUUUGGUUGAGCUAGGAUAGGGGGACUGCUCAUAACUUCCUGUAGUCUUUUAAAAGCUUGAGUAGCCCUAUCAUGCCACUGAAAUUGAUUCUUCUUAACCAAGUCUGUGAGUGAUUUAGUAAUCUUACCAUAGCCUUGUAUGAAUCUCCUAUAAUAUCCAGUAAGGCCCAAAAAUCCUCGCAGCUCCUUGAUUGUCUGCGGUAUUGGCCAAUUUUUAAUGGCAACAGUUUUCUGAGGGUCGGCUUGAACACCUUCUGCAUUGAUAAUAUGCCCCAAGUAGUCAAUUUGCUGUUGAGCAAAUGCACAUUUACUCAUUUUUACCUGUAAUUCAUGCCUUCUCAACAGUUCAAACACAAGUCUCAGGUGUUGCAGGUGCUCAUUCCAACCACCACUGUAUACCAAAAUGUCAUCAAAGAAAAUCAGAAUAAAUUUCCUUAGAAAGGGCCUAAAGAUGUCAUUCAUCAGACCUUGAAAUGUUGAGGGGGCAUUAGUUAGCUCAAAGGACAUAACUAGAAACUCAUAGUGGCCAUCAUGAGUUCUAAAGGCUGUUUUCUCCACAUUUCAGCCUUCAUUCUAAUUUGAUGAUUACCAGACCUCAAGUCUAACUUGGUAAAGAAUUUAGCUCCAAAAAGUUCAUCCAACAACUCUUCUAUUAGAGAAAUAGGAAAUUUAUUCUUUAUGGUGCCUGUUCAGUUGCCGGUAAUCAACACACAUUCUCCAGGAUCCAUCUUUCUUUUUUACCAAAACUACUGGAGAGGAGAAAGGGCUAGAGCUAGCUCUAAUAAUCCCACAAGCAAGCAUUUUUGCUACCAGUUUUUCAAUUUCACCUUUCCAAAAAACAGGGUACCUAUAGGGUCUUACAUUGACAGGUUCAGUGCUUUCUUUUAGAACAAUCCUAUGGCCAUGCAAUCUUUCAGGAGGUAAACCAUUAGGUUCUUGAAACAAAUCACCAUAUUCACUCAGCAAACAUUCUAGAUCCAGCAAGUUACUAUCCUGCCUUCCAUUAGUUCCAGCUGUAAUAGAAAAAAGAGAUAAUGGCCCUGGCUCUGGUUCUGGACGAUUCUAAUUAGACAGAGUUGUGCUCCUGCAAUUUGCUCAGGUUUUUGCAAUAUUUUCUGCAUUUUCUUUUGUCUCACCAACUGUAACCCGUGUUGUUUCAUUCCUCUCAAGACUACCUUGUGACCACUCUGCAGGAAUUCCAUCAUGAGAUCACCAAAAUUUCACUUCACAUCACCAAUGGUGGUUAACCAUUGCAUUCCCAGAACUAUUUCGCACCCCUCUACAGGUAACACCAACAAAUCAGUCUUGAAUUCUUGCCCUUGCAUUUUCUAGGUAAAGUCUGGGCAGAGAUCGUGGGUAGUCAACUUGUUUCUAUCUGUUACUUCUACCAUUAGUGGCUCAACCCUUUGUGUGAUUAACCCCAGUUUUUGCACUACCUUGGGGUGAAUGAAAUUAUGUGAACUGCCACAAUCUAUGAAAAUAUUCACAGACUGCUUCCCUACAUGUCCAGUGACCCUCAUUGUCAUAAAAUUAGGGACAGCUAUGUUGGUCAUGGCAUUGAGAGAAAUAUAAGCUAACUGCCCCUUAUCUAUUGCAUCCUCCUCACCCUCAGUCUUCGGUUCCUUCUUAUCUGGCGUAUCAUCCCAAACCUCCAACCUAUGGAAUUGCUUAUUUUCACAUCUAUCCCUAGCUGUAAACCUCUCAUCGCACCAAAAACAUAAUCCCCUUGCCCUUUUCUUGUUCAUUUUCGCCCUACUCAGCCUCUUGAAAGCCUUUUUAGCACCCGACUCAUGCUGCCUUUCAUUGUUGGGAAGUGCUGGAAACAUAGGUAGGGGCAGUACUGCCUUAGAGUCUGUUUUCCACUUGUGACUAGGAGCAUGCGCACGGAACUGUGUGGUACCCGUGCGGUCUGAGUAAUUCAGGAAUGAUUUGGACAUUACUUUUUCUUUUGACUGCACUAUCAUUUUUGCUUCUUCAAUUUUGGUCAAGAUUCGAGCAUGCUGCACAUUCUUAGGCAUAAACAUUCGUAAGAUCAACUGAAUUUCUGGCUUCAAUCCACUCAAGAAGCAGCUAGUAGCAUAAUCUUUUGGAAGAUCCACCCUAUUGAGGAGUUCCUCAAACACAUCGUGGUACUCCUUUACUGACCCAGACUGCUUCAAGCUCUUAAGCUCCCUCAUUGGAUCAUCAUACAAGGAAUCUCCAAAUCUUGAAGAUAGCUCUCUCACAUACUCUUCCCAGGUAGGAAACUCACGUGUAAGUCUAGAUUUCAUAAAAAUUUGGUGCUACUGAAGAGCUUUACCUUCCAAACUCAUCGCCGCUAUCUUAACUUUUACUGCGUUGGGAGUCUCAUCCACCUCAAAAAACUGCUCACUCUUGUAUAACCAUCCUCUAAAGUCUUCUCCAUUAAAUUUCGGGAAAUCAAUUCGUGAUAGACGAGAAGGAACCUGAUAUCCUCUCCUGCUGCUGGUUGGAGCAUCCGAGUUGUGAGGGCAGCCAUUUCCUUCCCCCUGAGCCUUCUGUGUGUGCAAUUCGAUCACCAAAUUCCACAGAGCCGUCAUUUCUCUCUCAAAUUGCUUAUGUUGCUCCUUCAGCAUGGAUCUUACGUGCUUUUCUAUUUUCCGGACAUGCGACCUAGUGCCCUCUGCUAUCAAAGAGUUGAGCUGGCGUAACCCAGCUCUGAUACUACUGAUGCAAAGAGCAGUGGAGGUCAUUAAUCUCUGAUCUAGGGACCACAGAAAUAAUGAAGAAGUAAUUCGAAAACCAGAGAAGAUUUAUUGCCUUGAAUGAUGAACAUAAGAGAUUACAAGAAAUGUGAAAAAAACAACUUUACAAAUGGAAUCCACUACUGCUAGGCCUGUCAACGGUCCGGGUCUGGAUCCGGAUCCGGAUCCGUUUUGUCAAACAAAAAAAUGGAUCGGAUACGGAAUAUAGUAUUUCGACCCGUAUUAGACUCGGAUCCGAAUAUAAAUGGAUUAAUAAUUUAAAAUAUGUAUAUUUAUCAAUAUAAUUUGAUUAGGGUGAUGUAUUUGAGUAAAGUUAAUUUGAUUUAUUUUCUUAUUUGAUUUUUUUUUGUAUUAGUUAGAAAUUAGUGUACAAAUAUAUUUUUUUCUCAUUUUUAUUAGAAAUUGUAAAUUUUCAUAAUUUUUUCAGGUAGACCCGGACCCGGAUCCGAGACCGGUCGGAUCCGGAACAUAAAGUAGAAGACUCGUCGGGUAAACGGGUCGAAUCCGGAUCUAAUUUGGUAUGCCGGGUCCGGGUCCGGAAUAAUGAAUUCCGGUUCGGACCCGACCCGUUGACAGGUCUAACUACCGCCAUAGAUUUCCAACUUCACAUUUUAUAAAUGACUUAGGCGGUGAUCUUAAGUUGGCUAACAAACUUAUGACGUCGACUGACGUCAUAAGAUUUUACAAAUCAUUGACUAACCUAUCGUACCUAACUCCAGCUGUAACUAACUCCAUGCACAGCCACAUGCAGCCCCAUGCACGCACAUGCAACCCAUUUCACGCAUAAUCCAUUUCACGUGUAUUAGGUACACUCAGGAGCUUGCUCUGUAUGACCCAAAUUGGUACUACAUCAGAGCUGCUUCCAUGGCUAGAAAAAUUUAUUUGAGGCAAGGCCUUGGAAUUGGUGUUUUCGGGAGGAUUUAUGGAAGAAGCAAGAGGAAUGGAAAGCUGUCCACCUCAAUUUGGUAAAAGUAGCGGGAGUAUUGCUUGUCACAUUCUUCAACAACUCCACAAGAUGAAUAUUGUUGAUAGGGACCCAAAAGGUGGAAGAAGAAUCACAUCCAGUGGACAAAGAGAUCUUGACCAAGAAGAAUCACAUCUAGUGGAUCCCAUCCAAAGUCAUUGGGUCCUCUGGUAGGACCAAAAUUGCUUGCAGUUUUUUCUACAAAAGUUAUUAGCUGCAUAUUUGACCCAAGAGCAAGAGAAAAUAUACAAAGAGCAUGGGCUGCUUUAUCUUCAUAUGCCAUCAAUAAGUUGUUCAAACCUUCAUCUCCAAUCUUCUCCAUUCAUCAUGGAGGCAAGUAUGUUGCACCAGCCCUAGUCCAUUUAUUUCUUUGGUAGCAAUUUUAGCCUUUUCUUUGGAGAUAUCCUCAGGCUCACCUCGUAGCUCCGACAAAUCAAGUUUGAGCAAUUGAAAAGGAAUCAGCUUGUCGAGAAUAGCACAAACUUCCUUGAGCUUCUUGGCAUUUCCAGAGAUAAAAGUCACUGGUAGAGAUAGCACCGAUCCCUUCACCAUAGCCAUUGCUGCAGACAUUUUCUUGCGAUUCUGUGUUUUUCUUUUCCUUUUUUUGGGUGGUUUUUUUUUUGUUGAGAUUCUAGAGUGAAACGACCGCCUAUUGUGGUUUAUUUAGCGCGCUUAAAUUUUUUGGGCAAUUUUGCCCUACAAAUCUUAGGUGUGCAGUUCACAUGGCAUCCAUUCUGUUUGACUUGAUGGUCAAAUUACAUUGAAUGAUAAGAAACGUGCAUUUUGGUUAGUUCAGUGAUAUUUUCGGCUAAGAAAAUAGUUUAGUACCCUACACUAGCACAAACAUAUAGUUUAGUGACAUUUGGCGCAAUUUGUUCUAAUAAGUAGGGAAAGGACAUGAGAUUAGCACCCAAAACUUCUAAUUCUUGAAUCUCAACUUUAAUAAUUAAAUCAAAACCGUAUCAGUCAUCGAUAGUAUCUACUUAAUACACUUUACAUUAUUAUAUUAAUUUUUGUAUAUUGAUAAUGUAUACAUCUACAAUAUGUGAUAUAUGUAAGAUUAAUUUUUGCUACUACAUCUCUUCAUUGGUAGCGAUAACAUAGUGAUGGUGGUUAAGUAGAUUAAUCCAUACUUUUUUUUGGCUAUUUCUUUGUGUGGUGUUGGUGGAGAGUACAUGAACAACUUCUGAUUUUCAAACUAACCACAUUGGAUUAAUCCAUACUUUUUUGGCUAUUUCUUUGUGUGUCGUUGGUGGAUAGUACACGGACAACUUCUGAUUUUCAAGCUAACCACAUUGGAUUUGAUAGCUACUAAGAAGUUUGGUAAGGUUGAGGCGCGUAGAACACUCUCUUUAAGACGAUACGUGCCUCUACGGUAUUUUUUCAGCUGAUGCAAAAGAUCUAGUGCGCCGCCUCCAAGAUACAACAGACUAACUCUUUGAUUGUUGCUUCCCUCUGAUCUGCACAAUCAAGAGAAGCAAAAGCUUCAUAAUACCUUACUUUGUCCAAAGAAAAUUAGAAUCAGGGAGAAAGAAAUAAGUGUAAGGAAAAAAUAGUAUUUAGAAUAAUCUUUUAUUGAGAGAAGUGUGUAAGAAAUUCUCUAAAGAAUUUCACUAUUUAUAGGCUACAAAAACCUUUAGAAAAUAGGUUGAAUGUCCAAGUUCAACAUAUAAAGGUUUUUUUCAUAUUAAAUUGUAGCUAAUUUGUAAAAUUUGUAACCUAAAAAUUGAUUCAUAUUUGAAUGGCUUAUAAUGACUCAAAAAAUUCUUCAUUUGAUUAAAAAAUUCAUUUGUAACUCCUAUUCAAUUUUGUAACUCCUAUUCAAAUAAUUGUAUAAUAACUCUAUUCAAAAUGUAUUGUAACUUCCAACAUUAUAAUUCCCAUAACUCUCAAAUAAAUUAUAUUAUAACUCAUUGUAAAUAUUUUGUUAUGAAAAAUUUAAGAUUUUAUUAAAAUACACUAACAUAUAGUGGUGGUAGGGCUGAAAAAUGAAUCAAAUUACUUGAUUUUCAAAUAACUAAAUGUUCGUUUUAGUUUGGUUCGCCAAUUAGUUAAGCUAAACUUAACUUGAAGAGCGCACUUUAUGUUCGAUUACAUUCAAAUUCGACAAAAAAGUUUGUUCAAACUCGAUCUGACAAAUAAACAAGUCAAAUUUGAACAAAAUUUCAAAAUAGUUAAAAUAAUCAAACUAGGUUGUUUGAUUUGAUUAGUUUCCAUUGCACCACUAGGUGCGCGGUAAGUGGUGAGACAAUGAAGAUGGUUAGGUUUUCUUCCGAGAGUAUAUUGCUUUAUAUUAAAAAAUAUUCAAAUUCGAUAAAAAAGUUUGUUUAAACUCAAUUUGACAAAUAAAUAAAUCAAAUUUAAACAAAAUUUUAAAUUCGUUAACAUAAUUAAACUAGGUUGCUCGAUUUGAUUAGUUUCCAUUGCACCGUAAGGCGGUGUUAAGUGGUGAGACAAUGAAGAUGGUUGUUUUCUUCCGAAAGUAAAUUGGAAUUUAACCCCCACCACAUGAAACCAGGCGAAUCAAUCGGGUGGGCAACCACCGCCACCGGUACCAGUACACCAAACUUCUCUCGUCUCCUGUCGAAAUUUGGACUUUGCUUCGUCUAAAAUUCAACGAGUGAAUUAGUUAUAUACUACCAGAUUAAGGUACUUAUGAAUUAAGUAUUUUAAUCGCUCAGUUUGCAAUUACUAGUAGUAUUUCAUUCUCAUUUCCCAGCUGAAGAAGCAAACACGCCACACACACCAGCACACCACAAGAAACACGCACUCAAAUGGACUCAUCAUCAUCAUCAUCUUUGGACAGCCACCGAGCUGCCUACUCACCCUCCGCCCCACCCGUGCCCGACCCGGAUCAGGAACCCAGGUUGGCCCACCCGUAUUACCCCUCUCGUUCUUCUCAAGACCAGUACUACCGUCCUCCCGCCUCCUCCUCUUCCUCUUCCUCCUAUACGGGUCACACUUAUCACCAGAGUCAGUACCCGACGCUUACACCGACCGGCAGCUUCAGCAGCAAUUAUGGGUCAGGUCAUUCAUCUCAUUCGGAUCCUGGCUACGGGUAUGGUUAUCCUCCUCCCCAGCCCCAGCAGCAGCAGCAGUAUCAGAGCUAUAACUACAAUGCUUCCUUUCCACCUGGGACCGACCCGGGUGUGAUUCGGACCUUCCAGAUGGUGGAUAGGGAUGGCAGUGCGUUCAUUGAGGAAUCGGAGCUCCGACAAGCUCUUUCUUCGGGCUAUCAAAGGUUCACCAUGCGGACUAUCCGUUUACUAAUCUUUCUCUUCAAGAACCCUUCUGAUUCUGCUCUCAAAAUCGGUAAAUAUUCUAGUCAACGCUUUUUCAAUGAAGUCUUUUCUGGGUUUCUUUUAUAUUAUGCUAUUACCCUCCAGAGAAUAUUCUUUUUAUUGUGGUUAUUCAAAGUUUAGAGAGUAAAAAAAAAAGUGAUCUUUUUUGGUUUUAUUUCUUUCAUUUGAUUCUGACUGAUACUUUUUUUCCUUGGUGCUUGUGAAUACAUUACAAUUGAAAGAUCAAAGACCAGAAUAUUAAGUGAAUCCCUUUCUUUAAUGCGAUACUCCAUGAUGCUUUAUCCCGAUGCAAGAUGCACCUUUUAUGUAGCAUUUAACAUUUGAGGAGCUAGAUAUAUUUUGGAAGAUUUAGGAUAUCCAAUACAUAAUUUUGCUUUUUUUUUUUUUCAAUUUUUCUGGUACUCGUUCUGUGUGGUUUUAUGGUUGGAUGAUGCUGCUUUAUGAGAGAGAAAAGGUAAUGGGAUUCAAUGUGCUAAUGAGUUGGUAAACAAGAUGCUUUUCCUAUGUAGGUUAGUGAGCUAGUAUAUUUUUCAUCCUGAAUUGAUAAAAUUGUAGUUUGUAGAGGUUAUUCUUUGACAUCUCGGAGAGCGUUGUUUCAAAUUGUGGCUACUGUUACUAGUGUGGGAGAUGAGAAGGAGAAGAAGUGAAGAAAUGAGGAAAGAGUAGGGAGAGUGUGAUGUGUGUUAAAGCUGAGAAAAAAUGUGAGGCUUUAUUUGAUUUGAUGUGGGAUACUCCUCUGCACUUAAUGACUAGGAUUUUGCUCUGGUUCUGGAAAGUGGCGAUUUACUAUGCAGAAGAAAUUUCUUAUGCGGAGAUGGUAUAUUUAGGAUUAUGAAUCAGAAACUUAAAAUACUGAAGUAAAAGGAUUUAAGUGGUGGUCUUUUUUGACUUCGUAAAAAUUUUCUUUGUGUCCAAUGGUGGACUUGAGAACGAUAAGAGCUGUUGAUAUGUUUCACUGCCUCUGGAAGUGUAACGCAUGCAGUAGGUUGAAUUUGCUUUAUUUGGAAAAUCCCAUUGACUUGUGAAUUUAUGGAUGUCUAAUUUCAACUCCAUUCCCCUUUCCCAUUCUCUCUCAUCCAAAAGACUACAAACAACAUUUUUGCUAUCUUUCAAGUUAUUUACCGACUCCUAUAACUUUGGAUAAUGGUUAUGGUUACUUGUGUUGCUUAUUCUUGGUUUUGAAAUCACAGGGCCCAAGGAGUUUUCUGCUUUAUGGAGUUGUCUUGGUCAAUGGCGAGUGAGUGAUCUUUUGAUUCUUUGUUACAUUUCCUUCUUUGUUCCCCUAUUAUUUGGUUUAUUCUGCUAUUGCUUGUUUGUUUAUUGUUUCUUUUUGGGAGGAAGGAUGGAAAUUGGAUAUUUGUUGUGUCUAUAUAUGCAUCUUGAGAUGAAUUAUAGGGUACUUUCUUUGUUGGUUUGCAAUGUCAUCUAUGAGAUACGAGAUAACUUCCUGAUUUUUGGUGCUUGAAAUCUUCAGGUCAUCAUCUUUUCAAAUACUAAAGAAUCAAAAUAUAGUGCAUCAUCAAAUGAUUGGCUGUAAAUUCUACUCGUGCACAUAUAUUUUUAUCUAGGAUAUGCUGUGUGAUUAAAAUUCAGUAGGCCAUGACAUUAACUGUGAAGCAUAUUGUUCACUCUGAACUACAUAUAGCACAUGGUGUAAAGAGGUCAUUUUGACUUCAUUAGACCAAGUGCAGAUGUACUGAGCUAUAGAAUGGCGAGUAAUGCUCCAGUUUUCUACCAUCUUUUAGUUUUAUAUACAUGAGAUAGAUGGUAAGCCAAACCACAAUAUAGUUUCCUGUUUAUUUAAAUUUGGAGUUCAUUAACUGUUUAUCCUGAAUUAAUCACACAACAGACCUGGAUAGAGAGAUGAACAGUCAAACGCACACAAUAAGAGGAGAAUUGCUUUACUGACAUGGCUAUGUGCUUUUUCUUCUGUAAAGCACUACUUACAAAUUCAUAUUCAUUAUAUUCAAUGCUUGUGGUCCUUAAGAGCAGUAAGAGGGAAAAUUGCGUGGUAUGUUUUUAAAUCUAUUUGUCUUUUAGAAGAGUGGUCUGACACUAACAUGCUUCUAUAAACAGAGUUGUGAGGCAUAAAUUUUCUUUGCUGUCAUAGCCAAAAGUAUGGUUGGAACUCUUCUAACGUGGGGUAGCAUAUAAAUCUCUCAAGGAAUGGGUUUAAUGGCAUCAGGGGUUGUGAUUCAUAUUCUUAAGAAAAGAGGUAAAUGAGGAAAUUCCUGCCAUAAUUGGGAGUGGUCCAUUUGCACAGCAGGAAGUCUUUUAGAUUUUUUCAGUCCCAGUUGAUUCUUGGGAUCAUAUUUCUUAAAUAGUAGUUAAUGGUAAUAACAUAUUUCUUACCUUUAAGAAAAGGGAAGACAUUGGGGCCUAAAGAGUUUCUUCUUUUUCUUUUUUUUUUCCCCUUAUGUUUAACCAUUUUCGUCAACCUCUGCUCAUAUCUUUUCCUGAAUUCUUGCAUAGUUUUGGAUUGUCUUGGGAUGACAAUCCUGUCUGUUUAACAAGUUAUUUCUGAUUUUGUAUGGAAAAACACCUACUAUAUUUAAAAAUUCAUGGUUUAGUUUGAUUUGGCCCAAACAUUGCGAAAUACUUGAAGAACAUAGUUUAAGAAGGAAAUUAGCAAGAUAUGCAUGUGGUGUUAUCUUAUAUCUGAGGAAGAAGAGGCCCAACAUUCUAUGCUACUGCCCUGUUAGGUGUGUAACUUGUUGAGAAAGGUGCAAUGUUUAGUUACUAAAACUUUCCAUCAUGGGGAUGUGCAUAUAAUAGCAUAACUAAAAAAUUAAGUAUAAACUCUGUUUCAAGUAUAAACUCUGAUUCAGGUAGAAUAGAGUAUCUCUUACCUUCUUAGAUUUUGGUGCUACUUUAAAUGCUGCUUAGCAGAUGCAAGACACCGUGAAGAAAACAAUUUGCUUAGUGUCUGUUUUUGGAUUAUUUCUUAAUCCGAACACAUUGUUGGGUGCAUAUCUUACAAAAGGCAUGCUAUACUCUCUUUGAUUUUGGAUGGAAGGGAAAGUAAACUUCUGUACAACUGGAGAAUAUGCCUAUGUUAUGGUAAUAGAUUUGAGCAGAAAACUCUCUCGUGGUAAUUAUGUUUCUUUGGUAAUGGGUAAACUACUUCUGUUCGAUCUUAAAGGCAUCUAAUAUUUUACUUUCUUUCCAGUCUUGCUUUCUUCCCCACUUAAAAUUGUUCAACUAGUCAGUUUUUGGUGUUCAAUUUUAUUACAAUAUUUUGUUUCAAGCUAUAAUAGUCUAUUGGAAUAACUCUUUCACUCUUUACUGCAGGCCAUAUUUGAGAGGUUUGAUAGAGAUCGAAGUGGGAAAAUUGAUGCAACAGAACUAAGAGAUGCUCUCAAUGGUAUAGGCUAUGCAGUACCACCUUCUGUAUUCCAAGUUCUCAUUUCCAGAUACGAAGAAGGAAAUGGCAGAAGAGUUGAGCUCAGUUUUGACAGUUUUGUUGAGUAAGGCUUCCUCCUCCUUUGGUAUAUGAACUUUUUGUCUUCUGCUUUUUGUUGGCUGUUGAAUAGCAUGGUUUGAUAUAUUCUUAUCUCAGUCCUUUUCUUUUCUUUUGUGCAGAUGUGGGAUGAUUGUGAAGGUAAGAAACUAAAUUCAAAUUCUCUUAUGCACUUUUGUUUCAUGGUUGGAAUCUUUUUGUCCUGUGAGAGUUUUUAAUAAUGUUGGCCGAAACAGGGGGAAAUUUUGUUAGAAUCUGCAAUCUUACACUCUUUCUGCAAGUUCAAAGUUAUUAGUAUAUUGAUGUCCCUUUCUAUGAGACACUUGAUUCUUACACAUGUUAUAAAUACAGGGUUUGACUGAAAAGUUCAAGGAGAAGGAUCCACGUUAUACUGGAUCAGCUACAAUGACCUAUGAUUCGUUUAUGAGUAUGAUCAUACCUUUUCUUGUAUCGUACUAGCUACCUGCUAUCAACAAUCUUUAUCAAUUCUUGAUUUGUUGUCUGUUGUUUGAGGUGAAACUGUACAUCGUUAGGGUGAGGUGCGUGAAAUGUUCAGGAGACAUGGAAGGGAUGUAUAUCUUUGUGUACAGAGUUUUUCUAUUGUCAUGUUUGACUGGUUUUUCGAGAUUCGAUUGAAUCGAGAUUUUAUUUAUGUAUGAGACAAAUUUUCUAGCAAGCCUAGUAAUUGGCAAGUCUGAACUUCAAAUUGAUUUUCCCCCCAACCAUUCUCUCGUGCGUUCUUGAUCUAGUGAGCAUCAGCAAAUUGCUUUCCAGCUAAGGUGAAGAGAGAUGAAGACCAUAUUGCCAUGCUCUGACAGAAAUGGUUCAAACUCUGGUUGAUUGCAAGGAGGGAAGGGCCAUUUGAAAUUUUUUUGUUUGUGACCCCAGUGUAUUGAUGUUUUUUCUUUCUCUUCGGAACAUGGAAUAGAUGAAGAUCAAUUUUCAAUGCAGAGUCAUAGGCUUUCACUACUUGGAAAGUAAAUUAGACUCCAAUUGGUUCAAUUUAGUACAUACGAACUUGUACAAGAUAUUCUUGAGAGUUUUCAACUUGGGUUUAGACAUGAAUGGUUAAUGUCAGAGCACAGCCAGAUCAGGCAAAGCUAGCAUUGUCGGGUACCCUUAUGCAGAAUCAAUCAUGCUUUAUUAUGCUCCAAUUGGCAGAAUUUUGUUUUGGGAACGUUUUGUUUGGACCUUGGACACUCGUAAACUUCGAGUAGGUUUGACUAAAGUGAAGCUUGUGGAUCAUGGCCUUCUCAUUGUGAUGAUGCUGUGUGAAUACUGUGGGAAGCAAACAGAAAGAUGGAUGAUUAAAUCUUUGCCCAAUUCCUAUGACUAAGGUGUAGAGAGAGUGUUUAUGGUUUUGUUUCAGUUCUGCAGGCUUGAGCCUGUCCUUUUCGAUGUUUGUGGGGAGGAGGGAUCAUGGAUGGAAGAGGCAAUUUACUACCAAACCCCCGGGCAAGACAAGUUCACAUGUUCCUCUAAACAAAUACCAAACAUUCCAGGUCUGCACCAAAAACAGCCCAGGUGAUAAUAAUGGUUAUGCAACCACCAGUCCAAAGGCUGGUGGCCACCACCAAAGCAUUAACCCUUGCCUCCCACCAAUUGUCAUACUAAAAGUGACUUUGCUUAAAAAAAUUCAAGUGGGUGCACUUCGCACCCGUUUGGUCUGAUGAUGGUUCAGUCAUCUCCGGAUUACCCUGAGCUUCCUUAGGUUUGUCCCCUCCCCCUGGAUUACCCUAAAUUAUGUUAUGAGCUUCCUUAGGUCUGUCCCCUCCCCCUAGUACAGAAUAAAUUACGUUAUACAACAGUUAUCGUCUCUGGAAAAAAAAAAAGAAAAAAAGACAAUAAUGGUUAUGCUCACAUGCAUAGCAUCAAGGGCCGAACAUGAUAAAUUUAAAAAAGUGACUACAAUCCAUCAUGAAAGUACCUUAUCAUGAGCAUCAAAAUCCUAACAAGACUUGCAAGGAAUUGAAAGGUGCCUGUUGCAAUAAGAUGCCAAAUUACAUAUAUGAAACCAUUUUUCUUCUUCCAGUGAAUCCUCUCGCUCGCAACAAUUUUUGUUUUGCUAAUUUAUUAGGCACCAUAUUUCCUACAUCAAGUGUAUGUUAACUGAUUGUAUUGACGCGUAAUACUUGGGAUAUUUGAACACGACAAAGAAUCUUGUGAUAUUUUGUUUUGUAGUCUAUAAUCAUCUGAUUUUUUGUCAAAAUUCUGUCUGACCCUUCUUCAAUAAAGCCAGAACUCAAAGCGGAUGAUGUUUUUAUAAAUGAAUUGGAGGACUGAACAGAAAGUGCUAGACAACUACCGUGUCCAUGUAUACCAUGGCUAUUACGAUCAGAUAUUCUGGCCGCUUGGUUCUUGAAAGUAAAUAGCAUGUCAGAUCUUUUGAAGUUGGGAACGCUUAAAUGAGGCACCUCUUCCUCUGGAGGAGAUUCUUCAUGUCUCUGAACUACCUAAACAAAACCACGAAAGCAAGGUUCACAGUAAAAAUCCAUUCUUGGCAUCUUGAAAGAAAAGACACUAAUAGUAAAGAGUAUUGACUAGAAAUAAGACUCUCGUUGAAGGAUGAAAUGCAGAUAAUAAGCCAAAAUGUUUUGCCUAUAAUAAACCGGAAAACUAAUCUAUAGGUAAACAUGAAUAUCAACUCAGGAAUAAAGUGAUCCCAUCAGAUGUACGAUUCUGGAACUAAGUGAUCCUUUGCAAUCAUCAACCAUGCAAACCCCAAAAAAGCAGGAAUAAGUAGAUCUGAUGCUUUCCAGGAAGCCACUCUUGCUCCAGAGAUUGAGAUUAUCCCACCAUCAGGCAAUAGCUUCAACAAGCUUGGCAGGCAAUUGUAAGAAUCUCUCGAACUCUUUGCUGAUUUAAAUGGCUCAUCAUGCAAAGUACUAGAAGUGCAUAGAAACUGACGCUAACACUUUGCUGUGGCAGAAGGAUGAUGUUCAUUUUCCUUUGCCAAAGUCAUUGCAUUAAGUCUAAAGUCCCCCUGGAAAAAGCAAUUACACGAACAAAGUCUUCAGUAAAGUUCCCCUGACUAAGAUAAUAUGUGGACAGCUAACCAUAAAUCUGAUAGCAGAUAUGUUUGGAAGAAAUGGAGAAUUUUUGCACUGAGAUUGACAUUAAACUAUUAACAGCCGAUUCAGAUUCAGACCCAUCACAACAUAGAAGCUAAUCAAACAUGAUAAUUGCUGUCUUGGAUAACUGUUGUCUUCAAUUAAAGUGGUGAUGGAAAUGUAGACAGGUUUUGAACGCCAAGCAUAAGUUCCUGUUCUUAUUUUCUUUCCCAGGGUUGAAGGACAGGAUAAUUUAUGAUUACAAGUCAAUUACUAGUGUUAUAAUUUUGAACUACCAGAUUUAUGACAUAUGCCAAGAUAAUACAAGUACACUCUAAAACCAGGAAGUUUCAUUUGGGAAAAUUUCAUACAUUAAGAUAUUCCAAGAAAAGAGUACUCUCCCACACAAAAAGGAAAUACACAGAACUACAAAAGCAUUAUAAAUGGUGGUAUAGAUAGCUCACCUAGUGAUCUCAUGAUUGGUGAAUGUUGUAGAUUGCAGCACUAAUGCUUUUACAGUCAAAUUCCAUUGUCUUCAUCCAGUUCUCAAAGUCUCCAAUUUCCUGUCAUGCGAAACAAAGAUAAUCAGAUCAAAGGAAAAUCCAGGUUUUAAAAUAUAAAAUCUUCACAAUGAAAAAAAAAUUAAAUAAUUACAAGUCCAGGACAAUAGCAGUAAUGUAGUGAAAUAGCUGGUCAUGAGGCUGCAUAAGUAUCACAGCUAAAUAAAAAUUUUCGGUAAUACAAAUUCCUAAUUUUCUUGGCAAUCAAGGUGGCCCAUUGUAUCCUGUAUCCCUAGGGAUGAAGGCAUAAAACCAGAAUUGAGCCUCACACUUCUUUUUCCUUUUUUCUUUCUUAACCUUUUGCUGCUGGCCAUAAUGAAGCAGAAUUAAGUGCAGUGAAUGCUUAGCAUCUAGCAUAAUCUUAAAAAAGAAGUAAGUACACACCAACAACGUUUUAGAUUCAAUAAUUUAUCAUUCCCACUUCUACACGAUCACCUAUCAAUAAUAAGCAUCCCAGGAAACAACUGCAGGUAAUAACCAACCAGUCGUUAUUCAGCAAGCCUCAAACAAAGAAAAACUUCACGUUUGAAAAUCAUUUGUGUAAACUUUCAACUAUAGGUCUUCAAAAAUGCUUAUGAACUUGCACAUGGAUCACCAAAGGUUCUUUUUUUUUUUGUUUUUUUUUUGUUGGGGGGGGGGGGGGGGAGGGAGUGGAGGUUCUUUAGAGGGCCUAACGGCCCAUUACAACAUGAUUAAAUGCAGGGUAGACAUCCAUGCAACAUUGUCACUCAACAAUUUCCUAAUCUGUUCUGGUGAAUCCCCAAACUUGUGCAAUCCUCAUUCCAGAGCUUUGCUAGACCACCUGCCACAAAGCUCCCUUGUCUCCAGUAUGUAGCAAUCUACAAUCUCAAUCCUUCUGAAGCCACUGUCUGAUUUCUCCAAUUAGGUUCAACUGUACAUUGUCCUUUGUAGCCUCUUUAACCAAGCCAAUGCUGCUGAGAGAAUCAGAUUCUACCUCCGCUUUCCUGUAUCCCUCAGCCCAAGCAAAUUCCAAUCCACACAGAAUACCCAGCGUUGAGCUUAUACAUUAGUAGUGAUUCCCAGGUUUGUACAAAAGCCCCCCAGAAAGACACCAAGUUCAUUCCUUAUCAGCCGCCCCGCUCCCACAACUCUGGGGUUGCCAGAAGCUGCCGCAUCCACAUUAAAUGUGAUGUAGUUGGCAGGUGGUUUAGACCUCACAUAAACUAUUUCCAUUCGUCUGCCUUUAGGCCAUUUCUCAGCUCUUCCUGUGCUCGCUCCGCAAGAUCACCAAAGCUCAACUAGAAAGCUUCUACCACUCCCACUUUUUUCAUGUGAAUACCAAAAACUCGUGGCACUUCACCCAAAAAAAGAUGUGCAAAGAAAAUUUUGGGGUAAAAAAAAAUGAGGAAAAAAAUAACAACGCAAACUAUUGCAUAUUGGUCAUUUAAAUAUCGCAGUAACCGAAUUUAAUGCAAUACAUUUAAAUAAACCCCCAGUUUUCUUCUCCUUUAAUACCAAAAUGGUUAAGGGCUAGCACAUAAUCACACAAAUAACUCACAUAUCAAGCAAAGACUUAAACUUGCAUUACUCUGUUGGUAACCAUUGCCUCAACCAUGUCAACUUUUAGGUUUAUAUAUCAAAACAGACGAUCAAUUAAAAAAAAAAAAAAAAAAAGCUUUUCAACCUUGAUUGCUGUAUUGAUAGCAUGAGAAGCUGCUAGCCACUGAUCAGUCUGCUUCCCAAAUUGGACAAUAGCAGCUGUCAAUGCUCGAAUUUCCAUUUCUAUCCUUUUCUCCGUGAUAAAGGCUUCUUGAACACCUCCAUCAACCGAAUCAACUAAAAGCGCAGAAACCCUUUUGGCAAUUUCAAUUGCAUCUUUCUUUGCCUUGUCUGUUCAAAAUUACAACAACCCAACUGAAUCAAAUUACUACUUAAUCAAAUAUAUGGUCAAAAUCCCAGAAGUUUCUUUUAAGGGAUAAAAAAAAUAGGAUUGGACGGGGAAAUCAAAUGGGUUGACCUGUAUGUUCCCGGAGUUGGAUUGAUGAUUGAUUAUGAGCAUGCAUCAGUUGAAGUAAUGAAGCUUCUAAACCUCCAACUUCUGGCUGUUUUGAUCGAUCCAUCUUCAGAAGAAAAGGGCAUUCGCAGCCUUUUUCAGCUUCAAUUUCUGAUGCACUUUCCCAUUUUGUUGGGGUGUUAGUAUAUUAUUACAAAAGUUUUGAUUUUUGAUUUGUUUUUAACGAGAUUAAAAUUAUAAUUGUAGCAAAUUAAAAAAUUGUGUUCGAGUCUAACAUGUGAAAAUUAUUACAUUUUGAGCCAUUAACUUUUUAUAAGUUAGAGUUCAUAUGAAAUUUUGAGCUUGAAUAACUCGACUAAUUAAUGCUCCUUAGUAUGUUAAACUAGGUUUGAGUACUAGCUUUCCAUUGAUUAAUCACAAGAUUGAAGUCACUUAGGGAAUUGAAUUGUUUGAUUCGUUUCUUAGCUCCACGAGUACUACCUAGUUUCAAUGUGCCUGCAAAAUGAAAAAACAAUAAUUUUUUUUCUUGUUGUUGAUGAAUUAAUUGUACAUGUAAAAUGGGUAUAAACUAAAUAUUGUAUAGAUUCAUGUAUCUUAUGAAAGUUUGAUCGUUGAUUGUCUCAUGUACGUGAUAGAAACUUGGAUUUGCUUUCCAAUCCAAUAUGAGUUAAUGAAAAUAACACAUUGAUGUGGUAGAGGCAAGAUGACAAAUCUUGGAGAAAAGGUUUCGCACUAAGGCAAAAGUAAGAUCAUGAUAAUUAGCAUCAAGAAGAAUGACAAGAGAGUAAAAGAUCCUACCCCAAAAUGGUCUUUGAUAAUGUGUCAAAGUUACUUAAGUGCAACGCAUCAAUUAUGCAUCCCAUAGUGAACCACAAGGUCCACCAUCUUAUCAAUUGAGGUAAAAACAUCAUGAAUUAGAGAAAGAAACAAAAAGUUGGGGACAUUUGUUGUUUGUUAGCGCAAAUUAAGUAGUUGAAAUUAUGGAUUUGAUGUUGGAUGUUAAGUAAAUAAUAAUUUUUACUGGGGUCUAAAGCACUAAAGAUCACUAGAUAAUGAACACACAUGCAUGACAUUUGGUGCCCCUCUUUCAAAUCCAUCAUUUAUUUCAUGAAACAUUAUAAAAAGUGUGAUGAAUUGCAUAACCGACUUUGGGAUAUUUGCAUGCUACGUAAGAAAAGAAUAAUUAUGCUUCUUGUCAAGCAAAUCGUACUGGACAAUAUUCGACAAUUUCAUUAAUAAAAUUUUUUGUUUUAUCAGAAAAUAAAAAUAGAAAAUCAUGUGUCUUGUCUGGGUGCUGAAAGAUACGUUUAUGCAAAACUAAUUUCCCAUUUGUUUUGAUAAAAGGUUUGAGUGGCUAAAAAUAUGAGGAAAUGCUUUCACCAACUAAUCAUAAGUGGUCAACUUGCAGUUUUUAGUAGUAUUCACGCUAGAGAUAGAUUAACUUGCACCUUUAGUUAAUACAGUUAAAGAUUAACUUAUACCUUUAGUUAAUAUGAUUAAAGUUACACCUCAGUUAAUUUUGUAUUUGCUGAAUUUGGCAGAUGUGUGAUGUGACUUUCUUUAAAUUGAUUGAAGCACUGCAUAUGGAAACAUGGCUCAAUCUGGACUCUCCCUAAUAUAGGUUAGAGUAGGAGCAGGAGUUCCGUUUGAUAAAAAAAAAAUAUGGGAACAAAACAUUUCUUCACCAUAACCUUUUGUAUGAUCAUCCAUUCAUUUUUUUUAACUGCAAUGGAAUAGACUAGUUCCUUAUGAUAAUAUUAUACAACCUAACCACCUAGUUUUUCAAAAUUCUUAUUGUUAGACAAGGCAUUGCAAGUCAAUUUAUUUUCCAUAUAAAGGUUAACUGGAUCCAUUCCCAUAUGUUUUCCUUUUUCUGGUAUCCUCUACCUUAGGUUGAAGUGAUAACUAUUUGCUAAUCGUUAUUUUACGAAAGAAGGGUUAUUAUUUUUUUUUUUUUUUGACAAAGGAACCUGCAGUCACUGUCCGAAGGUGCGCGCUGAGUAAAUUUCGUCCCGUGCAAUAGUCCGCCAACCACAGGAAGUACAAAUCUUGUACGGCGGGCGGAUGUCCCAGUAAAGAUUCGAACUCGAGGGUUAUUAUCAUUUGACCUUUAGAUUUUACCAACAAAAUUACUUUGGAACAAAUGAAAAGUAUCACGAUGUUUUGUCCACCUUGCAUUGAGAUUCCUCUUGCCUGCAUGCGAUUCGCGAAGGUCACGAGAUAAUUUAUUCAUUACAUUGAAAUUAGGAAUAUUGUUAAUCGCAUUCCAUCUCUUUUUAUAUCUUUUGCACAUCUACAAAAAGUGAAGUGUAAAUUAACCUCAUGCUCGUGCACUACAAGUAACAUAUCGAAAGUGAAAAAAAGAUUAGAAAAGGCGAUUUCUACGUACUAAGAUUAAUCUAUUUCUAAUCCUUUUUUUUUUUUAAAGAAUCUAUUUGUCAUCCUUUUUUUUUUUUUCAAGAAUCUAUUUUGUGAUCCCUAUCCAACUGUUGUGGUGAAAUGAAGGAAAAAUCAAGCAACUUUGCAUCUUACGUUUGUGAUUUGAAUAGGAUUGUCCUCAACAAAUACUAGUUUUUAUUUAAAAGAUAAUGCAUGCGGACACAUCACAUAAAUUUUAUCUCACACGCUCCUCAACACAAUCCGUCUUGCUUGUAAAUAUUAUUGUCGUCGACGGAUAAUAGUUCUCUACAUAAAUAUUGGUUAAAUUUGCUAUCACUCUCUAUAAUACGUAGUUAAGAAAUUACAGCCUUGUUCGAAUUGCUACAUUUCUGCAAAAAAUUCUUUUGGAUUUUCUAAAGUAUUCUCUCGACAUGAUUGUUAAUCACAUUUUUUAUAUAAAAAAAAUGCUAUAAUGUAGUUUUUCAGCAUAAACCCCCCAAAAAUAAAUCUCAAUGGACGGUACAUUUUGUUAUAGUCUUGGACUCGAUUCUUUUCGAUCAAACGAUAAUUUUGAAAACUCAGCAAUUAGGAAAAUCUUAUUUCAUACAACCAAGGAACGACUUAAAUCCUUUUUUAGUUGUAGAUCGAUGAAUUAAAUCCCUGAUAGAAUAAGAAUUAUUGCAUAAAAGAAAAAAAGGAUGGAGCGAGCCGAGUUAAAUUAAACACUACUAGAUUAUAGCGUUUGACCAUAUACCGACUUAUCUACGAAACACAUGGAAGUUCCAAUUCUGCAGAACUCCAAACCAGGGCCUGAUGCCUGAAUGGCCUACGGCAUUGACCAUAUCGAGUAAACGAAAAAGGUUUCAGUUCAAAACACGGAUCCCCAAAAUAGAAGUCCAAGCUAUCAAAGCUAGUAGGAAAGAUAGAUAGAUACACCUGCCAGGGCUACAGUGCUACACAUCCCCACACACAGUCACAUUGUGUCACACACAAUUUUUCCAGUUUCCGAAAAAUAUUUCAUUACCCCCACCCGGCAGAAAGUGAAGGAAGGUGGCAGUAAAAGAAAGGAUUUUUACGAAAUAAUUGCAAGCCAAUGUCGGUGAAACUAAACUCCACCUUAAGCAAUAAGAAAAAAAUGUCACGUGCAACCUUUGGUAACUGAAUCAGAGUUUCCUGGAAACGCUUGCUGAAUAGAAACGUUAUUGAAGUGAAAAUCAAUCAUGAUUGCAAGUGUUUAGUACAGGAUGAAAACAAUUUUUGUUUUACUAGUUGUGUUGUGCGGUUGCUCCUUUCACACAUACUGUGACAGAAUAUAUUAGUACGUAUAAAUAUCGGAAGGCAUCAUUAAAAGGGCAUCGUGGUUGAGGUUUGGCUAGGCUGGCAUUACAGCAAUGGCCUCCCUGAGGUCCCUCAACCGCUUCAGGGCUCUUGUUCUUCUCUUCUCCCUCCUAUCAGGUCCUUCAUCUUUCAUCUCUUGUUUUUUUUUUAAUUCAUUUUUCAUCAUAUUACGAGUCUUCUUAAGUGGGUUUUUCUGGGUUUUGGUUGGUUGUGCCUAAUCAUUUGGUUAAGGGGAAAACAAGGUGAAAAAAUAGUUGGCUACUGAUCUUUUGGAUUGGGGGAAUUGAGCUAGUUCUUCUGGUUUUGCGAGCUGGGGAGCUUUUCUGAAGUGGGGCUUUCUUGUUUUUCUCUGUUUUCCUUUAUUUUGGUUUGCUGGGUUUCGGUGGCAAGAAGUUGGAAUGUUCAAGAUUCAAUUUUUGUUUGAUUAUCUGAGCAUUCAAGUUGCAGGGCCUUGAGUUUUAUGAUUCUUUUAUCAUAUUUGAACUAUAAUGUUCUGAAAUUCUUCAAGAUAUGCUUGCUAUUGGAUUGGUGACCUGGAUUCUUGACACAAAAGAAUAGGAAUUUAUUGUUACUACCGUGUUUCUGUGAUUCUUUUCAGAGUUUUCCUCGUAGGAAUGAUGUGACCUGUUGAUUUUAUUUGUCCUCUGAUUGGUUUAUGUUCUGGAAGUUUAUCCUGGUAUUGGUACUUAUGAAUUUUCACUGUUAGUUAAUACUAUAAGAUGAAUUAGAAAACACUUGAAGCUAUCUUCUCUUUUGCCAAAUUUUGAAGGAUUAUGAAUAUUGAAGCUGAUAGCCAUCACUAUUAUUCUGUUUCUUUGGGAAUAAGCUUAUGCAUUUAUCACCCUCUUCGUCUACACUCACCAAUGGCCUUCAAUUUUUUGCUCAGAUUUAUCUGUUGGCGUACUCAGCCUUGGAAUUGGGAUAAAUUAUGGCCAAAUAGCCAACAAUCUCCCUUCACCGUCCCGGGUUGCUGUUCUCCUUAGAUCUCUCAAUAUAAGCAGGGUGAAGCUAUAUGAUGCAGAUCCAAAUGUGUUGAGUGCUUUCUCCAAUUCCAAUGUUGAUUUUGUCAUUGGAUUAGGGAAUGAAAAUCUUCAAGCAAUGACUGAUCCUGGUCAGGCUCAAACUUGGAUUCAGCAACAUGUUCAACCAUACCUUUCUCAGACUAAGAUCACUUGUAUCACUGUUGGAAAUGAGGUCCUAACUGGGAAUGAUACCCAGAUGAAAUCUCACCUCCUCCCUGCAAUGCAAACUGUCAAUAAUGCUCUUAAUAAUCUCGGGCUCAGUCGAGAGGUCUAUGUAACAACUGCUCAUUCAACAGGCAUAUUAGGUAACUCCUUCCCACCUUCCUCAGGGUCAUUCCGACAAGAUCUUGCAGAAUAUAUCCAGCCUAUCCUCAGUUUUCAUUCUCAGACAAAUUCACCAUUCCUCAUAAACGCGUAUCCCUUCUUUGCGUACAAAGGUAGCCCCGAUCAAGUCUCAUUGGAAUAUGUGCUAUUCCAGCCAAAUCCAGGAAUUCGCGAUCCAGUUACAAAUUUAAACUAUGAUAACAUGUUAUAUGCACAAAUUGAUGCCGUUUACUCGGCUAUGAAAGCACUGGGCCAUACAGACGUUCAAGUUAAAAUAUCUGAAACAGGAUGGCCAUCAAAGGGGGACCCAGAUGAGGUAGGAGCUACUGCCGAGAAUGCUGCAUUGUAUAAUGGCAAUUUGCUGCAACGGAUCGAACAGAACGAAGGUACCCCUGCAAAUCCAUCAAUACCAAUUGAUGUCUAUGUUUUUGCCCUUUUCAACGAGGAUUUGAAGCCCGGUCCAGCUUCGGAGAGGAAUUAUGGCCUGCUUUACCCAGAUGGUUCUCCAGUUUAUCGGAUUGGGUUGCAGUUGCUGGAGCAACAGCAGGGAUAUCUCCCCCAUAUCGAUUAUUCAUCUUCUGGUCAACAGAAUACCGUAAGAAUCCUCCUGCCACCAUUUAUCUGUUCUUCUACAGCCCCCACACCUCAUGUAUGCACAUACGAAUGCUGAUCUAACAUUUACACUUAUAUGUGAUGUUUUGCAGGUUUAUUCCAGUUUUUCUCUUCUGCUGAUUGCAUUAGCAUUCUUAAUAUGAGCUUCAGAACGGGAGACGCUCAAAUUAAAAGCCAGAGAAAGGCGAUGGGAACAGGAGGAGCCUCUGAAGAACCUCAGGGAUGUUUACCACUUACUUACAAGAUCAAUUCUUUUGCUCGGUUCAUGAAUUCUUUGACCAUCCAUUUGGAACUUAAUAGUAAUAAGUAGUCAAGGUGGCUCAACUGGAAGCAGGACUAGAACUAUAGCAAUUGAUAGCACUUGGUAGCAGUUUUGUCUUUUAAAUUCCCUAUAUCUGUACAUACUCUACCAAUACCAAAAUUUUAUGAGUUUGUAAUGAGGGAACAUCCAUCAAUUGAUCUGUUAUAGACUCUCUAUUUUUAUCAUUGAUCUGCAAAUCUUUGUUAUCUGAAAUGGAUUUUUUUACAACAGCGGAUAUUAAUGUCAAGAUGUGGUAUAGGUCGGCUGUUACACCCAAUUCUUGCAUACGUUUCAACCAUCAUUUUUUUAAUGAAGAUAGGGCCAUGAACUAUUAGGUCUGUAUCCACUUGCUUCUGCCUGCUAUCAUGCUUAUGAGCCCUCGCUAUAGAUGAAAUUCCCAUAUUCGUCCUUAUUGGCUUCUAGGAGGAAAAAAUGAAGGGGAUAAUUUCAUAAACCUCCCCUGAUGUGUCUAACAAUUUCACUGAGUUCUCUUGAGAUUUCAAAAUUUACACUUCCUUCCCCUGAUUUGACGCUUUUGAUAUCCAAAACUUAGAUUUGGCCAAAAUUUUAAAUGAAUACCCCAAAAUACCCUCACUUUGUAAAAUUCAAUUACUUUCUAAAGCAAUAAUAAUAUAUUUAGUACAAAUAUAAGAAAAGAUUGUCAAGUUUUCACCAUCAAAUUUAUCUAUCAAUUAUGAUAAACUACUUUUAAUGGUGCUUUAUCGCGGAUACAUAUUUUUCCUAAAUUAAAGAAGAAAAAGUCAUCAUAAUGCUUUUAGAGUUUGUGGAUUUUUGAAUUGGUGAAACUAUCAUAGUUUGAUAGUAUUUUGGGCUUUUUUCUUGAGUCAGUGUUGCUUUUGAUACCAAAAAAAAAUUGAUGAAUAAAAUUGGAUCACAUCAAAUGUUCUAAAAAAAAUAGUCAUUAGUUUGACAUCUAGGGUUAGUGUUUAUAGUUCCAUAAUUUUACUGGCAAAAAAUAUAAAAGAGGAGGAAUAAAAAGAGAAAAGGAAAAGGAAAACUAACUAUAAAUACCAUUUUUUGUAUAUGCAUAUUCAACAAGGGAGUUUUAUUAAAUUGUUAAGAUCGGUAUUGUCAUUUUAGGUGAAUAAGGGAGGUAAGUACAAUUUUUAAAACUUUGGGGGACCUCAGCGAAAUUAUUAGAAACUCAGGGGAGGUUUCUGAAAUUAUCACAAAAAGAAGCCGCCCUCGAGAGUCUCUAUCUUUUCUCCAACCGCACAUUUUUAAUCUAAACCGCCAAAGCUGAAAGUUCAUAAAUUUUUGUCUGGUUUCGUCAAGCCUACAUCGGAAAAAUGACAUUUUGUGUCUACAUGUUGUGUUUUUAAUUUCGUAAAAAGAAUGUAUUGCAUCACUCUUAUGUCGACUAGCAAUCUUUCUCUGCUGUACCCCUUUAUGUCAAUUUCCAACGCUACAUCCCUGAAUACUUUUUCUUGAUCUUUUGCAUACUUUUUCUUGACCUUUUCAAUGGGUGGUAGUAGUUUUCUUCCAAGCUAUAAAUCCUUGCCUCAUUAUGCAGUCAAUUUUCUCAUUCAUCCCUGUAGGCUUUUCUAACACAACUAUUAUUAGCUCUUGAUAUGCAUGGUCAGAUUAGAUAUGAUUUCCCUUUGGGAUAUUUUUUUCUGGGCUCCUUGAGAGACCUUCCAAGAAGUCCUAUAUUUGGUGGGGAUGGAAUCUUUUGAUGCCAAAGCCUAGAGCAUCAAUAUCAGAUGAUGCUUAAGUUACACAACUGCUUUGUGGGCUUCAACAUCAAGGCAUUUUCAACUUUAUAUUUCCUACAUCAGCAAUGACUAUAAAAUAAGAUAAGGGUGACAGAUGGACCAAUGCACUUGACAAAUUUUUCUUCAAUGUCAGCUGGCUUAACUAAUACUGCAUACCUUCCCCAGUUGGCUGAUGCCCCGGAGUUUGUUCAUAUUUGUUGCUUCUAUCAAGAAAAGUGGCCUAAAAAUGCUGAUCAACCUGGAUGGUUAAUAAGAUCAUUCUUUCGUCGAACAUGUUUAUGGCCUGUUCAUGACAUAACGAGAAUGUAGAAUAUCUUCUGCAUGUUGUGAAUUAUAGAAACAAAUGCAUGUGUAAAGCUAGCUUUCAUACUCGUAUACAUAGAGCACCAGCUGCUUUUUUCAUUUGUGGUAGGCCAUUAAUUAGUUGAUUGAUAGAGAUGGAUAAUAUCAAUUGAUCUAAUCAUGCGCUUGGAAGUGGGAAUUGGGAACUGUAAAUUAUCGGCCUGCUGUUACUGUUACGACUAAUCCAAGCAUGUACAGUAUUAGAUUGUUCUACGAUUCUAUGAUGUAGAAGGCUCUGAUUUGUGAUCUUUUACAGACAAAUUCUGAACAUCCAACAUGGAGAUUUGAUAUUUAACGCAAUCAAACUUUUGUUAGCUACAAUUCUUGACUGUCUACGCAAUAUGAUAGUGAUCGAUGCAGUGGUGCUGCUCCUUCGAUUGCAUGGGGCCAAACCAUGACAAGAAAUUUUUGUGCAUCUGUGUUUCCAUCUAUGCUGAUUCAACGGUUAAGGCUUUUUAUCUUGCGGUAGUUCAUAUGUCUUUUCUGUUGCUCACCAGACUUCACCAAAUACGAAUUGAAUGUCAAAAGAAGGGGACACAUUAAAUUAAAAUAUCUGAAGCAUUUUAAUGGGACAUGAGCUUUAGUGACGCUUUGAAACCCGUUUACAUGCAGAUUAAUAUUGAGCAAUCAUCUCAAUUAAAUAAUGUUACUCAAAUUUGUACUACUUCUCUAAUAAUGUGUAGCAAGCAAGACCCAAUUCCAAAAUUUUGGAUUUUCUUUGCUAGGAUUAAGAUCUGACUCCGGCUUGAAUUAUUAGUUGGAGUGGUUGUUAGGUUCAGUCAGAAGCCAAUUAUUUGAUUCCAAAAGCAAUUUAGUCCAACUAAGACUUUUGCAUAGAAAAAAAAGUAAUAUACACUGUCAGUGUAUACACUGUCACGGUUGGAUGGAUGACACACGAACAAAUUUUGAAUUUUAAAUUCAAAUUUUGCACAUGUGUCAUAAAUUCAAAUUUUGCACAUAUGUCAUAUAUUUAACGUGAUACUGUAUACACUGACAGUAUAUAUAAAAUUAAUCCAUGUAAAUAAUACUUCAAUUUUUUUAAAAUAAUGUUUGUACUCUCUUUGUCUCAUGAAAAUAGAUUCACUUUUCAUUUGUAUUUGUCUCAUUCACAAAUUAUAAGCCCAUUUCCUGCUACACUCAUAUUAAACAAAUAUUUACUUCAUUCAUUAAUUAUUCUAGUAGUACUAAUAAACACAACAAUAAAACUAGUACUAAUUCAGAGGCAUAUAAGAAAAGUACUAAACAAAAAUGAUUGCAUUAACUACAAUAACUUACGCUUCUCAAUUUGUGUGAAAAUGAAAGUGGACUUAUUUUUGUGGGAUAGAAGAAAUAUUACUUUUUGUUUGGGAUUAAGGGUUGACUUUAAACCUUAUAAGUGAGAAGGAAAAAAAUCGAAUCAGAGAUUUUAUGGUCACCUAAUUAAUGUCUCUUUUCUUCAAAAUAAAAAAUAACGUCCCUAUCAGUUAAAUUGGGUCUUAUUAAUAGUUUUUAACCGGCGAAGUUAAGCCUUAUUCACCUGAAACUAGUUUUAUCUAGACUUGAGAGAUUAAAUAGGAAAAAAAAAAGUAAUUUCUAUAGUGCACGCAAUAAUUACACACUUUCAUGAUAAUAGAAGUGAAAUUCUUCCAGUAAUCAUAGCAAUGGAAGCACAUUUUGCUCCAUUCUCCAAAAAGUUGGCCUUUUGUCUAGAGUCAUCCUCAGUAAUUUUAAUCCUAUGAGAGGAUAAGGGGCAUUUUCGUAUGUCGGCAUCUUGUACCCAUUCUCAAUGGUGCGGCCGAAAAGCAGAAGACAAAUAUUAGGAACAAUAUUAGUACAUCUGUACUUUGGCUUUAUAUCUCCAAGUAAUUUGGUGGGCAAAGAAUCCCAUAGGAAGCAGGUAAAAGUAGUAGGAACUAAUAUUAGGAAUUUCAUGUCUCAAUAGUUUUAAGCCCUUUCAGUAUUUGUAGUUUUAUAAACAGAUUAGUUGAGGCAUGAAAAGAAAUUUGGCAUUUAGAAAAAAAUAAGUUUUGAUAGCAUUAUAUGACGCAUAAUGCAAUUAAUAGCCAUAUAAUAGUGAAUUUUCACAUGUACAGAUGAGGCUAAAUACAAAUGAAGCUCCUUAGGUUUGGGCGGAGAAGGAAUGGUUUUUCCUCAAAAUCCAAAGCUGUUCUUUCGGAAAGUCUCAAGGUUGACACUACUUUUGCAAAGAUUUUGCAUUGCUCGAGUAAUAUAAAAUUUAGAGUAAAUCUUUAUAUACAAUAUCACUAUUAGAUCCAUGAUAUAUGUGCAAAAAUUGAAUUUUAAAUUCAAAAUUUACAUAAUUGUCAUUCAUCCAAAAUUAACCGUAUAUAUGUUAUCAGUGCAUAUAAGAUUAAUUCUAAAAUUUAGUGAAUAUUCAAAACUUUUAUAGUUGCAGAUACGAAUGUAAACAAACCUAAUCAAACCCAACACUUUAAUGUUCAAACUUGUUUGACUAUUUUAAUGAAUUUGAAAUUUUGUUCAAACUUAACUUAUUUAUUUGCUGAAUUGAAUUUGAAUGAGACUUUUAUCGAGUUUGAAUGUUAUUAAAUAUAAGACGCUAUUUAUCCUUAUCUUGACUAAUCGGCAAACCAAACUCGAAUAAAUUCUUACCAAAUGGAGCUCGAUUCGAGUAUCAAGUAAUUUGGUUCAUCUUUCAACCUUAGUUGUAGGUACAAUCACAAAAUGUAAUCAACGCAUCAAAUUAAACCAUGAGAUUUAUUAAAUUUCUAUUGUUCAUUUUAAAUUUGAAAUUUGAAAUUUAACAUUUAAAUUUAAAUUUCUGAAAUGAACUCUCAAUAUCCAGCUGAUCUGCUUUGACUCAAAUAAGGAUGUCAAAAAUUGCUGAGUGAUUGCUAUGACGAUUGUUUAGCCUACCCCAACCCCUCAUAAAAACAACAUGCUGUGCAAAAUGCAAACUAGCUUUGGUCCAAGACUUGUAAUCACUUGGCCUAAAAGACGAAUGAGCAAUGAAUAUCAAGAUAGUCAGUAUUCAGAGCUAAAGAUCUAAUAAUUAAUCUUUUUUACAGUAAUAGUAUGGUGUUGGAUGAAUGAUAAAGGUAUAAAAUUUAAAUUUGAUAUUUAAAUUUUGUAUAUAUAUCACGAAUCUAACGGUGAUAGUAUAUACAUUUAUAUAAAAUUUAGUCAAUAUCUAAACAUGUUCGUGUUAUGAUUUUAAGGUAAUACUUGUAAUUGAUUCCAUGAUUUUUACCAAUAAUAGAAAUAUAAAUACCUGUCAAUUGCGUGAUUGACCAAAUGCUGACACGAAUCUUAGUAGGCGUACGUGCUUUUCCAUCAGCCAUCGCGAGAUCCGCCUAAAAAUGCGUGUUCCUAAGCAGUGGUCGGCGAGAUCAGGACCGCCACGCACCGCCAUGUCAUCAUCUUAGCAACAUCAUAGGCUACUCUUGCAUGUGUACUACGGUUACUGCACCUUUUAGUCGGUCAGAUAUGUCUUUCACUUUUUCAUUUCCUCUUUUUUAAAAAAAAAAAAAAAAUAUUUUUCAUAUUGUAUUAUUCAACUAUUAUUUUUCUAAAAAAUUAUUUUCUAACAAGAGAGAGGUGAAAUUUAAAAAAUGAGAAGGAAAAAGGGGAUUCAAAUCCAAAAUCUCUAAAUUUAGAGUCUCGACUCAGUCACUAGUAUUAUUUUACUUUUAAUUGGGUGACCGGAAUAUCAAAUUAGGCUACAAUAAUUUUCCAAUUACGUUUUGAACUAGCAAGUUUGAAUGUAUGUAAUAUAUAUGAACAGGAAUUUGAAUACUAAUGAAGUUUACGUAUCAUGUAUUGAGACCCAUCAGUUAAAAAAAGAAAAAAAAUUACACGGCUUGUGUAAGAAAAAAUUAAUUUAGUAACAAUUAAAAAAGAAAAGAAGAAGAGUAAAGAACAAAAAAGUUUUCAUAUUUCCCAAAAAUUCAUGGAGACUUGCGAAGAAGAGAUUUCCAAACGAAGUAAAAGAUGAGAAUCGCUAGCUUAAGAAACAAUCUAGUAGUACUAUGUUGUUCUUAUCUCUAAUAAGAAUUUUUUUAACGGGUACCCACUUCACACGUCUAAAUUAUAUUUAAUUUAUCAUAUAAAUACACACAAUCAUAAUUAUUGUAUUUUUUUGGACGCUUUUCUAAAUUAAUUAAACAUUAAAAAUAAAACUAACAUUUGAAGUCGCUAUUAACGAGUACCUAACGAGUAUCUGUUUGCCGAACUUUUUUAAUAAUUAUGAUCUCAUUGGGAGGGUAAUAUUCAAUAUAAGGAAGCCCAAAUUGUUUGCUUUAAGAGAAAGUACCUUUCAAUGAAUGCUAUGUUGCGGUCAUCGUCAGUUCAAUCUUUAGACGUUGCUUCGAAGAAAGGCAAAAUUUCAAUUUAUUACGGAGCUAAAGGAAGAAAUCUUGGGAGUCACUCACAGGUCAAAAAUUAACACAUCAUCAGCCAUCAGGACAUGUAUCAGUAGGAGUUGUCAAAACCGUAUGUCCUCUAGUUCGUUACUGUCCAUUCUUCAUUUCGUCCUGCACCUUUCCUAACUAUUGAUUCCGUAUUUAAUUGGGACACAAAUUUUGUUAAUUUUAUAGAAACGUAGAAAAGGUUCUCAGUUAUUUCCCACAGUAUUUACACGUGCAUUUAUAAAAGAAGUAAUCGUUAAAUUGUCUACUAAAAACACGAUUCUUUUUUUUUUUAAUUAAUUGAUCGUGAGAAAACAACGGGAUGACAGCGUUCUAAGGAAAAAUGAAACAAAUUAAGUGUUCAAGUUUAGCACCUUGUUUACUUUUUUUUUUGUUUUUGUUUUAUAAAACAAUAACACAUAUACUCUCCUAUUCUAGGGAGGGAGGAAAAAAAUUAAGAUACAUAAGGGACUUGAAAGAAAACAAAACCCUCUAGAUCAAAAAAAAAAUCAAAUAUUUUCUUAGUGACUAAUUUACCAAAAGUAAGAUUGGGACUCUAGUGGACUUCAGCCUAAUACAUAAAAUUAACAACUGUAAAAGUGAUUAUAAAUAUAUGCAAUAAAAACAAGAAGUCAUGCCUUUUUCUCCAAAAGUAAAUAAGUUCAAGUUGUUCUUUAACUAAUUAUAAUUGUUAUCCUACUAUGAUCACACUUUGGAUGACUCAGACAAACGUUUGAUUCUUUGAAUAGCUCCUAACUUGCCCUUUGAAUUUUCGAAGUUAUAAUCGAAACCCUUGUAACAUUUUGGUCAGAAAAUGUGGGUAGAAUCUUCAAAAAUAGAAUUCAAUGAGUUGGUUGAGGAAUAAAUAGAAUUAAAUAUCCACCAUGCACCACUUUAUUCUAAAGGGCCUAAUUGACAAUCAAUCAAGGAGGGCUAAUAGCGGCUGUUAGAAGAAUCAAAUUCCUCCUUUUUUUUUAUAUUUUAGAGGUAUAAGUGGAUAACGUUCAAAAUUCAACUUUGACUGCAUGGAAGAAAAACGUUUUCUUGGAACUUAAUUUAAAAAAAAAAAAAAUGAAACACAAGUUUUAGUUGGUCAAACAUAACAUGUUCAAAGCCACAGAUGAGUCUCGAUCACUAGGAUGAUGGCUAAGGGCAUGGCAAGCUUUGGACAUUAAUUCUUUCGUGACAAAUUUGGCAUUCUACUUAUUGGCUAUUGAACUUUUUUUCUUGGUCCAAAUUAGUCAUUCGAUCAAUUGAUUGAAACAUAUAUAUUUGGACAAAAAAAUGUACAUUUUUUAUUAGUUGAAUGAUAAAAAAAAAAAAUUACGUUUUUGUUAGUUGAGUGAAAAAAAAAUGCAGUGUUCUAUUAGUUGAGUGACCAUUUUGGCUAAAUAAAGAGUUCAAUGACUACGACGGGAAAUUAUCAAUAAUUUAGUGACAAUUUUUUUCAUUUAUUCUUCUACUUUUCUACAAAAUUAUUUUAGUUUUACUUUCAAGUUAUUGAGAAUAUUUUAUGACAAAUAUAUUAAUACACAUAAACUUAAUGAUUUCAAAACAUUUCAUAUCUCAUUAAAAAGUUUUGAGGUUCACAAAUGAAAUGUAAGAUACUAAUAUUUAAUCUUGGGAUGAAAAGUAUGAUAACCAAAUAAGCGUGGAUUUGACUUUGAAAUAUCUUACACUAAUCAAGGGAUUCGAUGGAAAAGCACUUAGCAUCUGACUAGUCCUGUCAAUUCUGUAGAUAAAGCAUCAUCUGACGUGAGAAUUCAUCAGUAGAUUGAAGAAAACAAAAGCCACUUGCUUAAUUAAAUGAAACUCUUUUUGUUCACAUUUCAAAUAAUAAAGUCACUUCCUUUGAAUUAGACCUGUCUUUGCUGAGGGACUGUUCUCAGUUAAUUAUUUUAGCUUUAACUGAUUAUAGAUUCUGAUUUUGGAUAAUCAAUUUUUGUGAUGCUUUCGGUUGCUUUUGUAUUUUGAUUAUAGAUUUUUUAAUGACCAAAAAAUCUAAUAUCUAUAAUCACCUAAAGAGCAGCUUUUCCUGAUUCUGAUUAUUAUCUAUAAUCAGUUUCUAUAAUCAGAUUUUGUAAAAUUUAAAGUAACCGAGAGCAAGGCCUAAAUAUUUGAAUUUGAGGUACAUAAAUACGUUCACAUGUCAAUUGCAAUUCUGAAUUAGGACACAGAAAAACUUGCCCACUUGAUUCCCGAAGCAAGUUUUUUUCUGCAUUGAUUUAGCAUUUUCAAGUUGUUACUUGGAUUUAGUCCCCAAAUUGGGCUAGUAGUCCACUUGAACAAAAUAAAUACUUUCACAUGUCCAAUCCAAUUCUGAAUCAGGACACGGAAAAACUUGCCCACUUGAUUCUUGAAGUAAAUCUUGGGGAUCGAUUUACCAUUUUCAAGUUGUUACUUGGAUUUAGUCCCCAAAUAAAUACUUUCACAUGUCAAAUGCAAUUCUGAAUUAGGACACAGAAAAACUUGCCCGCUUGAUUCUUGAAGUAAAUCUUGUGCAUUGAUUUAGCAUUUCCAAGUUGUUGCUUGGAUUUAGUCCCCAAAUUGGACUAAAUACUUUCGCAUGUCAGAUGCAAAUCCGCUUUAGGACCCAGAAAAACAUGCCCACUUGAUUCUUGAAGGAAAUCUUUUGCAUUGAUUUAGUCCCCAAGAUUGGACUAGCAGUUGACCAGAACAAAAAUCGUCAAGCCAAGAAAGGCCCUUUUACAAAAGCGUUCUCAUGAAAGGGUAAGAUUGAUAUGCAUGCCAUUUCAGACUUUUUAUCUCCUCAACUUUUUCUUGGCCAAUGUCACAGACGAGAGCUUUAUUCUUAUUCUGAUCACUUUAGCAACCAAUUCAUUUGUCUCAAUUGGUAAAGUUGGGCCCUUUUUUGUUCGUCAACAAUGUUCUAUGGGCCUAAGUUUAGAUGUGUGGCUUUUGAUAUCCAAGAUAAUGUCUAAGCUGUCUCAGUUGGCCACUUCCCAAAUAUUAUAAUUUUAACGUGCUUAAGUCACAAUCCAAACUUUACCAAAAGUUAUAAAUUCAAGGCCAAUAUAUGUUAUUCCUAUGCCCUUGUCUUUUCUUGUAAACAAAUACACUAAUGUAGACUAUGCAGUGCCCAUGAGUCAAAAACUAGAGUGGUAGGAAAGAGAUGGUACUAGACUACUUUUGAAAAUUGACCAUAUAUUCUUUAGCAUUUAGAAAUUCAAUGAGGUAACUUUGACAAGAUUCAAAUCACCAAGAAGUAAUUUUCUUUUGAUUGGGGGGGGGGGGGGGAGUUAAAUAUGGGAUUAGUAGGUUGACUUAGGGUGCGUUUGAUAAAAUAGAAUCUGAAAACUAAAAACUGAAAUUUGACUUAGGGUGCCACUUAAUUAAUUCAGAUGCUCAAUUUUUUGUUAUCAAAGGCAUCUGAACAUAUUAAGAUCUGAAUACAUUAAGUCUAAAUGUUGAAUUGAGUUAUCAAACAGGGUCUUGGAGUGGAAAAAUAUGGAUAAGCAGAUUAUUAAGCAUAUGCAAGUAAUUCACUCCUCAUCUCUUUGCAUGAUUCGCGGAAUUUUGUUAAUAUUUUCUUCAAUAAACCGAUUUCAUUUAGAUUCUUUGUCAAGUAAAAUCCCUGCUGGGGAAACAAUAUGGUAAAACUAUUUUGAAAAUGCAUGAAAUUAUACGGUCGAUGAAAAAAAAAACUUUUCAGCCGGCUCUUCAACAUAUGUCGAAUUGGAAAUUAUUACGAAUUUAUCGAACUGGGCCAGGCUUCGUAAGGCAACCCAAAACUACAGGGGAGGCCGCAGUUUGUAACUUCUUUAAAAUUCGUGAACUAGUUGGGUUUCAGCCUGUCAGAAUUCAAUUGAAUAGAAAAUGUUUCUAGAAAGCAAUAUGGGUUUUAGAUGAUUAGGUCUUAGUUACAAUAAGAAAAAUGGCCCAAUUUGGAACUCCUAGGCAUUUUUUGACCAAGCGGCACAAACAACAAAGAUAACUCCAAUUCAGCUGCAAUACAUUUAAAUUGAGAACAUUAAUAAAUGGUAUAUACAACGUUCAAUUUGAUAAUAAAUCAUAAACGUUGUACAUGGAAAAGAAGUUUUUUUUUAAAAAAAAUUAUUUUCAUUUUUCAGCUAGGAAUGGACGAAAUAUAAAAAGUGGGGAAGAGAAAAGCAGAUUUAAAUCUGAAAAACCCUAAUUAUUGAAGUCUCAAUCUUAGUCAUUAGAUCAAUACAUUCUCAAUGGUGCAUGAAUAUUAUGUUCCACGAUAAACUAGACAUGGGGGGAGGGGGGAUGGGAACAAUAUGUUUAUGGGGUGAAGGGUAUGUAGACCAAGGAAUAAGUUAAAUCUUCUGUGCAUUCUUUAAGUCCCCAUUUGGACAAAUGUUUUAUCAAUCUUGAGAGUUCAAACUUUAAAGACUGUAAUUUAUUUGUUUGCUAGGAGACCUAUUUAAAAAAUUGAAAAUUCUCUAGAAACCAGUUUGACAAGCAUUGCUCCAAUUGACACCACGACUAGGCAUCUAAAUUGUUAUUUCUGCUGUGCUUUUAAAUGUUGCAGUUCACGGAAAUGGAGAAAAGACUUGUUUGAUGAAGGACCAUGCCAGCAAUUCGAUUGGCCAUCCAUCUAGUUCCCAGAUAUCAUGAUUUCUGAUUAAGAAGGGAAAAUAUGUUACUGAUUAAGAAGGGGAAAUAAUGUGGUUGAAACUUGAAAGCGCACCCCCACCCCUCUUCCUUUUUCGGCCUACCAAAGAAGAUGCAAUGAAGAAAUGUCAGUUGAAGUUCAAUCAUGAUCAUGCACAAGAGGCAUUAUCUACUUGUUCGACAAAUAUGCAAUAGCAGCCUGAAGCAUGACUCCCAAUCUGAACUUGUAGUCAGAAAAGUUCCUGCUCCUUGUGAGUUAAAAUCACGCAAUCUGAAGUCGGAUAAGCAAUGCAAGUCAGCACAUAUCCUGCUUUAAUUUGACUGUCAUCAAGAUAUGAUCCAUCAGAUUGGUCAACAGAUCCUGAAACGAUCUUGCCUGUGCAAGAGGAGCACGCACCAGCCCUGCAAGAAAAUGGUAUAUCUAUUUCCUUAUUCUCUGCUACAUCCAAGAUGUACGCGUUGUCUGGCACAUCGAGCACACAUUCCUCACCAUUAGGUUGAAUCAGUUUUACUUUAUAUACUGCCAUGGCAGAUGCCCGGAAACCAGAGGCAGACAUAGCCUUCAGACCACGGACUUUACAGAUGCUGCUUACGGAUCCUAAGGAUGAGGGACUCUUGAGAAAGGGACUCUUAAUUUGGUUAAGGGGUGGGUUUCUGGACACACAGCUCGCAGGAAGUUUAAGGUUUGAGCUUGACAUCUUUAACCUGUGCAAGAAAUCUUCAGCUGGUUAGAUGAAUGAGAAUCAGGAGAAAAUCUUUAAUGUAGUAUUAGGUGCAGUACCCUUGGAUUCUUGACAACCAUCCUUUUUUCAAUAUGGACAUUAAAUGUAACUAGUCUAACUCAUAACUUUCCAAAUCUGCAAGCUUAUAGUGAUUGGUAAAUUUAUAGCGUUAAGCUGCAGUUCACAAAUACUCUGAAGCCAAAGCAGAAAGCAGACAACUUUAGCAAAGAUACUUCAGAAAUCAGUAUUUGGAAAUGGUAGUGGCUGAAUGCAGAUAUUAUAAUCCACCAAAGAAUGGCCAUUUGGUGAUCAAUAGAAGAUAAACGUCUCGCUGCUCCAACUAGGAUGGAGUUUCUUGGCAGCAUUAGGUACAGUAUUGAGAGCAGUUCUGCGGUACUAGAGCAGCCAUUGCAUUCACUGCUACCAAAAAUUGCAAAGUUCUUCAACAAUUGCUAACGCAAUGAGGUACAAGGCUUGGUUAGGCAAGAAGUUUCACAAGGGUACCAAAGAGGAAGAAAACAGUGAGAUUAUCAGGCAUACUUUUACUGCUUAGAAUUAAAAGAGUGUUUUCUCAAGCUGGCAAAACCAGUCAGCAGAGUGAACUAUUGUUUUGCAGGCUGCGUUCUUGGGUCUUCAGUAUGAAUUAUUCCAUCGAAUCGUGGGUUCCUACCAGCACUAAAUUUCAACAGCUAUAUGGAGUAGUACUGCUCAAGAGAAUUGACUGCAUCUACAAACAUAAUCAUAAAUUUCGCGUAUCUUGAUUUUGAAAAACAUGAAAAUGCACAAGAUUGACUCAAUACUCAAGUAAAAUAGAGCAAAGAAGUGCAGAGAAGCAAUAGCAAUUGCACAUUAGAGACAUUGAAUCUUACAGGGUUGUUAUUGUUUUGGAGCAGAUUGCAGCUCUAAUGUGGCUCGGAUGAGGAGGGGUCUUCUGUGGCUUAGCAAGAACAGAUAAGAGUCCAGCUGAGAGCACUGACUACCAAUGCUUUAGCAGUGACCCAACCCAAGUUCGCCGUAAGCACAUGUCCUCAUUCACCAUAUCCAUCCACAUUCAAAAUGGAUGCAAACUUGUAAGCACGUCCUUAUGCACUCCUAUUUUUGUUAGCUACACUCUAACUAUCAUUCUAAUUAUAUAAUUUUUAUUUAUUAGACUAUAUGAUAAAACAGAUGAUAAAAAUAUAACUAACAAAAUAUAGAGUACAAAUAACAUUUUUGCGUUGGGGGGUUUUUAAGAGGAGGGGGAAGGAGGGAGGGGGGAAGGGGGUGUGGUAAGCAAAUUUUUGCUUUGUGACAUUGACUAUUGGAAGAGCAAACUAUGACCAGUAUGACUCUUCGCUACAAAGUCCAAACUCAAAUUCUUUGGGCUACUUUAAAUUCGACUGCUCCCUCCAUUCACAAUAAAAGCCUCGAGGUUGAUUUCAUAGGAAUACGAAAUAACUUGACCAACCAUUUUUCAAAAGAUCAGAGCAAUCAAACAAAUGGGGCAAUAUUAUCCAAAAAAAAAAAAAUAUCCAUGCUCCUUGCAUACGAACAGAUUCUUGGGUUUUCACGCAGGCAAGCAGUACCAAGAGUAGAAGACCGCACUUAAUUGCCUAAAGUCCUCUGAAUCAGGUUUUGUAUUUUGGCUUCUGACUAAGCAAGCCAGUUCUUUCCUAGGAGGCUAAGACGCCAAAAACAAGUAGUCUGAAAAAUUCAAUCCUAGCUCUUGACAACCACAAUGUACUUGCAUUACCCGACUCAAACAUAUGUGACUCACUUGGCAAUGGCAUAGCAACACAGAAGCAUACUUGAGGCAGUUCACAAGAUUCAACCCCAAAAUACUGAUGAUUAAUUGCGGGCAGUGGCAUAAUACCAUAAUGAUAUAGUUGCCCUUGGAGUAUCAAUUCUGCAGAAUUACUUGCCCAAUGGCAUACAUAGAAAUCAACAGUUGGAGGGGAUAAAGAAAGAUUUGAGAAACAAAUGCAACAAGUGUCCGAAAUCCCACUUGAACCUUACAUGAUUCUUCAGGACAAAACCCAAACAUUCAUCCAUCUGCAAUCUACCUAGCAAGCUAAUGGGUAUGACCUGGACUCUCAGUAAAGUUCGCCCUCCUUGUGAGUGUGGAUUACACAAUCAGCAGUGGGGUAGGACACACAAGUCAGCGCAUAACCAGAUUCGAUGUGGUCGUCGCUAAGGAAGGAUUGAUCAGAUUGGUCGACAGAACCCGAAACAAUCUUCCCAGCACAAGUAGAGCAUGCGCCAGCCCUGCAAGAAUAUGGCAAGUCAAUUCCAACAGCCUCAGCAGCAUCAAGGAUGUAAGUGUCAUGAGCAGCUUCAAAAGUGUGCUCUCCUUCUGGAGUAACUAGUUUGAUCUUGUAUGUUGCCAUGGCAGAGGCCCUGAAAUUAGGUUUAGCUCUCAAACCGAAGGUUUUGGAGAUGCUCUUAACAGAUGUUAGGGAUGGUGGGCUUUUGAUCAAGGCUCUUGAAUUCUGGUUCUGGGGUGCAACUCUCACCAUGCAGUUGAUUGGAAGUCUGGUGGUGGCCAUUUUUUACCUGAAAAUAUACAACUUAGAAUACAGUCCAAAGCCAUUGCUCCAAGGCUAUAUACAACAUAUGAGACAUAGAAUUGACACAAACAAAAAGGAAGCGCAGGGUGGGAGGUGGGGUUAGGGGCGCUUUAGUACAGCUAAAGAGAAUUUCUAACCACCUCUCAGCUUUAAAAUUAUCAUGCUUUCUCACCGUACAGGAAAAAAGUAAAUCAGUUUCAAUCAACACAGUAAUAUACAACAGCAAUGCAAAAACCUUGAAGUGAAGGAUUCAAACCAUAUUCAGCAACUAUCCCAGUUGUAUGCGUACACGAGAAAGAGAGGGAGGACACAUUCCAAAAGAACAACAGAGUAAGGAAUAUUGUGUAUGCCUUAUCUCAGACAAACAGAAAUGGAAAUGAUGUUCCAUCUUCAUAACAUCAAGGCGGUAGCUAUCUGGAGCACAAUGAAAAGAAACAGGGGAGUAGCUCUCUGCUCUUCACUCGAGGCUCCAUGUCAAGUUCAGAAAGACAUAUAUUGUGUCUUUACCAUGUGAAAGACACCAUGUGUAUCAUUUCGCCAGUUAAAGCUUUACUUAACUGGUGCUAGGGACUCAGAAACACAGACAGCAAGAAGAUGCGGGACAUUUGCUUCCUAUCAAAAGAUUAAGCCAGAUAUUCACGUUGUCUGCCAAACUAUGUCAACCCAAGAAAAAGAACGAUCCAGGUAUGGAGGGGGAUGGAGACAGAAAAGGGAAAAUUUUUGCCAACACAUUGAAACAGAGAAAUAAGUUUUGAAAUUUUGGCUACCACCUUUAUCUGCAAUCUAGGGCACAAGUACCAUCAUGCUUGUAGUAGUAUUAAAACCAUUCGCGGGAGAAAAGAUAUGCAGUAAUAUUGCAAACUAGCUUACGCAGGCAAAUGACAAAGGAAACCAUAACAAUAAUUAUCAGCAAGAACCUGUCCAAUGGUCUACUCAUUACUACAAUUUAUGUUCGCUAAACAAGUAAUUCAGCAUCCAAGGUCUAUUGUCGUACAUAGCCAUAAGCCAGAUAGACUAGUGAUGGAAGGAAGGGCCUGGGGAGGAGGGCUGAAAUUUCACUCAAUACAACGCAAAGGGGCAAGGAAAAAGGGCAAAAGCUAGUAACUUUAUCAGCACACACGGACAAAAGGGGGGUCUUGAAUGUGAAAACAUUCAUGAUAAUCAGCAAAUAUUGAAACACACCAGUGAAUUGCCUUAUAUUCUAGUGCUUAAACUACAUGGAAAAGUCCCAUAAUUCUGUCAGGAUACUUAACAAAGAUAUACCAAAGCUUCUACGCACACGCACACGCACACACACAAAACCUUGGGUAAUACAGUACCAAGUGAGCCCAUCAACCUUAAAAAUCCAUAAAACUGGAAUUCAAGAAAGCAACUCUAAUUCGGUCAAAAUAAACAAAACAAGGGCUCUUAUCUUUCCUCAACUAGAUCCUAAAAUACUCAAUAGUCAAAUUUAAUUAACCAAAACCCGUGAUUGAUUUAGGAGUAAUCAGGAUCUAACAAAAUUCAGCUAAUCUAACCACAUCUCUCCAUCUAACCACAAACAAACAAAUAGUCCACAAACUCAAAAACAAAAAACAGAAAUAAAGCAAGCCCGCAAGCACACCCUUAAGGAAAAAAGAAAAGAAGAAAAAAGCCCGGAAAUGAAAUCUUACAAAAAAAAAACUAAAGAAAAGAACUGCGCUGAUCUUCCUAUCCCAAACAAGAAAAGAAAGUUUCCCUUUUCUUCUUACCCUUUUAUAAGGCAGCAAGGGAGGAGGACCCGGAAAACAAGAGAGAGAUAGGUUCAGGCGGAGCGGAGCGGUGGCGACCAAUACUGAACAGUAGUAGCAACAGAUGGGGGGCGGAAGGGAGUGUGGAAAAUGUGAAUUAUUUAUAGAGGGAGAGUUGAAUGACCAGUACGGUGAAAGACAAAAAACUGGAGAGUGGAACGAGGCCAAUGGUUGGUGUUGAGAUACUACGUGAACAUGAUUUGAGUUCGACUUUAAUUUUAAUAUUAAUGAAUUAUAAAUAUUAUUUGAAUUUAAUUUAUUAAUUUAUAUAAGUAUUUGAGUUCGAUUAUGAAACGAAUUUGAGAUGGAGUUUGAUUCUGAAAAGGAUUUAGUUAUACUUUUAAUAAAUAAUACAUUAUUUAGAAUAAGGUUAAUUGUAUUUAUUAAUUUUAAAAAAUAAAUGAUGCUAAUUUAUGUAUAAUUACUUUUUAGUAAAAUAUAAUAUAUAUUUAAUAAUAUUAAAUAUAUUUAUAUUUAUUUAUGUGUUUAUGAACUAUUUGAUUCGAUUAUUGAACAGAGCCAAUAUUAUAUUUGAAUUCGAUUCACUUAUUAUAGGGUGUAUUUGGAUUGCUUCUUUCUAAAGAAAAAUUGCUACGUUUUUCAUAGACAUAUUUUUUAAUUACCUUUUUAUUUUACAUAUAUCAAAUCGUUAUAGUAAUUUUUUCACAAAAAAUCCAGAAAAAUGCAAUCCAAACAAUUCUAAAUUUUUUUGAAAUUCGGACUAGUCAAGCACAAACACUAUUGCAAAUAAGUUGAUUGGUUGAGAGCUCUAACCAAAAUUGAAAGGGGCCAUAAAUAAAUGGGAGAUGCCUUUUGGGAUUCGCAGGGAGGCGACGUGCAUCUGCGCUUUGGCUUUUUGCUAUACAGAAAAUAGCAUACGCAGCCACCAACGUUGAAUGAAAUUGUUUGCUGUGUACAAUAUAAUAUAAUGCAUGGGGUGCAACCGUAACCUAACAUCCCAGCCGCCUCUCGGCUUCGCAUUCGUCCUUAAUUUUUUUCUUUUUAAACACAUCAGAGUAUUUAGUCCUAUAACAAGCACACUUUUGUAUUUCUUGACCCACAAAUUUCGGUUUCAUUUUAAUUGUAUUUUUCAGAAGCUGUUCUUGAGAAAAUUACUAAUAAAUAUUCUACUAUUGUGAUUUUUGUUGAUGUAAUGUAGAAUCGGAAAAAAAAGUAAUUAUAUAAUAAAACAUUAACUGAAAAUUAUGUUCAAGGAAUAUUCUAAAAUAAGGUAUGCGAACUUGAGUUUUUUAUUAAAAAAAAAUAGAUCUCGUGUUUACUUCCCCUUUCAAUUUUUCUUUUUGGGUUUGGACUUAAAUUUUGGAGUAUGCUUUUUUUUUUUUUUUUUUUUUUUUUGUUGAGAAAUUUGGAGUGUAGUUACUUUUUCAUUUGACUUUCUCUCAAAACAAUAUAAAUGUUCCUCUACCAUUAUGCUUCUAGUUUUUUUUUUCUUUAACAACCACAUUUUUUGUUUUUCUUGGCUCAAAAUGUUCUUGUUUCAUUUCAAUUGCAUUUUUUUAGAAGCAAGUUUUAAAAAAAUAGUACUGAAAUUCUCUUGCUUAUACUCCCUCUCUCCCUCGGUGCUACCUAAUCCAUUUCUUCCCGUACUAGAAUUCUCUUUAAGUUACCGUAUAAAUAACACGUGUAGGAAGACAUGGAGCGUUUACGUCUCUUUUUUAUUUUCCUUUUUUCAAGAUAUGGAGUCUGGAUCUGGGGGAGAAUUAUUUUUGUCUUUUAAGCUUAUCUAUUUAUUUUUUAUUUAUUUUUCAAAAUAGUUAAUUUGGGAUUUGAACUAAUUUUGUGCCGCGGUUGAAUUACCAUACAGUAGUGGUUUCUGUCAACUCCCCAGUCAUUUGCUUCGCCUACUCAGUGGUGGGUCAUCUUGAUGAAGUCGGUAGGAAAGCUCAAAUGCUUUUGCUCUAAUUAGAACUCUACCCAAAAAGAAGAAAAAAAUAUAUACUAGUAAUAGCUAGGAGAAGGGACAUGAUAGUAACAUGAACGGAUUUGCAAAAGGGCGAUGAAGAGUCAAGAGCCCUCGAGGAACACAAUGGCCUUAUAUAAAUUAAUAUGCAUAAGGUUGCGUGAAGCCCACAUGGCGUGUUGCUUCUCAACUUUAGAACCCUCAAUAUUUUAGAACUUCUAUGGCUUGAACUUUCACCGAAGAGGUAACCAUUCUGCACGUGGGGCCAAAUAAAAUAGAAUGAAUAGUCAAAAAGCUCACUAAAUUAUCAAGUCUGACGUGGAUGGUUAUCAAAAUUUUCUUGUAGCCAUAAAGGUCACUACACUGGCAAAAACGGAUCAGUGAGUUUAUUUUAUCAAAUUUUACCGAUAAAACAGCUGAUUGCCAAAGAUCAUUUUGCCUAAAAUGUCAUUGAAUUUCAAUGAAUUAAUGGUGUGAAUUAAUGUUGUUUUAUCCAUAGAAUUUGACAAAAUGACUUCAAUGACCCCUUUUUGUCAGUUUAGUGACCUUUGUGACUCCAAAAAAUGUUUUGAUGACCCGUUUGAUGACAAAAAAAAAUGUUUGAUUGAACAAUUACACAAGAAACUUAUAAUUUGUGGGUCCAAUUACAUGAGAAACUUAAAAUUGUGGGUCUAAUUUGUCCAAAAAAUGAGUUUGGUUGAGAUAUGAUUCAACAAUUACACAAGAAACUUAAAAUUUGUGGGUACAAAGUACCAAAGGGGCAGAAGGAAUUGUACUCUUAAAUAUCACUACAUGCUAGUUCAAUUAUAGAUAUAAUUAAAAUCUGUAAGGUGUUGGUUCCCCCUCACACAUUAAUCAGGCAUCCUGUACCCAAUGUUUUUAAACUCGGACCGGUCAGUGAACCGGAGAGGUUGCCGGUUUGCGGUCUGACCGGUCCAACCGGUCGGUUCAUAGGUUCACUGGUUUUUUUUUUUUUUUUUUUAGUGUUAAGUACUAAGCAAGUUUCAUUCUACACUUGAACUUUACCAACAUAACUUAAUUUAAGUUAUGAUAAUAAUAAAUUUCGUAAAAGUUAUACAUAAAACAUGGAAUGAUAAAUAUAAUUAAAAUAUCAUAAUUCACCACAAGUUUUCAUAAAUUCAUUAUAAACAUAAAUAGAUACAAUCCAAAUGUUCACCAAUUAUCACAAAUAAAAACACAAAAAAUAAAUAAAUUAAAUAUUGAAAUUCUUUUACAACCCUUAAAAAAAUCCAUAAAAGAGUUCAAGUUAAGACAAACCAUUUGAAUAGCAAACUUUUAUGAGUGGCAUGAUAAGCAACCACACCACCUUCACAAUUUAAUCAACUUAAGCUGAAAAAGUUAAAAUUUUAUUAUAAAAAUAUAAAUCUAAUUGCUCAAACUAAAAAAAAAACUAAAAUUUUUUGAAAAACAAAUAUACAGUUAAACACAUAAAAAAUUAAUUGCUACUAAACAUUACCAAUUAACAUGUUAUAUUAAAUUCAAUGAUCCUAUACCAUUAAUUAUUUUAAAUUCAAUUAUCAAUAGUUUCGAUUAUGUGCCAACUACCAUAUUUUUUACCAGCCCAAUGUUAUUAUUUGUAAUUCCUACUCAAUUCCUACAUGGAUGUGCACUACUUUUGCAAAAAAUUUCAUCCUUAAUUAAUCAAAUAAAAAUAAAACAAAAAAUGAGGGAAACAUAUGAAAAUUGAGGGGAAAAAGAAGAAAAUGCAAAAAAAUCAACUAAAGAUAAUAAUAUAGAAAAAAAAAGCCUUGAAAAGAAAAAAAUUAAACUUACCAAGUUGUUGGAAAACAAGAAAAGUUGAAAUUUUCAACUUGUUUACAAUCUGCUAAAGAUAAUAACCUGAUAAUAAUGGUGAAGACUUGAGAAAAUCUUGUUAUGGAUAUUUGGGUUAAAAAUGGUUAAGAAGAAAAAAUUGAAAAAAAAAAAUAAGAGAAGAACUUGAUGUUUUAAUAUAUUUGUUAGUCAAGUAGAAUUUUCAACAAACUUAACUACAGUCUGGCGGUAAGAUUGUCAUAUGCAAACUUGGAGACCCAGGUUCAAAUCAUAGCUACACCAUUCUUGAUAUUUUGUUGAAAAAUUUAAAAAACCGCCGGUUCACGGUUCUUAACGGUUCACACGGUUCGUCCGGGUUUCAACGGUUCUCCAUGAACUUCUGGCUUUAGCAUUAGACCGGACCGGUGACAUGGCCGGUUCGCGGUCCAACCGGUCGAACCGGCCGGUCCGGUCCGUUUCUGUAAACACUGCCUGUACCUUUCUCAACUAUUUCCCCCUCACAUAUUGGGUCUUAAGUUAGAACAGUAUCAACAUUUUAUACAUUUUAUUCGACGUACAACAUUGCAUUCAAGUGUCUAGUAGGUGGAGUUGCCAUUACUACGCUCCGAUAACAAUGCUGGGUAGGGAUGGCAACAGGACAGGGGAUCCCUCUCCCGUCUCCUGCCCUAUUGCCAAAUAUCUCCCUCUAUACCCACCCUAUCCUUUGCCCCUGCUCCUCCUCCCCUGCCCUUACCUCGGCUAGCUCCCCUCAAGGUAUUUGCUGGGGAAUGAUAAAAAAUUGAUCCUAUAGUUGUUUGCUUCCACAAUAACUAACAAAAAUUCAACAUAUCAACCCAUGGGCGCGGCUGUCCCUCAUUGCCAUCCCUAGUAUUGAGUGUUUCUGGGUCUUCUCGUCACAAAAGCUAUCUCAAAAGUUAAGGUUUUCUCUCACACUUAUAACCAAAUAUCCUAUCACUUCUACAAUCAUGCAGAAUAAACUCAAAAUUCCCCAUUCACAUCGGACCCGGGGUUGGAAUAACUUCGACCUUUCAUUCAAUGGGUCUAGCCUAGGAUAACACCAACCCUUCAUCCGACAAUCAACGUUUCAUUCAAGUGUUUAAAUUGAUUAAUUUUUCAUUUGAAGAUGCAAUUGGUCAAUAAUUGAUAGUUUAAAUACUAAUGUGUUAUGUUAAAAUGUUUGAGAACGAAAUAUAUCUAUGACCUCAAUUUUAGGGAUAAAAACUGGCAUUUUCCCGCUUUUACUCUUUUCUGUCAAUAUGUUAAGUUAUAAGAUGCUAUGGGAUAAAGGAAAAAACAUUUCUUUGAAAACUUCCAUUUAGGAGAUACUUAGGAUGCGAGUUUAUGGGAUCCUUUAUGACUUCAUUGCGUUAGUACUCUUUCGUGUUGGACCUCAAUAGUUCAGAGUUCUAUGUUAUCUCCUGCCACAAUAUCAGUUGAAGUUUGCUAAAUACAAAGAGUAUAGGAUCAACAAUUUGUCACUCUAUGACUAUAAGAUUAAUUAUUAAGGCCCUAAAACUUACCUUUGAUGAUCUUCUCUUUUCUAGUCCACAUAAGCUAGAUUGAUUACAUACUAUUUGGAGAAAAAUUUACCAUCCUGAAGUUAAAACUGAUACAUUUCCAUUUAUGGCUUCAGGGAUACAUACUUGGACAUCCAACGACUAAAGUUCAAGGAAUUCUUUACUGUGUAGUCCCAUUUGCUUAUAGUAUGGGCCUGAUUUCUGAUGAACUCUAUGAGGAAUUUUGAUGAACUAUGGGAGGGACGUGGGAGGAGGGAGAGGAUAGGGAGGAGGUUGCAAGCUGGUGACGUUGGCAUCGGCUGGCCAACAGUGGCGGGGUGAGGUGGGGGAGAAGGAAGAAAAUGAUGGAAAAAGUGAAAAAUUUGCGUGUUCUUCGAUAUUAAAGGACGUGUACAAUAAAAAAUUUGAGAUGUUUAUAAAGAAUUACUGUAAUCAAAAUAAUUAAAAAAUUUGUCUAUUAAAAAUUAGACUAAAAACUUGCAUGCGAGACAGGUUCUGGAACUAACCGAGAAUUAUACUACAGUUGUAAGGCCACAAUUAUGGUAUUGGAUUUGGACCUCACAUAUAACUGUACUAUAAUUGCACGGAGUUUCAGUGUUCCUCGUAUAGCAACAGCAAUUGCCCCACGAUAAUUUGAAGGAAAAUGAAAACAAAGGAAACAAAAUUAAAAUCAGUUUUGCCGAUUAACGUCAAAGAAAUAUUUUGACAAAAACUAGGAAAGUCUUCAUUAUUGGUCCCCAAAUCUGCAAUGAGUAAUGAUUAAACUUUUAUCGUACGUACCAAAAAAGAAAAUUGAAAUCGACUAACAUGUUAUUGGGAUUCAAGGCCGAAAUAAGCAGCUAAUAAGACGUCAAGUUAAUAACAAUUUAAGGAAAAUGAGUCAAAAACAAGAAAAUACAAUUGACAGGAAAGAUUUAACAUGUUCAUAUUAAUGAUCCAUUCUUUAUUAUGAAAAAAGUUCAUACAAAAAUACAAUUUGAAUUAUAAACCCAACCCUUGUGUAAUGUUUCUCAUAUUGGAUCUGUUGGAUCCUUCUGUUUUUCAAAAAUUAGUUUUCAAAUACUAUAAAAAUUUUUAAAAAGUACUCUAAAAGGUACUCUAAAAAAUAGUCUAAAUUUUUUUAAUGUUUAAAAAAUAUCCCAAAAUAUAUUUUAAAAACUCUACUACUCUUAAAUAUUUCAAAAUAUUUUCUAAAAAUAUCCCAAAAUAUACUCUAAAAACUCUGCUACAGUAAAAUUUUUCAAAAACACCCCAAAAAAAUUUUCCUUUUUCUCACUCUCAUCUAUAACACAUGACUCCUUUUUGUGUACUUUAAUUUAUGAUAAGACAGUCCCCUUCAAUUUAUAGGAUAUAUUACUUGACAAAUACUUCAAUAAUAAUAAAAAAAUAACUUACCUGAUUUCCAAACGUAUGUAAAUACAAAAAUUUCUUGGCAACUACUCCAAAUACGUAUAAAUUACUAGAAACUAUUUACUUGUCACACAAAUAAAAAUUGCCUAAAGAAAAUAAGUAAUUUCCUAAUAAUCUCCACCAAAAAGCUUGAUGUGUAGUUAUACAUACCGAAUUAUUACGUUAGUGUAAUGUCCAUAUAUACAUAGCUAAUCCGAGUCCAACUUUUAGCUGACUUAAGUUUGUAGGAUUUGCCUUUUCACCACUACUUACAACUUGAAAGUAAUCUUGGAUCCCUUUUUUAAUUCUGCUCCCAACUAUUGAGGUAAUCAAUAAACAAGUUUUUAUUUAUUUUUUUAAAAAAUCACCAUAAUUUUCCCCUUCACAAUAUUGUCUAACCCGUGUGUGGUUUUUAAAAUUCCACCAUUAAUGAAAACCUCGUAACUUUGAGAGUCUCGGGAUGCAUGAGAGUUAGAUUUUUUUUUUUUUGGAUUUUUUGGAUACACAUGUCAUACUGCUCAAACAACAAAACUGAAAUACAUCCAACAUCAAGUACAUACCAUUGGAAAUUGUUAAGAACAUUUCCACUAAAUUACAUCCUAAUUUAACAUUGGACUUUAUGUUUUUCCAUGUCCUCUGAAUCACUUGCCCAAAUUUACUAUCAAAUAUCCUCUAUGUUUGUUGUCUUUCAAUCCUUUCCCUUCAAUGCCAAGCCUUUUUGACAUGAAUAUUCUUUUGCUAUUAAAUUAUUGAAUUGAAAAUUACCGCAACUCACUUAAUACCAAUAAUUAACCAAAACCUAGCUAUGAUAUUAUACCAGAUGUUGAGAUCCAAGUGCUAACGAAGAAUCAUUGAAAAAUUAAGUGCAUGACAAUUUAAAGAAAACAAAUAAAAAACAUGAAACUUCAAGUAGAUACAAGAUUAAUGUGGUUUGACUCAAUUAUUAAAUCUAUAUCUAUAAAGACAAAACUUGAUAUGUGAGAAAAAUAAAAAAAUCUAAUUUGAAUCCUGAGGCAACCGUAUUAUGACGUUUCUCACGUAACAGGAAGCCCUUCCCUCACUCUCAUUACAUGUUACUACUUAAAACAAAAAUAAGGCAAUUUUCAUAACAAGGUAAAUUUUAUUUCGUCCUUACGCCACUUUUUUAAGAAGAAAAGUUUAAGUAUGAUACUUGGUAAAGAAAAGUGCACGUAACUUGAAAGUUGGGUGGCAACUUCAAAAAAUUCUUCAAUAAACCAAACUCGUAUAUUAAAUUUUUAACGCAUGUCAAUCAUCCACCAACUAAGAUAUCCAUAACGAAGUUAUCUUGUGUGGGGAUUUUAGCAUUGUAUGAUUUAUAAUUUGCUUGAAAUAUAUUUUAGCCAUUAAAAUGAGAGAGCUCAAAGGAUAGUGAGAUCUUUUUCUUUUUCUUUUUUGAUAAAUUCUUCUGAUGAAUUGCUUUGUUUUGAUCGAUCAUUCAUUGGUACUUGACAGAUUUUAUUCUAUCAUCUUUUCGCAAACAUUUUGAUAGUUAUUUAUAUACUGUUAAAAUUUAGGUAAACUUAAUUUUCAAAAAUUUAAUAGUUCAAAUUGUAUUAUACACCAUUUGACUAAGUAAAGUAACGUAAUUUGGACCAUCUUUGAAAAUCGGAGCUAAGUCUUUUCCAUGCCCCUUCACAGUAAAGCUAUCAUUUCUAAUGAUAGUUCGAUCGUGCAAUGCAUGGGACUAGGAGCAGGAAUGAUUGCAAGUGUAAUCGUUUCGACAGUUAUGUGCAUUUUGCAUACGGCAUAAUUUUAUUACAUGUAAUAUAAUUUACUUUUAAUAACAUGUAAAUUUAGAAUAAAAUUUUAUGAGUCUCACGUAUGUUAUUAAAAUCAAGAUAUAAGAUAAAAUUUUGACCAUAUAAUUUUUUUUACCAAAUCUUAGUCGUGAAUGGUCAGAAAUGGUUGUUCCUCUUCCCAAUGCAUGAGUUGGCAAACAAGACAUUUGUGUUGCUAGGGUCAGUUAAAUUAUUGGCUCCGAUAAGGCGAUUCUCUGUAGACAUAGCAGCUUGUGGGUUAGAGUUCCAAAGUUCCAAGAGCUCUAUCCAAGGAUCUGGAGUCUAAAGUUGCUGCGCCUAGAUCCCAAAACGAGAGAUAGGCCAAGCUCAAUGGAGAAGUUGCAGGUGCUCCUAAGGCAUCCUAUCUUCUGCAACCUGCUCUUGCUGCUAGUUUAUGUUCAAGCAUGUUCAAACCUUGCGAUGGCUGGUUCCAUAGUUAAGUUUCUUCCAGGAUUUGAAGGACCCCUCCCCUUUGAACUCGAAACCGGGUGAGCCACUAAGUAUAACAUAUAUAUAAUAACACUAGAAAUUAACAUUGAUCAAAACUUAGAAGAAAUAGUUGAUCCAUUUUCUGAUAUUAUCAGGUACAUUGGAGUUGGUGAAUCAGAGGAUGUGCAGCUCUUCUACGCUUUUAUCAAAUCAGAGUCAAAUCCUCAAUCGGAUCCUCUUAUCAUUUGGUUAGAUGGAGGACCUGGCUGCAGUUCAUUUAUUGCAUUUCUCUUUGGGAUAGGUGAAUUCUAAUGCCUUACACUUUGCAGUAGGUGUCACAAAAAAAAAAAAAGGAACAAUUGCGGCACUAUUUUGAUCUUGAUUUUGUAUAAUCUUGAAACUCUGCAAACAGCCUUUCUGGUUGAAACUCUGCAAAAAAGACAAAAGACGUUGUCUGGUUGACGAAGCUUUAUGUAAGGUCUUUUGUCGCCAGUAGCAACUGCUACAAACAUCUGUACAAUAACUAACUACACAUUCACAUCAAAUUAAAAAGCCCAAAUAUAAACUAAGCUCCAAAAACACAUACCUAAAUAUUUUUUCAUAUGCAUUGCUACAAUAAAGCUUUUGAAAAACGUUCCUAAAAAUGGAGCCAUAAUCUUUAUUUGUCUUUAAUGUUCAAGUGAUGAUGACUGAUAAACUGGAGUGCCAGCAUUUGAUCAAGUCACUGGCCCGUGAUUUCCUGUUGCAGGACCAGUAAUUUUGGAGCCAUUGUCGUUCGACGGCACUCUGCCCAAAUUGGUAUUAAAUCCCUCUACUUGGACCAAGGUAAACUCAAGAAUUGAGUUUCUCUUUUCUUUUCUUUUAUUUUCCUGCGAGAGAAAAAGAGAUUUAAGUUGAUGAGUAUAUCUUAGACUCAUAGAAGUGUUACACGAAAAGGUUAUUGAGAUACAUAUAUAAAUAAGGUUCCAAUUUUUUUCUUUUUUCUUUUUUUUUUUGAAAUAAUGUUCAAAUAAUCUUUAUCCAAACAAACCUAAUUUUCAAGAUUAAGAAUUCGAGUAGACUACAAGAUUGAGAAUCAUUUCUUGUUACUUGUUAGGUUGUAAGCAUCAUCUUUCUGGAUUCGCCAGUUGGAACGGGUUUUUCUUAUGCUAAGACUGCAAAAGCUUCUCAAUCUUCAGAUUUUCAAGCCUCUGAUCAAGCUUAUGAAUUUAUCAGGAAGGUACACGCCCAUCACUCAGCUAAUUAAUGAAUCGUAAGGCUUCAUGGAACGUUGGACAAUUACUAAUUAGGAAAAUGCCAUAUUUGUCUCUAGACCCUUUAUUAUGCAAAAAGACCAGUGUACUAUCAUUUAAUUGUUUUCCUUCAGAAUAGUGGAAUCUUGCAUGGCUCUGCCCAAAAUUGCCUCCAUUGGAUUCAAGUUCUCUAUGAACACAGUUUUGAUUGUAUAGAACAGUUGACAGUGGAAGGUGAAUAAAAGUUACAUCAAUAAUAACUGGCUAUGGUAGUUUCGACAGUUAGCAUCAUGGAAGCCAUAGUAGAGGAGGAGGUCUUGCAUGGGGAAAGAUCCCAAAGUCUCAUGAAAUGUGGCAAUCUCUAGAAUGGAAUAUCCCACUCACAGUGUUUAGUUAGUGAAAUGUUCUGAUACGGACUCCUAUGAUAAUUAGUUUAACAUGUAUACUGAGAUAUUCUAUCUCUUGUACAAACUUCUCCAAUAUCAAUGAACUUACAGUUUUACCUUGAAAAGAUAGUGGAAGAUGACUAAUUUUGAAUUUGAUGCUUACAAUUCAAUUUUGGGUACAAAUUUCAAUAAGCGAGGCAAUUUAUUGUCUUUUUGCAUGUUGUUGUAUCUUAAUGUCUACAAUUGGUUUGCUAGUACCUAUAGUACACAGUGCAAUUACAACUGCCAAUUAUAGAGGCUUGGGCAGGCGAUAUUUGUUGCGUUUUUACCCAUUUGAACCUCGAGUUAAAAGCUUAAUUUCCCUUGAAAUGGGAAAGAAAUUAUAGUUAAAAGAUGUUUACCUUUUACAAGAUUGGUUUUGAUAGUUGAUUAUACUGCAGUGGCUACAUGAUCACCCAGAGUACAAGUCGAAUCCAUUCUAUGUUAGUGGAAUCUCGUAUGGGGGAAUUCCUGUUCCAAUAUUAACUCAACUUAUAUCAAAUGGUAAGAUUUUUUCAAUGUGGCUCUUUACCCUGGGGAAGUUUUUUGGUUGUGUUACAAUCUGAUUAUUGAAAUUGUCAUGCAAAUACAUAGGCAUUGUAAGAGAUCUGAAUAUACUAUAAAUGCUUUCUGUAAGCUUGUAGUAUAUGCGAAGUCUCUUUUGGUAGGAAUGUAGUUGCCACCUUAAGCUAAAUGGGUUUUAUUAACAUAAUGCAGAGCUUUAAGAGGGGGAAAAAUGGUUAAAAUUUCCCUCAGAAAUUUGCAGGCUUUUUAUUCUUUUCUGUCAAUAUGUUAAGUUAUAAGACGCUCCAGGAUAAAGCAAGAAAACGUUUCUUUGACCAGUUCAGAGUUCUACAUUAUCUCCUGCCACAAGAUGAUCAGUUGAAGUUUGCUAAAUACAGAAGUAUAGGAUCAAUACUUUGUUGCUCUAUGACUAUUAAUAAGGCCCUAAAACUUACAUGUAUUUUGGUGUUAUUCCAGGAAACAAGGACGGAAUUGAACCACGUAUUGACCUUAAGGUCUAUACCUUUGAUGAUCUUCUCUUUUCUAGUCUACCUAAUCUUGAUUGACUACAUACUAUUUGGAGAAAAAUUUACCAUCCUGAGUUUAAAAUCGAGACGUUUCCAUUUAUGGCUUCAGGGAUACAUACUUGGAAAUCCUUGGUCGAAAGCUUCAGGAAUUCAGAACUAUAGGGUUCCGUUUGCUUAUGAUAUGGGGCUGAUUUCUGAUGAACUCUAUGAGGUAACUUAUUUCUUUUGUUUGUUACCUAUUGAUAUCUUAGAACACUGUCAUUUGUCACAUGCAUUCUUACAAUGUAAAACUACCAGUGAUUUUCUAAUUGACCUGUAUAUUUACAACGCAGUCCUUGAAGGUUAGCUGUAAAGGGGAAUAUAAAAUCAUAGAUCCCAGUAAUGCAGUGUGUUCGAAAAAUAUGCAGGCAUACAAUGAGGCAAGCAAUCAUAUCUAUGCAAUUUUUAUGUGACUCUAUUUUCAAAAAUUAGGCAAGGCCUAAUGGAUUUACUUAAAAGCGCCCCCUAAACUCAAGAAAGAGAGACAGAGUUAAGGAUCAUCAAUAUAACCGUUCCUGAAUAGUGUAAUAUCAUUUGAACAAGAAGUAAUUUAUUGUAACUUACUCAUACAAUUUCGUAACAGAGUUGCAGUUAAUGUUAGGGGCUUACACAAGCAGUAAUUGAACAUCAUACUUCUGUUACGAAAUUGUAGAAGUUAACAAUGAAUUAAGGUUUAUUCAAACAAUAAUACACUUUUCAGAAACGGUUGUACUAACAAUUGGUUCCUACCCCUUCCCUUUAAUUUGCGGGCCACAAAGGUGAAAAGGUGGGAAGAAUCAGAAUAAAGGAACGGGCAACCAGAAUGAUGGUUAAUAAUUUGCUUCUGCAGUUGCUUUGUAAUAUUGACAAACAAAAUAUCUUGAUUCCCGUAUGUCAUCCCCUUUCACGAGAGCCAAAUAAAUUAUUUACUGGUGGGAGAUCCAUUAUACAAAUGUCGUAUGAGAAGUUUGGAGAGCUAGACGUUCGGGAAUCGACUCCAGUCAUAUGUCGAGUAAGAUACUACUAGUAUUGUUCUAUGUAAACUCGUGGAUAAGAGCAUCAGUUCUUGGUAGCACAACUGAUCGCGUUUCUUCUGUUCACUGGCAAUCGUAGACGGAACGGAUUAUGCUCCUUCAGCACUGGGCUAACAACAAGAGCGUCCAAGAGGCCCUCCAUGUGCGAAGGGUAUGUCUAAAUCAAGCACUAUGGUAUGUAGCAUUUGAAUGCCGAAGCAAGCCUGAACUGAUUUCUGUAAUCACAUUGCAGGAAACUAUCGGAGAGUGGGUAAGCUGCAGGGAUGCCUUGCCAUACACAAAAAAUGCAGCGAGUGUUGUACCAUAUCAUGCAAACCUUAGCACUAAAGGUUAUAGAUCCCUUAUAUACAGGUUUGGUACCUAACUCUGAAUCUUGAUGCAUGUAGGUUAACAGCAGUGAUUUUAAGUACUGAAAGUGGAGUACUUUGUGAUUCAGUGGUGACCAUGAUCUGAUGGUACCGCACAUUGAAACUCAAGCGUGGAUAAGAUCUCUACAUUACCCAAUUAUUGACGAUUGGAGACAGUGGAUUCAUCAAGGCCAAGUUGCAGGGUUGGUUCAAAAUUGAACAAUGUUUCUUUUCUUGAUUACACCACCAUUAACACGAGAUAAAAAGAUAACUUUACCCAACUCAUCUAAAUUUGUUCUGUUUUCCUGCUUCCAGUUACACAAGGACCUACGCAAAUGAGAUGACAUUUGCAACAGUGAAGGCAAGAAAUUCCUGUUUCUAUUGCUUCAGUGCAAGAUUUGUUCACAUGGUAACGACUAACAACAAGGUCAGAACAUUCUUGGGACUAACUAGCACCCCUUUUUUCUUUUUCUUCUUUUUGGGUGAAGGGAGGAGGCCAUGCUGCUUAUGAGUUCAAGCCUGCCGAAUGCAGAACUAUGUUUGAGAGAUGGAUAUCGCAUCAGCCUCUCUAAUCAGUUGGCAUAUGGAUAUGAACAUCUUUGAUGACUUCUGAGCAUCAAAUGUUCCACUCUUAAAUAUAAAUUACUGUAACUUUGGGUCAUGAGACGCUUCUACUCCGAGUCUCCAAGGGGUUGCCUUCUUAUUGAGAUAUGAUUAGUAGAAAAGUGAAUAAAAUGUAGUAGUUAAAAUGGGAAUCACGUUACUCCAAACCUUUCUAUAUGACUGUUGAAGCUUUUACUUUGAAGAUAUGUCAUUGAAGUAAAUUUCCUCUAUUUUGCAAUAAAUAAAAUUUUGAAUUCACAGGAAAGUACCGUUGGCCAAGGAAUUCAAAUAUUAAAAAAAAUUGUUACUCCAUUAAACAUGAAUGGAGGGAAUCUACCAAAGCUUUUAAAAGAUGAAGAGGAGCAAGAAAAGGAAUUUCUUAUACAUAAUUGAAAAGUAAUUUUCUUGAGAACACUUUUAAAACCAAAAGAAGAUCAAAAGAAGAAAUCCCUCGUGUCUAGGAUUGAUCCAAUCACUUUUUAAGCGAAACUGUGACUCAAAAGUAUCUUAAAAGCCUUUUUGUUUUGGGUAGCCUUAACUUACGUUUUUGUGGCCAUUGAUGAUCUAGUCAUCGAAAGUUUACACUUGACUUACACUUGAGUAGAUCAGAUCUUUAAAAAUGUAAUGGGUCAAAUUAUGUUAUUCAUCUCGUCAAGUGGUGUGACUUAAUCUGAACUACUGAAUUUUUAAUAUUCGGAUCUUCUAAGUUUUGGCUGAAUGUAUUAAGGGUACUAGGAGGCAUAAAUCGCGUGAUGGGUGUAGGGAACUAAAGACAGUAUGCCCAAGCAAAUAUGCGGAUUAAGGGAGUGAUUGAAUUUUGGUGUAUUCUUCUUUUAUCCAGCAUGGCAUGCAAAAUUUUUUUUUUUUUUUUUUUUUGUAUAUGAGUAUGAAUACGCAUGGCAGUUAACAAGGGGAAAAAAAUCACUGAGCUAUAUAGAAUAAGGUUGAUAAUCCAAAGUGCGUCAAACUUCAGGGCAAUGCAAAGACUUCAAAUCCAUUGCAUUACAUGAAUUUGGCAAUGAUGAUGAUGAUGUACCUGGCUGCUGCACUAGAUAGCAAAAUCACAAACUGUAAAGCGAGAUAUUCUCUAUAUUUUCAGAAAGUCUAACAACUUACAGGUUGAAGCUUUGUAACUUGAUGCUAUAUCUUUUUGGAUUCAUCACCCGUGGCUUUUGAUGUACUUUCACAAAGUAAUUGAAAGCAACUAAAACUAACUUUGAAUCAGAAAUAGCUAUAGCAAAGAUAGAUAAAUUCCUCGAGAAUAUACUACUAGAGAAAAUGUGGAAUAACCUUACAUCGCACUUCAACAAAAGCAUUAAACCACAGAAGAAACGUGCCAGAUUACUGAUACAUAAUUAAUUAUGGCCUAACUGAGCUGAAGAUAAAAAUUAAAAUGCCAUGGAUGCACAGAUACCGGGUGCCAGCUGAUCUUGAGAAAUGCUCGACAUGUUCUUGAUAUUCGUCUUAAUCUUAUUUCUACAGGAAAACUUGAUGAUGAGAGCUAUCAUAACUCGCAAGGUGGAGGCAAAUGAAAACUCAACAAAGGAAAUCUCGUUGUUGCCAGAGGAAAGAAGCAGAGUACCCUCUACUUGAUACAAGUCAAGUUGGGGAAGGGAGAAGUGAAUGCAGUUCGUGAUUUUUCAACUGACCUUUGGCAUAGGUGACUUGGACACAUGGGUAAAAAGAGAAUUCAGACACUUGUUCGCAAGUAACUCCUACCUUGAUUUAGAGAUAAUGUACUUAAAUCUUAUGUUGACUGCAUUUAUGGAAAACAACAUAGAGUCACAUUUUAAAAUUUUUCUCCAUCUAGAAAAUUAAAUCCGUUAGAAUUAGUGCACAUUGAUAUUUGCUAUAUGAAAUAUAGGUCUCUUGAUGGUGAUGUUUAUUUUGUAACUUUUAUUGAUGAUUUUGCUAGAAAAGUUUGGUGUUUUGCUUUGAAAUCCAAAGAUUAGAUUUUGGAUGUGUUUAAAAAUUUUCAUGACAAGCAAUUAAAGUGUGUUCGCGCUGAUAAUGGUGGUGAGUACAUGAGACCGUUUGAAAGUUACUGCAAGUCCCAUGGGAUCGGACUAGAAAAGACAGUACAAAAAACUCCUCAAGAGAAUGGAGUAACAGAAAUGAUAAAUAGAUCCAUCACUGAGCGAGUCAGAUGUAUGCUCUCCAAUGCUAAGAUGUCAAAAUCCUUUUAGAGUGAGGCAAUGAGGACUACAGUUGAUUUGAUUAAUCUUUCUCCAUCAAUUCCUCUAGAUGGUGAUGUCUCAGAAAGAGUAUGGAUGGAAACAGAUAUGUCUUUUGAACACUUGAAAAUUUUUGGUUAUUGAGCAUUUAUUCAUAUUUUCAAAGAUGAGAGAUUAAAACUUGUUGUAAAAUCAAAAUAGUUUAUUUUCUUGAGUUAUGAACAUGAAAAUUUUGACUAUAAGUUGAAUGAUCCUGUUGAAAAGAAAGUGAUCAGGAGUAGAGAUGUUGUCUUCUUUGAAGAUCAAAUCAUUGAAAUAUUGAUAAAGGUGACAACAAAAAAUCCUCAAAUGACAUUUCUGCUAGUUCAAAUCCAGAUCCAGAUCCAACUCCAGUAUCUGUUGAUUUUAAUCAAUGGGGAGUUGAGACAGAGUAGAAAGAAGAUAUUGAUGAUGGUGAUGAUUCUCCUGCUGAUGCACCUGAACAUGAGGCGCCACCUACUCUACCACUGCCACUACAAGAUGAGUUUACGAAAUCUAAUAGAGAGAGGAGACCUUCUAGCAGAUAUAAUCCCCAUGAAUAUGUGUUGUUGACAGAUGGAGAAAAGCCAGAGUCAUACUGUGAGACUCUAGAGUAUGAGGAUAAAGAAGAUUGGUUGCAAGCCAUGUAAGAAGUGAUGGUGUUCCUGCAUGAGAAUCACACUUAUGACUUAUUGAAACUGUCUAAGGGAAAGAGAGUUCUGAAAAACAAAUGGGUUUACAGGUUGAAAACUUAGGGACAUAGCUCAGAAUCAAAGUAAAAAGCAAGAUUGAUUGUGAAUGGAUUUAGUCAAAAGAAGGGUGUAGAUUUUGAAUAAAGUUUCUCUCCUGUGGUAAAGAUGUCGUCAAUUCGAAUUGUUUUGGGUAUUGCAGCCAGAUUAAACUUGGAGAUCGAGCAACUUGAUGUGAAGACAACCUUCUUGCAUGGUGAAUUGGAAGAGAAGAUUUACAUGAAACAAUCGGAAGGAUUCGAAAAAAAUGGCAAGGAAAAUCUUAUAUGCUGUCUCAAGAAGAGAUUGUAUGAGUUGAAACAGGCACCGAGGUAGUGAUACAUGAAAUUUGAUUCCUUCAUAACAGAUCACGAGUACCACAGGAUUACAUUUGAUCAUUGUGUUUAUUUGAAAAAAAAUUUCUAUGGAAUUCUUGGACACCCAGCGACUAAAGUUCAUGGAAUUCUUUACUAUGUAGUCCCGUUUGCUUAUAGUAUGGGCCUGAUUUCUGAUGAACUAUAUGAGGAAUUCUGAUGAACAACUUGCAUGCGAGACAAAAUAGUUAAAAACUUGUCUAUUAAAAAUUAAACUAAAAACUUGCAUGCGAGACAGGUUCUGGAACUGAUCAAGAAUUGUACUACAGUUGUAAGGCCACAAUUAUAGGAUCAACAAUUUGUUGCUCUAUGACUAUAAGAUUAGUUAUUAAGGCCCUAAAACUUACCUUUGAUGAUCUUCUCUUUUCUAGUUUACAUAAGCUAGAUUGAUUACAUAAUAUUUGGAGAAAAAUUUACCAUCCCGAGGUUAAAACUGAGACAUUUCCAUUUAUGGCUUCAGGGAUACAUACUUGGACACCCAGCGACUAAAGUUCAUGGAAUUCUUUACUAUGUAGUCCCGUUUGCUUAUAGUAUGGGUUUGAUUUCUGAUGAACUCUAUGAGAAAUUCUGAUGAACUAUGGGAGGGACGUGGGGGGAGGGAGAGAAUAGGGAAGAGGGGCAGAAGAGGAGGUUGCAAGCUGGUGACGUCGACAUCGGCUGGCUGACAGUGGCGGGUUGAGGUGGGGGAGAUGGAAGAAAAUGAUGGAAAAAGUGAAAAAUUUGCGUGUUCUUAGAUAUUACGGGAUGUGUACAUUAAAAAUUUUGAGAUGUUUAUAGAGGAUUGCCGUAAAAAAAAUAGUUAAAAAACUUGUCUAUUAAAAAUUAGACUAAAAACUUGGAUGCGAGAAGGUUCUGGAACUGGCCGAGAAUUGUACUACAGUUGUAACUAAAAACAGUAAAAGCUAUACUACAACUUCAUAAUACAUAUUCAAACAUAAAAUUUCGUAUUGGUUUACAUCUCAUAAAUGUACCUCAAAAAACAUAUUAUCAUAAGAUAUAGUUAACGUAUAAGACACACGAAAAAUUUUUCCCUGUAGUUUAUUUCAUUAAUAAUUCUCACCUUACGAAAAAAUUUUAAAGGUUUCAACUGAAUGUUAUGGUCUAAAAAACAUUUUUAUAGUCAAGAAAUUAAGUAAACGAAAUGGAUAUUUAUGGUCAUUAGAUAUAAGAUAAAAAAAUAGUAACUACCUUUGGAAAGUUUCAAGAAGGGGCUCUUUGUACAAAAAAGUUGACAAUAUAUAUAUAUAUAUAUAUAUAUAUUGAAUCUUUAUUAGAAAUAAGACAAAUAGUAACUACCUAAAACUUUGGCGAGGAGUAAAUUAAAACUAGCCUGUAGAUUUAUAGAUGUAACCGCAAUUAAAUAUUUACCAAAAGCAAUGGAAAUUAAUUUGCUAUUUAGUUUGUAAUUUUCUAGUUUUUUAUUUACCUAUGAAUCUAUAUCGUAAAUUGCGCCAAUUUGUAAUUUUUUAACCAAAUUUUUAGUCAAGCUUUGGAGAAAAUUUUGUUCAAUAUGCAUAAGUAUAAUAGUUAUUAAGUUUCAUUGCACUUUUUCUUCAUCUGAUCCUUAGUAACACUUUGUCCUUGUAUCAAAAAAAAAAAUUGUCCAAAUGAGCUUUAGAUAUGUACAUCGCACCCCCUUCUAUGAUCAAUCAAAUAUUAGAAACAACCUUUCCAUGCAAGAACUUGUUGAAAUGAAAUUAGUGCCCCAAGAUAAUACUUGUAUGGAUGAUGCCACAUUUUCAGACCAAAAUAUGCAAGGUCUUAAUGGAUUAAAAGUACUGCACUUAGGUCACGCUAUAUAAAGUAAAUAUAUAAGAACAAAUGAUAGAAUGGAGAAGAAUUGACUAGAAGUUGUAAAGGCAAACGUAGAAUUUUAUAUUAAUUUUGAUCUCUUCCUCUCGCUUCAUCUAGAUUAUCAAACAACUAGCAUUCAUAGUCUCACAAACCUUAUAAGAUCCCUUCAAUAUUCUCCCAUGAUUCUCAUGAAUUUAGGUGGUGCGAAUUGGUACAUUUGUGCCACAUUUGCACCUUAUUUAAUAAUAUAUAUAUUACAAUGAGCAUUGCGAUGAGUAUUGACAUUAGCUCUUUUACUUGUUUGCACUUCUAUGCAAUUUUUCUAAUUUUUUCAUUGCUAAACUCUUUUUUUUUUAGUAUAAGUGAGAGAUUUUGAAAUCGGGACAUCUCACUUACACAUCCUCCCUGUGUAUCACCUAACCCAACCCUUCCUCCUACUCAACUUUAAUUUCUUCGACAUUUAAUCUAUGUUCUAGCCAAAUACAAAGUUUAAUAUGUUCAAAUGGGUUUAGCAAUAGUUGAAAAAAUAACAAUUUUUUUUAAGUUUGAAACUGCAUUUCGUAUAGUCAAAAAUUAGUAGAAGUAAUUUGGUCAUACAAAAAAUAUGGCAUUAUUUUGACCAAAUCCAAUUUUCAUGAGGCAUAAAGUAUUAGUAAAACCCAAAUUCAGGGGAACAAAUGCAACGAAUCCGAUUUAAUUAUAUACACAUUGCAAAAUUUAAGAACUAGGGGUAAUUUUAGAAACCCCACCUGAGGUUUCUAACAAUAUCACUUGGUAUCAUUAAAUUUUUAAAAAUUUCACUUCUCACCCCUACUUUAAGUUUUCAUUUUUGUAAUAAUUAAAACCUAUUUCAAACUAUAAUAUUAAAAUAUUAUUUUAGAAGGGAGAAUACAAUCUCGUUUUGAAAUUUGCCCUUUGUUGUCUUCUCUUAAUUGUCAUAACACGCUAAUUUUAUCUUUUAAUUUUUGUAAACUUGGUUAAUUUGACUUUUUAAUAGGAAUUUAAAAGUUGAUCACAGGGUCGAGUGACCCUUUAAUAGUUUUUAUGUCAUUGGUUUAGACAAGACAUAUUAAAUAUUUAAAAUUAUAAAUAAUUUACAAUACUCAUAAACAUAACUUGAAAUAUUUUACAAUAAUAAAAUUAACUUUUUGCACUAACUUGAAAACAACACAAACAAGUUUAUACAUAAUUUUCACCAUUUUAUAUUUUUCUAGUUUUUAAGCCAUCUAUAUGGACAUAAGAAAAUUAGAAAAUUCUGAAAAUUUUAUAACAUUCAUAAAACUCAUGAAAUUAACUGAGAGCACUUUAUAGUAAAGAAAAUAUUUUUGUAACUUGCAAAAACCUCAAAUAUACCUUUAAACAUUAGCUCUUUUUUUGUAGUAAAAGUAAGACAACAAAAUGGCGAAUCAAAUGAGAUUAUAUUCUAUUUCCCAAAACAAAAUUUUAAUAUUAUAUUUUGAAAUGGGUUACAAAUAUUACAAAAAUCUUAUAAUAAGGGAGGCAAGUAAAAUUUUUUUAAAAUUUAAGGCCUUGUUUGAAAAGGAAUUUUUCACCAAAAAUUUUUACAUUUUUCAUAAAUACAUUUUCCAAUCACUUUUUUAUCUUAUAUAUAUUAAAUUGUUACAGCAUAUUUUUUACAAAAAUUUCAAAAAGUUACAAUACAAACACGAUCUAAGAGUGCUAAGUGAUAAACUUCAAGAGAAGUUUUUGAAAUUAUCUCUAGGAACUACCGCAGACUCGUAUGGCGUUAAAUUUACCCCACUUUCAGCCCCAGAAAAAUAAUUAUUAAUGAUCAUGGGGUCAUGGACGUGCUCCAUAGCAAGAAAUAAAGGUACAACGGUAGAUUUGUUAUUGUUUUUGGGGUCAGGAACCACAUGACUUGAGCCACUCUCUAUUAGUUAAAAACUCAGUCAAUUGAUGCCAUCGGACUGACUGGCUGGCUGCCCCUCCUAGUGCCCUGCGCAAUCAAUAGAUUUGCAUAUAUCUUGGGACAGGUUUAUAGUGGAAUUAACAUUUUAAUAUUGCUUAUUAGGUGAUGCGUGAAUCUGAAAGAUCAUCACUGUACUGUCCUUUACAUUGUAUUGCUGAUUAGGUGACUUAAUACUUUAUUAAUUAAUUUUCUGAACAGAUUAGUGCUGUUAGGCUGGCAUUUCCUAAUAUCAUGCUCAACUCACGUAUACUGCUAAUUUCACAGAUUCAGAGUAAUUAUCGAUUAAAUAGUCACGGAUUUGCUGAUUAAGUUGUUUAGUAAUCAAUUACUGAUGAAAAAUAGUUUGAUGGUCAAAACAUGAUCCGACCAUUAGUUUAAUAGUCGCUGAAGUUUUUUAGUCUAAUUUCUAAUAAGACAUAAUGUUUUAGAGUAUAUGAGUAAUUUCCCUCAUAUAACGUAUUUGAGCUCACAAUUCUGUCAAGAGAGAUUCUUAGAUGGGAGGUUCUACAAAAUGGUGAAGAUGUUUCUAACAUUUUUGUGGUAAAGUUAAGACUAAUCAAUGAGAAGAUGACACAUAAGAAAUUACUGAUAUUGAGGAGGAUUUGUACAGGUUGCCUAUAUUGUUUGUUCACGUUGAUUUGUCUCCAUCCCUAACACCCUGUUUGAAUUGGAAAAAGCUGACCCGAUUUGAUGUUGAAAUUGGCAGCAAUUUAAAUGCAUAUACUUACCCAGUGGGUAAGGUUAAUUGAAGUAUGGAUAAUUACUGAUAUGUGUUCGACCCAAUGAAUAAUAACCUAUUUGGUACUAAAGCAUGAGAUAGUUAUUGCACGACAGAGGAAAGCAAAAUUUGAUGGCAAAGGCCUCGAGACAUGUGCAUUUUGCUAGCUCCCAUUCUUCAAUGAAUGAGUAAUGCUUGCAGUUAAGGCCCUCGGUGGUGGUAUUUUAUCAUUUAUUGCAUGUUUACAUUCUGUAUAGGCCAUGGGUAAUGAUUUAGGGACAUUACAGUGUCCAUUUGAUAUUUGUUAAGUGAUCAAGUCCGGCAACUUGCGUUUUAUUUGUUCUCUUAAGUGGUGUAACUGUGUAAGCACUUGAUUUGAUAAUAACCCGUUCUAGUACGGCUUUGUUAUUCAAAUUUGAAUUGAAAUACAAGCAAAAUUAGAUACCCAAAAAUCAAAUAGACAAAUUGUACUUACCAUUGUCAUUAGAAAUAUAACUAGUGGGCCGAAAUUGAUACUAUGUAAUAGUCAAAAUCAAAAUGGAGUUAGUAAAACAAUGGGGGAUACUUGGAAUUGUAUAUUGCAGGUUAUCUAAUAUUUGGUUGGUUUAGGAGUAGAUAGGAUAUAUCCCAGAAAAAAAUGCUAUAAUUGUGUUUGGUUGGGAAUUCGGGUAUGAUAGGAUUGCUAUUAUAAUGAUCAAAGAACCCCUUAUUUUGCAAUUUCUUCCUAAUAAGGUUAAUUUACCAUUUUUAAUAUUUAUAACCUGCAUUCCUAAUAAGCUUAACUUACCAUUUUUAAUAUUUAUAACCUUCGUUAACAUUAUAAAUUAAAUCAAGGAUUUUAAUAUAUACAAACUAGUAAUUGUCAAUCAACGGUUUUAAUACAUCCCCUUAUUGACGACGUCAUUCAUAGGGUCAGCAAAUUGUGCAAAUGCGGUAAUUCUUCAAUAUAUGAAUUCGGUUAAUUCUGUUAUUGGACUCAAUUGAAAUAUAAAUCGCUCUCAAAUUUGAAUUGGAGAUACCUAAAUUCAUUUCACUGUCGAAUUUGGGCUUUAAAUUAUUAUAUAUUCAUUAUGCUCCUCAGUUAUUUAAAAAUUUAUUGUUGAUUUGAUCCCCAACUUUAUUUAUAAUUUAACAUAGUACUCAUGUUUUAAUCAUUUUGUACUUUAAUUGGUAUUCAUUUGAUCACGUAUAGCUAGUUAUAUCUUGAAUCCUUAAUCAAUGAUUUAAGGAACAAGUAAAAAGUGAUUAAUUUAAACUACAAUAUACCUUAGACUGUACAAUAAUCAAUGACAAGUUUCACGUUUAUAGUUUACAAUGAUUAAUAAUAAGUAAUAUUAGUUACAAAUUACAAUAGUGACUUAAUUGCUUUUAAUAGUGAAAUCACCCGCACUAAUAUAUUGAUGUGCAAUUCAUAUGCAUUCACUUAAAGUGCUUAGUUUAUUUGUUCUCUGUGCUUAAAGCCUUAAGAUUAGUGAAUAGAGAGUAAGAAUUUUCAUGUGAAAUAUAUAAUGUAAUAUUAGAGCACAUCGUUACUUGCAAGUUACAAGUUAUGCAUUUAAAUAUACAAUAAUUCAAACAUGAAUGAUGUACCAAACUGUCAAUAUCUAAAUUUCAAUUAAUAAUUAUGUUUAUUGUUUAAUAUUUAGUAUUAAACCUAUACUUUUUAAUUACUAUCUAAUUCUAGUCAUGUAUAAAAUGAUAGGUAUUAUAGUUAUGUUAUGUAUUGUUGUAUAUUUGUAUUAUUAUAGUCAUAUAAUAAUUAACAAAUACUAAAAUGGUAUAUUGUACAUCUUUAUAUAUUUUAUCAUCAUAAGUACAUGAUAAUACCAUGCACUCACUAUUAUUAGUAGCAUUUACCAUAUUAAUAAUAUAAUAAUAUAUUAGUAGUAUAUACCAAUACCAAAUAGUAUUUACCUGUAUAUUAUAUGAUUUUAUAAACCAAUUCGAUAUUCGAAUGUGUGAAUACGAUACCCCGUUUUCAUCGUACCGAAUUUGAAUUCGAAAUUGAUUAUUACCAAAUUCAUAAUCUCAUUACCUAUUUUGUACUAUAUUAGAUUUCGGUCAAUUUGGUAAAUACCGCUUUUGUACCAAAUUACCAAAUUCAAUUCAAAUUCGGGUAUGAAUUCGGUACGUACCAAAUUUGAUAGGAUUUUUUAUUUAUUUGGAAUGUGGUUGACAAAAUAAGUUCAGUAAGGGUAGUUUAGUUCAAGGGCAAUAUGGUUGCACUACAAUGAUGUCAAUACGUGUAAAGUAGUAAAAAAUAAAUAAAUGUAUAUGUAUAGUACACGUAAUAUGCAUAUGUACCUCUCACAAGGGUAAAUUAGUCCAAAAAUACUAUUUUCAGUUUCUUGGGGGGAUAUUCCCAAUUAAUAAUCCAAAUUAUUUAGUAUUGGGUUGGUUUUGAGUUAGAUAACAUAUAUUUAAAAAAAAUGCUAUAAUGUGUUUGGUUGAGAAUUAGGAAAAAUAGGAUUGCUAUUAUAAUGACCAAAGUCCCCCUGAUUUUGCAGUUUCUUCGUAAUAAGGUUAACUUACCAUUUUUAAUAUUUAUAACCUUCAUAAACAUUAUAAAUUAAAUCAAGGAUUUUUAUAUAUACAAACUCAAGGGUCAAGGAUUUUAAUAUAUACAAACUAGUAAUUAUCACUUAAGGGUUUUAAUAUAUCCCCUUAUUGACAUCGUCAUUCACAGAAACCAAUUCAUAGGACACUUUUAUUUAUUUGGAACGUGGUUGACAAAUAUGAUUUGGUUGGUUAUUACAAAUCCAAUUUUAUGUUAUUCUAUGAACCAUACAAAUAUUAGUAAAAUUACAAUAAUAAUUUGGUCUUCUAUGUGUCCCAUACAAAUAUCAGUAACUUUACAUUUUUUUAUUCGUAAUUUUCCUAAAUUUCGAUCAAUCUGACAAACAAAGCUAUGUUUGUAAUUUGUCAGUUUUUAACCCUAAUGUAUGUAAUAUAACUAGGUAUUUGUUACAACUUUAAAAUAUAAGCUGUAGCUUAAUAAAAAUUUGUUAGGUACAACCCAAAAAGAAAAGGACCUCAAACACAAAUAAACAUGGGCCAAGUUUACCGGCAGGUCUUUGGACAUAUGUGACUAACUUGGUCUUCUCAGGGAUAGUGACCCACAGCGAAUCUCGCACUUCAAGUGAUGUGACAAGUGCCUGUUUUUACAAGUGAUUUUGUCAGUCUCAACAUACUGAUACUGUAUAACUAUCCAUUCUUAGAUAAGUACAAUUUUACAAACUUCAAGGUAGAUGAAUAAAAUUGUCAGAAACCACUUGGGAGAGGUAUGUGAAAUUAUCCAUUUCCCGUCCACAUCGCGUUAAAGUCACUCCGUCAUCUGCACCUCGAAAGUCGUAAUCACGUGGACACGCACAUGUUCGACAGCAAGAGAUGAGCUACAAAUUAUUUGCGCUUUUCUCUUUCUUUUGUCAGAAAACAAGUGGCUCGAGUCUGUUUAUUCAACGAAAACUCCGCAAAAUCGAUGCCAUUAGGCUGGCGUUCCUUGUGCCUUGUGCACUUAAAAGAUUUUCGUCCCCUGGGGAGGGUUUAUAUUGAAAUUUACGUUAUAAUAAUAUUGCUUAUUAGGGCAGCGUAUGAAUGUGAAAGUUCAUUAUUCUAUUUUUUUUUUUGUUCCCAUGUGUUCAUUUUUGUCGCUUUCAUACUAUCAAAUUCUUUAUUUUCUCCUCCCUGACCGGAGCCUAAAGCUUGACCCUGGCCGCCCUGACAAAUUGACAAUCAAGAAAGAGAUACAUUACAAUAGUGAUUUUGUUUUUUUCUUUUGUUUUCUGUCCUUUUUUUUCUGCAACGACAACGAAGCAUCUUACUUCUACUCUAAACUAAUUAACUAAUUAUAAGAGGGGAGAGGUUUAAAUGGACUUACAUGAGAGUUAAAAGAUGAACCGUCAGAUCAAAUAAAUACGACACUAUUGUAUGGAUAGAGAAUUAUUUAGAAUAAUUAUUGUAAUAUUUUUUAUAAUAUAAUAUAUGUGAGAUAAAAAGGUGAAUUGAAAAAUAUGUUCAUGAUAGAAGCGAAAAUUUUUUCACAAAAAUUUGCUAUCCAUACAAAGCCAAUAUUAUUAAAUUAAUAUUUUGAAAGUGUGAUAGGAAACCACUUGCCACUACACUAAUGGCACAUAAUUCAGAACUAAGGCCUUAAGUUCCCCAAAGUUUUUCUUUGUUUAUACACAAACAGGAGGGUCUGCCCAACUCCCAAUCAUAUCAGGUGUUAUUUUUUUCUUUUCAAACGCAAGUCAACAAACCAAUGGAGAAUAAUACACAAAUUCAUGGUUUUCUGUUCCUGCAACCUUCUUUUGAUAACAAUCCAACCUUCACAAUUGCUUUGUAGGAUUUGAAACAUAGCCAGACAAAACAUGCUGAAAAGCUAGCUUGAAUCAAGAGGGUUAGGAUUUAAAGAAGCAUAAUGGAGAAGCUCCUGAUUUUUCUCCAGUGUAGCCAUGUACUCUUCUUUCAUGGUCACCAAUGCUUCAAUCCCAUCACCAGAUUUUGUUUCGAUCAGAUGAGCAAUAUUUCCCAAUCCGUGUAAAUCUCUGUUUCCACGCGCAAUGCAUGUCCAUAUGGGCUUUCCCCAUCCAAAAUCAGCCUCAUAAAAACCAGUCUUGCGGAUGCUGCUGAUAUAGAUACAUUCAGCCAUACUAUUAGGAUCAUAGAACACUUCAUGGAAAUCUUUUAAGGCUCCCAUCAGCUUCUGAAUCCCAUUCUCACCAUUUAUAGAUUCAACAAAAUCAGCGUUCAUUGUACCAAUGGAAUUUGAGAUCUUGUUUACCAGCAAUUCCAGCUCUAGCUUAGGAUUGUCACAACAUUUAGCACGAGCCAACCAGACGAUAUUUCCUAGUGAAUGAGGUGAUAAAGGGGGCGAAACUUUUGUCCUCAGAUUCACCGGGAUAAACAAAACAGACCUUACUUUCCAAGCUGCUAUGGCAGAUUUCCAUAGAAGUCCCAUAACAGCCUUGGCUGAACUUGGUUUCGCGGAAGAUGUUGAUGUAGCUGCCUUGGAUUUAAGAGCAGCCAAGGCCGAGCUAUCGAACACAAAUCUGCUUGUAGCAUAUUUAGGCUCGUUCUUUUGUGGUUUGGAGACCACAGGAGGUGAAUCUUGGUACAUAUCCAAAAUGGAAGGAAAUAAGGAAGAUGAAAUAAAACUGGGAUUUAUUUGUACCGUUGAUUCGCGUGCUGUAGCUGCCCAAGAUUGCAUAAAUGUUGAAACUGAGAGACCAUCAAAAAUCUUGUGGGAAGCACUCAAGCAAAUGGCAAUACCACCACAGUAAAAAAUGUUUACUUGAACCAUGAUAGGAUAACUUUUUGACAAUAAUUCCGUGGAAUCUGGAUGAAAUGGACAUAGCUGGUUCACGAACUCAUUUUCAGGCUUCCUCAGAAAAUCUAACAGUCCAAUAUUGGUUUGAGUUUCGACGUAGUAAACUCCAUCAUCAUUACACUCAAUAUGCAAAUUAUCUUUGAUUUUUCCUGCUAGUGGAUAGAAGGGUACUAAGGUUUUUGAUAGUGAUUCCUUUAGACAUCGACUUCUUUGGGAAAUAACAUCGUCGAGAUAAGUGCCUUGUUGUUUUCUUGGGGAGAAAAAGAACAAUAUAUUUGUAUAAGAGUCACGAGUAAGCUGAUCCAAGAUUGAAAACCUAAAGGUUCUCAACUCAGGGGGAGUUGGAGAUGCUGGCUUGAUUUCUUCCUUGGAGAUAAUUUCUAUGUCCAUAUAUUCAGUUUUCUGAUUGACACUCGAAUGAAUGCUGCAGGGACAUGUUUAGAAGAAUUUUUAGCCAUUACAAAAGAGGAUAAAAUUAUCAUAAAAUUAAAAUUUUAAAUUUAUGGAAAAAUAAACUUUAUUGUUUGUUUUUCAUAUUUAAGAUCAGCUCGUCUGGGGCUGUUUAAUUAGCAGUUCUGCUUUUGAGUAAUAAUUUUCAAAUUAUACUAGUACGUUGUAGUAAAUGAAUUACUCCCCUAUAAAUUGAGAAAGUCCUAAUUUUCCUGCCAAUGACAAUAAAAAGAAAGCAAUAUGAAUAAGAGUAUUAUCAAAUUCACGAAUAAUUAUUGCUUUUGGACUAGAAAAACAUAUAAUUAGCUAGAGUUUCAAUAACUUCACGUUAUUGUGAUGAAUUUUUGGGACUUUUAGAACUAUUCCAUAAUAUCAUAAACAAGAACAAAACUCAAAACAUGAAAUUUUUGCUAUGUCAUUUCCGUGAAAUGAUGAAAGGUCCUCUCUGCUAAUUCCAGUGCAAAAUGUACUUUUGAGCAUACCAAAAAGGAAAAUGUAUAUUUUCCUAUCUACAAUUACAUGUAUCUCGAAGUUGAAACCCUUUAAUUCAAGAACUUCUCCUCAUGGACCCUUUUCAAAAAAAUAUUCCUAUAAUCACAGCCUAAAAUUGACACUCAUUUAGUUUUAGCAAAGGAGUUUCUUCUGUCCUUUCUAGUUAUUUUUGUUUUCUUUUUUGGUUUCCCUAUUUGUCUUUCCCCUUGUCUAUAAUAAAAAGAAAUUGAAAAAACUUCCCUCCAAUAGUCAUGGACAACCAAAAAAAAAAAAUCAAUACUACGUAUUCUAAAGAGUAAUGAAGAAAGAAACAAAGAAACAAAAAAAUUUACAUACAUACCUUCUUGAGCCAGCAAUGCCAGAACUGGGAAAAGGAUAGACAUGGCCAUUACUCUGCCUGUUCAUGAAAUGUUCAUUAUAAUACCCUUUCGAUGCACAUUUGCAGCCAAACAGCGCUGGUUUGGCAGUUCCUGCAGAACCAUCCGCAAUAUGGUUUCUUCUCGAUUGGCGGGGCAACGAGAAGAGAUGGCAUUUUGAUCCCAAUAAUGACUCCCUUCUUGUGGGAAAUGCUAAUCUUGAAAUGAACCACCUCAUGAUGGGAGUGUUAAGGUACUGAUGAAUGGUGACUAUACAGACAAAACUUCGUCCUUUCUAUGGUGGAAAAUAGGUUGAACAACCCACCGUCGGCAGAUAGAGUGUUAGAAGUACAGCACAGCAGUCAGCACAAGCAUCUCUAUCCAUGUUGGGGCCCAGUUGAGAGAAGGUGACCAGCAAAGCCUAUUAUCAUCUGAAGGAGCUAAAAGCAAAUACUAAUAUAAAUUGGGUUGGGUGGUUAAAUAAAUUAGUGAAAUUAUAGAUGCUGUACUGGAAUAACAAUAAGAGUAAAAAACCCUAUAAAUACCAAGAGAUUGUAGGGUUUUAGUCAAGUAGAGUCUGCGCGGCGCCAUCUCAGUGAAUUAGGGUGUAAAACGGACUAUUUUUAACAAGGUGCUUAACAUUUAGGGUGGAAAACGGACUAUUUAUAAAACCUGAGUUUUGUUAUUACUGACACGGUGCUUAACAUACCAGUCGUGUUUUCAGAAUUACAAUCCCAAGCUUAACAUGCCAUAUUGGUACCAAUUGGGUUAUAGUUAUGAAAUUGGUUUUUUGUUAAUUAUUAUUACAAGAAAUAUUUAUAAUUGGAAAAAAUUCAAUUCUUGCAUACUGAAUAAUAAAUAUUUUUAGGAAAAAUCAUUUAAAAUAUCUUUCACAUUUCGUUAAAUGAAUUUUUUCAUCUUUUACUUUUAAAAUAUUUAAUUUUAUAUAUCUUACAAAUUCAAAUUCACAAUUUUUGGUCCCAACCUGAGUUUCAACCACUUUUUAGUCUAAAAUUAUCACAUGACUCAUAUGUAAUAAUUUUUAUAUACAAAAAUGUCAAAUUUUACUUUUUUAGCGACAAAAGUAAAUAUAAAUUGACAAAAAUGAAUAUGAAUUUGAUCAUUUGUUUAAUUAUGAAUGGGAUAUAACUUUUUUUCCUAUAAAAAUUGAACUUUUCUUUUUGCCAUGAUAAAAACUACUUUUACUUUAACUAUCUAUAACUACCCAUGACUAUUUUUACUUUUAACUAUUUAAGUAUAUGUUUUCAACAUAACUACCCAUAAAUAUUAUAAUUACUAAUAUAAAAUUAUUUUAAAAAUAUUUAUGAAAAAUAUUUAGAAGAUUAAAAUUUGUUUUGAUAAUAAAAAAUAUAUUUAAAGUAUAUGAUCAUAAAUAUUAUAUUUUUUUUAUUGCACCCACAUUGGAUGUGCAUGAGCACUAGUUAUAAUCAAAUUCCAAAUCUCACUCCUAGUGAUAAUGCAAUUGUUUCAAAUAGUGAAUAUCUCCCCCACUAAAUAAUUAGAUUGUACUAUAUUAGGUCCUAAGUCUGCCAUUAGUUGUAAUGAACAUGACCGACUACAAAUCACAAAUUUGACAAGUGCAAUAUCAAAUUUCGAGUCUUUUUAACUAUUAAUGUUUUCCACUAGUUAUAAUGAAUAUGAUGGAUUAUAAAUCACAAACUUGAUGGGUACACUAAAUUUAAGGCAUUUUAACUAUUAACUCGGAAGCAACGAUGUUUAGAUGUCAAGUUAUGCUCCCAUGUUCAAUUUAACGUAUUUAGAUAAGGGUUUAAAGUAUAUAUGAGGAUCAUUUUGAUUUGGGAUUUUUCAAGCACUCAAUGACUUAUUGUCACCUAGGUUUCUUUAAGUGCUCCAUCUUAAUAAUAGUGUAACUAUAUUUACACAAUCUUCACAUUUGCUAUUUCUUUUUUUUUUUUGUUUAAAGUAAUUUAUCCAACUUUCAUCAUUUAACAUUUUUCCCUUUCUUUAUUUGUUCAAAAGCAAUUUUUUGUUCAUUGCACUUACCUUCUUUUAAUUAUGUUUUUCUUUUGUUUAAUGUAAUUUAGCCAACCUUUUUCUUUUCUUUUUUUGUUUUAACAAAAAAAGCACCCUUAUUAUCUUAGAACCAUAGAGAAACUCAAGAAACAAGAUGAAAUAGUGGUUAAGCUACACACACAAAAAAUGCACGCGAUUAACAUCUCAAAUUUGAGAGAUUUGAAUGAUGGGUAUAACAGUAAAAUUAUAAGAUCAUAUGCUUCCAUAUUGUGAAUUUCAUCUAUGCAUUUGGGAUUUGCAAGAAGUGUACGUAACUUUGAAUUGUCAAGAUUUCUUGGUUAUUUGUGAUUAUUGCUAGGGUAAAAUAAUUCACUAAUGUAAUUACUCAAUUGAAAAUUUUCAUGUACAUACCUUUGCGUAAUCAUCGAUAGUUGGGAUAGCCAUUCACAAAUUAUAAGAAUAGUAUUUUGCUUAAAGAAAAAAGAAAAAGUUGGUUAAAUUAUAUUAAAAAAGAAUUAAAAGGAUAAAUGCAAUAAAGGAAAAAUGGUUUUGAACCAAUAAAUAGAAUUAAAAAAUUAAAUGACAAAAAUUGGAUAAAUUACUUUAAACAAAAUAGGAAAAACACCACUUUAAAAUGUCUUUCGAAUUUCCAAAGAGAUAAAGACGCCAUUUUAAUAUAAUUGGAGAUGUUGCAUUAGGUAAAAAUAUCUCACGGAUGCUUGAACUGAAAACACAAAAACGGCAUCUUUAUUCCUUCACGAAAACAGGCUUUAUCUUAAGGAAGCGCCAAAAUUAAACUACGGCCCCUUGUUCAUUACCGGUUCUUGCCUGUCUUCGGUUGCAAAUUUCAUUUUUGUCUAUUAUCUGGCUCACCAAACUCACCAAACUUUGUUGUCCUGUUCCUAUUACUGCUUCCCCCCAUGCAAAGAUGACUCAGCUUUCCACCAUAGAAGCAACCGACAAAACCUUACCCUGCAAACGUUAGUUGUUUACGAUUGAUGCCACAUGCAAAUGUGUGAUAUCUAUGUCACAAUGGGUCCAUAACAUUUGGAAUUUAUACUUAUUGAGUCCCUUAUAAACGAUGAUGCAUUUUGGUCCCCGAAGUUUUCAAAUUACAAAAGUUUGGUCCCAAUUUUCACUAUUUGUUGGUAAUUCCUUUGUGUAUAGGUAAUAGUCUGUGUCUGCGCCGGCAGAAAUUAGGAACUAUGUACACAACUUUGAAUCUUCAAACGACAGGCGUGCUCUGCCUGUGAACUUGGGAGGUAAGUUAGAAUUACCGAAUCAUUUUAAUCACGUCUUCUAGACUAUUUAGCACAUGGUGUGUUAAUGAUAGUUUCAAUCAAACAGUGUAUGAAAAGAACUUUGAGUCAAAAUUAUUACUUCUUACGUCCUAUGAAAAUUGUGUUUUGCGAUUUGUGCUUCUUUUUUUUUCCCUUUCCCCCCCAGUGGCAGGAAGAUUGUGGUCCAAUACCACGAUGAUUUGGGUCCAAAGAAGGUUACCGCUAUAGAUCUUGACACUACCGAGCUAUUAGCGUAGGUUCAGUUAUUGACCCUAUAGCAUUAAAAUUUCAGCAUAUCAAUUUAAAAAUAAACAUUUCAGCAUCACUGUCCUCAGCAUAACUUAAAAAUCAUUCUUAGAAACAUUAAUAUCUAUAAUUUGGUUUAUGUAAUUAAAUAAAAAAGAAAAGCACUCGCUUAAUGUAUAAAUCAUUCUCAUAAACAAUUGUCAUAUUAGUUAGUACAUAAUUAAACAAAUUUUAAAAAAUCUAAAGAAAAUCGGUCAAAAAAAUUUUAAAAAAUCUAAAGACUAAUUAUUUAAUGCCACAACCACUCACUUUUAUCUCAUUUUUUUUCCUUAUCAAGUUUGCAUUUCUAUUUUCGAUUCUCUUGAUUUCUUUCAAACUCCAAACUUCCUUUUUUAAAUUGCAAUCUCUAAAUCCCAAAAACGUAAAUUAAAAUUUAAGUUCACAAUGUCUAAAUUCUCAUAGAUGCGAAUUUUGUAUAAUUUUAAAAUAUUGUGGUAUUUUUGGGUUGGAUUUAAGAUUAUUUUUUGGUAGAUAUAAUUGAAAUUGAGAUGAAAUUUAUUUAUUUCAACUUAUAAUUUAAAAUUUUAUUUUUGAAAAUCCAAGUUAUUCAAAAAUAGUAAACUUUUCAUCAUAUAAAGUUUUAAAUUAGUCCAUAGCAUAUCUUAUUUUCUAAACCCAACCCUUGUGUAAUGUUUCUCAUAUACCAAAGUUCUUUUUCUCACUCUCAUCUAUAACACAUGACUCCUUUUUGUGUACUUUAAUUUAUUAAUUUAUGAUAUGAUAGUCCCCUUCAAUUUAUAGGAUAUAUUACUUGACAAAUACUUCAAUAAUAAUAAAAAAAUAACUUACCUGAUUUCCAAAUGUAUAUAAAUACAAAAUUUCUUAGCAACUACUCCAAAUACGUAUAAAUUACUAGAAAAGUAUUUACUUGUCACACAAAAUAAAAAUUGCCUAAACAAAAUAAGUAAUUUCCUAAUAAUCUCCACCAAAAAGCUUGAUGUGUAGUUAUACAUACCAAAUUAUUACGUUGCUGUAAUGUCCAUAUAUACAUAGCUAAUCCGAGUCCAACUUUUAGUUGACUUAAGUUUGUAGGAUUUUCCUUUUCACCACUACUUACAACUUGAAAGUAAUCUUGGAUCCCUUUUUUUUAAUUCUGCUCCCAACUAUUGAGGUAAUCAAGAAACAAAUUUUUUUUUUUUUAAAUCACCAUACUUUUCCCCUUCACAAUAUUGUCUCCCCCGUGUGUGCUUUUUAAAAUUCCACCAUUAAUGAAAAUCUCGUAACUUUGAGAGUCUCAGGAUGCAUGAGAGUUAGAUUUUUUUUUUUUUUUUUGUGGAUUUUUUUGAUACAUAUAUCAUACCGCUUAAACAACAAAACUGAAAUACAUCCAACAUCAAAUACAUACCAUUGGAAAUUGUUAAGAACAUUUCCACUAAAUUACAUCCUAUUUUAACAUUGGACUCUAUGUUUUUCCAUGUCUUCUGAAUCACUUGCCCAAAUUUACUGUCAAAUAUCCUCUACGUUUGUUGUCUUUCGAUCCUUUCCCUUCAAUGCCAAGCCUUUUUGACAUGAAUAUUCUUUUUCUAUUAAAUUAUUGAAUUGAAAAUAACCGCAACUCACUUAAUAUCAAUAAUUAACCAAAACCUAGCUAUGAUAUUAUACUAGAUGCUGAGAUCCAAGUGCUAACAAAGAAUCAUUGAAAAUUAAGUGCAUGACAAUUUAAAGGAAACAAAUAAAAAACAUGAAACUUUGAGUAGAUACAAGAUUAAUGUGGUUUGACUCAAUUAUUAAAUCUAUAUCUAUAAAGACAAAACUCGAUAUGUGAGAAAAAUAGAAAAAUCUAAUUUGAAUCCCGACGCAACCGUAUUAUGACGUUUCUCACGUAGCAGGAAGCCCUUCCCUCACUCUCAUUACAUGUUACUACUUAAAACAAAAAUAAGGCAAUUUUCAUAACAAGGUAAAUUUUAUUUCGUCCUUAUGCCACCUUUUUAAGAAGAAAAGUGUAAGCAUGACACUUGGUAAAGAAAAGUGCACGUAACUUGAAAGUUGGGUGGCAACUUCAAAAAAUUCUUCAAUAAACCAAACUCGUAUAUUAACGUUUUAACACAUGCCAAGCGUCCACCAACUAAGAUACCCAUAAGGACAUCCACAAUGGUUUACAUUCUUUAGAGCGUAAUCCACGUGCCACGUCAGCAUUCCACUUUCUUCUCUUUUAUUGCACUUCCACUCACAAUGGAUUACACUCCACAAGGUGUAAUAAAAUGAGUCCACAAUUAAAUCAAAUAUUUAUUUUAAUAAUGCAUAACUCAUAUUCCAUAAAUAAAUAAAGUAAUUUUUAAAAAUAAUUUUGUUAUUUUUAAAAAAUAAAGUAUUAAGUUUCAUUAAAUUUUUUACCUUUUGAAUUUUUAUUUUCUAAAAAUAAUAUUAUUCAUUUCUAAGUUUGAACAAUAUAUCUUUUUCUAUCUCUCAAAAAUAAUAUAUUGUUAUUUUUUGAAAAAUAAUUAUGCAGAACGUUAAACAAAUAUGUGAUACCUCAAAUGCGAUUAUAUCAUAAUAAUCCAUACUCAAUUAAUAAUUCUUUAUGUAAUUAGUUUGAUUUCCAUAACCUAAUAUUACAUAAUUUAAAUCAAAUACACUGCUUAUUUGUUGGGCAAAAGUUUUCCUACGGCUAAAUUUUAUAAUGGGAUGGCCCACCCAUUACACGCAUCAUUAGAAUGAUGCAUGUAAUGACUAAUGGGUAUUACGCGGCCACAAUGGGUAGCCGUGUGACCAACUCUUAAGCUGUCAGACAUUACACCGCUUAUUCCACGCGGUUGGAGAUGCUCUAACGAAGUUAUCUUGUGUGCGGAUUUUAGCAUUGUAUGAUUUAUAAUUUGCUUGAAACAUAUUUUAGCUAUUAAAAUCAAAGAGCUCAAAGGAUAGUGAGAUAUUUUUCUUUUUUUCUUUUUGGAUAAAUUCUUCUGAUGAGUUGCUUUGUUUUGAUCGAUCAUUCAUUGGUACUUGGCAGAUUUUAUCCUAUCAUCUUUUCGCAAACAUUUUGAUAGUUAUUUAUAUACACUGUUAAAAUUUAGGUAAACUUAAUUUUCAAAAAUUCAAUAGUUUAACACCAUUUGACUAAGUAAAGUAACGUAAUUUGGACCUUCUUUGAAAACCGGAGCUAAGUCUUUUCCAUGCCCCUUCACAGUGAAGCUAUAAUUUCCAAUAAUAGUUCGAUCCUGCAAUGAAUUGGACUAAGGGCAGGAACGGUCCCAGGUGGAAUCGUUCCAGACAAUUAUGUGCAUUUUGUAUACGGCGUAAUUUUAUUUAUUUAUGAUGUAACUUAUUUUUAAUAACAUGUAAUCGGCAUACAAGAUGAAAUCUGGAUGUACAAAUUUUUUUAGCCAAAUCUUAGCAGUGAACUGUCAAGACGGUUGUCCCGCUUCCCAAUGCAUGAGUUGGCAAACAAGACAUUUGUGUUGCUAGGGUCAGUUAAAUUAUCGGCUCCGAUAAGGCGAUUCUCUGUAGACAUAGCAGCUUCUGGGUUAGAGUUCCAAAGUUCCAAGAACUCGGAUCUGGAGUCUAAAGUUGCUCUGCCUAGUUCCCAAAACGAGAGAUAGGCCAAGCUCAAUGGAGAAGUUGCAGGUGCUCCUAAGGCAUCCUAUCUUCUGCAACCUGUUCUUGCUGCUAGUUUAUGUUCAAGCAUGUUCAAACCUUGCUAUGGCUGGUUCCAUAGUUAAGUUUCUUCCAGGAUUUGAAGGACCCCUCCCCUUUGAACUCGAAACCGGGUGAGCCACUAAGUAUAACAUAUAUUUAAUAACACUAGAAAUUAACAUUGAUCAAAACUUAGAAGAAAUAGUUGAUCCAUUUUCUGAUAUUAUCAGGUACAUUGGAGUUGGUGAAUCAGAGGAUGUGCAGCUCUUCUACGCUUUUAUCAAGUCAGAGUCAAAUCCUGAAUCGGAUCCUCUUAUCCUUUGGUUAGAUGGAGGACCUGGCUGCAGUUCAUUUAUUGCACUUUUCUUUGGGACAGGUGAAUUCUAAUGCCUUACACUUUGCAUUAGGUGUCGCCCAAAAAAAAAAAAAAAACAAUUGCGGCACUUUUUUGUUCUUGAUUUUGUAUAAUCUUCAAACUCUGCAAACAGCCUUUCUGGUUGAAACUCUGCAAAAAAGACAAAAGACGUUGUUGUCUGGUUGACGAAGCUUUAUGUAAGGUCUUUUGUUUUGUUUUUUUGGGUAAAAGUAUUAAUUUUAUUGAAUACCAUCCAUUUGUUGCCAGUAGCAACUGCUACAAAUAUCUGUACAUUAACUUACUACACAUUCGCAUCAACUUAAAGAUGCACGUAGAAAAGCCCAAAAUAUAAACUAAGCUACAAAAACACACACCUAAAUAUUUUUUUCAUAUGCAUUGCUAUAAUAAAGCUUUUGAAAAACAUUCCUCAAAACGGCUAAUUCAAAUGGAGCCAUCGUCUUUUUUUGUCUUUAAUGUUCAAGUGAUGAUGAUUGAUAAACUGGAGUGCCAGCAUUUGAUCAAGUCACUGGCCCGUGAUUUUCUGUUGCAGGGCCAGUAAUUGUCGAGCCAUUGUCGUUCGACGGCACUCUGCCCAACUUGGUAUUAAAUCCCCAUACUUGGACCAAGGUAAGCUCAAGAAUUGAGUUUCUCUUUUCUUUUAUUUUAUUUUCUUGCAAGAGAAAAAGAGAUUUAAGUUGAUGAGUAUAUCUUAGACUCAUAGAAGUGUUAUUUAGCAUUUAUUAUGAUGUGAUGUAUCCUAGAUGAAAAGGUUGUUGAGAUACAUGUAUAAAUAAGGUUCCAAAUUUUUUUUUUUUCAAAUAAUGUUCAAAUAAUCUUUAUCCAAACAAACCUAACUUUCAAGAUUAAGAAUUCGAGUUGACUGCAAGAUUGAGAAUCAUUUCUUGUUACUUGUUAGGUUGUAAGCAUCAUCUUUCUGGAUUCGCCAGUUGGAACUGGUUUUUCUUAUGCUAAGACUGCAGAAGCUUCUCAAUCUUCAGAUUUUCAAGCCUCUGAUCAAGCUUAUGAAUUUAUCAGGAAGGUACACGCCCAUCACUCAGCUAAUUAAUGAAUCAUAAGGCUUCAUGGAACGUUGGACAAUUACUAACAAGGAAAAUGCCAUACUUGUCUCUAGACCCUUUAUUAUGCAAAAAGACCAGUGUACUAUCAUUUAAUUAAUUUCCUUCUGAAUAGCGGAAUCCUGCGUAGCCCUCCCAAAAUUGCCUCCAUUGGAUUCAAGUUCUCUAUGAACACGGUUUUGAUUGUAUAGAACAGUUGACAGUGGAAGAUGAAUAAAAGUUACAUCAAUAAUAACUGGCUAUGGUAGUUUCGACAGUUAGCAUCAUGGAAGCCAUAGUAGAGGAGGAGGUCUUGCAUGGGGAAAGAUCCCAAAGUCUCAUGAAAUGUGGCAAUCUCUAGAAUGGAAUAUCCCACUCACAGUGUUUAGUUAGUGAAAUGUUCUGAUACGGACUCCUAUGAUAAUUAGUUUAACAUGUAUACUGAGAUAUUCUAUCUCUUGUACAAACUUGUCCAAUAUCAAUGAACUUACAGUUUUACCUUGAAAAGAUAGUGGAAGAUGACUAAUUUUGAAUUUGAUGCUUACAAUUCAAUUUUGGGUACAAAUUUCAAUAAGCGAGGCAAUUUAUUGUCUUUUUGCAUGUUGUUGUAUCUUAAUGUCUACAAUUGGUUUGCUAGUGCCUAUAGUACACAGUGCAAUUACAACUGCCAAUUAUAGAGGCUUGGGCAGGCGAUAUUUGUUGCGUUUUUACCCAUUUGAACCUCGAGUUAAAAGCUUAAUUUCCCUUGAAAUGGGAAAGAAAUUAUAGUUAAAAGAUGUUUACCUUUUACAAGAUUGGUUUUGAUAGUUGAUUAUACUGCAGUGGCUACAUGAUCACCCAGAGUACAAGUCGAAUCCAUUCUAUGUUAGUGGAAUCUCGUAUGGGGGCAUUCCUGUUCCAAUAUUAACUCAACUUAUAUCAAAUGGUAAGAUUUUUUCAAUGUGGCUUUUUACCCUGGGGAAGUUUUUUGGUUGUGUUACAAUCUGAUUAUUGAAAUUGUCAUGCAGAUACAUAGGCAUUGUAAGAGAUCUGAAUAUACUAUAAAUGCUUUCUGUAAGCUUGUAGUAUAUGCGAAGUCUCUUUUGGUAGGAAUGUAGUUGCUACCUUAAGCUAAAUGGGUUUUAUUAACAUAAUGCAGAGCUUUAAGAGGGGGAAAAAUGGUUAAAAGUUCCCUCAGAAAUUUGCAGGCUUUUUUUUCUUUUCUGUCAAUAUGUUAAGUUAUAAGACGCUCCAGGAUAAAGCAAGAAAACGUUUCUUUGACCAGUUCAGAGUUCUACAUUAUCUCCUGCCACAAGAUGAUCAGUUGAAGUUUGCUAAAUAAGGAGAGUAUAGGAUCAAUGCUUUGUUGCUCUAUGACUAUUAAGACACUAAAACUUACAUGUAUUUUGGUGUUAUUCCAGGAAACGAGGACGGCAUUGAACCACGUAUUGAUCUUAAGGUCUAUACCUUUGAUGAUCUUCUCUUUUCUAGUCUACCUAAUCUUGAUUGAUUACAUACUAUUUGGAGAAAAAUUUACCAUCCUGAGUUUAAAACCGAGACAUUUUCAUUUAUGGCUUCAGGGAUACAUACUUGGAAAUCCACAGAUCAAGGUUUCAGGACUUCUGAACUAUAGGGUUCUGUUUGCUUAUAGGAUGGGGCUGAUUUCUGAUGAACUCUAUGAGGUAACUUAUUUCUUUUGUUUGUUACCUAUUGAUAUCUUAGAACACUGUCAUUUGUCACAUGCAUUCUUGCAAUGUAAAAUUACCUGUGAUUUUCUAAAUGACCUGCAUAUUUACAAUGCAGUCCUUGAAGGUUAGCUGUAAAGGGGAAUAUGAAAUCAUAGAUCCCAGUAAUGCAGUGUGUUCGAAAAAUAUGCAGGCAUACAAUGAGGCAAGCAAUCAUAUCUAUGCAAUUUUUAUGUGACUAUUUUAAAAAUUAGGCAAGGCCUAAUGGAUUUACUUAAAGUGCCCCCUAAACUCAAGAAAGAGAGACAGAGUUAAGGAUCAUCAAUAAAACGUUCCUGAAUAGUGUAAUAUCAUUUGAACAAGAAGUAAUUUAUUGUAACUUAUACAAUUUCGUAACAGAGUUGCAGUUAAUGUUAGGGGCUUACACAAGCAGUAAUCGAACAUCAUACUUCUGUUACGAAAUUGUAGAAGUUAACAAUGAAUUAUGGUUUAUUCGAACAAUAAUACACUUUCCAGAAACGGUUGUACUAUAACAAUUGGUUCCUACCCCUUCCCUUUAAUUUGUGGGCCACAAAGGUGAAAAGGUGGGAAGAAUCAGAAUAAAGGAACGGGUAACCAGAAUGAUGGUUAAUAAUUUUCUUCUGCAGUUGGUGGUUCGUAAUAUUGACAAUCAAAAUAUCUUGAUUCCCGUAUGUCAUCCCCUUUCACGAGAGCCAAAUAAAUUAUUUACUGGUGGGAGAUCCAUUAUGCAAAUGUUGUAUGAGAAGUUUGAAGAGCUAGACGUUCGGGAAUCUACUCAUGUCAAAUGUCGAGUAAGAUACUACUAGUAUUGUUCUAUGUAAACUCGUGGAUAAGAGCAUCAGUUCUUGGUAGCACAACUGAUCGCGUUUCUUCUGUUCACUGGCAAUCGUAGACAGAAUGGACUAUGCUCCUUCAGCACUGGGCUAACAACAAGAGUGUCCAAGUGGCCCUCCAUGUGCGAAGGGUAUGUCUAAAUCGAGCACUAUGGUAUGUAGCAUUUGAAUGCCGAAGCAAGCCUGAACUGAUUUCUGUAAUCACAUUGCAGGAAACUAUCGGACAGUGGUUAAGAUGCAACGAUUUCUUGCCAUACACAGAAAAUGCAGCGACUGUUGUACCAUAUCAUGCAAACCUUAGCACUAAAGGUUAUAGAUCCCUUGUAUACAGGUUUGGUACCUAGCUCUGAAUCUUGAUGCAUGUAAGUUAACAGCAGUGAUUUUAAGUACUGAAAGUGGAGUACUUUGUGAUUCAGUGGUGACCAUGAUCUGUUGGCCCCGCACAUUGAAACUCAAGCGUGGAUAAGAUCUCUACAUUACCCAAUUAUUGACGAUUGGAGACAGUGGAUUCAUGAAGGCCAAGUUGCCGGGUUUGGUUCAAAAUUGAACAAUGUUUCUUUUCUUGAUUACAUCACCAUUAGCACGAGAUAAAAAGAUGACUUUACCCAACUCAUCUAAAUUUGUUCUGUUUUCCUGCUUCCAGAUACACAAUGACCUACGCAAAUAAGAUGACAUUUGCAACAGUGAAGGCAAGAAAUUCCUGUUUCUAUUGCUUCAGUGCAAGAUUUGUUCACAUGGUAACGACUAACAAGAAGGUCAGAACAUUCUUGGGACUAACUGGCACCCCUUUUUUCUUUUUUCUUUUUUGGGUGAAGGGAGGAAGCCAUGUUGCUUAUAUGUUCAAGCCUGCCGAAUGCAGAACUAUGCUUGAGAGAUGGAUAUCGCAUCAGCCUCUCUAAUCAGUUGGCAUAUGGAUAUGAACAUUUUUUAUGACUUCUGAGCAUCAAAUGUUCCACUCUUAAAUAUAAAUUAUUGUAACUUUGGGUCAUGAGACGCUUCUACUCUAACUCUCCAAUGGAUUGCCUUCUUAUGGAGAUAUGAUUAGUGGAGAAGUGAAUAAAAUGUAGUAGUUAAAAUUGGAAUCACGUUACGCCUCCAAACAUUUCUAUAUGACUGCUGAAGCUUUUACUUUGAAGAUAUGUCAUUGAAAUAAAUUUCCUCUAUUUUGCAAUAAAUAAAAUUUUGAAUUCACAGGAAAGUACCGUUUGCCAAGGAAUUCAAAUAUUAAAAAAAAUUGUUACUCCAUUAAACAUGAAUGGAUUCAAAUAUUAAAAAAAAUUGUUACUCCACUAAACAUGAAUGGAGGGAAUCUACCAAAGCUUUUAAAAGAUGAAGUGGAGUAGGAAAAGGAAUUUCUUAUACAUAAUUGAAAAGCAAUUUUCUUGAGAAUACUUUAAAACCAAAAGAAGAUCAAAAGAAGAAAUCUCUCAUGUCUAGAACUGAUCUAAUCACUUUUUAAGCAAAACCACGACUCAAAAGUACCUUAAAAGUCUUUUUGUUUUGGGUAGCCAUCGAAAGUUUACACUUGACUCACAUUUGAGUAGAUCCGAUCUUUAGAAAUUCAGUGGGUCAAAUUAUGUUACCCAUCUCACCAAGUGGUGUGGGUUAAUCUGGACUACUGAAUUUUUGAUAAUUGGAUCUUCCAAGUUUUGGUUGAACGUGUUAAGGGUAAUAGGAGGCAUAAAUCGCGCGAUUGGCGUAGGGAACUAAAGACAAUAUGCCCAAGCAAAUAUGUGGAUUAAGGGAGUGAUUGAAUUUUGGUGUAUUCUUCUUUUAUUCAGCAUGGCAUGCAAAAAUUUUUUUUUUUUUUUUGUAUAUGAGUAUGAAUAUGCAUGGCAGUUGACAAGGGGAAAAAAAUCACUGAGCUAUAUAGAAUAAGGUUGAUAAUCCAAAGUGUGUCAAACUUCAGGGCAAUGCAAAGACUUCAAAUCCUUUGCAUUACAUGAAUUUGGCAACGAUGAUGAUGAUGAUGUACCUGGCUGCUGCAGUAGAUAGCAAAAUCACAAAUUGUAAAGCGAGGUAUUCUCUACAUUUUCGAAAAAUCUAACAACUUGUAGGUUGAAGUUUUGUAACUUGAUGCUAUAUCUUUUUGGAUUCAUCACCCGUGGCUUCUGAUGUACUUUCACAAAGUAAUUGAAAGCAACUAAAACUAACUUUGAAGCAGAAAUAGGUAUUGCAAAGAUAGAUAAAUUCCUCAAGAAGAUACUACUAGAGAAAAUGUGGAAUAACCUUACAUCGCACUUCAACAAAAGCAUUAAACCACAGAAGAAACGUGCUAGAUUAUUGAUACAUAAUUAAUUAUAUCCUAAUUGAGCUGAAGAUAAAAUUAAAAAUGCCAUGGAUGCACAGAUACCAGGUGCCAGCUGAUCUUGAGAAAUGUUUGACAUGUUCUUGAUAUUCGUCUUAAUUUUAUUUCUACGGGAAAACUUGAUGAUGAGGGCUACCAUAACUCGCAAGGUGGAGGCAAAUGGAAACUCAGCAAAAGAAAUCUCAUUGUUGCCAGAGGAAAGAAGCGGAGUACCCUCUACUUGAUACAAGUCAAGUUGGGAAAGAAAGAAGUGAAUGCAGUUUGUAAUUUCUUAAUUGACCUUUGGCAUAGGUGACUUGGAUAUAUGGGCGAAAAGAGGAUUCAGACACUUGUUCGCAAACAACUUCUAUCUUAAGUUAGAGAUAAUGUACUUAAACCUUAUGUUGACUCCAUUUAUGAAAAAUAACAUAGAGUCGUAUUUUUAGAAUUUUUCUCCAUCUAGAAAAUUAAAUCCGUUAGAGUUGGUGCACAUUGAUAUUUGCUAUAUCAAAUAUAGGUCUCUUGGUGGUGACGUUUAUUUUGUAACUUUUAUUGUUGAUUUUGCUAGAAAAGUUUGGUGUUUUGCUUUGAUAUCCAAAGAUCAGGUUUAUUGAUUUACGUAAUUGGAAGUAACCAAUUAGGUUUACGACGAAACCUAGAAAUCGAUCACUAAUCCAAUUUGAGUACCUCUACAGGAUAUACCUCAACAGAAAACUGAAAAGUAACGGCAGACCUCAACAAAAAACUGAAGAGUAACGGCAGCAAGUGAUUGAGUUCAAUAGUUCCUCAAAUAAAAUUAUUGACUCUAGCAUAGCAAAGUUGAAAGAGAAAUUGAUAAGUAAUUAAAGUGUGUUCGUGCUGAUAAUGGUGGUGAGUACAGGAGACCGUUUGAAAGUUACUGCAAGUGCCAUGGGAUCGGAUUAGAAAAGACAGUACCAAAAACUCCUCAAGAGAAUGGAGUAGCAGAAAAGAUAAAUAGAUCCAUCACCGAACGAGUCAGAUGUAUGCUCUCCAAUGCGAAGAUGUCAAAAUCCUUUUGGAGCCAGGCAAUGAGAACAAUAGUUGAUUUGAUUAAUCUUUCUCCAUCAAUUCCUCUAGAUGGUGAUGUCUCAGAAAGAGUAUGGAUGGAAACAGAUAUGUCUUUUGAACACUUGAGAAUUUUUGGUUAUUAAGCAUUUAUUUAUAUUUUCAAAGAUGAGAGAUUAAUUUUUCUUUUAACAUCAAUACUAUAUCACUCACCAUUACUUUUGUUACAUAAUCAUGUAUCACCAUAACUAUAUAACAACUUACAUAUACCAUAGUCACCAGUGAACUUGGCGAGCAAGACCCCUUUAAUAGUUUAAUGUAUUUUUCAUGUGAGAGUUGCAGAGCAGUAGCCGUCAAUAGCUGGGUCAAACAGUUUCAAAUUCCAUUUUGGAACCACUCUCCCACAAAGCUCCCCGCUUUGUAUGGGAUCUCUCUUUUCAAACUCUUAAAUAAGUUCUUGACUUUCAAACCAACUUUUCUUAGGCAAAUUGGUCACUAGAAGAGAUUUAGACCUUUUGUGGGUCAGAUAUAACAUCAAAAUAAAGAGCUAAGACAAAGUUAAAACAAAUCCUCAGACAGUGACAAGCAUUUUAAAUCAUCAAAAGGGUGAAUUUAAGCAGAUAACUACUAAACAAUACGCCAAAACUGUAGACAAUACGAGGCGCAAGAAAGACUAAAUAAUAGCAUUCCUUUGUUUGUAUAUGAUACAUGUUUGAGCCUGUAAGAGCUAUGCUGUAUAGUAUCUCAAAUGAAUUUCAGCUGCAUCGAGUAAUAAUCCUACACUAUCCAACAUCUACCAUGAGAAGCAUGCACAAAACACACUUCAAGCAUCAGUUCAGAAUUACCACAAUGACUAUUUUCUUCUCCCUCUAUUUCCUAAAACAACAGGAAGAUGAGCCUAGGCAUUUCAGCUAGUACUAUCAACUUGUAGCAGUUGGCUGGGUUUAUUGUCCAGCGUCUUGUUUAUAUAGCAUGCUACAAUCUUGCACAAAGAAAUUGCAGAAACCUCUAAAAUGAUCAAAAAUUAAGUGACCAUUCACAUCAUAUUUAACUCGUCCUUCUCAAUAUCCAACAGCCCCUAAAAGCUUUCCUUUUCCCCAGGAGAAAAUACAAGUUUAAUCUCCACUGUAUUUCCACCUCAUAUUCAACUCUCACUUUCCUUUUCUCAAAGAGAAAAUGCAAUGAAUAAUUAAAGGAAAACAUCCCUUCCCCAAUUUACAAUGUAUCGAUUAGCAUUAUUUGAAGUAAAUAAAGCAAAGGAACAUUAGACAGUUAACUAGAAGGGGAAAAAAAUACAACUGAUCAAAAUACUUCCAAGCAACAAUCUUUCCUAAUUUCUUAUAACUAGAGGUGUGAAAAUAGAUGACUUGAGCGGGAAUGGGUUGGUUAAAAUGGGUAAUGGGUAUAAGUGAGUCAACUCAUUUAUACCCAUUUAAUUAGAUGGAUAUAAAUGGGUAAGUCAAAAAAUGAAUUGGGUAACUCAAUUAUCCAUUUAUAACCCAUUUAUUUUAACUUUUCAUAAACUCAUUUAAAUUCAUUUUUGUAAACUAUGUUAUCAAUUUGUACCACCAUUUGCACCCAUCAUUAGUUUUAAAUAUUUAUUUAUAAUAUUCAAUAAACCUAGUUACCAAUUUUUUUUUAUCCGUACUCUAUGUCGCAAAAUUAUAUACUAUUUAAUAAUUGAACAAUAAGAAUAUAAAAAUUUGACAUAAGUACUAUAAAAGUUAACAUAAAAACUUGAUUCAAAAAUUUUGAAUUCCUAAUAUUUUUUUGUGUAAAUUUAAAAUUUCAUUUUGAAAAGGUAGAAAAAGAGGCUAAAACUUGUCAUAAAUUGGGAAUGCUAAAAAAAUGAGUAAGUUAACAAACUAAGAGAAAAUAAAAUGAUAAUAUAAAACCCAUAAAUAAUAUUAAUAAUGAAACAAAAGUAAUUAACAUCAUAACAAAAUAAAGAAUUUGAAAAAAAAAAUGGGUGGGGGAAGAGAGGAGGUUUGGGGGAGACAAUUCUAAAUGGGUUAAUUGGAUUUGAUGUGUUAUCCAUUAAUACCCAUUUAUUAAAUGGGUAUUAUUGGGUAACUCAUUUGUACCUAUAUACAAAAACUUAAAAUACCGAUAUCUUUCUAUUCAUGGACGAAUAUGGGUAAAUUUAGUUAAAUAAGUUUGUUUGACACGUAUACUUAUAACAAUAAAAAUCCACUUUUAUGGCUACUAGUUGGCCUGGGCCUCCCGCGAGGCGCGAGGGUGCCCAUAUUUUCACGGAUUGAGUUUUCAGAAAUUUUCAGGCAUGUUCUUAUAAUUAUUUCUAUUUUUACAUUCAUACAUGAGAUAUAUUUAUAUAUGGCCUUUAGUAAGUAUUCUCAGUAGGCCAUCAAAAGUUAGCAAGAGCUAAUUAGCCUCGACAAAAGGAUUCUUCUAGCUGUUAGAAAUACAGUGGAUGGAGAUGAGGCUUUAAGUUUGACAAAAGCAUCAUAAAGUGCAUACUAUACACAUUAGCUAGGCAAAACCGCAAAAGUUGAUCUCUACAAUGUGACCGUGAUGGUGGAAAGUUGAUUUAGUUUGUCUUCGGUCACUUGGCUGGGGUGUUGAUUUGCUGGAACUGGCAGUAGUGCUCCUUCAGUUGGUAAGCAUGCUGUUAUGCUGUACAUUGUUACUAUAUUAUUUCGGAGAGGAUGAGUAAAUUUCCUCACUUGGAGGCGGUAGAUUUCUUUUCCAAGUCUUUUGCUGACAUUAAGCACAUCUGGUUGUUGAUUCUGUGACAGAUUUUAUUUCGACAAUUGAUUGAAGUUAUAAAAUUGACUGGGAAAAUUUUUUACUGUGACAAUCUUACCUAUUGUGCGAUCGGUAGUAUAUCAUCUGCACUAAUCUGUAGUAUUUGAUAGGUAAAAUUGGUACCUAAUAUAUGAAUGUUCUUGAUGGUCCUAAUGAAAAGGAAAAGUUGAUGAAAUGUAGCAGACAAAACCACGCAAUAGGAGGAAGCCACUGCAUGGGAAAAAGCGCAGCACACCGAUUGCUCUGUGAAGACAAUUCAAGAAGCUGGGCGAUCAGACAAAAAAGCCAACCUUGGCUUUGAUAACCAAUUAGUCAUUCGGGGGCAAAAUUGGUAGGUAAGGAUAUAAUGGUCAGUAUACACUCCACAAACAAAUUCUAGCCACAAAUGUCUCCAAUGGCACCGCUUCACUCUUUGGAAAUCACUGCAAAAUGACCAAAAAGCCCACACACUCAAGGUGCCAAUGAGGGACCAAAAUCAUUGUUCCUAAGACCAUUCGCUCUUUUAUAGUAUUACUAGUUUAUUUGUGCCUCAUGCGAUGCAUGAGGGUGCCCAAUUUUUUGUGAAGUUGUUAGUUGUGUGUGUGGAGUUAAGAGUGGGUGUGUGCGAAUUUGAUGAUGAAAGAGUGGUAGUUCAGGAUACGUAGGCACACUAUUUUGUAGUAGUCUGUACAUUAUCAAAAAUUGGUCAUUACAGGAUAGAAAACUCAUACAAAGAGCUGUAGACAAAACCACUAUUUACAUUAACAAAAAUAGGUGGUUGCAUGGUAGAAAACUAAUGUCAACAGCUAUUGCAAAACUAUAGAUGGCAAACAAACCUAUUUAACUAAAUUUACCCAUACUCGACUAUGAAUAGAUGGAUAUGGGUAUCUUAAAUUUUUGCAUAUGAGUAUAAAAUGAAUUACCCAAUAAUACCCAUUUAAUUUUAUUGGAUAACUCAUCAAAUUUAAUUAAAUCAUUUAGAAUUGUCUUCUCCCAAACCUCCUCUCUUUCUCCAUCCCUUUUUUUUUUCAGAUUCUUCAUUUUGUCAGGAUGUUAACUACUUUUGUUUCAUUAUUAUUAUUAUUAUUUGUUGAUUUUAUUUUAUCAUUUUAUUUUCUCUUAGUUUGUUAACUUGCUCAUUUUUUAGCAUUACCAAUUUAUGACAAAUUUUAGUAUAUUUUCCUACCUUUCCAAAAUGAAAAUUUAAAUUUACACAUGAAAAAAAUGCUAGGAGUUCAAAAUUUUUGGAUUAAAUUUUUAUGUUAACCUUUAUAGUACUUAGUUCAAAUUUUUAUAUUCUUAUUGAUCAAUUAUUAAAUAGUAUGUAAUUUUGUGACAUAGAGUACGGAUGAAAAAAAAUUGAUAAUCAGGCUUAUUGAACAUUAUAAGUAAAUAUUUUAAACUAAUAAUGAGUAUAAAGGGUGGUAUAAAUUGAUAACUUAAUUUGUAAAAAUGAAUUUAAAUGAGAUUACAAAAAAAUUAAAAUAAAUGGGUAAGCCUCCAAUUGCUUCCACGUAAUAAGGCAACAAAAGUAAAGUAAACUCAAUCUAUACAAUACUAAUAUGUUAAGGUGAAAUUUCAAAUUUAGCCACCUGUUUAAAGUACAUUUGCACCGUUUUUAACAAAGACAUGCAACUUCAGAAGCUCCCAAUUGCUUCCACGUAAGCUAACACCACCACCGUAUAUGUUAAGCAAGUCAAUCUGUCCAAAGAUAAAUUUGAGAGAGUAGUUGGAUAAUUAAUGUUGGAUUUGAAGUAAGACUUUCAGUUCAGGCAAUUUCCCCUCCGUAGACCUUUACAAAGGUACUUCACAUCAUCCCCAACUCCCUCAAGCUUUCAGUAUUUGUAUCUCCAAUGCUUAAUCAAAUUUGGAAAUCUAUUUGACUACUCAAACUCAACAAAUGCAUCUCCGACGGAAGAGAAUUUCAAUUGCACUCUCGAAACUAGCAAUGCCCAAUUUGCACCCAACUAGACAGUUAAAUAUCUUUGUCAAUGAGAUUUAACUUUCUGGUGAGUUCAUUACUAUAGUUUCAUCAAAAUAUCUUUGUUGCAAAAAUUUUGCGGGCUGCUAUCUUUACAAUUCAUGCAAAAUAAUAAAGGUUUUUUAUAACCCAUCAGCUGUUUGAUAAAUUGCCUCUUUCAAACUAAGUUCAAAAUUCGUUCAACGCCUUGGCUGCUAGUUCAUGCCUCCAAGUAUAGUCAUCAGCCCAUCAUCUCUACCUCGUUCAAACACUAGCAAUCAUCAUCUUCAUGAUAAUAAUUUUUUUUUUUUCUAGCCAAAGGUGAAAUCCAUUCCGGUUCAAUAGAAAAAAGUUCUACAUUCUUUAAGGAUUUUGUGCUAAGGUUUCCAAGGAACGGCUUGGGUAGUGGUGCGGCAGUCCAUGGCUGCCAUCUGCCCACCUGAUGGAGGGCAGCCUGCCCCUCCUACCUUUCAACGCAAAUCCUUUUCAGAAUUGUUCACGAAGAAUUCACAGCAGCCGACGCUAUCCUUUGCGGCACAGGAGGCUACACACAAAGGGGAACCUGCGUUGAUUUUCCCACAGGCAGCGGUCGAAGCUCUAGCCAGUCCAUUUCGUUUCGCAUUGAUUGGGAAAUUCUCUAGACGUAGACCGAAGUUGGAGGAGGUGAGGAAGUUCAUUGCAUCGCUGGAUUUACGUGAGAACCCGGUGGUGGGCUUGUUGGACGUAAGACAUGUGUUAAUUCAGUUGAACAAUGAAGCUGAUUUCCAUCGUGUAUGGUUUAGGAGGAUCUGGUAUGUGUCUUCCUUCCCCAUGAGAGUAUUCAAAUGGACCACGGACUUCCAUGUUGACAGGGAGUCGUCGGUGGUUCCGCUCUGGCUUCAAUUACCAAAACUCCCGCUGCACUUUUUCAAUAAGGAGGUGAUUUUCCAGAUUGCGUCUAUGGUAGGUAACCCUUUGCUAGUUGAUGCGGCUACCCUUGCAGUGUCACGGCCAAGUGUUGCACGGGUGUGUGUUGAGAUGGAUUUGUUGCGUUCGACACCGUCGCGGGUUUGGAUUGGCAAUGGAAAUCAUGCUGGUUUUUGGCAAGAGCUGGUGGUGGAGAACCUUCCAAGGUACUGCUCACAUUGUUUCCGCCAAGGUCACGAUGUGGAGACUUGUCAUGUUUUAAAGCCCGAGUUGCGAGGAGCAUCUGGUCACCAUACCAAGACUACUGGAACAACACAACUACGGUUGGCAGAGACGUCGAAUACAGACAUGCCUGAUGGCCCUUUGGAGGGUAAUGGAGAAAGGCCAUCGGUAUUGAUACAAGAUGCGGCAGUAAUUGAUGGGGCAAAGGGAGAAGUUAAUGAGACUGUGACUGGCAAAGCGCUAGUUGCUCACGAUCAGUUAAUAGGUGGUACGCCUCACGAAGCUGAGCAAGGUGACCAGGUGCAGCAGUCCUGUGCUACUAUACCAGCGCAGCAGGAGAGGAAAAUGGAGGAGGAUUAUGGGACGGUGGCGGUAGAAGGUAUCGAGGUGGUGCUGCCACAUGACAAAGGAGAGGAACGUUCUGAAGAUGUGGGGAGUGGGUUGCCCGCGAGGGUGGUCGUACGUUCUGCUGAGGGGCAAGUUGAAGACUUACAAGAUACUCAACGAAGGGUCGGUACCCUCUCCCCUAGGGGCAAGGAUCUUAUCCGACAAGAAGAGUCAUCACUAGAGACCGGGCAUAUAGACACGGGGGGUACCCUGGAACUAGAAGAAGUUGUUCGUAAGGAGCGAAUGGAUGCAAGGUCGCGUGGUCUCCGGGUUGGUCUCCCGUCAGAUAGAACACUACGCUCCAUGGUUAGUUCUUCAACAAAUUCUUUUUCUGUCCUUUCUGAUGAUUAAGUUACUUUUUUGGAAUAUAAGAGGGGUAGCUCGUGCUCCUAAUUUAAGGCGGUUAAGGAAACUUAUUAAAUUGUAUGAUCUUCAAUUGGUGGUUGUUGUUGAACCUAAGUUGAGGGUGGAGUCAAUUACUGAUAUUAGAAUUAAAUUGGGGAUGGAUUGUUGCAUGUUCAAUCAUUGGGGUUCUGUUUGGAUUUUCUACCGGUCAUUGUUUACGUGUCAGAUUACAGGGGAGUCUCCCCAACAUAUAACUAUUAGAGUACAAUCUCAUCUUUUCCAAGACUCCAUUAUUUUGUCUUGUAUACACGCGAAGUGUACGCAGCAGGACAGAGAGGAUUUGUGGAAUGCACUUUUGCAGGAUAAACCCGCCUUCAAUCCUUGGUUUUUGGUGGGGGAUUUCAAUGUGGUCACAAAUACAGAGGAGAAGAGGGGUGGAUUGCCAUUUAGACCGUCGGAGGGAUCAGACUUUCUGAAUUUUAUGGCGCUAGCUGGUGUCAGUGAUGCGGGAUUCUCUGGGUCAAGGUUUACAUGGUGUAAUAAUCGUUCGGGAACGGCGCGGAUCUGGAAGCGUCUGGAUCGCUUACUUCUGUGUGGGAGUGCAAUGGAGCUACCGUACCAAUUCAUGGUGCAACAUUUAGGCCGUGACCCGUCGGAUCAUGCUCCCUUGUUGCUAUCGGUGGAUACGAGGCUAGACAAUAAACCCAAGCCGUUUCGUUUCUUAAACAUCUGGACCACUCAUCCUGAUUUUCUGGGGGUUAUCAAGGACUGUUGGGUUCAUCCAGUCAAUGGCUCUCCUUUGCAAGUAUUGGCAUCGAAGUUGAGGAAUGUUAAAAAUGCCCUCAAGCAGUGGUCUAGGACGACAUUCGGGGAUAUUUUUGAAGGGGUACGUAGUGCAGAGCGUGUGGUAACCGAGUCUGAGACAGCAUACGACCUCGAUCCUACUGAGCAGCGACGGAGCGAGUUACAUCAUGCUCGGGCUCGAUUGCGCCGAGCGCUUGUAGUUGAGGAGGGUUUUUGGAGACAAAAGGCGCGGGUUAAGUGGCUUUCGGACGGAGAUAGGAACACCAAAUAUUUCCACUCCUUGGUUACGGAAAGGAGACGUAGGGCAGUAAUUCAUCGAGUCAGGGGUACUGCUGGAGAGUGGAUCGAGGGGGAAUGCCAAAUUGGGGAGGCAGCGGUGGGUUUCUUUAAGGAUCUUUUCACGGCAGAGGGGGAUCUUCCCUCCCUUACCGGUCUGGAGAUCAUACCUAAACUGAUAACAGACCAGGAAAACUCACGGUUAACGGACAUUCCAUCUCUUACAGAAGUUAAAGACAUAGUCUUUGCUAUGGAUGGAGAGAGCGCAGCCGGCCCGGACGGGUUUACAGGGAAAUUCUUUACCUUUGCUUGGGAGGUAGUGGCAUCGGAUUUAUACCGGGCGGUUGUCAGCUUUUUCUGCGGUGCUGAACUACCUAGGAGUAUCACGGCUACCUCAAUUGUGUUGCUGCCAAAAGUGGAGAACCCCCAAGAUUUUAAGCAUUUUCGUCCAAUCAGUCUGUGCAACUUUACUAACAAAAUCAUCUCCAAGCUGUUAUCGGCAAGGUUGGCGAUGAUAUUACCCCGGAUUAUAUCUCCACAGCAAAGCGGGUUUGUCCAAGGGAGGCAGAUUACAGAUAAUUUCUUGUUAGCUCAGGAGUUAGUAGCCGAUAUCGGGAAAUCAAAUCGGGGUGGCAAUGUGGUCAUCAAGUUAGACAUGAUGAAGGCUUAUGAUAAAGUCUCAUGGCCCUUUCUCCUACAGGUGCUACGAUAUUUCGGAUUCAGUGAGACCUGGAUAGACAUGAUUUGGCGCUUAAUAUCGAAUGUGUGGUUCUCGGUACUUGUUAAUGGUGGUUCAAACGGCUUUUUCAGAUCUUCACGGGGUUUACGGCAAGGGGAUCCAAUUUCACCAGCCUUAUUCGUUAUCGGAGCUGAGGUGCUGUCUAGAACCCUCAACACGCUACCCACACAAAGAGGAUUUACUCCGUUCAAAGUUCCUCCUCAUUGUUCUAUAAUUACGCAUUUGGCAUUCGCCGAUGACGUGAUUAUCUUUUCCAGUGGGGCCAAGUCAUCCCUACGUCUGAUUAAACGGGUUUUGGAUGAUUAUAAUGAGGCAUCAGGUCAGCGAAUCAACCCUCAGAAGAGUUGUUUCCUUACUCAUCCACGGGCACCAUCUCAGAGGGCAGCGGUUGUUAACCAGAUACUAGGGUAUAAUAAACGCGACUUUCCAAUACGGUACCUUGGUUGUCCCUUGUAUACCGGAAGGAGCAAGAAGGUUUACUAUACGGAUAUAUACAAUGCGGUGGCGAAUCGGAUUUUGAGUUGGAAAAACCAGAUAUUAUCGCUAGGAGGCAGGGUGGUGUUGAUUCAGAGCGUGUUAUCCUCUAUGCCAAUUCACUUGCUGGCAGCCGCGUCCCCUCCAAAAGGGAUGUUGAUGGUCAUAGAGAAAUUGUUCGCCAAGUUCUUGUGGGGAUCUUCGAAUUUCGGGGAUAAAUUCCAUUGGAUACGUUGGGCAGAUUUGUGUCGGCCGAAGGAUGAAGGGGGUGUAGGCCUGCGGGGUUUGAAACAGGUCUACGACUCAUUUUCCAUUAAACUCUGGUGGAAAUUUCGACAACAACAAUCAUUAUGGGCAAAGUUUAUGUCCCAGAAGUAUUGUGCAGGUCAUCACCCUUGUCUUGCUGAUAUUGGGCAUCCGGGAUCCCAAGUUUGGCAGAGGAUGGUUACAAUGCAGCGUUUUGGGGAGGAUAAUAUUAGCUGGGUAGUUCGGGAGGGGGCUUUGGACUUUUGGCAUGAUAAUUGGAUGGGGUCAGGUGCGCUUUGUGACAAGGUUGAGGUCUUCCAUGAUCAUUCGGUGGUUGAUUUUGUAGAUCGGCGGGCUUGGAAUGUGGACAUGCUCCAUCAAUUCUUGGAUGGAGAAUUGGUUACGCAGGUUUUGGAGAUUGACCCUCCUACCGAUAGGGGAAAUGAUACAAUGGUAUGGGCAUUGACGAACUCGGGUGUUUUUUCCACUGCAUCGGCUUACUCAUUGAUCCGUCAAUCCAAUGACAAUUCUUGGCUUUUUGGUCGUAUAUGGCAGCAGGGUCUUCCAGUCAAGGUUUCUUUCUUUAUGCUGCGACUACUACAGGGGAGGCUCCCUCUUAUGGAUCGCCUAAAGAGGUUUGGGGUUUGUGGCCCAUCUAGAUGCUUGUGUUGUCAGAAUCCCCAGGAGGAGGAUUUGAAUCAUGUGUUUUGCUCAGGAGAAGGGGCACGAUUGGUCUGGCGACACUUCGAGAGUACUGCUGGUGAGUUUAGUGGGGUGCAUACGGUGCGUCAUAUGGUGUGGUCUUGUUGGUUAAGGAGGGGGACUAAUGAUCGUGUAAAGUUUUUGCAUAAUAUACUUCCUUCGGUGGUAUGCUGGGUUUUAUGGAAGGCUAGGAAUGAAGGGGUGUUUGAAGGUCGGAAGAUGAGGAUCAGGCCUACGGUGAAUCGGAUUGUUCAGUUUCUGCAUGAUUUCCUUCAGUCACGGUUCCCGGGGGUGCAGCCUUCUGCCCCUACAUGGGAAGGGUUGCUUCUCGAAUUAGGUAGUCAUCAAAGGCGGAUGGUUAUUAGGCCAGUUUACUGGGUAACUCCACGUAGAGGCUAUAAGUUGAAUUCAGAUGGAUGUUCUCGGGGGAACCCAGGAAGGAGUGGGGGGGGUGGGCUUGUGCGGGAUAGUCGAGGAAAUUUUGUAUUCGGCUACGCGGAGCCCUUCGGGGUGAUAACCAGCAUGCAGGCAGAACUUCGAGCGUUGCUAUGGGGCGUUAGACAUUGUGUGAUUCGAGGGUGCUUGGAGUUACACUUAGAGGCGGAUUCUCUCACCCUGGUUCACAUUGUUCAAGGGACUAGUGCUUGUCCUUGGCGUUUACAGAGAGAUCUGGAUGAGUUGAUGAUGUUCAAGCAAUAUUUCACAUCGAUCACACACUGCUACAGGGAAGCAAACGCACCUGCAGAUCAUUUGGCAAAUUUUGGUGCUGAUUCUAGUGCAGGUCAUGUGUUUAAUACAUUCUCAGAAUUGCCGCAAUUGGUUAGGGGGGCUAUUAGAUUAGAUCGAUUAGGAUUUCCUACGUUUCGUACACGGUGUCUGGCAUGAAUUGGAAUAAGAAGCAGAAAAGGCCAAUGAAGGUGAAAAUGGCGGUUAGAAGGACAUCAAGGGAGGAAGAUUGACUGCUAAAAUCUUCAAAGAUCAUCCUUCAGAUUCACUGGAAGACAUCCUGAUAUGGAAAAAUGAAGAUUUAAUCUUAAUUUCAGUUUUUAAAUGCUUAAACUUUCACUAGCUUGUAAAUUUAUUGUCAAAUUGUGGUUUGAUGGCAGGGAGUUUCGUCCUUUUUUAAGGGGAAACUCUGCCGAAAUAUAAAAAAAAAAAAAAAAAAAAAAAAAAUCUGUCCAACACCAAAACAAAGAUGUGAAAUUCCAUGUUUAGCCACCUACUGAUGGUGCCCAUACGGGACCAUCACUAUUGCACUCAUAUCAGCCAACUCCCCUUUUUAUACUUCUUAUGAUAUGAUAUGAUUAGGAUAGGAAGUAUCAUACAUCACUUGACUAUAGGACAUCCUCGUUUAAUGUCUAUCUCUGCCAUCUGCCAAACGAAUAUACCUCUCCCAGCAUGCUUCAUCCCUUAUUUAUAUACCCUGUACCUCUAGUAUCAAAGCCAUCCUGCAACCAUGAUUUUGUUUUUUUUUUCCAGAAUUUAUCAACCUUAUAACUGAUCCCAGGAAGAUUCUAGAAACUGGUGUGGCCAACGUGUUAGAUCAAGAGAAGAAGGGCUAAGGCCAUCAACAGUACUAUCUUUAAAUUUAUCUGGAAAACAAUUACAGAAAAAGGAACUAUCUACAUCUUGUAAAGUACCAAAAAUUUUAUGUACCAAAGAUUCAGGGAUCCAUCCCAAUGGCUGCAUCACAAAAAAAUGCUAAAGAAAAUCAUUUCCUUCCAAUAGCUCAUGACCCCUCAGAAACCAAAUAUAACUAACAAUACAUUCUUUAUUGCCCUAUAAAGGAUAUCAAGCUAUAAAAGAGUCAACAUAAAAAAAUAGAAACAAAAAAGAACUCAAGGUCAUCGAAGAUUUAAAAAAAAAAAAAAAAAAAACUGCUAGGAAAGCAUAUUUAGCCACUACCUGUUCAGAUUAUUGUUAUAGUUUCCCUAAAUCCUUUACCCCAAAUCUUCUCUCUUCUGUCUGAAAAUGUUACCUUUAGUGCCCAGACCGUACAAUGUCAUAUUGAGUCUAUGUAUCUGGGCGAUUUUGAAUUUUUCAAAACUAGGGUACUGGUACAUGGCCAAAGAUCUAGAAUUGGCUAGAGGGCGUCUAUCUUGUAUCCCAUCUGUAAGUAGCAUAUUAAAUACAACUUAAAUUAUGAAAUGGCUCAUACUUAAAAGAAAAUUUCUAAAUGAUCCAAACAAAAAAAAAAAGAAAAAGAAGACAAGAAAAUUAGCUUAAAAUAAAGAAGAAGAAAAUCUGGGGCAAAAAUGAUUGCGCAAACAGUUUCUAAAUGGUAUAAAGCUUUAGUGACAAAUUAUAAUUCGCAUCGUAUACAAGACACAAGUUAUAUAAUUUCGUAACAAUGACAUGAAAUAAUAAGAUUGUUCACAAUUAAAAGUAUGUGUUAUGUUAUUGUUAUGUAACAUUAUCUGAAUCUGAUUUCUCGAAAAUUUAUUUUGUUGGCAAAAUUUAAACUGUUAUGAUCGAUCCAAAAAGGAAAAAAAGAGAAAUUAAAGUACAUGGUUGAGAUCUGCAAGUUUCACAGUUAAAAUGUUGCAAGAUGGGCGGCACAACUGCAAGUUUCACAGUUAAAGGACUCCAUUUAAAAUUUAGUUCCAUCCAGUUAAAAUGUUGUUCUCGAUUUUGGCAAGUUUCACAGUUAAGUUUCAAACUGAGAGUAGCAAUUAUGCAGAUAUAUAGCCUUCUAAAGAGAUCCAAAUUCACUAUUAAUGCUCUUUUAUAAGCUUGUGAAUCCGAAAAGCUUCUUAGCUAGGGAUAUUUCAUGCUUGCACCUGAUAGCAGAGUUUUAAGAGGAAAAUCAAUUAAAAACUUUACUAAGGAGUUUUUAAGCUUUUUAUUCUUUUCUCUUGGUAUCUUUCCCUUUUCCUUCUCCUCCUCACCUUUGAUGAAGUACUCAUGAAGUGUAAAGAAGAAAACUUAGGGAUGCAAUUUUCUGGGAUUUUUUUAAUAUCUUGAUGGCAUUACUCCUUCAAGUUGGAUCUCAUAAUUCAGAAAAUUUAAUCUCCUGUCACAGCAUGAUCCAUUCAAGUUGCUGAAAACAAAAAUAGGAGCAACAAAUUAUUGCUCCAUGAACACAUGAAAAAUUAUCUCAUAAAACUUGAUUCAUUUUGGUGUCAUUGCAGGUAACGAUGCUAGGAUUGAGCCACAUAUUGAUCUUAACGUCUAUAUAUGUCAUAACCUUCUUUCUCCUUAAUCUAUGUAGCAAGAUAAAAACACUUAGGCACAAAGUUACAUCUUCUAUUCCGGCUCCAAAACUCACUAUCUAGAUUUUACAUAAUUAUACUUCUUGGUAACAUGUCGUGGCGUUGUUAAAUUGAUUGCUUUAGGGAUACUUCCUUGGAAAACCUACCAUUAAUCAUCACCUUCUUCUUCCUUGCCAGCGGCCAAAGCCGCCGGCUCUCUUUCUCUCUCUGAAAUUGUUGCCGCUGCCAUUGCUACCAUGUGCGGCAGUAGCAGCGGUUGCCGCUGCUACUGUCUUGAUCUGCCGUGGCUUCCUUAUCAAAUGGCUGGCCUUUGUUUAGCCAAGAGGUCGCCGAUGUUGUACUGGCGACCUAGCAGCAAGGAAGGCUCAAACGACCCUUUCUUCUUCUCUCCCCGAACCGCAUCUUUUUUUUUUUUAACCCCAUCAACUUUCCAUAUUUUCCUUUCUAUACAAAAAUUAACCCUAAAGUUAAGGAAGAUUCCUGCCUUGACUCGAACUCUUUAGAGUUUUCUUCAAAUUUUGCCCUUAAUUGAUUUAAUUAACUUUUUAAAGUUAAUUAGGCUUUACACGCCUUUAUGUUGGAAUGAAUAUAAAUGUUGUACUCUUUAGUAGGCAAGUUAAUUAUUAUUAUUAUUGUUUUUGGACAAGAGAGGGGUGGAAUGCAAGAAACGAGUAGGGGGAAGGGGAAAGAAGGAUUUAAAUCCAAGUCCUCCAAUUCUUAGAGUCUUAAUCUUAGUUAAUUAAACUUUUCAUGCUUUUAUGUAGUAUUGUUUCAUAUGUCGUAUUCUUCAUAAGGGUUUAUUGAGUACUUAUGCGUUGAUUCAUAACUUUUGGAAAAUCUUCGGAGUAUCUAAUUUUUACUUUUCCAAUAUCCUUUUAAUAAAUUUCACUAUGAUCUAACAGAUAUUGAUAUAGUUCUAGACUAUUAACAUGAAGAACUGAAACCAUAUGCUUUUGAGAAUUAUGAGAGUUAAAGAGAGUGUUGGUAAUAAAUAAGCACAUACUUAGUUCACACAAAAUUUAAAGUAUUGUGGAGGCAAAGUUAUUAGAUCUAAUGGAUUGAGACACAGGGUCAGUCACGAAUACUACAAGAUCUAAGUCCAACACGGAAGACAUGGAAUGUUGGCGGGUUGUGGUUGGCGUAAAAUAUGAUAUUAACCAUGCAAUGAAAAUGUUGACGAAUAAUAAUAGAGAGCCAAUCUUACGGUGAAAACAAGGACGAACUGUAACUAGAAGUCAACCAUACAAUGAAACCGUGGACAAUUUUUCAGCAAGAUAAAGAAGAUUAUGUACGUUAGUCUAAUUUAUAUUUCAAUCUCUAGCAAGCUUAGGUUCCACCAUGGGAUUGAUCCGAUUUUAACCUAUUUUAUAUCCUUUCAACUAGAUUCAUCCCAUAUUUGCUUCUGUUUCAAUCGGUUGAACCGACCUGUGUGGUUCAAUUUGUCAAAAAAAUGAGUUUGGUUGAGAUGAUUGAACAAUUACACAAGAAACUUACUAUUUGUGGGUCCAAUUACACAAGAAACUUAAAAUUGUGGGUCCAAUUUGUCAAAAAAAUGAGUUUGGUUGAGAUGAUUGAACAAUUACACAAGAAACUUAAAAUUUGUGGGUCCAAUUGCACGAGAAACUUAAAAUUGUGGGUCCAAUUUGUCAAAAAAAAAAUGAGUCUGGUUGAGAUGAUUGAACAAUUACACAAGAAACUUAAAAUUUGUGGGUCCAACGUACCAAUGGAGCAGAAGGAAUUGUACUCUUAAAUCUUAGUACAUGCUAGUUCAAUCAUAGAUAUAGUUAAAAUCUCUUAGGUGCUAUUUUCCCCUCACACUUUAUUACCGGGCAUCCUGCACCUUUCACUACUGUCUCCUCUCACACAUCAUGUCUUUAAGUUGGAAUAGUAUCAACCUUUCAUUCGACGGACAACAUUGCAUUCAAGGUCCUAGUGGGAGGAGUUGCCAUUGCUACGCUCCGAUAACAAUACUGGGUAGGGAUGGCAACGGGACAGGGGAUCCCUCUCCCGUAAAAAUAAAAUAAAAUCUGUUAGGUGUUAUUUCCCCCUCACACAUUAGAACUAGGCAUCCUGCACCUUUCACAAUUGUCUCCUCUCCUCACAUAUCGGGUCUUUAAGUUAGAAUAGUAUCAACCUUUCAUUCGACGGACAACAUUGCAUUUAAGUGUCUAGUGGGAAGAGUUGUCAUUACUAUGCUCCGAUAACAAUGCUGGGUAGGGAAAGCAAUGGGAUGGGAGAUCCCUCUCCCGUCUCCCGUCCUGGUGCCAAAUAUCUCCCCAUACACCCACUCCAUCCUUUGCCCCUGCCCUUACCCCGCCUAGCUCCCGUCAGGGAGUUUGCAGGGGAAUGAUAAAAAUUUGAUCCUGUAGCUAUUUGCUUCCAUAAUAACUAACAAAAAUUCAACAUAUCAACCCAUGGGGGGACGGGUGUCCCUUAUUGCCAUCACUAGUGUUACAUAUUAUUGGGCCCUUUUAUCACAAAAGCUAUCUCAAAAGUUAAAGUUUUCCCUCACACGUAUAACCAAAUAUCUUUUUCCUUCCACAGUUGAUGUAGAAUAAACUGAAAAUUCCCCAUUCACAUCAGGCCCGAGGUUGGAAUAGCAUCAACCUUUCAUUCAAUGGGUGCAGGUUGGGAAAACACCAACCUUUCAUUGACAAGCAACAUUUCAUUCAAGUGUUUAAAUUGAUUAAUUUUUCAUUUGAAGAUGAAAUUGGUCAGCAAUUGACAGUUUAAAUACUAAAUGUGUCAUGUUAAAAAGUUUGAGAACGAAAUGUAUCUAUGACCUAAAGUUUAGGGACAUUUUCCUGCGUUUUACUCUUUUCUGUCAAUAUGUUAAGUUAUAAGACGCUCUGGAUGAAGACAGAAAACGUUUCUUUGAAAACUUCCAUUUAGGAGAUACUUAGGAUGCGAGUUUAUGGGAUCCUUUAUACCUUCAUUAAUUGCAUUAGUACUCUUUCAUGUUGGACUCAAUAGCUCAGAAAUCUAUAUUAUCUCCUGCCACAAGAUGAUUAGUUGAAGUUUGCUAAAUACAACGUGUAUAGGAUCAACAAUUUGUUGCUCUAUGAGUAUAAGAUUAAUUAUUAAGGCCCUAAAACUUACUUGUAUUUUGGUGUUAUUCCAGGAAAAGAGGUCAGCAUUGAACCAUGUAUUGAUCUUUAAGGUCUAUACCUUUGAUAAUCUUCUCUUUUCUAGUCUACAUAAGCUAGAUUGAUUACAUACUAUUUGGAGAAAAAUUUACCAUCCCGAGGUUAAAACAGAGACAUUUCCCUUUAUGGCUUCAGGGAUACAUACUUGGACAUCCAGCUACUAAAGUUCAAGGAAUUCUUAACUAUCUAGUCCUGUUUGCUUUUGAGCGCUAUGUGGAAUUUUGAUGUACUAUGGGAGGGAUGUAGGGGGAGGGAGAGGAGAGGAGAGGGAGGAGGGGCGGAAGAGGAGGUUGCAGGCUGGUGAUGUCGGCAAGCUAGUGGCGGGUUGAGGUGGGGGGAGGAGGAAGAAAAUGAUGGAAAAAGGUGAAGAAUUUGUUUGUUUUUAAAUAUUAAGGGACGUGUACAUUAAAUAUUUUGAGAUGUUUAUAGAGGAUUACUGUAAACAAAAUAGUAAAAAAAAAAUUGUCUAUUAAAAAUUAGACUAAAAACCCAUAUGAAAAUACGCUAAUAAUCCAUACUUAAUUAAUAAUUUUUUAUUUAAUUAAUUGAACUCCGUUGCUCCGGUCAUUGUCAUGCCAAACCAAAUUGAUCCGUGCUCCAGUCGAGCCCACCAUUUUUCAACAUUACACGCAUCAUUAGAAUAAUGAUGCGUGUAAUGACUCAUGACACGGCCCGUGUAAUGACUCAUGAGAUAUUAUACCUCCCAUGAUACUCCACCGGAGAUGCUCGUAUAUAGAGUUCGCCGAAGAACUCUAUCCAAGUGCCUGGAGUCUAAAGUUGCUCUGCCUAGUUCCCAAAACGAGAGAUCGGCCAAGCUCAAUGGAGAAGUUGCAGGUGCUCCUAAGGCAUCCUAUCUUCUGCAACCUGUUCUUGCUGCUAGUUUAUGUUCAAGCAUGUUCAAACCUUGCUAUGGCUGGUUCCAUAGUUAAAUUUCUUCCAGGAUUUGAAGGACCCCUCCCCUUUGAACUCGAAACCGGGUGAGCCACUAAGUAUAACAUAUAUAUAAUAACACUAGAAAUUAACAUUGAUCAAAACUUAGAAGAAAUAGUUGAUCCAUUUUUUGAUAUUAUCAGGUAUAUUGGAGCUGGUGAAUCAGAGGAUGUGCAGCUCUUCUACGCUUUUAUCAAGUCAGAGUCAAAUCCUCAAUCGGAUCCUCUUAUCAUUUGGUUAGAUGGAGGCCCUGGCUGCAGUUCAUUUAUUCCACUUUUCUUUGGGAUAGGUGAAUUCUAAUGCCUUACACUUUGCAGUAGGUGUCACAAAAAAAAAAAGAACAAUUGCGGCACUAUUUUGAUCUUGAUUGCGUAUAAUCUUGAAACUCUGCAAACAGCCUUUCUGGUUGAAACUCUGCAAAAAAGACAAAAGACGUUGUUGUCUGGUUGACGAAGCUUUCUGGUCUUUUGUUUUGUUUUUUUGGGUAAAAGUAUUAAUUUUAUUGAAUAGCAUCCAUUUGUCGCCAGUAGCUACACGUUCACAUCAAAUUAAAAAGUCCAAAAUAUAUAAUAAAGCUUUUGAAAAAUGUUCCUAAAAACAGGUAAUUCAAAUGGAGCCAUAAUCUUUAUUUGUCUUUAAUGUUCAAGUGCCAGCAUUUGAUCAAGUCACUGGCCGUGAUUUUCUGUUGCAGGACCAGUAAUUUUGGAGCCAUUGUCGUUCGACGGCACUCUGCCCAAAUUGGUAUUAAAUCCCUCUACUUGGACCAAGGUAAACUCAAGAAUUGAGUUUCUCUUUUCUUUUAUUUUAUUUUCCUGCGAGAGAAAAAGAGAUUUAAGUUGAUGAGUAUAUCUUAGACUCAUAGAAGUGUUAUUUAGCAUUUAUUAUGAUGUGAUGUAUCCUAGAUGAAAAGGUUGUUGAGAUACAUGUAUAAAUAAGGUUCCAAAUUUUUUUUUUUUCAAAUAAUGUUCAAAUAAUCUUUAUCCAAACAAACCUAACUUUCAAGAUUAAGAAUUCGAGUUGACUGCAAGAUUGAGAAUCAUUUCUUGUUACUUGUUAGGUUGUAAGCAUCAUCUUUCUGGAUUCGCCAGUUGGAACUGGUUUUUCUUAUGCUAAGACUGCAGAAGCUUCUCAAUCUUCAGAUUUUCAAGCCUCUGAUCAAGCUUAUGAAUUUAUCAGGAAGGUACACGCCCAUCACUCAGCUAAUUAAUGAAUCAUAAGGCUUCAUGGAACGUUGGACAAUUACUAACAAGGAAAAUGCCAUACUUGUCUCUAGACCCUUUAUUAUGCAAAAAGACCAGUGUACUAUCAUUUAAUUAUUUUCCUUCUGAAUAGCGGAAUCCUGCGUAGCCCUCCCAAAAUUGCCUCCAUUGGAUUCAAGUUCUCUAUGAACACGGUUUUGAUUGUAUAGAACAGUUGACAGUGGAAGAUGAAUAAAAGUUACAUCAAUAAUAACUGGCUAUGGUAGUUUCGACAGUUAGCAUCAUGGAAGCCAUAGUAGAGGAGGAGCUCUUGCAUGGGGAAAGAUCCCAAAGUCUCAUGAAAUGUGGCAAUCUCUAGAAUGGAAUAUCCCACUCACAGUGUUUAGUUAGUGAAAUGUUCUGAUACGGACUCCUAUGAUAAUUAGUUUAACAUGUAUACUGAGAUAUUCUAUCUCUUGUACAAACUUGUCCAAUAUCAAUGAACUUACAGUUUUACCUUGAAAAGAUAGUGGAAGAUGACUAAUUUUGAAUUUGAUGCUUACAAUUCAAUUUUGGGUACAAAUUUCAAUAAGCGAGGCAAUUUAUUGUCUUUUUGCAUGUUGUUGUAUUUUAAUGUCUACAAUUGGUUUGCGAGUGCCUAUAGUACACAGUGCAAUUGCGACUGCCAAUUAUAGAGGCUUGGGUGGACGAUAUUUGUUGCGUUUUUACCCAUUUGAACCUCGAGUUAAAAGCUUAAUUUCCCUUGAAAUGGGAAAGAAAUUAUAGUUAAAAAGAUGUUUACCUUUUACAAGAUUGGUUUUGAUGUUGAUUAUAUUGCAGUGGCUACAUGAUCACCCAGAGUACAAGUCGAAUCCAUUCUAUGUUAGUGGAAUCUCAUAUGGGGGCAUUCCUGUUCCAAUAUUAACUCAACUUAUAUCAAAUGGUAAGAUUUUUUCAAUGUGGCUCUUUACCCUAGGGAAGUUUUUCGGUUGUGUUACAAUCUGAUUGUUGAAAUUGUUAUGCAGAGAUACAUAGGCAUUGUAAGAGAUCUGAAUAUACUAUAAAUGCUUUCUGUAAGCUUGUAGUAUAUGCGAAGUCUCUUUAGGUAGGAAUAUAGUUGCCACCUUAAGCUAAAUGGGUUUUAUUAACAUAAUGCAGAGCUUUAAGGGGGGGAGGGGGGGAAAGGGUUAAAAGUUCCCUCAGAAAUUUGCAGGCUUUUUAUUCUUUUCUGUCCAUAUGUUAAGUUAUAAAACGCUCCAGAACAAAGCAAGCAAACGUUUCUUUGACCAGUUCAGAUUUCUACAUUAUCUCCUGCUACAAGAUGAUCAGUUGAAGUUUGUUAGAUACAGAGAGUAUAGGAUCAAUACUUUGUUGCUCUAUGACUAUUAAGGCCCUAAAACUUACAUGUAUUUUGGUGUUAUUCCAGGAAAUGAGGACGGCAUUGAACCACGUAUUGAUCUUAAGGUCUAUACCUUUGAUGAUCUUUUCUUUUCUAGUCUACCUAAUCUUGAUUGAUUACAUACUAUUUGGAGAAAAAUUUAACAUCCUGAAGUUUAAAACUGAGACGUUUCCAUUUAUGGCUUCAGGGAUACAUACUCGGAAAUCCAGUAACGAAGGUUUCAGGAAUUCUGAACUAUAGGGUUCCGUUUGCUUAUGGGAUGGGGUUGAUUUCUGAUGAACUCUAUGAGGUAACUUAUUUCCUUUGUUUGUUACCUAUUGAUAUCUCAGAACACUGUCAUUUGUCACAUGCAUUCUUACAAUGUAAAAUUACCCGUGAUUUUCUAAUUGACCUGUAUAUUUACAAUGCAGUCCUUGAAGGUUAACUGUAAAGGGGAAUAUGAAAUCAUAGAUCCCAGUAAUGCAGCGUGUUCGAAAAAUAUGCAGGCAUACAAUGAGGCAAGCAACCAUAUCUAUGCAAUUUUUAUGUGACUAUUUUCAAAAAUUAGGCAAGGCCUAAUGGAUUUACUUAAAGCGUCCCCUAAACUCAAGUAAGAGGGACAGAGUUAAGGAUUGUCAGUGUAACCGUUUCUGACUAGUGUAAUAUCAUUUGAACAAGCAGUAAUUCAUUGUAACUUACUCGUACAAUUUCGUAACAGAGUUGCAGUUAUUGUUAUGGGCUUACACCAGCACUGAUCGAACAUCAUACUUCUGUUGCGAAAUUGUAGAAGUUAACAAUGAAUUACUCUAAUUUAUUCAAACAAUAACACACUUUCCAGAAACGGUUGUAUUGACAAUUGGUUCCUACCCCUUCCCUUUAAUUUGCGGGCUACAAAAGGUGGGAAGAAUCAGAAUAAUGGAACGGGCAACCAGAGUGAUGGUGUUAAUAAUUUGCUUCUGCAGUUGGUUCGUAAUAUUGACGAUCAACAGAUCUUGAUUCCCGUAUGCCCUCCCCUUUCACGAGAGCCAAAUAAAUUAUUUACUGGUGGGAGAUCCAUUAUACAAAUGUUGUAUAAGAAGUUUGAAGAGCUAGACGUUCGGGAAUCUACUCCAGUCAAAUGUCGAGUAAGAUGCUACUAGUAUCGUUCUAUGUAAACUCGUGGAUAAGAGCAUCAGUUCUUGGUAGCACAACUGAUCGCCGUUUAUUCUGUUCACUGGCAAUCGUAGAUGGAAUGGAUUACGCUCGUUGAUCACUGGGCUAACAACAAGAGCGUCCAAGAGGCCCUCCAUGUGCGAAGGGUAUGUCUAAAUCGAGCACUAUGGUAUGUAGCAUUUGAAGAAUGCCGAAGCAAGCCUGAACUGAUUUCUGUAAUCACAUUGCAGGAAACUAUCGGACAGUGGGUAAGCUGCAGCUAUCCCUUGCCAUACACAGAAAAUGCAGGGAGUGUUGUACCAUAUCAUGCAAACCUUAGCACUAAAGGAUAUAGAUCCCUUAUAUACAGGUUUGGUACCUAGCUCUGAAUCUUGAUGCAUGUAGGUUAACAGCAGUGAUUUUAAGUACUGAAAGUGGAGUUCUUUGUGAUUCAGUGGUGACCAUGAUCUGUCGGGCCCGCACAUUGAAACUCAAGCGUGGAUAAGAUCUCUACAUUACCCAAUUAUUGACGAUUGGAGACAGUGGAUUCAUGAAGGCCAAGUUGCCGGGUUUGGUUCAAAAUUGAACAAUGUUUCUUUUCUUGAUUACACCACCAUUAGCACGAGAUAAAAAGAUGACUUUACCCAACUCAUCUAAAUUUGUUCUGUUUUCCUGCUUCCAGUUACACAAGGACCUACGCAAAUAAGAUGACAUUUGCAACAGUGAAGGCAAGAAAUUUCUGUUUCUAUUGCUUCAGUGCAAGAUUUGUUUACAUGGUAACGACUAACAACAAGGUUAGAACAUUCUUGGGACUAACUAGCUCCCCUUUUUUCUUUUUCUUUUUUUCGGGUGAAGGGAGGAGGCCAUGUUGCUUAUGAGUUCAAGCCUGCCGAAUGCAGAACUAUGCUUGAGAGAUGGAUAUCGCAUCAGCCUCUCUAAUCAGUUGGCAUAUGGAUUAUGAACAUCUUUGAUCACUUCUGAGCAUCAAAUGUUCCAAUCUUAAAUAUAUAUAUAUAUAUAUAUUAUUUGUAAUUUUGGGUCAUGAGACGCUUCUACUCCAAGUCUCCAAUGGAUUGCCUUCUUAUGGAGAUAUGAUUAGUGGAGAAGUGAAUAAACUGUAGUAGUUAAAAUGGGAACCACGUUGAAUUCACAGGAAGGUACAGGUUUGGCAAGGAAUUCAAAUAUUCAAAAAAAAAAUUGUUACUCCAUUAAACAUGAAUGGAGGGAAUGUACCAAAGCUUUUAAAAGAUGAUGAGGAGUAGGAAAGGGAAUUUCUUAUUCAUAAUUGAAAAGCAGUUUUCUUGAGAACACUUUUAAAACCUAAAGAAUAUCAAAAGUAGAAAUCCCUUGUAUCUAGGACCGAUCUAAUCACUUUUUAAGCAAAACUGUGACUCAAAAGUACCUUAAAAGCUUUUUUUUUUAAGAUAGCCCUAAAUUACAUAUUUGUGAUCACGGAUGAUCUGAUCAUCGAAGUUUCACACUUGAGUAGAUCCGAUCUUUAGAUAUUCAAUAGGUCAAAUUGUGCUAUCCAUCUCACUAAGUGAUGCGACUUAAUCUGGAUUACUGAAUUUUUGAUAGCCGGAUCUUCCAAGUUUUGGCUGAGCGUGUUAAGUGUAUCAAGAUCUCUCUAUUUAUGAUGAGCCCAACAACAUCGUUCAAAUCUUGCUGGUGCUAAGGGGAAUGGGGCACAUAUGGGUGCAUGGGCUCAAGUUUUUGCCUACUCAUAUGGGAAGGAGGAAUGCAAGGCUCAUAUGGGAAGAUGAGAAACGCCCAAUCAACAAAAACCUCGAGGAGAGAAAGAAGGUGACGGAGAAAAACAGAGAAUAGAGUUUGAACACUCUCAUCAAGUAUUGGGUGGACUCUUUCUGUGUAUGAAAGAAAGAAGGCAAGGUAUGAUGCAGAAAAGCACAGAACGGAUGGCGACUGUAAAAUGGUUAGACCUCAAGGUCCUCAACUCUUGAUCUGUACUUUGAUAAAACUUCAAAGGAGGUAGUGCAAAUAACCCUUCAAUGUUUUAAACAAGUCAUUUUAUUUUCUUUUUUUUUGGUUAUUUGAAGGAAAACAUUUACAACAGAACGGAAAAAAAACAAAAAACAGUUAUGUAAGUGAACUUUACAUGCAUUACAGUUCGUGAAAUUCGUCAAUUCUCUGCAGAAUUCUGUUCAGUGGACUGAACAUAAGCACAAUAUUCCACAACAUCAUCUUUGUAAGAACCAUAUUCGUUUUACCAUUGACUUAGCUUCCAAAGAGUAGCUUCAGUAACACAUAAUCAAAUAAACUUCUACUUCUCGUGAAAAUCAAUGUUCAAAAGCAUCCAUCGGGUUAUCAGAUGAACUUCAACACAAGGGAAAAUAUAUCUUGACAGAUAAAAGGUAUUCUAACGGUUCAAAGAAACCUCAAGUCUCCAAUCUGCAUGCAUAGUCCAAUUAAGGAACUAAUUAUUAAUGGAUCAUUGCAAGAAGUCUGAUUUUGACCUGAAAUGAUGAUGGACGACCAAAACUAUCAAGUACAAAAGCUGAUUCAUUCACUCUGCCUCUGACCCAAAACUGGAAUAUCUUCGUAACGCUUCUGUAAUGCAAUAUUUAUGAAUUUCAGUUAGACAUCCAUGAAGACCACGACGAAGGUAAAGCAGACAUAUCUAUCAUUACAUAAAGCAGGAAAGUAAAAGACUAGAAGCAUCCAUUUCUAGAAGCAGAGAAGAAUAUUGACUAUAAAAGGCACAAUUUGCAGAACACGAGCCAAAUAACACGCAGGUUUAAUUUCAAAUGCUCACUCAAUUAUGAUACUUACCAACCCCACUCGAAUAGGGUACCAAAUACAGUUCUAGACACAAUUUUCAAAGCUUACUUUAAUCUGGCAAGUACCUAUGAUCACUCAAUAGAAACUUCGACGCCAGAUUUUGAAAAUAAUAAUUAGCAUGAUUUCAUAAGCAUUUAGACCUUUUGUGGAUCAGAUAUAACAUCAAAAUAAGGAGCUAAGACAAAGUUAAAACAAAUCCUCAGACAGUGGAGUUCUUAAAAGUUUUGGGCUGAGAGAAUAAACGGUGAUUUUUCUUUAGGACCCAAGUGGAAGGAGAUUUUGGACAUUUCAAGAUCAGAAAUGUAGGCCACUUGGUGUGCGGAAUACUUCAAAAAUGGGGAGAAGAAAGCAGCGAGGGGAGCCAAGGUUGGUGGAGGAAGAACAAACCUUACUCCAUUUCAAAGGAGGAGGCAACUUACAGAAAAAAAAAAAAAAAAGGAAAAAGGAAGCAUGAGAAGAAAGGAACGAGCUAGGGGAGAGAAGGGAAGCAUGCAGAUACGGAAGAGGGGGAAAAUGUUAGGAGAUCUAUGGCACGAGGUUCAGAAAUGAUUGGUCAGUCCAGAUAGUGCAACUACCUAGUAUACAUUGCUUUUAAACAAAAAUUAUUUGACUUUGCUUGCACACAAAAGCUUCUCUAAAUGACUCAAUGAAAAUAAUUACUUGAUACUCCUUGGUCCAGACAACAUUUCAGCUAUAGCAUCACACAUAAAAAUCUUAAUGCUGUUUUGCAUGAUCUAAUAAAUAACUUAUCUGAACAAUUCUUACUAAGAAGCAACCAUAGAAAAUUAGAGUUCAAUCUAAUUCAGCUGAUUCACUGCAUGUUCUUUAGUAAUCAACAGUUUGACUUGGUCUUUUAAGUGUUCAUGAAUGUUCAAUUAGUCAAAUAGCUAACUAAAAUCGGAAAAUAAAUCUUUGAAAAGAUGGAUCUAAAUUCAAAGGUUCCUAUAUAUCAAUCAAGCAUGGUACAAGUCUAAGGACAAGGAACACAUGGUAAAUCAUCAUUUGGUGCCACACUGGAUAACAUUGUAGUCAUGAGAAGAGUGACAAGCAUCUUAAAUCAUCAAAAGGGUGAAUUUAAGCAGAUAACUACUAAACAAUACGCCAAAACUGUAGACAAUACGAGGCGCAAGAAAGACUAAUUAAAUAAUAGAAUUCCAUUGUUUGUAUAUGAUACAUGUUUGAGCCUGUAAGAGCUAUGCUGUGCAGUAUCUCAAAUGAAUUUCAGCUGCAUCGAGUUAUAAUCCUACACUAUCCAACAUCUAUCAUGAGAAGCGUGCACAAAACACACUUCAAGCAUCAGUUCAGAAUUACCACAAUGACUAUUUUCUUCUCUCUCUGUUUCAACAACAGGAAGUUGAGCCUAGGCAUUUCAGCUAGUACUAUCUAACUUGUAUCAGUUGGCUGGGUUUAUUGUCCAGCGUCUUGUUUAUAUAGCAUGCUACAAUCUUGCACAAAGAAAUUGCAGAAACCUCUAAAAUGAUCAAAAAUUAAGUGACUAUUCACAUCAUAUUUAACUCGUCCUUCUCAAUUUCCGACAGCCCCUAAAAACUUUCCUUUUCCCCAGGAGAAAAUACAAGUUUAAUCUCCACUGUAUUUCCACCUCAUAUUCAACUCUCACUUUCCUUUUCUCAAAGAGAAAAUGCAAUGAACAAUUAAAGGAAAACAUCCCUUCCCAAUUGACAAUGUUUCGAUUAGCAUUAUUUGAAGUAAAUAAAGCAAAGGAACAUUAGACAGUCAACUAGAAGGGGAAAAAAAUACAACUGAUCAAAAUACUUCCAAGAAACAAUCUUUCCUAAUUCCUUAUGACAAUCAAAAUCCACUUACAUGGCUAAGUACCAUACAUCACUUAACUAUAGGACAUCUUCAUUUAAUGUCUAUCUCUGCCAAAGAAAUAUACCUCUCCCAGCAUGCUUCAUCCCUUAUUUAUAUACCUUGUACCUCUAGUAUCAAAGCCUACUGCAACCAUGAUUUUAUUUUAUUUUUUCCCGAAUUUAUGAACCUUAUAACUGGUCCCAGGAAGAUUCUAAAAACUGGUGUGGCCAACGUGUUAGAUCAAGGGAAGAAGGGCCAAGACCACCAACAGUACUAUCUUUAAAUUUAGCUGGAAAACAAGUACAGAAAAACGAACUAUCUACAUCCUGUAAGAACCCAAAAAUUAUAUGUACCAAAGAUUCAGGGAUCCAUCCCAAUGGCUGCAUCACAACAAAAAUGCUAAAGAAAAUCAUUCCCUACCAAUAGCUCAUGACCCCUCAGAAACCAAAUAUAACUAACAAUACAUUUUUUAUUGCCCUAUAAAGGAUAUCAUCAAGCUAUAAAGGAGUCAACAUAGAAGAAUAGAAACAAAAAAGCACUCAAGGUCAUUGGAGAUUUAAAAAAAAAAAAAAAAAAACUGCCAGGAAAGCAUAUCUAGCAACUACCCGUUCAGAUUAUUCUUAUGGUUUCCCUAAAUCCUUUACCCCAAAUCUCCUCUCUUCUGUCUGAAAAUGUUACCAUCAGUGCCCAGACCGUACAGAUGUCAUAUUCAGUCCAUGUAUCUAGGCGAUUUUGAAUUUUUCAAAACUAGGGUAUCGGUACACAGCCAAAGAUCUAGAAUCGGCUAGAGGGGGUCUGUCUUGUAUCCUAUCUGUAAGUAGCGUAUUAAGAAAAUAGAAUGACUUAAAUACAACUUAAAUUAUGAAAUGGCUAUGCUUAAAAGAAAAUUUCUGCAUGUAUGUAUCUGAAAAUUAUCUCCACUGUCGCCAAAAAAACAACAAAACUUAUAAGAGUAGGAGAAAAUAAACAUUAUACGUGGAAUUCCAAUCUAACUCUUGCACACACAACCAAUGUACAAUCUUUGCACCUUGAUUUUCUUUUCUAUUUUUGUUCUUGUGUUCAUUAACUUUAUGGUGUCUAAAGUGUUGGACAAAUAUCGCAUACCUUAACCAGGGUCAUCUGAUUUGCAACACGUAUAUGGAUGGGGACAUGAAUAGUCCAUGUAAAACAGCAGAAGGUACAUUAUUGGGGUGAGCUUUUAACUCUCAAUGCACAAAAAUAAGGUGAACAACACAUUCAAAAGAACCAAGACUAAAAAAAUUAAACCCCGUGUAUAUGCACCAAAAAAUGUAUCUCUUACACGAAGGAAAUGAAGUUCAGAAACCUGUGCAAAAUGCAGCUCUCAACAGUAAUCAGCAUCAUUCGAUCCAAGCAUUUUCAGUGCUAAGUAUAUUUUUUAACUUAUUUUUAUAUUUUAAUUAUUUUUUUAUUUCAUAUAUAUCACAUAAUAAAAAAUAUUACAGUAAUUAUUUUAAAUAAUAUCUCAAAUAAGACUAUAUUCAAACACACUCAUUAUUUUUUGAUGGUGAAUUAUUCAGGUGGUGAAUGUUGAUUAAAUUUUGGUAUUGCAAAGUUUGAUAUCAUAGAAUGACACAUAAACACAAAGAAAAGAAGACAAGAGAGAUGAUUAAUGUAAUAUAGAAGCUUAAGAAGGCAAAGGACAAGACAUGGACUCAUGGGGGUGUAAUCAUGUGGUCAUUUAAAAAUUCUAUAGGCCAAAAUUGAAUGACUGGUUUAGGCCCAACCAAACUAGCUUGUUCAAUCUGGAACUUGCUGGGUUUCAGAAAUGUAAUGGAAGAUCCAUAGAUGUUGGAAGUUUAAAAUCCAAAAGCUUUGGACAUAAUAGCAUCUUAAUUUGGAAUUUCAGCUUGGCUUCUUGGCAUUUCACAAAGUCUGCAAGGAGGAGUGUGACUGUGUGAGGCCUAUUUUGGAUGGAGGGAUUUGACAAGAAGAGAAGAGAAAGGAAGGAAUGACCUCAUCUCCCUUUUGUUUCGAAGUUUUUGAGUGGUAGAAAAGUAGAUGGUUAAAAGAUGAAUCAAAUUAUUCGACACUUAAAUCGAGCUCGGUUUUGUAAGAGGUUGCUUGAUUCACUAACUAGUCGAACCAAGCUCGAACAGUUUUUUGUGUUUGAUAACUUUCAAAUUCAAUAAAAAAAAAACUCAGUCAAAUUCGGUUUAGCAACUAAACAAACCAAACUUGAACAAAAUUUCAAACUCAUUAAAAUAAUUAAAUAAAAUAAAACACUAGGGUGUUCGAUUUAAUUAGACUCAUUUACACCUCUAAGGAAAAGAGAAGAAAGGGGAAAAAAUAAAGGAUGAAUAAUUAAAACAACUUUCUCAAUAAACAGAAAUAGAAGGAAAGUGGACGCAGAGUUUCCAAGCUUAUUUAAAAUGCCAAAUGAGUCCUUGAAAUACCAUUAAAAAUUUAUUAAUAUCCAACAUAUUGAAAAAUCAUUCCAUUUCUUUCCUAAAUUCCCAAACAACUUGAAAAUCUAUUCUCUUCCUUUCCCUUCCUUUCUUUUCUCUGGUAAUUUAAACUUUCUCCUCUAUAAUUCUCUGCAAAACUCCCAAAGUAGGCCUGUGUUUUGCUGGUUUCAUCAAAGGAAGUUAGCCCUUGUAGUUUGCAGAAGCACUUUUGCACACAGCCCAUCAUGGAAGAGCAGCGUAAAAACACAUUGGUUUGGGCCUCGAGCCCCCGUCCAACGCAAAAUUUAAUUUUGUUUGUUAAACAAUACCAACAAUUAUACGUAAACAAUAUUUAGGUAGAUUAAGAUUUAAGAUGACAUAUUUUUAAGUAGAUUAAAGGAAAUCCAAACAUAUAUUUUUUGUCCUAUAAAUUCAGAAACAAAGGGAUUUUGUACAACUUUACAGUAAAUUUUUCAAGCAAAAGUACUGAAUUUCUGUAUGCAGCAUUUUUUUCUUUCGUUUAUGUUGCUUCAAAAAAAUGAACAAAGAACUUGUUGAGCUUGUGCACAAUUUAAAUCACCAAGGCAACUUUAAUUCUGGUUGAGCUUGAUGAUAAUUAGCUAUGGCAAGCUUGAUCAACAUCGAACCUCCAUAGCUUUUGGUCUAAAUUUAAUGAAUCUCGUAACUUUACCAUACUCAAACAUUUUUUUUUGUGCUUAAAUGCAUCAUAACAUUCUUUGUUUGACAAAUUUAAGGAGUCCUAAAAUUAUUUGUUUCUUCUCUCCCUCGUGCAAAUUCGGAAGCAAAUACGGAAUAAUAAAACCUUAAAUUCAUCCAAAAUACCAAAAAAGACUGAAUUUGAUUGAUUCAUCUGGAUAAAGUUGUAAAAGAAAAAUUUGUAAUGAACAUAAGAGAAUCUUAUAAAUAUAAGAAAUACGUAAAUUAUAUGUUUAAUGUAUGCCAAAUAUCAGUAAGGCAAAAGGCUAGAUUUGAUUUUACAAGUAUUUUCAUUCCUGACUUUUAGACACUUUUACAACUAUUUUAAAUAUCGAACGAUACAAAUAAAAAUAAAAAUUAAGUGAGUUUUGUAUACGUCUGUAACUUCACAAAAUUUCUCAUGCUACUUGAUAUUGCCAUAAUAUUGCCUAUUGAGUUAUUUCUUUUUAGCUUUUUCAAGUAGGAAAAGCUAAAGCAAACGGUUAACAAAUAAUUCAAAGCAACAAGUGAAACUGUGUAACAAAAAAAUUUUGAAAACGGAUUUCUUUGAGAAGCUAUUAAUUCAGAAUCACCAAGAAAGGAUGCCAACAUAAGUGUGAUCUUAGAACGUAGAAGAUUGAUCAACAAAAUGGAUGAAACUCCAUUCUGAAAUCUAAAGAUCUCCACUUCGACUUCCUAAUUAAGAUAAAGGGCGACCAAUCUAAAGUUAUAUAAAGAAAUUAAAGUGAUUGCUUUUUCGCUCAAAGAAAGAAACAAGGGACACUGCACUUUUUGGAUUUUCUUCCAAUAGAGUGAAGAAUCAGCUAUUUCUCUCUCUCUCUCUCUUUAAAUUUGUGCUAAAUAUUUGAUAAUUUUCAAGAUAAAUACCAUUCCUGCACCAGUCCCUUGGAAGUCGAAUUAGAAACACCAUCUUUCAAAUUGAGAACAAAGAAAAGGGCAAAAGAAAAGAAAAGAAAAGAAAUACUUCAGUAUUUUGUAUAUGCAUCGAUAGAUGGUUUAGGAUCACCAGAUCGACCACUUCCCUGCCUUACAGAUGAAUUGUUCCCCCUGGCUGCAAGCAAACCAAGAAAAGAAAAUAAAGCGUAGCUACUAUUGUUAAACUAACUAUGUAAAUGUGAAUGUAAUAUGCAGCGGAAAUUUAAAUAUGCUUACCUCUAACUAUUGUUGUUAAGCACAAGUUGAUCUGUUCUUGUGUCUUUCACUCCUUGUUUUUUCUAACAAAACAAAAUAUGUAGAAAAAGGGAAAAGUAGAAGGAGAAUUUCGAGUAAGGAUAUUCUAGCCUAUGCCUAACCCAAAAAAGUGUGUAAUUGAUGGAAUACCACAGGCUAUUUAUAGGUUAGGCUAGGGACCCUUACUGGCAAAUACAAAAAUCCCUAGGGUUUCCUUCCAUCAAGGAAAUCUUGCCAAAAUUCAUAACUGAAAUAAUAUUUUCUGACUAAUUGAUUGAUUAACUGAUUGAUAGGGUGCGAUUUUAUCAUUUAUUUUAUUAUUAAUUUCCCCUAUUACUUGACAUGAUAUGGAUUAAUUAUUAGAUUCUACUCACUUUUCGUAAUUUGCAUUUAUUUCAGGGAGUAGAACGAAAAUACCAUAACCAAGGCCAAUUUGACAGUCAUCACGAAGGAGUCCAGGGAUAUUUUUGGAAUAUCAAGCUGCGACCUUCUUUGGUAAUUGGCAGAAGACAUCAUAAAAGAAGAAAAGGAACGAAGGGCUGGGUCUCCUUCCUCUCGGGGGGAGUCGCCGCACAGUAGCCAGUCUUAGAUAGAAAUUAGGUAGGAAUAGGCAUUAGGAGUGGCAUACGAUUUUUCUUCUUCAACUUAGUUCCCUUCUUGGGUUUGUUUCCUUUGGAUCUUCUUUUGCUUUUUCUUAUGCAUGUCAGGAGGAAUGAAGCAUCAGCCUUUGACUUUUCCUUUUUAGCUUUUGGUUGCUUCUCUUCCUCCGUGUGGUAGACAAAGUGGAGACCGGAAUUUACUUCCUUUAGCUUGUUCUUCCUUGGUAAUUCGAACGAACUGAAUUUACCCACUUGAUGGCCGCGACUGGUGCUUCACUUAUGCAUGGGUUUUUUGCAACGAACAUGAAAUAAUUUCCUUACUCUAGUCAAGGAACAACGGAGGCUUUGGUUCGCCUAAAAUUGUGAGAUCGAUUUAAUUUUAUCUUUUCCUUUUAUUUAUUGGUAUUCGCAUAUUCCUCGAUUACAGUACUUAUGAUUAUUUAAUUAAUUGAUUGUCUUGGAUCUGGAUAAUUAGUUAACUUGAUAAUCUCUUGUCAAUUAGGGCAUUAAAUCCGUAAUUAUUUAAUUGCCUUGAUUUAGUGACAACUGGCAUGAUUGGAUUUGUGUCAGGGGGAUACGCGGGCUAAUCUGAAAUAACCCUGGUAGUGCGUUAUUUGGUUAGAAUAGGGUUCCUCUAAUACGUAAGGCAAUUGGGGAAUUAAAUCUUAUGGGCGUACCUAGGAUUAUUUCUCAAUUAGAGUAGUGAUUAACGGGCGUACCUUAAUCACCGACACAGUAAGGAGAGGUUGAUUGCCAUCGCUUGUUUGGUAGUUAUAACCUAUUUAUUGAUAAAUAAUUGGAAUUGCCUUUGUUUCGAUGAUCAAUUAGGUGCACCAUUGCUGAAGUUAUUUCUUGGCUAGAUCCUCAAUUAUCACCCAUUUAAUUUUAAUAAUUUGUUAUUUAAUUUUUAGUAGUUUCUUAGAUUUUAUUUGAAUUUUUUUUAUUGUCACCUUCUGCACAAAACACCCCUUUUGUUACUGUGAAUUUGAAAAGAAACAGUUACACCCAAUCCCUGUGGAUUCGACCCUACUUACCACUAUUUACAGAAAUUAACUUUAGUUGAGCAGAUUUUUAUUAUUGCACAGGCUGACAACCUGUCAAUUUUUGGCGCCGUUGUCGGGGACUGGUGCCAGAUUAAUUUGUUUCUUUUUGAGUUCAUCUUGUUUUUAUUUCUUAUUUAUUUUUCUCUUUUUUUAUAUAGUUUAUGGUUGCUAACAUUCCGUAUUUUGAUGAUAGACUGGACUUUAUUCCUGAAUGGGGUUAUGAGACUCGUGUUUUUCCUAAUGAUCAAUUGGCUGUUGCAAAUUGUGAAACUUAUUUUGCUUCAGGUUAUUCAACUGACAUGUGCCCUGCAUUUCAAGAUAACCUCAGUGCUCCAAUUGAUACUUUUGGAGAUUUUUCACCUCAAUAUUAAACGUGGUAUGACCCUUAUUCAAACGGGUAUGAUCAAGAAUGGUGGGAUGAUUCCAAUUUUAAUUAUGUGACCAGGCCAAUAGGUUCUCAACAGCAAGAGUCUCAACAACCAUCAUCCAUGUCAGAUAUGUCUCUUCAGGAAAUGAUUGAAUUAUUCGCUACUAAUACAUAUUGAUUUCAUCAGGAGACACAAGCGAGCAUUAGUAACCUGGCGGGUCAAGUGCAUCUAUUGACAUCCAAAAUAACGCAAUUAGCUUCUCACAUGUAUGAAGAAUUGCCCUCACAGACCAACAUCAAUCUUGAAGAAGAUGAGAUUGCAAUUAUCCGGUCAAAUGACAUGAAACUGCAAGAGUUUCAAGAAAACGGAUCUAAAGAUGCAGUUGAAAAGGAAGUUAAAGUGCAAGAAAUGAGACCCCAAUAUCAAUUCGUCCAAGUAAAUGAAUCCAGUGUACAAUCUCCAAAUGUGAUGACAUCUCCUCCAGUCUUUAAUCAAUAUUCUCCUAAUUCUUAUUCUUUAAUUUCUGUUAAUGAAAUUGACUUUAUUAUACUAGAAAAUUUUGAAUUCAUGACAGGAAUAAAUUAAGAGUACCGAUGACAAGAUAUCUUGGACCAAUAAAUGCACGUGAGGGGGGAGUGAAUGGAGAAUGUAAAUUAUCGUUGACUUGUUUGGCGCCAUUUACUAGUCCAUAGAAGCCCGUAACUCGUGUGCCCAAGGAUUACUCUAUUUACGAGGGUUAUCCGGACUAUAUAGAGGAUGGAACAUUAAAACGAGUCACAAGAUUUUAUGCUCCAUGAAUAAAACAUGAUAAUGUCUAGCCAAAAAUAUUAAAGAAAGACGCUCAUUAGGAGGCAAUCCAAUUUCUUUUAGUUAUUUGUUCAUUUUUGUUCGUUAGUUUAAAUAUAUUUUUCCUUGGAUUUGACCGAUUUUUUUAUUUCAAUUUUCGUUUUUGAUGAUUUGCAGGUAUCUCUCUGAUAUGACUUGCCCGCGUCAAGUCGUAUGGAGCGCUCACGGUUAGAAGAGUUGUUGCCCUUAUGACGCGCCCACGUCAAGUCACCUGGAGAGCUCCACAUUCCGUGCUUUCUUGACGUGCCCGCGUCACGUUCGCAAGAAAGGUAAGUAUUCAAAAAAAUUCAAGAACGAUUAAUGAUUUUCUGUUAAUCUCUAUUUUUGAAUUUCAAAAAUAAAUUUUGUGAAUAAUAAUAAUAAUAAUAAAAAGAAGUUAUAUAUAAAAACAAUUUCAAAAAAAACUUUUUUUUAGUAAUUAACUAAAAAAAAAGGGAGAGUCUUCCCGUAAAAAAAAAUUCUAAAAAGAGGAAAAAAAAAUACAAAUACUAUUUUCUUUUUCUUUUUCUUUCUUCUUCUUUCUUCUUUCUUUCUUCUCUCCUGUUCUCCUCUGUGUCGAUCGAGGCUCCUUCGCACACCGCCAUCUCCUCCAUCUCGCUCGCCAGCCGCCAUCUCUCUUCCCCACGCACUCUCACACCAUCUCUACCAUCGCAACUCGCCGCCUCUCUCUUUCCUCUCAGAGAUCGCCGCCGCCGUUUCCCCCGGGCUAGCACGCCGCCCCCUCGCGCGCCUCCCUCUCUCCACCGUAGUUCCAUCGCCCACCACAGGCGCACCAAGCGCACGACCGCUGCUCUGUGCGUCUUCCUCGUAGUCGCCCAGCUUCUGAAGCCGCCGUCGCUCAAGCGCUUGCACGCCGCACUCGUUUGACGCGCUACCUUCCUCGUCUUAUCCGCGCCGCCCACUGUCUCUCUCUCGCUUUGAGCACUCCGCCGCACGCCACCCAUGGCCGCCACUGCCUUCCUUGUCUUCCUCCAGCAAAGGAAGAUAACCCCAUUACUGCCUUAACCACUGCCACUCUCACGCACGCACACCAGCAGUUCGUGCCAGUCCCACCUUCUUCGACCAUCAAACAAUAGAAAGUUUAGCAUUUGCUGGUUGAAUUGAUGUCUCACCACAUCGGUUCCCCUCCGCCAUUCCAGCCUACCCCUUAGCCACUCGAGAGGGAAGUUUAAUUGUUCUCUUUGCUUUAAUUUCUUUAUUCCUCCAUUGAGGACAAUGUAGGAACUAGGUGUGGGGGGGACAGUUGUGCUAGUUUUUCUACUUUUUAGUUUUUAGAUUUUUUUUUCUUCCCCUUUAUUUUUAGUUUGUUAUUAGCCCAUCUCUCGUUCAUUUUCUUCCUUUCUUUUUAGUGAUUAGCUCGUAUGUGCAUGCCAUGGUUUGAUGUUGAAUUGUUACCUCUAUUUCUGCUAUUGCCAAAAUUUUAAUAAUGAAAGUGUAUCAAGUGGACGUGGUUGAAUCUAAGAAUAUCUCUUUUGUGAAUAUCGAAGGCUGUGUGACUUUUGUAAUUUCUGGUUAACUUUCCUAGGCAUAGGGAAUGAUUGUUGACAUUUUCAUGUGAAUUGGUCCGGUUAUUAACCUUAGUUCUCCAUGUUUGAAAAUGAGACUAGCUGAUGUAAAUUUUCUUUCGAUUUUUGUGUUAUUUUGAGUUUUUGUAUUAUUUGGCUGUGAAUAAGAGUUGAUUGUACUCCGCUAGUCUUUACUACCGACUAACCGGGGAUCUUCACCAAAAGUGUCGAUUCUCGCGUCAAAAAGUAGUAAUUGCUAUGAGUGCGUGGUCACGUGGCGAUAGGAGCUAAGUAACCGGACUCUUUCAUCUGGCAAAUAUCGGAGUUCGGGUCAAAAGACUUCAAUGGCUAGAGACUAAGUCCUGUGUUACUAUUGAAAAAAAAAUAGAAAAAUAUGAAAAAAGAGAGUGAAGGUUGUGUUAGUGUGUGAUAUAAGUCAGCUUGCCGAAUUAUGGAUUUAAUGUUGAGAUUUUGGUUAAUAGUUGGACCAUUUGCUGAUAAAUGUUGAGCGAUCAUUUCUUCUUCAUAGAUUAGUUAACUUGGAAUUGAAGGAGUUUGUAGUUUAGAAACUAACCGGGGUGAUGUUUCUUGGAUUUUGAUCACUGAUGCUUGAUAUAUAUUUUUCUUGAUAUCUUGGCAAUAUGGUAGAUAGAACAAUAGCCAUUGUCAAAUAUUGGUGUUUGUUUGCUGUUCUCAUGCUUGAGAACAAGCAUGGUUUAGGUGUGGGGGGAAUUGAUAGGGUGCGAUUUUAUCAUUUAUUUUAUUAUUAAUUUCCCCUAUUACUUGACCUAAUGUGGAUUAAUUAUUAGAUUCUACUCACUUUUCGUAAUUUACAUUUAUUUCAGGGAGUAGAACGAAAAUACCACAACCAAGGCCAAUUUGACAGUCAUCACGAAGGAGUCCAGGGAUAUUUUUGGAAUAUCAAGCCGCGACCUUCUUUGGUAAUUGGCAGAAGACAGCAUAAAAGAAGAAAAGGAACGAAGGGCUAGGCCUUCUUCCUCUCGGGAGGAGCCGCCGUACAGUAGCCAGUCUUAGAUAGAAAUUAGGUAGGAAUAGGCAUUAGGAGUAGCAUAGGAUUUUUCUUCUUCAACUUAGUUCCCUUCUUGGGUUUGUUUCCUUUGGAUCUUCUUUUGCUUUUUCUUACGCAUGUCAGGAGGAAUGAAGCAUCAGCCUUUGACUUUUCCUUUUUAGCUUUUGGUUGCUUCUCUUCCUCCGUAUGGUAGACAAAGUGGAGACCGGAAUUUACUUCUUUUAGCUUGCUCUUCCUUGGUAAUUCGAACGAAUUGAAUUUACCCACUUGAUGGCCGCGACUGGUGCUUCACUUAUGCAUGGGUUUUUUGCAACGAACAUGAAAUAAUUUCCUUACUCUAGUCAAGGAACAACGGAGGCUUUGGUUCGCCUAAAAUUGUGAGAUCGAUUUAAUUUUAUCUUUUCCUUUUAUUUAUUGGUAUUCGCAUAUUCCUCGAUUACAGUACUUAUGAUUAUUUAAUUAAUUGAUUGUCUUGGAUCUGGAUAAUUAGUUAACUUGAUAAUCUCUUGUCAAUUACGGCAUUAAAUCCGUAAUUAUUUAAUUGCCUUGAUUUAGUGACAACUGGCAUGAUUGGAUUUGUGUCAGGGGGAUACGCGGGCUAAUCUGAAAUAACCCUGGUAGUGCGUUAUUUGGUUAGAAUAGGGUUCCUCUAAUACGUAAGGCAAUUGGAAAAUUAAAUCUUAUGGGCGUAAUUAGGAUUAUUUCUCAAUUAGAGCAGUGAUUAACGGGCGUACCUUAAUCACCGGCACAGUAAGGAGGGGUUGACUGCCAUUGCUUGUUUAGUAGUUAUAACCUAUUUAUUGAUAAAUAAUUGAAAUUGCUUUUGUUUCGAUGAUCAAUUAGGUGCAUUAUUGCUGAAGUUAUUUCUUGGCUAGAUCCUCAAUUAUCACCCAUUUGAUUUUAGUAAUUUGUUAUUUAAUUUUUAGUAGUUUAUUAGAUUUUAUUUGAAUUUCUUUGAUUGUCACCUUCUGCACAAAAACACCCCCUUUGUUACUGUGAAUUUGAAAAGAAACAGUUACACCCAAUCCCUGUGGAUUCGACCAUGCUUACCACUAUCUACAGAAAUUAACUUUAGUUGAGCAGGUUUUUAUUAUUGCACAGGCUGACAACCUGUCACUGAUUGAAUAAGACAUUAAUUAAUAAUAGAUGUCAAUCAAUCAUUGACAAAUAGAAGAUACUAAUUAAUUAUUGACAAAAUGUAAAUCAAUUAAUCAGGAUGUCAAUCACCAAUCAUUAUAUAAUGGGAAAUGCUAAUUAAUUAUUGAUAAAAUGUCAAUCAAUUAAUUAUGAUAUCAAUCAUUUUAGAAUCAAUCAUGUAGGUCAUAAUUGCCUCAAAAGAGGCAAGUCUUAUAACUAUAUAUUUAAACUGAGUUAGAUGGAGAUGCACAUAUAUAUAAUUGUUUGAGAAGAAGAAAGAAAGCUCUCCUCAACAUCAGCAGACGAUCAUCUCUAGAUUCGGUCAUAUUGCUUCAAGAGAUAGGUAAAAAUACAUGUGAUAUGCAACUAAUACAUCCUAAUUCAUCAUAAUUAAUCAAAAAGUACCAUCAGCAAGAUUAAUUAACACCGACAUCUUGAAUUUGUACAGAUAGAUUUAACAUUCAUAAGGAACCUAUAUAUAAUAAGCUAGCAUCGAGUAUCACUAGAAAACAUGAAGAAUUUGCCAUCUCCCGUGAGAUCUACAAACUACUACUGCCAUUAGAGCUUAGUCAUGAAUAGGCAGGAAUGAUCAGUACAUACUUUCCAUUUUCAUCAAGUGUCUCGUGCUGUCUCGUUUACUCUCAGCAAUCAGUGCUUCACGAGCUGAAAUAGCUCCUUCGGGAGCAAGCAACGAAUCAAACAAAGAACAAUCCAUCCAAUCAUUCAGAAAAGCCUCCUGACCCUAGAUUUCGGGUAUGCAAACUCUUCCGGCCAUUUCAUUCCAAUGCUGAAACAGUUUUUCUCGACCAGAUUCCUCUUGCUGAAUUGCGCUCUUUGGCAUCGGUUGCAAAGCAUCCUGCUGCACUGAUGAUGAUGUGCCAUUCAGCUUUGCAUCUUGACAUCUGACUCUAGGCGACGCUAUCACUGGUUGAUAGUUGUCAAAAUCUAAAGAAGCCUCAUGGGCUUUACUUGUUUUGCUUGUUUUAGAGAGAUGAUCAGCGGCCACAUUGGUUGUUUUAGUAUCUGCAGCAAUAGAUGAAGAACAGUUGGCCAUAGAUAUUGGUUACUAAGAUAUAAUUGAUGGUCUCAAUGAUAGUAUCUGGAUCAAUGUUUGCAUUGCAUGCUAGAAGGUCUCUAGUCAAGGAUUUAUACAAAGAGAGUAUAGAGGAAUGCGUGGGGAAUUUGCAUUACACGUAGGUAGGGUUUGCUUUUAUGGCUUUUGAAGUCAGAACGUGUCUUUCCUAGUUUUUUGUUGGUUCAAAUGCGCAACGGAUUUUCUGUCCAACACCCUGUGCCACUCUAUGUCCCAUUUUUUACUAUAUUACUAUUUUUCCUAUAUAAACAUUAUGUUUUAGUUCUUUUUUGUUUCCUUAAGAUCCAAUAACUAUUAAUUAAGUAAAAAAUAAAUACAGCAGCUUCAAAAAAGUAAUAUAUAAUAGAAAAUUAAAAAAUAUAGCAGAAAAUUCAUUAAAAAAUCUCAUUUUUUUAUGCAUUUUGAUUUUUUGAGUUUGUUAAAUUUUGUAUAUUACUCAAUUAAUAGUUAUUGGAUCUUAAGGAAACAAAAAAGAACUAAAACAUAAUGUUUAUAUAGGAGAAAUAGCAAUAUUAUAAAAAGUGGAAUAGAGAGUGGCACAGGGUGUGGGAUAGAAGAUCCGUUGCGGUUCAAAUGUGUGGUGGAAUGGAACCAUGUUGGGCGCAACGGAUCUUCUGUCUCACACCCUAUGUCAUUCUCUGUUCCACUUUUUAUUAUAUUACUAUUUCUCCUUCAUAAACAUUAUGUUUUAGUCCUUUUUUGCUUUCUUAAGAUCCAAUAAUUAUUAAUUCAGUAAUACACAAAAUUUAACAAACUCAAAAAAUCAAAAUGCAUAAAAAAAUGAGAUUUUUUAUGAAUUUUCUGCUAUAUUUUUUAAUUUUCUAUUAUAUAUUACUUUUUUGAAGCUGUUGUAUUUAUUUUUUACUGAAUUAAUAGUUACUGAAUUUUAAGGAAACAAAAAAGAACUAAAACAUGAUAUUUUUUAAGGAGAAAUAGUAAUAUAAUAAAAAGUGGGACAGAGAGUGGCACAAGAUGUGGGACAUAAGAUCCGUUGCGCAUGUUGGGCAAAGUACUACAUCAAGCGUAAAACGCAGCGGGGGUUGGACUUGUAGGCCUUCAUCCUAGUUUUGAACGGUUACAACGUAUUUUUCAACCACUUUUUUAUCUCACAAAAAGUGUUAUAAUAUUUUUUAAAAAGAUAUUCCAAAUAAUCUCCAAUUGAAACACACUUGUAACAGAAUUUUAGAUAUUGGCAUAUCCUUUCUUUCUUUCUUUCUUUUUUAUUUUUGUUUUGGGUAUAAAAAAUAGGAAGGUUAUAGUGACUGAUUUUGAUACAAACCACUUGUAUCAAUUUUUUUUUUCAAAUCUAUCAUAAUCCUUAUAUUUAGUUAUUUGCAUCUUUAAUUUUUAAACAACACUUUCACAUAUAUUUAAAUUAUUAAUUGAUACAAGUAAAGAUCAAUGAUUGAAGGAGCUUUUUAUGUAUAUAAUAUCUGUUAACUUUGAACGUCUGUGCUACUACUGAAAUCCUUUUUUGUUUUUAAUCAAUAUUGCUAGUAUUGAAGAGAAUUAGGCAUCGUAUUAAUACCAUUUAAAAACAGUUACUCGGAAAUUCUUCUUGUGGAGUUUCAAAAUCUGUAACCAAUAGCAUAAUGUAGAACUCCUUAAGAUGAUGAAAUAUGAACUAUGAAUGGGAUAAAGAAAAUAGUAGUUGGCAUUUUCAAAUUGAUUAAGUAUCUUAUUUUUGUUGGAUUUUAAAUAAACAAAUGAUGUGCUAAAAUUUAUGUAUUUUGGUUCUAUGUUGAUUAUAAUGUACUGAAUCUUAUAUGUUUUUGGGUAUUGCUGCUUAACAAUACACUUGUCUCCAAUUUUGUUAGACUUGAGAACCAGUGCAAAUUGACAUGAAUACUGAAACAUCAUGACACAAUUCGAUCAGCACUAUUGUAACAAGAAAAAAAAUAAAAAUCUAUAGUACUGAAAUAGAAAGUGAACGGGAAGAGUUAACCUUGAAGAGGCAAAGAUGUGGACGUACAUUUAUGCAAGAAAAAGAAUGAGAGAUAUUUGUUUCAGGGUGAUGGGAUCACCAACUCUUGUCCUUAAAUUCCUAAAGCAUCGUUGGUCCAUCUCCUGCAGACCAAAUUCAAUAUGGACCACCUUGAACUAAAUUAUAAGCUAUAGAAUAGAGGGCUUUGCACUAGCUUUCUUUUAUACAAUUUUAAGUAAAUAAUAUCACGAUAUUACUUAAAAAAAAAAAAUAAUUUUCAUUUCUUCGUCUUCCUCACCGUAUCUCAAUUGAAGUUGUUCAAUGGAUAAAGAUGUAUAACAGCUUAUUAACAGAUUAUAAGAUAUGCAAAACUAUUUGUAAGAAUUAGUAGUAGGAAAGUAAUUAUUAUGUAUGGGAUCCACAUGAACAGUGAUAGAAUAUUAUGCUAGUAUUGUAAAGUUGUAUAAAUAACUAAGCAUAUCUUACAAUUUGUAGAAAUGACAUCUAUAUGAACAGUGAUAAAAUAUUACACCGUUGUUAAAAAGUUCUACGAGUAAAUGAGCACAUCUUACAAUUUGUUGAAAUAACCUUACACUGUUCAGGAGCGCUUGUUAUGACAAGCAUUCUUGCCCCUUGCUCAUGGUUCACUUGCCACAUCGAUCUCAUAUGAUGUAACAAUUAUUGUAUUCUUCUAUUUUCUUGGUUGGCCAAGAAUAAAGUUACAUUUAAGUCCAUUUAGUAUUAUGUGUCCUCACAUCAGCUUCUGAAACAGUCUGAAUGCUGUUCCCUGAGACUCCCGAAAUAUCUCUUCUUGAACCUUAAAAUUUCAUUUCUAAGAUUUUCAUGAUAUAGUGGUUAUUAUGGGCGCUGCCAAGAAAUCUUACAACGUGGGAAAGCAAUGCCCAAUCGAUGCUUCACAGGUACCUGAAGUUAUGGUAUUAAAUCAGAGUAACAGGACAAUGUUUGGCAGUGGCCUCUGCUCCUGGGUAUCAAUAAGUUUAACCAACAACAUUUGUAAGCUACUAGCAUAGGCUCUUUGCUCUAUAUUUCCCCUUCCUUUUCCUGGGGUAAAGAACAAAAGCAGGCAGCCGAAUCAAGUUUAACAUCAUUUCUAGCGGAUCCUGCUACACUAAAAAGACGGUUUAAAUUGAAAUUAGUCUUUCCAACUUGAUUUCAGGUUCCGACCAAUUUUCCUCCUGCUGAGCAACCCUUCCUCGGAGGAGACUACCACUGGUGUAACAAUGAUUGCCUUUGUGUUGUGUAUGCUUUUGAAGGAGAAAGAUAGCAAAAUAGAUAGCCGAAGGCCAGACAUAACAGCAAGCUUAUUCACUCUUGACAGCAUGGUAGAUGCGGCGGACAAACGUCAAGGAAGUAUAAAAGCUGACUAUGCCGAGCAUGAGGAAAAAUGCAUAACACAUAGAAGCACUAUAGCCAAAAUAGAACAAUGUUUGCAUGGAACCACUCAUACUUGAUUUGGAAUAAAAGUAGAAACUGUACAGAAACAUGAAUAUCCCCACGCUGCCCCCACGUAAGAAAGACCUGAAUCAAACAAGGACAGCUUUACCCUAAGAAGAUGAAAGGUCACAUGUAUGGCUACAAGCAGAGAUGCUGAAAAUGAGAAGGGGAAAAAUGUCAAAGCAGAAGAAAAUCAUACCAGAGAGAUCAAAAUGAAAUUUAAGCUCUAACAGCUGAGUAUGACAAUAAUAAAUGCAAUUGCUGAAGCUCAAUUAGAGCAGCAAAUUAUAGUUAGAAUGAUAGCCUAAUUCACUCAGUUUCUACACAGUGCAGAAGGAACAUAAAUAUCUAAACAUUCUUGCCUGUGCUUGGGAGUAAGGGUUCUUGCGGAGAAAAAAUUUGAAUGUGAGCAGGCAGUCUUCCAAUGCAGAUAAUGCAGACCCCAAAAGUAUGGUGGAAAACUUUGUUUUUAGAAUAAAGUUUUUGACAUGUUAACUUCAGCCAGUUUAUUUAGUACUAAAACUGGACAAUGAAUACUAGUACUGUGUUAAUGAACGAACAACAAAAGGCCAUGCAUAGGGGCAAAAUCCAAUAUGCGAGUUCCUCUCCAAUGUCUAAAACUUUAUCAGGAGACACAGAAACGUUUCUCCAAUCAAGGUCAAUCAUAUUUGAGUGCCACACACUUCUGCUGAGAGUUGUGGUUGCGAUAAAUAAUAUUUUAGAGAAAAUAAUAUUUUCACUUGUCAAAGAUAUCCCCGUGUGUUUAUCAAAAGCAUUCUCCCUACCAAAUCUCUUCUUCUUCAAACCCUAAAUUGGCUUUGAGCCAAAACUGCAGCCAUUUGAAGCAAAAUUGGUGAUUUUAGGUCCGCUCAUCUUCAAGCUAAAAUCGCAGCCAUAUGAAGAAAAAUAUGUGAGUUUGGGUCUGCUCAUAGCAUGUAAUCUAUUUGGGAGGAGAGGUAAGAGUCUUGAACUUGUUAAUUUUAAGAUGUCUUCAGGAAUGUCUUCCUCAAGUUAUAGAAGUGGGAAUGGAAGUAGGGAUUUAAGAUAUCAAUAUAGGCUAUGUGAUUGUGAAAGAAAGUCUAAGAUAAAAAUUGUUGAAUCAGAAAAACCAACCAAAGGCAUAUUGUAUUUCAUUUGUGAAAGAGAUGAAUGUGGCUUUUGGAGUUGGUGUAAUCCGACUAGCCGACAGCAGCCAAGGUGGGAAGCUGGUAUUGGAAAACCAGCAGAGGAAGAGCGACUAAGUAUGGAAGCUAGCAUGAUGUCAAGAUGGCAGAAAGUGGAUGAGGAACUGAAGAGCCUGAAGUUGCUUGUUUGUUGUUGUCUAAUGGUGUCUGUUUUCACUCUUAGUGUUGAUGUCCAAGAUGUGAAAUUGAUGUGUUAAUCUUUUGUUUAGUUCUAGUAGUGACGUUGAAUGGGGAAGGAAAAGUGUAGUGAAAAUCCAUGUGUACAAUAAUCAAAGUUAUUAAACCUGACCCGACCCGGCGGUUCAACCGGUCAUGAAAUCGGGUCGAUUUUGUAAUUGGAUCGUUUGUGCAAGAGAACCGUUGACUUUUCAACGGACCGACGAUUCAACCGGCCAACUCAGUUGAACCGGACAAUUUUCUAAGGAACCCGGUUUUUGGUUAAAAAUGUUUAGAAAAUGUUGCAAUGCUGAUUCGAACCUCAAACCUUAAAUAUAAAGGCUAAGUGCACUCACCACUAGCCCAACAGCUCAUUUGGUGCUUAUAAGCCCCUUCUAUAUUAUAUAUUAGAAUUUUAUUCUUAUUUUGUUUGGAAUCUUUUAAUAAAAUUUAUUAUUCCCUAUAUUCUAUAAAUUAUGAAAUGGAUUUAAAAAAUAACAUAUUACAUAAUUCAUUUUAAAGACAAAUAUUAUUCUUAAUAACUUUUUGCACUUAAAAUUCGUAAAUAAAUUAGAUAAUUACACUUCGAUAAAAUUUUAUACUUAAAGUUUAGUGGAUUACUAAUUAAAUUUAGGUUUUGUUAAUUCUUAUAAGAAUUAAUGACUCUAUAAUAAAUUGGACUAAUUGAGUAUUUACUAAAACAUAGUUUAUUAUAGUUUCAACCAUAUAUAAAAUUAUAAAACAUAAUAUUUAAAUAUAUGUAGUGACCCACCGGUUGGACCACUCGUCCACCGGUUGAACCAGUAACCCGUUGACCCACCUCUUUCACCGAGUUCCUCUCCGCACUGGGUUUAAUAACUAUGACAAUGAUGAUUCCGUGUUUUGCUUUGUAGAAAUGAAAAAGAAAAGUUGCCAGCAUUGUCUUUUGGAUAGUUAUUGUUAAAUGUAAAAGUCGUAUUGUGAUUGAGAUGGGGUAUGUCCCUUUUUUGUCAUGCAACUUAUGGUAAAUGAAACUAAAACCUGUAAAAGAGAAAUGAAAUAGUUGCUUUGAUAUUCCAUCUAUUCAUUCACACAAAAACAACCAUACAACCAUCCAACAAGAAGGGAAUUGAAAUGCCUGCAAAAUGAUAUCUAUCAACCAUUCAACGGCAUGAUAAUAAAUUAGAUGCAAAAUGAGAUCCAUUUUGCUUUGAUAUUCCAUCUAGUCAUUCACACAAAAAUAACCAUUCAGCAAAAAAGGAAUUGAAAUGCCUGCAAAAUAAUAUCUAUCAACCAUUCAACGACAUGAUAAUAAAUUGGACGCAAAAUGCUAUCCAUCUUUCCAUUCAUACAAAAAUAGCCAUUCAAAUCAUCCAUAUAAAAGUAGAACAUAUCAUUAUAUGUUUUCACCAAACUCAACGCCCAAAAAUCAGUACAAAAAACAAAACAGUUUGGGCAUGUUUGCAGUCAUCUAAGUCCAACCCAGUUACCAAAAAAUGCCAGUUUACAUCACAUCACCUAACUACGAAUUACACACAUACACAAUUUAGGAAGAUGGAUUUGUUCUUGUUCUCUUGGCCCUUAUGUUAUGCAGCACAUCACACUACAAGAAUUUUGGUCUUCAGUGACAAUUAUCUUUCGCCACAAAAAAGCAAAAAGUCUUCACUGAUGACCUUUAUUGACAACAUUUCGAUUGUCGCAGGGUCGUCACUGAAUCUCCGUCGGAUGUCGUCAGUAAAAGCUAUAAAUUUAGUGACGACAUUUUUUUUGUCAAUGAUGCAUGAAGCAACAGUAGUGAGUGUAUAUACUAAUUAGUGACAACUUUGUUGUCAAUAAAUCCGUUAUCAACUGUGGCAACAAUCCCUUACCAAUGGACAGUUUUGAUUGAAUGACAACAACAAUUGUCAAUAAAAACAGCCUGCCUGGAGAAAUACUACUCGUUUACACCACCUUGCAAUGUGUAGUUUGAUGAUUUUCCUACUACAAUAAUAUCUAAAAAAUGAAAACAUCGGCAAUGUUUAAUAAAUAACAAAUGUAGGCACCCGUUACAAUAGAAAAUGCCAGAAUAACCUAGUAAAUAUUCAACUGUCAUAAAUAAAUGCAACAUCACACUACAAAUAGUUUGAUAAGUUUCAGUAUAGAAAAUUUUGGCAUAUAAGUCAAGGCUGCACUAAAAAACAAUUCCAAGUCCCAAAACAUUUUCUGUGCUAUCGAAAUAUUUUCUAAACUUAAGAUAGCACUAUAACCACAGUUUUUGAGUCGACAUGUAAGCUGCACUGCUAAUCUUCUUCCAAACCUCCAAAAUAAGCAAUAUAUCUGCAAUAAAGUAGUAAAGUUAUUAGUAGAUGAUAGAAAAAUUUAAAACAAGGAAAAUUAGUUAAGGAGUCACCAAAAAAUAAAGUGAAUUAUUUGUUUUAAGUCCCAUAUAGAUAGUGACUGUAUAAAUAGUAGAAAAAGAGACAUUAUAUGGGCAGUUUGGAAACAGAGCCUACUAGAGGAUGGAUGUUUAAUAACAUUCAAUAAGAGCCAAGGAUUAUAUGGGCAGAAUUAUUCCAUUUCUUUAUUUUAAUAUUUAGAUGCCAAAGGACAACAACAUUGCAAUUCAGGUGACAAAAGCAAAACAGUCUCCAAAUUUCCUAAAUAAACAACAAAAGUAACAAGCAUUCACUAAAAUCCUAAGGCUUGAUAUUACAAGUUAAUAUAGUCACCUACCAAGAACUAAUUUUCAAUGACUUAUGUUACUUUUAAACCGUAGCAGCCAUUAUAUCUAUAAUAAAUAUAUGUCCUAGUUACAAUUUAGAGUCUCAUAUUGGCUGAAGAAUUAUAAGAAUGUCUCUUUUACAAACAUAACUCAAUUUAGACAAGUAUAUAUAGUUGAAAAUUGCUUACCAAUCAGUACGUUCAGAUGUGCCUUCAUCGUCUUGCUUGUUGGCUUGCAGUUGUGCUUUCAAAGAUUUAAGGAGAUCGUGCAUUUCACUUUGUUGGUUCUACAUUUCAUUUUGCUGGUUCACAAGCUUCUCCAUAAGUUGUUGUUGAGAUUGGACUGUUAUUUCCAACUCAGCUGAGCGCUUCUCGGUUUGUUCUGUUCUUUUCUUGAAUUCAUCUAUCUCUGUGAGCUUUUGUACAAUUAUGCUAGCUUUGGAAGGACCACGGCCAUGUACGUAUCUAGUUACACGUCCAGUUACUUCAAUGGAAAUGUCUUCUUCAGUCCUAUUUGCACCACUGGAUUCAGAUUCCAACUUUUUCUCCUUCAUCUUGCUCUGUAAUCAUAUAAAUUCUGAAGUUAAAUGUUCAUAAGAGUUGUACAACAAUAUUCGAGUACCAAUUCGAUUUUUCUUACUAAGUUCAUAGAAGAUGUUUCGUCAACCAUUGCAUUCUUCUUCCUGCUGAAGUGGGUGAUGUCAUAAAGUUCUAUUUGUCCAACUUCCCUUCCCUCUUGUGCUUCCUGUUAGUUUAAAAUGUUAAAUAACCUGUCCAAACAAUCCAAAAGACAUUUCUUCAAGAUAAUCAAUUACCCGGUCAGCUUUAUGACUAAGAAAGGAUUUUGUUCCAGUUGUAUGAACAGUUUUUGGCUUUGAUCUAUUAAUCUUGUUCCUCUCACUUAUCUUCUGCACUUAUCAAGUUUAGCCGUGAUCAAAAUUUCACACCUAUGUACCAUAAAAUUUGGAUUACAGAAAUAGUCAGAAAGGUAAAUUCAAUCAGAUUCUUCAACAUAUUGUGGAUGAUUUGCAAGUGCUUCCUCUUUUGUACUAAAUUUCUUGAAAAUCAUAUGGAAAUUGUAGCGUCGACUUCUGUACUGUGUAUUUAACUGUUUAAGAAGUGCUGGCUUAACAUGUUCUCCUUCAUCAUAAGCAAAACUAUUCUGAAAUAUAAGUGAAAAAUUGUCUGUAAAUGUCAAAAAAAGUAUUUAAAUGACCUGUUGUAGAAUUAUUUGUACCAAGUCAAGAAGAAAAACAAGCCUUCAAAACAAUUUGACUUACAUUAACAAGUUUUAGCAUUCCUUCUCUAUCAGAUUCUUGGAGUUUGGACCAUUUUUCUGCUUUCCAUUUGCCAUAUUUUCGAAUGACACAACUUGCCUCUGAGAUAUAUUGUUGUGCCCCUUCUCCAAUUACUCUUCCACUAACUUCAGAGACCUGAACUUUUACCUUUUUGCCGGCCUUCUUUUCCCUGGACAGUGCAAUAUUGCGAGUAUAUUCUCUUUUCCUAGUUACAUUGAUGCCAUCUACCCAAAACAUAGUACAAGGUUAUGAAUAUGAGUGGAAAAAUCUGAAAUGAAAUUAGCUGUGUAAUAUAAAUUACAAGUAAAUCUCAUAUAUACCGGUAUCAUUCUGUUGAACAUCCUCGCUCUCAUUAUUCUGGUCACUUCCACACCCAAAUGUUCAUAAUGGGUGAGAAAAUUAUGUUGCAAUACUACAAGUGGUAAAUGCACCUUGGUUCUACCUCAAAUAGUUAAUUUUUUUAUGAUAUCAAACAGUUGAUCCGAUAUUAAUAUUGAUAUCACUUUCUCAAAAUUGUGAACUAAAUUACAACUUAUUUAUCUUUCUUUCCAAUAUUUUUGCCCAAUACUCCAGAAUUUUUUUUAGUUAUUUUAUAAUAAGGAGAAAUGAUUUGUUUCAAAUGGUUAAUUUCACUUUAAAUUAUUGCACUAAUAUCAAUUUACAUGACAAAAUUUGAGUUCCUAACAGUUAAAAAAUUCAUUAAAGAGCAAAUACAGAAUAACAAUUGCUAUAGUGUAUAAAUAUUUUAAAUCAGAUUGUGACAAGAGAAAGUUGUCAUUAACUAGUUCCAUUAUUAUCAGUGACAACAACAACCAAGUUGUCAAACAAAGGAAAAUUAUUACUGAUAACAUUUAGACAGUCGUCGUUGAUGUAGUUUGGCGCGAUCUGGCAGGAGUCCAACUCUGACGACAAUCCAAGGUCAUCACUGAUGCCUUUGUUCCUUUCAGUCAAUUGUGACAACUUUUCGUAUUGUGGUUAAUGGGCCCCAUUUUGGGACGACUAAUUUUCGUCACUAGGAAAUAUUGUCACUAAUAACCAAAUUUCUUAUAGUGUCAGCAACUGUUGGAGGUCUAACUCUUCGACCAGCAGCAUUCUUAACAAGUUCUCGAGUCACAGCAGACUGUUAAAUGGAAGUAUGUUAGUACAAGACAUAUGUUUCAAGUAUUAUGUACUAAGAUUCAUGAAUAAUACCUAAGAAGAAGCAAUUUUUCUAGUGAUAACCCUGUUGAUACUAGACAUUGUUGGUUGAGUAUAUGCUUUUCUCUUUGAAACUUUUGAUUUAGAUGGAUUGGGAUUAUCAACCGGCUUUCCCCGAGAGGUUGGUUCUGAAGUGCUACCAACAGAGCGGUUAGCUCCUUGUGGCUCUGAAGUUUCACCCGCAGGCUCUUGAUUGGCCUACGACAUCAAAACAAAAAAGUUAUGAACUGUUAGUAAUAAAGAAGAGCCUACGCCAUGCAUAAGAAGAUUGUACCUUGUAAAAUUUGGAAUUUAGAUGGAUUGAAUUCUUGCAACUUCUUGAAUUGUGUCCAGGUUUGAAGCAUAUUUUACAAUGCACAGUAAGUCCUUUUCUGGUUGAUAUUUGUCCCUUUUUUGGUUCAUCAGGUGCUCUCCCUCGCACCUUCUUUGGCCUUCCAGGCAUCUUUCUUAUCAAUGGAGAAUUAAUUGGCUCUUCAUUGGCUUUCUCUCAAUACCUUGCACUUGGUACAGGCAUAAUUACAUGCCUAUAUGUCUUUACAUAAGUCUUUUUGCUAUAGCAUUUGUGGACAAAAUCAACAAUUGGCUUUUUACAUGCUUGUAUUGUUGCACAUGCAGGGACACAUGGAUAACCUGCUAAUUGAAAUAACUCACAUGUACAGGUCCAAUCCUGUAGGUCUACCACUACAGUUUUGUUAAUACCAGCAUCAAUUUCAUAUUUCCAGCCAUCAGCCCAUAUAGCAACACAUGCCCUACUCAGCCUUACAUGGAUGUUUGGACAUAUUUUACCUUGAAAUUUUUUCCAUCCUAGUCCUCUUUACCUGGAAUCAUUGCAUUAGUCUUCUUCUAAUCCAUUCAAACAUCCCAACCAUAGCCAAUUCCCUUGCUGGAAGAAUGUAAUUGUUAAAUGACUCAUUUAAAUUGUUAACUAAUAUGUCACACUUACUUCUUCCACUGAAGUGUGAUCUGGUCCACAGAGUUGGUGAAAAUUUUGAAAGCCAUGCUGAUGCUUGUGAGUCAACUUUUUCGAUGUCUUUCAUUGCCACAUGCCAAUCUGCCUCAUUUCCAGCACUUGCACAUGCCCAAAACAAGUCCUUCAGCUCUUUUUCUUUGAAUUUUUGGCUGAAAUUUUGAUACAUAUGUAUUAUGCAGAACCUAUGCUUAGAGUCAGGAAAAAGCUCUCUAAGAGCUUGAACAAGUCCUUUUUGUCAAUCUGAAAUGAAGGUCCAAGGUAUAUUGUCCAUCCCCAAUCCUAAAUCAUCUAAUAAAAGCUGUAGGAACCACCUCUAUGAGUGAUACCUUUCAAUUUCAACAACAGCCAGUGCUAUUGGAACCAUAUUAUCAUUAUCAUCUCUCCCUAAGGCAGAUAAUAAUUGGCCACCAAAUGCACUGCACCCAUCUAAACCAAUAAUUGGUCUAUAUCCGUCAAGAAAUCCCUGCUUGCAAGCAUGAAAACAGAAGUACAAUCUUUCAAAUGUACCUCUAGAUGUUGUAUCAGGUUUGUCAACUUGAAUCUUUACUGUACUACCAGGAUUAUACUUCAGGAUCGUGGCUGCAUUGCAUAAUGCCAUAGAUUAUGAUACUGCUCCAUGUCUAAUCCCUGUAUAUCUUCUUUUGCCUUUCUCUUCGCUCUAUACAGCUUAGAUGAAGUGACAUUGACCAUCAGAACCAGUCCUCUCCAGCAACUUCUCAUCUAGGAUUACAGGUUCAUUCCAAUUGGUUUCUAAUCCAAAAUCAGUGACGUUUUUAUCAGAACUUCCCACCUGUACAGACAGCCUUAAAACCUAGCUAGUUCCAUCCAUUUAAGAUGUGGUUUGACAGGUUGUCAGCCUGUGCAAUAAUAAAAACCUGCUCAAACUAAAAGUAAUUUCUGUAGAUAGCGGUGAGUAGGGUCAAAUCCACAGGGAUUGGGAGUAAUUGUUUCUUUUCAAAUUCACAGUGACAAGGGGGAUGUUUUUAUCUCAGGGGUGACAAUUUAAGCAAUUCAACUAAGAGUAAAAUAAUAAAAAUAAAAUAGCCAACUAGAAAUUAAAUAACAAUUUACUAAAAUCAAAGGAUCUAGCCAAGGAAUAACUUCAGCAAUGGUUCACCUAAUUGAUCAUCGAAACAAAGGCAAUUCCAAUUAUUUAUUAAUAAAUAGGUUAUAACUGCCAAACAAGCGAUGACAGUCAACCCCUCCUUACUGUGUCGGUGAUUAAGGUACGCAUGUUAAUCACUACUCUAAUUGAGAAAUAAUCUUAGGUACGCCCGUAAGAUUUAAUUCCCCAAUUGCCUUACGUAUUAGAGGAGCCCUAUUCUAACCAAAUAACACACUAUCAGGGUUAUUUUAGGUUAGCCCGCGUAUUUCCCUGACACAAACCCAAUCAUGCCAGUUGUCACUAUUUUGAGACAAUUAAACAAUUACGGAUUUAACGUCCCAAUUGAUAAUAAAUUAUCAAAUUAACUAAUUAUCCGGAUCCUAGACAAUCAAUUAAUUAAACAAUCGUAAGCACUGUAACCAGGGAAUAUGCGAAUACCAAUAAAUAAAAGAAAAAGAUAAAAUUAAAUCGAUCUCACAAUUUUAGGCGAACCAAAACCUCCGUUGUUCCUUGACUAGAAAAAGGAGAUUUAGUUCAUCCCGGAUAAGAAAGACCCACACAAAGUUGCAGCAACAAUUGCGGCCAUCAUCUCCAAGAAUUGGGAAAAUUCAAUUCGUCCGAUUCAAUAAGAAAAAGCAAGCUACAGAAAAGUAAUUACUAGUCUUCCUAUGGCUCACGGAGGAGAACUACUACCAAAAAGAAAAAGAAGGAAAAGUCAAAAUCUAUGCUACCAAGUGCCUCCACUAAAGAACGAAGAAGAAAAGUCCAAAGAAAAGCUAAUCUAAUAUCUAGUUCCUACUGCUAUUGUGCGGCGUCCGCCGCCCAGCCGAAGAAGACUCCAACCCUCUCCUUUUUAAUGCUGUUUUCGGCCAAAUUACCAAGAAGGGUCACGGCUUGAUAUUCCAAAAAUGCCCCUGCUACUUAAACUCUUUUCUGAUGAUUGCUAAAUUGGCCUUGGUUGUGGUAUUUUCGUUCUACUCCCUGAAAUAAAUGCAAAUUACGAAAAGUGAGUAGAAUCUAAUAAUUAAUUCACAUCGAGUUAGGUAAUAGAGGAAAUUAAUAACAAAAUAAAUGAUAAAAUUACAACCUAUCAUAGUUCUCGAUUUUGGCAAGUUUCACAGUUAAGUCAUAAACUGAGAGUAGCAAUUAUGCAGAUAUAUAGCCUUCUAAAGAGAUCCAAAUACACUGUUAAUGCUAUUUUAUAAACUUGUGAAUCUGAAAAGACUCUUUAGUUAUAGGGAUAUUUCAUGCUUGUACCUGAUAGGCGGAGCUUUAAGGGGAAAAAGAAUUAAAAACUUUACUAAUUAAGGAGCUUUUAAGCUUUUUAUUCUUUUCUCUAGGUAUCUUUCCCUUUUCCUUCUCCUCCUCACCUUUGAUGAAGAGGUACUCAUGAAGUGUAAAUAAGAAAACCUUCAUCUAAUUAGGUGAUACUUAGGGAUGCAAUUUUCUGGGAUUUUUUUAAUAUCUUGAUGGCAUUGUGUUAGUCCCACAGACAACCAAGAGGGGGGGGUGAAUUGGUUUGAUUAAAAUCUUAACCAAGUUUAUGCACUUUUUCGUUAAUGAAAAUUUACCUUCCUUUUUAGUAAUGAUCAACCAAGUAGAUUAGAAGACAAUAGCAAUAUUGAUCGGAGAAGCAAGUAUAGAUAAGCAAUGAAGAUUUUAUUAAACAGAAAUGUAAAAUGGAGAAACAAACCAAGUGUCUACCAAGCUUUACCCAAACUUGAAGACCAAACACAAGGAAGAGCAACUUCUCUUUGAUGAAAGUCGAUCAACUAGAUGUACAAUGGAGGGAGCACUUCCUCCUUGCCCUAAGCCUCACUUAGUCAAGCCAAGAAGUUUUACAAUCACUCAGAAAACCCUCAACAGAGCUACACUAAAGAUCCUUUCACUCACAAAAGAAAAGCUCAACAGAAAUUCACACCACUUUAAAACAAAUCUGCUUUGGAGACUAUUUUCUAGCUAAAAUAUCUCACUAGAUCUUGUAAACAAAGUGUGCAAAAGUCUCUACUUCGUUCAGACCAGUUUGAUUUUAAAGGGAACCAGAAAUGGGCUUCAUCAAUGCUUCCAACGGAUAGAAGGCAGCUGAAGAGUCAACUAGCCGUUGGGGCUGUCGGACGUCCGACGAUCAAAUCAUCGUCCGAACCAAUCGUCCGAUGGCAUCCAAGUUGACGUUCGGACGUCCGAUGCGUCUUGAUCGUCCGACACCGCAGCGUCCGAUCGUAGGCAGAGAGUUGGCAAGUCAGCUUGGAAUUUUUCGGACGUCCGAUGCGGUUGAUGAGCGUCCGAUGGCAAGCGUCCGAUCCUUCCGGACGUCCGAUGCUUCCUCACGAGCGUCCGACAGAGCUUCCUUCUUGAUGCUCUUUAUCCUUUCGGACGUCCGACAGAUUCCUUUCGGCCGUCCGACGUGAGUAUCCUGUUUUUGCUUCUUCUUUUGGUUGAAAUGCAUUUCAUGACCUAUUCAUACCUGAUUCUUUGAUAUGUAAAGACACUUAUAAUCGAAGAAGGUUAGAUACAUUUCAAAAUACUUUGUGAUCAUCAAAAUCAAGAAUAACACAUUGUAUCUUUCCCUUUUUCUUCUCCUCCUCACCUUUGAUGAAGAAGUAGUCAUGAAGUGUAAAUAAGAAAACUUUCAUCUAAUUAGGUGAUACUUAGGGAUGCAAUUUUCUGUGAUUUUUUUUAAUAUCUUGAUGGCAUUACUCCUUCAAGUUGGAUCUCAUAAUUCAGAUAAUUUAAUCUCCUGCCACAAGAUGAUCCAUUCAAGUUGCUAAAAACAAAAAUAGAAGCAACAAAUUAUUGCUUCAUGAAUACGUACAUGAAACAUUAUCGCAUAGAACUUGAUUUAUUUUGGUGUCGUUGCAGGUAACGAUGCUAGGAUUGAGCCACAUAUUGAUCUUAACUUCUAUAUAUUUCAUAACCUUCUUUCUCCUUGACCUAUGUAGCAAGAUAAAAACACUUAGGCACAAAGUUACAUCUUCUAUUCCGGCUCCAAAAAUCACCAUCUAGAUUUUACUUAAUUAUACUUCUUGCUAACAUGUCGCGGCGUUGUUAAAUUGAUUGCUUGAGGGAUACUUCCUUGGACGCUUUGGGAUAAAGAAAGAACACGUUUCUUUGAAAAUUUCCAUUUAGGAGAUACUUAGAAUGCGAGUUUAUGGGAUCCUUUAUGCCUUCAUUGCAUAAGUACUCUUUCAUGUUGGACCUCAAUAGUUCAGAAUUCUAUAUUAUCUCCUACCACAAAAUGAUCAAUUGAAGUUUGCAAAAUACAAAGAGUAUAGGAUCAACAAUUUGUUGUUCUAUGACCAUAAGAUUAAUUAUAUAUAAGGCCUAAAACUUACCUGUAUUUUGGUGUUAUUCCAGUAAACGAGGUCAGCAUUGAACCACGUAUUGAUCAUUAAGGUCUAUAUCUUUGAUGAUCUUCUCUUUUCUAGUCUACAUAAGCUAGAUUGAUUACAUACUAUUUGGAGAAAAAAUUACCAUCCUGAGGUUAAAACUGAGACAUUUCCAUUUAUGGCUUCAGGGAUACAUACUUGGACAUCCAGCGACUAAAGUUCAAGGAAUUCUUUACCAUGCAGUCCCGUUUGCUUAUAGGAUGGGUCUGAUUUCUGAUGAACUCUAUGAGGAAUUCUGAUGAACUAUGGGAGGGACGUGGGAGGAGGGAGAGGAUAGGGAGGAGGUUGCAAGCUGGUGAUGUCGGCAUCGGCUGGCCGACGGUAGCGGGUUGAGGUGGGGGAGAAGGAAGAAAAUGAUGAAAAAAGUGAAAAUUUUGUGUGUUCUUAGAUAUUAAGCGACGUGUACAUUAAAAAUUUUGAGAUGUUUGUAGAGGAUUACUGUAAACAAAAUAGCUUUAAAACUUGUCUAUCAAAAAUUAGACUAAAAACUUGCAUGGGAGACAGGUUCUAGAACUGACCGCGAAUUGUACUACAGUUGUAAGGCCACAAUUAUGGUAUUGGAUUUGGACCUUACACAGAACUCUACUAUAACUACAUGGAGUUUUCACGUUCCUCGUACAUAAACAGCAAUUGGCCCACGAUAAUUUGUAGGAAAAUGAAAACAAAGGACAAAAAAUUAAAAUCGAUUUUGCUAAUUAACGUCAAAGAAAUAUUUUGACAAAAACUAGGAAAGUCUUCAUUGUUGGUCCCCAAAUCUGCAAUGAGUAAUGAUUAAACUUUUAUCAUACCAAAAAAGAAAAUUGAAAUCAACUAACCUGUUAUUGUGAUCCAAGCACGAAAUAAGCAACUAAUAAGACAUCAAGUUAAUAACAAUUUAAGGAAAAUAAGUCAAAAACAUGAAAAUACAAUUGACAGGAAAGAUUUAACAUGUUCAUAGCAAUAACCCAUUCUUUAUUAUGAAAAAGGUUCAUAUAAAAACACAAUUUGAAUUCUAAACCCAAUCCCUGUGUAAUAUUUCUCAUACACCAAAGUCCUUUUUCUCACUCACAUCUAUAAUCAUGACUCCUUUUGUGUACUUUAAUUUAUGAUAUGACAGUUCCCUUGAAUUUAUAGGAUAUAUUACUUGACAAAUACUUCAAUAAUAAUAAAAGAAUAACUUACCUGAUUUCCAAACGUAUAUAAAUACAAAAUUUCUUGGCAACUACUCUAAAUACGUAUAAAUUACUAGAAACUAUUUACUUGUCACACAAAAUAAAAAUUGUCUAAACAAAAUAAGUAAUAUCCUAAUAAUCUCCACCAAAAAGCUUGAUGUGUAGUUAUACAUACCAAAUUAUUACGUUGUUGUAAUGUUCAUAUAUAGCUAAUCUGAAUCCAACCUUUAGUUGACUUAAGUUUGUAGGAUUUUCCUCUUCUCCACUACUUACAACUUGAAAGCAAUCUUGGAUCCCUUUCUUAAUUCUGCCCCCAACUAUUGAGGUAAUCAAGUAACAAAUUUUUUUUUGAAAAAAAAAUCACCAUACUUCUCCCCUUCACAAUAUUAUCUCGUGUGUGUGUGUGCUUUUCAAAAUUCCAUCAUUAAUGAAAACCUCAUAACUUUGAGAGUCUCGGGAUGCAUGAAAAUUAGAUUUUUUUUUAAUUUUUUGAUUCACGUGUCAUACUGCUCAAAGAACAAAAUUGAAAUACAUCCAACAUCAAGUACAUACCAUUGGAAAUUGUCAAGAACAUUUCCACUAAAUUAUAUCCUAAUUUAACACUAGACUCUAUGUUUUUCCAUGUCCUCUGAAUCACUUGUCCAAAUUUACUAUCAAAUAUCCUCUAUGUUUGUUUUCUUUUGAACCUUUCCUUUCAAUGCCAAGCCUUUUUGACAUGAAUAUUCUUUUCCUAUUAAAUUAUUGAAUUGAAAAUUACCACAAAUCGCUUAAUUUCAAUAAUUAACCGAAACCUAGCUAUGAUAUUAUAUCAGAUGCUGGGAUCCAAGUGCAAACAAAGAAUCAUUGAAAAAUUAAGUACAUGACAAUUUAAUCAAACAAAUAAAAAAACAUGAAACUUCGAGUAGAUACAAAAUUAAUGUGGUUCGAUUCAAUUAUUAAAUCUAUAUCUAUAGAGACAAAACUCUAUAUGUGAGAAAAAUAGAAAAAUCUAAUUUAAAUCCGACGCAAUCGUAUGAUGACAUUUCUCACGUAGCAGGAAGCCUUUCCCUUAGUCUCAUUACAUGUUACCACUUAAAACAAAAAUAAGGCAAUUUUCAUAACAAGGUAAAUUUUAUUUCGUCCGUACACCACCUUUUUAAGAAGAAAAGUAUAAGUAUGACAAUUGGUAAAGAAAAGUGUACGUAACUUGAAAGCUGGUGGCAACUUAAAAAAUUCUUCAAUAAACCAAACUCGUUUAUUAAUUUUUUAACACAUGCCAAGCGUCCACCAACUAAGAUACCCAUAAUGAAGCUAUCUUGUGUGGGGAUUUUAGCAUUGCAUGAUUUAUAAUUUGCUUGAAACAUAUUUUAAGCCAUUAAAAUGAGAGAGGUAAAAGGAUAGUGAGAUCUUUUUCUUUUUAAUUUUUUGAUAAAUUCUUCUGAUGAGUUGCUUUGUUUUGAUCAAUUAUUCAUUAGUACUUGGAAGAUUUUAUCCUAUCAUCUUUUCGCAAACAUUUUGAUAGUUAUUUAUAUACAAUCAAAAUUUGGGCAGACUUAAUUUUCAGAAGGGAUAAUUUCACAAACCUCCCCUGAGGUUUAUGACAAUAUCACUUGACUCCCCUCAAGUUUUACAGAUUACACUAACCUCCCUUGUCACAAUAAAAUAACUAUAGUGACCUUCACUUAAUAAAUAAUUCAUAGUAUAAUGAAAUGAGAUUAAAAAGAAAAGAAAAUUGACCUCUUCUGUGCCCUCAAGUUUUCCAUUUUGUGACCCUCAAGUUUUCCAUUUUGUUUGCAUCAGUUCUGUGCCCAUCAGUGGGCACAAGCAGGUUUGAAAUGAUAGAAAAAGCAAUUAAAUUCACAGGAGCCAGAUCAUUCAAUUUAGCAUCAGCAGGUGAGGAAAAACUUCUUUUGAAAUAGGUUAACAUUUUUGUCCCAUCAAAAUGAUUUGCAGCAGUAGGAAGCUCUUCAUAAGAAAAGAAAUUAGCAAUCUUAUCUUUGCAUAAACGUUCAAUGGUAGUAUUUAAAAUGGAGUUCACAAUUUCAGAGUCAAUGAUUAAGUCUACCCCAUUAACCCUGGAAAAUAUUUCAGUUGGGUCAGAACCUUUCCUUAGAUUGGCAAAAAAUUGAUGCAACAUAUCAGGAUAGUAGACAUUUGGCAUAGAAAUAAGAUGUGACCAUUUCUGGAAAGCAAAUAGACUCAGAAUGGAUUCUAAACCUAUGGAGCGAAAUUCAGAGGGGUUUACAGUUCUUUGAGGGAUGACACCCUUCUGGGAUAUCCAGGAGUAUUUGUCUUUCGCAGCAUCAUCAAAGAAUGUAGGAGGAGGGGCUGAUUUUGGAGGCGGUUGAGAAGAUGUCCCCUGUCCAGAUUCAGGCUGAGAGGAGGGUUGUGGUGUAGGCCGUGACAUUUGACCCUUGAUAGCUCCUCUUUUGAAGCGUUUGGAUGUCCGUUUGACAGUGGGAAGACUCUCAUCCUCAUCCCUGAGUGGAUGCUUGCGUCCGGCAGUAACUUUUCCUCCCCUUAGAUUCACCAUUGUGCGAAAUGUGUGGAAUGAGGAAUGCAAAUGAUGCACACAGCAGUAGGGAAGUGAAUCGUACAGAAAUUUUGGGACACAAAGUCCUUGAACAAGAUUUGACAGAGCAGUUAUGAGAAAGUAGGGUUUUGAGGGAAAUUUGGGAAUUUUCGAAAUGUUUUGCGAUUCGAUGAAAUAAUUAGGAGAAAUGAAUCGCAAUCAAUCAGGAAAAGUUUUGUUUGAAUCAAUUUGGGAAUGAGAGCUUCAGAAUGGUAUGAAUUUGAGAGUGAGAAAUGAGAGGGUUUUCGUCCGAGAGGAAAUAAAAAAAAGAUUGAAGCAAAUGAGGAAGAAAGUUGAUUUAAAACAAAUGAGCCGUUGCACUGUCGGACGGCCGAACGAAGUUGUACGUCCGACAGUUGCGUCCGAACAGGCGCAAUUCUGGAAAAUGGCUGAAGAACAUCAUCGGACGUCCGUUCAUCUUCUUUCGGACGUCCGAAGACUUUGAGAAAUAUUAGGAUGAUUUUUCGAUUAUUCCUAAUUUUGAUCUUAGAUGAAUGAACUGAUCUAAUGGCAGAGCUUUGGUAAAUAUAUCAGCAAAUUGAUCUUUAGAACAAACAUAAUUUACACAUAUUUUACCUUUUUGAACAAGAUCACGAAUAAAGUGAUGCUUUAUAUCUAUGUGCUUUGUCCUAGAAUGAUGAAUAGGAUUUUUGGUCAAAUUUAUAGCACUAGUAUUAUCACAGAAUACAGGCAUGCAGUCAUACAACAAUCCAAAAUCAUUCAAAGUGUGCUUCAUCCACAAAAGUUGAGCACAACAUGCACUAGCGGCAAUAUAUUCCGCUUCGGUUGUAGACAAAGAUAUUGCAUUUUGCUUUUUGCUAAACCAAGAGACUAAACAAUUUCCAAGAAAAUGACAAGUUCCACUCGUACUCUUUCUAUCCACAUGACAACCUCCAAAAUCAGCAUCCGAAUAACCAUAUAGAGCAAAUUCAUUAGAUCUAGCAUACCAAAGACCAUAGUCUAAUGUACCUUUCAAAUACCUAAAAAUUCUUUUUACAGCAUUCAAAUGUGAUUCUUUUGGACAAGAUUGAAAUCUAGCACACAAGCAAACAGCAAACAUAAUAUCAGGUCUACUUGCGGUUAAAUAAAGUAGGCUUCCGAUCAUACCUCUAUAAUGCUUUUCAUCCACAUGAUUACCUUCUUCAUCUUUGUCAAGCUUUGUAGAAGUGCACAUUGGAGUUUCAACUUGUUUUGAGUCCUCCAUGCCAAACCUUUUCAGCAAUUCCUUGGUAUAUUUUGCUUGAUUUAUAAAAAUUCCCUCAAGAGCUUGAUGUAUUUGAAGUCCAAGGAAGAAAUUUAAUUCUCCCAUCAUACUCAUUUCAAAUUCAUUUUGCAUAGUGGUGGAAAACUCCUUACAUAGAUACUCAUUAGUAGCACCGAAAAUAAUAUCAUCAACAUAUAUUUACACAAUAAGAAGGUCUUUCAACACGUGCUUAGUAAAAAGUGUGGUGUCCACAACACCCCUUUUGAAACCUUUUUCAAUCAAGAAACCACUUAAUCUUUCAUACCAAGCUCUUGGAGCCUGUUUUAAACCAUAUAAAGCUUUAGAAAGUUUAAACACAUGACUUGGAAAUUUUGUAUUUUCAAAACCGGGGGGUUGAUCCACAUACACUUCUUGAUCAAUAAAACCAUUUAAAAAGGCACUUUUAACAUCCAUUUGAAACAAUUUGAAACCUUUGAAGCAAGCAAAAGCAAGAAGCAUUCUAAUAGAUUCUAAUCUUGCUACGGGAGCAAAUGUUUCAUCAAAAUCAAUUCCUUCUUCUUGUGCAUAUCCUUUAGCAACUAAUCUGGCUUUAUUUCUUACAACAACACCUUUAUCAUCCAACUUAUUUCUAAAAAUCCACUUUGUGCCAAUGAUAGGCUGAUUUUGAGGUCUAUCAACAAGUGUCCAAACUUCAUUUCUCUCAAAUUGAUUAAGUUCCUCUUGCAUAGCCAAAAUCCAGUUUUCAUCCUUUAAAGCAUCAUUGAUAUUUUUAGGUUCAAAAAGAGAAACUAAAGUAAAAUUAUCAAUCAAUUUUCUCGAUGAGGAACGAGUGUUUACCUUCUCGGAUGGAUCACCAAUUAUAAGUUCUUUUGGAUGAUUUUGGCUGAAUUUCCAAGCCUUGGGAAGAUCUUUGAGUGGAUCAUCAUUUUUGUCUUCAUCUUCCACUUCUUGAUCAUUUUGAACUUCAUUUUCCAUUUCAGUUGCUGCUGGUUUAGAACUUCCUUCAUUCCCAAUUGAUAGCUUUUCCAUUCUUUCUCGAACACCUACAUCAUCAUCCUCACACAAACUUUUGGAAUUAUCAUCAUUGGCUUCAUCAAAUGUUAUAUGUAUAGCUUCUUCAAUCACAAGAGUCCUUCUAUUAAAAAACUCUAUAUCCUCUUUUAUUUUCACAAUAUCCCAAAAAUAUUCCUUCAUCAGAUUUUUUAUCAAACUUGCCAAGAUGUUCCUUUAGAUUCAAAAUAAAGCAUUUACAACCAAAUACUUUGAAAUAACCAACCGUAGGUUUCUUAUCAAAAAUCAGUUCAUAAGGAGUUUUCUUCAAAAUUGGUCUCAAGAGAAUUCUAUUCAUUACAUAACAUGCAGUGUUUACCGCUUCAGCCCAAAGGUAUUUAGGCAAUCUACAUUCAUUCAACAUAGUUCUAGCAGCCUCUUGGAGAGUCCUGUUUUUCCUUUCUACAACCCCAUUUUGCUGUGGAGUCCUUGCAAUAGAAAACUCAUGAGUUAUACCAUUAUAAUCACAAAAUUCUGGAAAACCACAAAAUUUGAAUUCAGUUCCAUUAUCACUUCUAAUUCUAACAAUUUUUAAACCAAGCAGAUUUUGCACUUUAGCAAACAAUGAAGUAAAAUUCUUGAAGGCAUCAUCUUUAUGAGCAAGAAAUAUUACCCAAGUGUAUCUAGAAUAAUCAUCUACAAUCACAAAACAGUAUUUCUUACCACCCAAGCUAGAGAUUUGAGUAGGGCCAAAUAAGUCAAGAUGCAAGAGUUCUAAAGGUUUGGAAGUAGAUACACACUUCUUUGGUUUAAAAGAAACUUUUGUUUGUUUUCCAAAUUGACAUGCAUCACAUAUUUUAUCCUUUUCAAAACUGAUUUUUGGCAAGUCUCUAACUAGCUCCUUUUUCGAAAUUUCCUUUAGUAACUCCAUGUUAAAAUGACAAAGUCUUCUAUGCCACAACCAAGGAUCUUCAUUUGAAGCUUUAAGACAUGUUAAGCUAGAAGAAUCAAUUUUAUCAAGAACCACAAUAUAAAUGUCGUUGAACCUCUUACCUUUGAACACAACAUUGUAUUUGGAAUCAAGUACAAUGCAUUCAUGCUUUCUAAUCAACACAUUCAAGUCUUUAUCACACAAUUGACUAACACUAAGCAAAUUAUAACCCAAGUUAUCAACUAAGAGCACAUUAUGAACAAAAGUUUCACCAUCCUUACCAACAUCACCUAUUCCAAUUGUUUUAGCUUUCACAUCAUCACCAAAUGUCACUUUUCCACUUGAUCUUGAUUUCAGCUUUAUGAAUAGAGAGGGAUCACCGGUCAUGUGCCUUGAGCAGCCGCUAUCAAUAAACCAUUUGGACUUGUUUGAUCCUUUUUCCUGAAAAAAUAAGGUGUUUGGUACCCAUUUUAAUUUUUGGGUCCAUAAUAGUUAGCAUUGUAUCUAACUAACCACAUGCAUUUCAUCCCUUUGUUCUGAUUUCUUUUCACAUAGCAAUCUCCUUUCAAAUGCCCUCUUUGACAACAGAAAUCACACAUAAUGAAAGAGUUCUUAACAUGUACUGGUUUGAUAUAUCUCAAUCCACCUCUUCUAUAUGUUGUGAAGCCAUGUGCAAUUUUGUUGUGAGCAAAUGUUCUUGGACAAGCAGAAGGAUGAGUAGAUGACAUGUUUCUUUUGAGAAAAUCCUGUUUUCUUGAUUUCAAAGUUUCAUCCAAGAUGUCCAUUCUUUUCUUCAAAUCACCAUGCCUUUCCUUCAGCAUUUCACAAAUAUUAGUCUUUCUGUCAAACUCGUUUUGAACAUCACAUCCGGCUCUUACAAGGCAUUCAUUGUCAGUCUUUAGAUGUUUAUUUUGUUGAACCAGACUUGUAUUUUCUUGAAUGAGAAAAGCAAUUUUCUGUUUUAACAGCUUGUUCUUAUCAUAAGAUUCCUUCAAGGCAUUAUGUAGCUUUUCAACAAAAGAUUCAAGAUCAUCAUCUUCAUCAUCAUCACUUUCAGAUUGCGAGUGAGUGGAAGUUACCUCAUUAUUUCCAAUAGCCAUGAAGGCCAUUUGAGCUGAUUCCUCUUCUUCUUCAACUUCCCCUUCGGAGUUGCAUUCAUUCCAAGUAAUCUGAAAGUUGUUGAAUCUUGGCUUUCGAUCAGCUUUUCCAUCUUUCAUCUUCUUCAUGGGGCAUUCAUUUGCAUAGUGUCCAAUAUGUCCACAUUCGAAGCAUUUGUCCAACUGUUUCUUGUUGAAAUCUUGUUUUCCUUUGUACUUUGCGAUAGAUGGUUGAUUCUGGAAUUGAUUGCUAGGACCUCCCCUUCUAAACUUUCUUUUAUUCAAAAUUCUUUUGAAGCCUCUGGUGAUAAGAGCAAGAUCAUUAUCAUCACCAUCCGAGUCUUCAUCAUCCAGGUGAGCUGGAUCAUCUUCACCUUGAGUAGUCUUUAGAGCAAUGUUUCUCUUUGCUCUAGCAUCCUCUUCCUCCUGCACUUUAGAUUUCAGUUUCAACUCAUAAGAGGUUAGUGAGUUAAUGAUAGAUUCAAUAGGCACAGAACUUAAAUCCUUAGCCUCUUCUAUUGCAGUCACUUUAUUUUCCCAUUCUUUGCCCAAUGCAUUGAGAAUUUUUCUGUUCUUCUCUCCCAAGGUGUACUCUUUGCCCAACACCUCGAGAUCUUUGAUCAAGUCAGUGAACCUGCAAAAUAUUUUGUCAAUAUCCUCAAGAGGUUCAAUCUUAAAAGAUUCAUACUUUGUGACCAAGAUGGCCUUUCUCUGUUCUCUCACAUUGUCACCACCCUCAUGGAUUUCUCUUAACUUAUCCCACAUUUCUUUGGCUGAUUUACAGCCUUUCACUCUAAUUGAUUCAUUUGAAUCUAAGGCACUAUAGAGAACAUUCAUGGCCUUGGCAUUCAAUGUGAGGUUAGUCCUGUCUUGAGCAUUCAUUUCAGCUCUCAUUUUUGGCCGAAGCAGCCCUGUAUCUGCAUCAAGAAAGUUAGCUUCAUGCGGUCCUUCACUCACAAUAAACCACAGUUCAAUAUCAAUAGAUUGCAAAAAAAUAAUCAUUCGUUCUUUCCAGCUAACAUAGUUAGAGCCACUGAACAUGGGAGGCCUAGUAACAGAUUGCCCCUCAACAAACAUAGCAUGACUGGUUGUCAUCUUUACUCCAAGCCGUUAGAGCUUAAUCUCAAGGAGACCAAGCUCUGAUACCAAUUGUUAGUCCCACAGACAACCAAGAGGGGGGGGUGAAUUGGUUUGAUUAAAAUCUUAACCAAGUUUAUGCACUUUUUCGUUAAUGAAAAUUUACCUUCCUUUUUAGUAAUGAUCAACCUAGUAGAUUAGAAGACAAUAGCAAUAUUGAUCGGAGAAGCAAGUAUAGAUAAGCAAUGAAGAUUUUAUUAAACAGAAAUGUAAAAUGGAGAAACAAACCAAGUGUCUACCAAGCUUUACCCAAACUUGAAGACCAAACACAAGGAAGAGCAACUUCUCUUUGAUGAAAGUCGAUCAACUAGAUGUACAAUGGAGGGAGCACUUCCUCCUUGCCCUAAGCCUCACUUAGUCAAGCCAAGAAGUUUUACAAUCACUCAGAAAACCCUCAACAGAGCUACACUAAAGAUCCUUUCACUCACAAAAGAAAAGCUCAACAGAAAUUCACACCACCUUAAAACAAAUCUGCUUUGGAGACUAUUUUCUAGCUAAAAUAUCUCACUAGAUCUUGUAAACAAAGUGUGCAAAAGUCUCUACUUCGUUCAGACCAGUUUGAUUUUAAAGGGAACCAGAAAUGGGCUUCAUCAAUGCUUCCAACGGAUAGAAGGCAGCUGAAGAGUCAACUAGCCGUUGGGGCUGUCGGACGUCCGACGAUCAAAUCAUCGUCCGAACCAAUCGUCCGAUGGCAUCCAAGUUGACGUUCGGACGUCCGAUGCGUCUUGAUCGUCCGACACCGCAGCGUCCGAUCGUAGGCAGAGAGUUGGCAAGUUAGCUUGGAAUUUUUCGGACGUCCGAUGCGGUUGAUGAGCGUCCGAUGGCAAGCGUCCGAUCCUUCCGGACGUCCGAUGCUUCCUCACGAGCGUCCGACAGAUCUUCCUUCUUGAUGCUCUUUAUCCUUUCGGACGUCCGACAGAUUCCUUUCGGCCGUCCGACGUGAGUAUCCUGUUUUUGCUUCUUCUUUUGGUUGAAAUGCAUUUCAUGACCUAUUCAUACCUGAUUCUUUGAUAUGUAAAGACACUUAUAAUCGAAGAAGGUUAGAUACAUUUCAAAAUACUUUGUGAUCAUCAAAAUCAAGAAUAACACAUUGUAUCUUUCCCUUUUUCUUCUCCUCCUCACCUUUGAUGAAGAAGUAGUCAUGAAGUGUAAAUAAGAAAACUUUCAUCUAAUUAGGUGAUACUUAGGGAUGCAAUUUUCUGUGAUUUUUUUUAAUAUCUUGAUGGCAUUACUCCUUCAAGUUGGAUCUCAUAAUUCAGAUAAUUUAAUCUCCUGCCACAAGAUGAUCCAUUCAAGUUGCUAAAAACAAAAAUAGAAGCAACAAAUUAUUGCUUCAUGAAUACGUACAUGAAACAUUAUCGCAUAGAACUUGAUUUAUUUUGGUGUCGUUGCAGGUAACGAUGCUAGGAUUGAGCCACAUAUUGAUCUUAACUUCUAUAUAUUUCAUAACCUUCUUUCUCCUUGACCUAUGUAGCAAGAUAAAAACACUUAGGCACAAAGUUACAUCUUCUAUUCCGGCUCCAAAAAUCACCAUCUAGAUUUUACUUAAUUAUACUUCUUGCUAACAUGUCGCGGCGUUGUUAAAUUGAUUGCUUGAGGGAUACUUCCUUGGACGCUUUGGGAUAAAGAAAGAACACGUUUCUUUGAAAAUUUCCAUUUAGGAGAUACUUAGAAUGCGAGUUUAUGGGAUCCUUUAUGCCUUCAUUGCAUAAGUACUCUUUCAUGUUGGACCUCAAUAGUUCAGAAUUCUAUAUUAUCUCCUACCACAAAAUGAUCAAUUGAAGUUUGCAAAAUACAAAGAGUAUAGGAUCAACAAUUUGUUGUUCUAUGACCAUAAGAUUAAUUAUAUAUAAGGCCUAAAACUUACCUGUAUUUUGGUGUUAUUCCAGUAAACGAGGUCAGCAUUGAACCACGUAUUGAUCAUUAAGGUCUAUAUCUUUGAUGAUCUUCUCUUUUCUAGUCUACAUAAGCUAGAUUGAUUACAUACUAUUUGGAGAAAAAAUUACCAUCCUGAGGUUAAAACUGAGACAUUUCCAUUUAUGGCUUCAGGGAUACAUACUUGGACAUCCAGCGACUAAAGUUCAAGGAAUUCUUUACCAUGCAGUCCCGUUUGCUUAUAGGAUGGGUCUGAUUUCUGAUGAACUCUAUGAGGAAUUCUGAUGAACUAUGGGAGGGACGUGGGAGGAGGGAGAGGAUAGGGAGGAGGUUGCAAGCUGGUGAUGUCGGCAUCGGCUGGCCGACGGUAGCGGGUUGAGGUGGGGGAGAAGGAAGAAAAUGAUGAAAAAAGUGAAAAUUUUGUGUGUUCUUAGAUAUUAAGCGACGUGUACAUUAAAAAUUUUGAGAUGUUUGUAGAGGAUUACUGUAAACAAAAUAGCUUUAAAACUUGUCUAUCAAAAAUUAGACUAAAAACUUGCAUGGGAGACAGGUUCUAGAACUGACCGCGAAUUGUACUACAGUUGUAAGGCCACAAUUAUGGUAUUGGAUUUGGACCUUACACAGAACUCUACUAUAACUACAUGGAGUUUUCACGUUCCUCGUACAUAAACAGCAAUUGGCCCACGAUAAUUUGUAGGAAAAUGAAAACAAAGGACAAAAAAUUAAAAUCGAUUUUGCUAAUUAACGUCAAAGAAAUAUUUUGACAAAAACUAGGAAAGUCUUCAUUGUUGGUCCCCAAAUCUGCAAUGAGUAAUGAUUAAACUUUUAUCAUACCAAAAAAGAAAAUUGAAAUCAACUAACCUGUUAUUGUGAUCCAAGCACGAAAUAAGCAACUAAUAAGACAUCAAGUUAAUAACAAUUUAAGGAAAAUAAGUCAAAAACAUGAAAAUACAAUUGACAGGAAAGAUUUAACAUGUUCAUAGCAAUAACCCAUUCUUUAUUAUGAAAAAGGUUCAUAUAAAAACACAAUUUGAAUUCUAAACCCAAUCCCUGUGUAAUAUUUCUCAUACACCAAAGUCCUUUUUCUCACUCACAUCUAUAAUCAUGACUCCUUUUGUGUACUUUAAUUUAUGAUAUGACAGUUCCCUUGAAUUUAUAGGAUAUAUUACUUGACAAAUACUUCAAUAAUAAUAAAAGAAUAACUUACCUGAUUUCCAAACGUAUAUAAAUACAAAAUUUCUUGGCAACUACUCUAAAUACGUAUAAAUUACUAGAAACUAUUUACUUGUCACACAAAAUAAAAAUUGUCUAAACAAAAUAAGUAAUAUCCUAAUAAUCUCCACCAAAAAGCUUGAUGUGUAGUUAUACAUACCAAAUUAUUACGUUGUUGUAAUGUUCAUAUAUAGCUAAUCUGAAUCCAACCUUUAGUUGACUUAAGUUUGUAGGAUUUUCCUCUUCUCCACUACUUACAACUUGAAAGCAAUCUUGGAUCCCUUUCUUAAUUCUGCCCCCAACUAUUGAGGUAAUCAAGUAACAAAUUUUUUUUUGAAAAAAAAAUCACCAUACUUCUCCCCUUCACAAUAUUAUCUCGUGUGUGUGUGUGCUUUUCAAAAUUCCAUCAUUAAUGAAAACCUCAUAACUUUGAGAGUCUCGGGAUGCAUGAAAAUUAGAUUUUUUUUUAAUUUUUUGAUUCACGUGUCAUACUGCUCAAAGAACAAAAUUGAAAUACAUCCAACAUCAAGUACAUACCAUUGGAAAUUGUCAAGAACAUUUCCACUAAAUUAUAUCCUAAUUUAACACUAGACUCUAUGUUUUUCCAUGUCCUCUGAAUCACUUGUCCAAAUUUACUAUCAAAUAUCCUCUAUGUUUGUUUUCUUUUGAACCUUUCCUUUCAAUGCCAAGCCUUUUUGACAUGAAUAUUCUUUUCCUAUUAAAUUAUUGAAUUGAAAAUUACCACAAAUCGCUUAAUUUCAAUAAUUAACCGAAACCUAGCUAUGAUAUUAUAUCAGAUGCUGGGAUCCAAGUGCAAACAAAGAAUCAUUGAAAAAUUAAGUACAUGACAAUUUAAUCAAACAAAUAAAAAAACAUGAAACUUCGAGUAGAUACAAAAUUAAUGUGGUUCGAUUCAAUUAUUAAAUCUAUAUCUAUAGAGACAAAACUCUAUAUGUGAGAAAAAUAGAAAAAUCUAAUUUAAAUCCGACGCAAUCGUAUGAUGACAUUUCUCACGUAGCAGGAAGCCUUUCCCUUAGUCUCAUUACAUGUUACCACUUAAAACAAAAAUAAGGCAAUUUUCAUAACAAGGUAAAUUUUAUUUCGUCCGUACACCACCUUUUUAAGAAGAAAAGUAUAAGUAUGACAAUUGGUAAAGAAAAGUGUACGUAACUUGAAAGCUGGUGGCAACUUAAAAAAUUCUUCAAUAAACCAAACUCGUUUAUUAAUUUUUUAACACAUGCCAAGCGUCCACCAACUAAGAUACCCAUAAUGAAGCUAUCUUGUGUGGGGAUUUUAGCAUUGCAUGAUUUAUAAUUUGCUUGAAACAUAUUUUAAGCCAUUAAAAUGAGAGAGGUAAAAGGAUAGUGAGAUCUUUUUCUUUUUAAUUUUUUGAUAAAUUCUUCUGAUGAGUUGCUUUGUUUUGAUCAAUUAUUCAUUAGUACUUGGAAGAUUUUAUCCUAUCAUCUUUUCGCAAACAUUUUGAUAGUUAUUUAUAUACAAUCAAAAUUUGGGCAGACUUAAUUUUCAGAAGGGAUAAUUUCACAAACCUCCCCUGAGGUUUAUGACAAUAUCACUUGACUCCCCUCAAGUUUUACAGAUUACACUAACCUCCCUUGUCACAAUAAAAUAACUAUAGUGACCUUCACUUAAUAAAUAAUUCAUAGUAUAAUGAAAUGAGAUUAAAAAGAAAAGAAAAUUGACCUCUUCGGAACAAGUUACACAGCCAAUGACGAUUCUCUUUCACUUAUUGUCACUUCGUUCUCAUCCAUCAACCCUUUCCUUCUAUAACACGUUUUCAAAUUACCACCAAUUAUUGCUUAUAAUUACUACCAAUCACAUCAUAAGUGAUCUCUCAAACUCUACUAUAUAUUCACAUUCCUCCUUUCUUCCCUUUAAAAUUGUCAAAUCACAAGUUUAGUUGAGAGAUUAGAUUUGAUGGUUGAAGUAAAAUUCAAUUUUAUGGUCAAACUAAAAGGACAUAAAGAGGCACACAAUAAUAAUGGAACAAAUAAUGCAAUCAUUGGCCGAAAAAGGAAGAGGGACUGAAAUUGGUAAAUUUGCUAAUUUGUCUAUUAUCCAUUUGAAAAACUUUUUAAGAUGUUAAUAAGUACAUUUAUAUUUCUUUUUAUACUUGACAAUUAUUGGUUAUGAUUUCACUAUGGAAAUAGAGUUUCUUCUCUGUAUUUAAGAUGUUAACACGUUUGGAGAUUUGAUGGUAGGUCAGAUUAUUUUGUUUUGAGAAGGUGUGGGUAUUGGAUUUGAAGUUUGGGCUGUGAUUAGUUGUAAAUAGAAUUUUGAUUUUUGACAAAAUGAAUUUUUUGAAAAUCUCUAUAAUCAUAAUGAUGUCAUUCCUUCCCUUAAACUUGAUUAAUCCCAUUCAUGCCUAAAUCUCUCCUAAGAAUUUUCUUCAAAGCCAUAAUUUGGCUCAUGUAGUAGGAGUUAAGCCACUUAUAUGAAACCAAACCAUGGCAUCCUAUGUUGAAAAUUAUGCAAAUAUAAGGGUAGUUGAUUAUGAGUUUGACCAUUCCAUGGAAUCAUAUGGUAAGAAUAUUUCUGAAGGAUGGAACGAAUCUUGAAAAUUGAAUGCAUGAUUUGGGAGAAGCAAUUUUAUGACUGUGAUGAUAGAAUUGCCUGGAUUUAGAAUUUGGAAUUAUAUUGUUUGUUAAGCUAAUUUGUUAGUAUAGUAGGUUAUGCUGAAAUAUGGAAGAAAGCAAUUGGUAAAAUAAAUUUUGUACAAAAAAGGUAGUUUAGGACUUUUGAGAAAAUAUAUAGCCUUUUGGACUUAUAUUGUCAUAUAAACAGUAAAAGUAAGAGAGGUAGGUGUAAUUUAAUAAAUUUGAGGGGAGCUCUUUGCAAUUAUCAGUAAUCUCAGGGGAGAUUUCUGAAAUUUUCCCUUUUCAAAAUUCAAUAGUUCAGAUUACGUUACGCACCAUUCACCAAGUAAUAUAACAUAGGGCCUGUUUGGAACCUCAAUUUUUUAGCAAGUUUGUAUGCUACUAGUUUUUUAACAACUUUUGCUACAGGAAUCUCAAAAAACUUAUCAAAGUUUUUAACCUACACACUUCAAAUCGAAUACACAAAAAAUUUCCCUUCAACUUUUCUUCUUUUUCCUCCCUCACCCAACCCACCACGUCCUUCGUCGCCAGCCAUCACCUCCACCACCGCUCCUGGCGCCGUCACUUAUUCCGGUACUGAAAUCAGUGUCGGCCUUCCUCUUUUUUUUUUUUUUUUUCUCUUCCUCUCCCUCAUCAGUGCCACCACCUAGAGGUAAUCUCUAACUCAUAAAGAUGAGAUGGUGACCUCUUCUACUCGUUACAAGUCUUCCGCUCGUAUAAUCAGCAACUGCAUCAAUAAACUAAGAAAAAAUGGGAAAAUACUACUUCUUGGACUGUGGCCGACACCCGAGAAGACUAGACAGAGAUUUGCUAAGUCGAAUGCCCACACCAUUACAACUUCAACCCUGGGUACAGAUUCGAUUAGCUGCUGGAAUGCGACCUCCCCGACCAUCAAUUCGAUUCUACUAUGUGCCGGUCAAGGUGUUCAGAUCAAUGCCAUCUAGGGUUCGAUCAGUGGUAGCUGGGGUCAAAUUAGGGCAUGCAGAAUUGGGGCCAAAGUUUGCUAAAAGAACAUUAGGGGGGACUGCGAUCUGGUCGCCAAGGGAAGGAGAGGGUGGCGGGGGAGGGGGGAGAGAAAAAGCUAAAAAAAAAAUCCAUGGCUUCCAUUACUUUGGCAUCGGAGUGCAAGGGGGAGGGGAGAGGAGAGGGAGAGAGGGAAGGGAGAAGAGGGGAAAAGAAAGGAAAAAAAAUUGCAGGUUUCCAAUGGGCGACCAGAUCGCAACUAGGGAGAGGGGGAGGGUGGCGGGAAAGGGGAAGGAGAGUGGGGAGAGAAAAAGGAAAAAAAAAAAUCCAUGGCUGCAAUUCUCUGGCGUCGGAGGACGACGGGGAAGGGGAGGAGAGGGAGAGGGAGAGGGAGAAGAGGGGAAGAGAAAAAGGGAAAAAAAUUUUCCCUUGGCCGGUGGCUCUGGAACUUCAGAGGUAGAGGUGCCGGGGGCGGUAGAAGGGAGAAGAAGAAGAGAAGACAGAAAAGAAAAAGGAAAGAAAGAAAGAAAAAGAAAAAAAAAGUUUUUCAUCCUAAACAUUUUUCUUACAACUUCUACAGUAAUCUACAGUAAAAUUUUAGAUAAACACCCAAAAAACUCACCUUCCAAAUUAGCCAUAAUUUGGACCAUCUUUGAAACCUGGAGCUAAGUCUUUUAUUUUAUGCCGCUUUAUAGUAAAAUUGUAUCGCAUGAGUUGGCAAACAAUAAUGACAUUUGUGUCGGUGAGGAAAGUUAAGGGUCUGCUUGGAUUGCAUUUUCCAUCCGAAAAUGCUAUUUUCUGCAGAAUGGGUCCCACAAUUUUUCAAUGGAAAGCAUCCAACAUUUUUCACAGCGUCGGAAAUUACUCACCAAAAAACACUUGAACAUUACAACUGUAGCAGACAAGACAUAUAACUGUGAAAGCCUCACUUUAUUGCCUUUCUGCUAAACGGUCAGGAAUCUUGCAACAUCACCCAUUUGGCUUAACUUUUGAAUCAAAAGAUAGCCUUUGAACCGUAUUGCUUCUCCGCAUCUAAUUACUUUCCUCUUUGGAGAUCUUGGCAUCAUUCACAUCCCAAGAUUUGCCUAUCAUCUUGCAUCAGACUAGCAACCAUUAAGCUUGGUCGGCUGUAGAUUGUGCCGGGGGGAGCGUAUUGAGCUUGGCGUGCGCUUGCUGCCACUGCGGCUCAAACGUUGCUACGUGACGGCGGUGGCUCAAGGCUGUUUCUGUGGCGGAGAUACUACAUACCAGGUAGGUAGCCCUUUUACUUCCAUUAGAUCGAAAACCUUCAUUGUUGUUGAAGAGAAUUACAACACUGCUGCACAAAGUGCAUUCAGUAAUUGUGAAAAUUGAAUGGGGGUGUAAUUUGGGGUUAGGUGUACGGAACCACCGAAAUUGAAGGCCAUGCUUACCUUGGUUGUUUGGCUGCAAAAAUUGAUGAUCCGUUUAACCAAUGCAAUGAGAUGAGAUCUUUGUAUUUGUGGGUAAUUUGGAGUGCACAUUGUACUGAAUGCACCUACAUUUAUGCUAUUUCCCUAUUGGUUCGUGAAACAAAGCUCCCUACCCUGCUUAAUCCCCCAUAAUUUUUGGUUAGUUUGUCGAUUGGCUUGGGUGUACAUAUCAAACUGUGGGAGGGAAAUUUGCUGGUUUGCUCUGUAGUAGCGCACGAUAAUACUGAACCUAUGUUUUGUUGUGGCCAUGGGCUCUGACAUACGAGUACCCCUUACGCGAGUGUGGUUACGGGUUGCAAUUUUGUCUAUGCUUUUCAGUACGAAUCUUUUUAUUACAAAACACAGAUAUGAAGCUUGAUACGUAGAGUAGAUUUGAUGCCUUUGUUUGCCAUACUCUUGCUUCUGAACACUCCAGUUAAUGAGGUAAAUCAUGUUUUGUGUAUUAUGUGUGCCAUGGAUGUCCAUUAUUACUAUCAAUGCUUGUUAGCAAGUGUAAAGUAAUACAACAUUUUCAUAUCCUGAAAUGUAAAAAAAAAAAAAUUUAUUCCAUUGAACUGUGGAUUCCCUUAGUGGAUCCAGUUUAAGGUAUUUUACAAAGUUUUUGGUUUAUUUAUCCAAACCACUGUGUAAUGCAUAUCGAAACAGGCCAGAUGGUUGGUUAAUACUACCAAUGACGUCUUUUGUUUGAUGCCUUUCGGCAACAGAAAACUUUUUUGCAACAUCCUUGUUUUGGUUGCAUUCCUUCCAGGCAUUGGCAUACCCUCUGAUCUGUGCUGCAUCUAUUUCGAUCGCCUGUACACCGUUUGAUGUCUUCGAGUCCCUAUAAAAUAAAAGGUGAAAUACUUACGUUUGCCUUGUAUUCAUGGGAUGGGAUAAUUAGUUUGCUUGUAUAUAAGUCACUGCUUUGGGUCAUAUUUACACGUACUUAACCUUAUUUUUUCUAACAGUACCACCUAUCAUUUAGGAACCUCCCCUACGCCGUGUUCUAGUACGAGCAUUUCUUGUCAAUCAGAGAGUGGAUCAAACGAUCUUGACGGGUGCUUGAAGUACUAUCACAAUCGUACUUUAGUGCAGGUGUUUCAAAGACUGCCCUAUUUGUUGUGUGGUUUUUUAAUGCCUUUGCAUAUUGCCACUAAUGGUCGACUGAUUCAGCUUUAUUUGGAAAUUACGUGUUAGAUGGCCCGAGGCAAGACUAAUGAUAGUGGGGGUUCUAGUGCCAUUGCCAAGUGGGAAUACGAAAUAGAGUGCUAUUAUGUUCAGCUGUUGCAGGAACACAAGGAAGUUGGCAACUUGUCCAAAAAUAACAUAAAUGCCUGUGUGUUUGAGGAUGUCCGGAAUAGACUGAACAUGAGGUUUUGCCAUAAGUCAUACGACUGUGACCAAGUCAAAAGAAAGUACUACAGUUUCAUGAGGGUUGCACGGCUAUUCAAGGAAGUUGGUAACCAAACUGACGUAGGGUGGAAUGAAACAUUAAAGUGCUUCUCUGCACCAGAUUAUGUUUGGAGAUACUAUGGCCAGGUUAGGGACUUGCACUUAGUCAAUCCAUUUUAUCAAAUUGGGCAAUUCAUCGUCUAUGUCCUGUCCAGAAGUGUCUUAAUUUGAUUAAUUACUGUUUACGCCUAAGUUUCCACUUAUAUUUUGUUUAGGAAAAAGAUAUAAGUCUUAUCAAGAAUCGGCCCAGCGAACAUUACUGGAAUUUGGUUGAACUUUUUGAAGAUAUUGGUGCCCUAGGAACUUACGGCCAGUCUUCCAAUGACCUACCUCUAACUGGGGAAGAGGCCCGAUCAAGGCAAAUGAACUAUGGUAGAAAUGGGGGUGACUGUACAAUAGGUACUGAGGGGUCUACGCCAGGGUUGGAAAUUCCAAUUGAUGUAGACGCUGAGAACUGCGAUGCGGUCUCUGACGAGGAGCCACAACGCCGGGGUGGCAAGAAGGGGAAGCAGAAGAAUAGUCGAGGUACCUCUUCUGUGCAAGAGGGUUCAAGGUCUUUGUCUGAGAAGAGAAAGCGUGAUGAAAUAUAUGAUCGUGCUUACGAGGAGUUUGGCCUUGCAGCUAAGGCAAAGCGUGAAUACUACUCCAGUAAGUCUGGAUCAUAUAAUUCUCCUGACCCCAAUUCUCAGCACUCCGCCGCCAACUGUGUAAAAGAAGUGGACAAAUUACAAACCUUCCUUCUUGAAGGCCAGGCCAAUAAGGCAUACGCUUUCUUUAAGGAAGAUGUAUGGAGGCAGAUGUUUAUAGCAAUGUCCUCUGCCCAGAGGAUUUCAUGGAUUAAUAGCCUGUAACGUGAUAGCCUGUAACGUGAUCUUUGAAAUCAUGUUAUUCUCCAGACGGAACCGAUGACCUUGUACUUGAGAGCACUUGGUCUAGUUUUUAAAUAGUCUGUUGUACGCUUAUGUAGAACCGUCCCACGUACUAAUUGUGGGUUUAGUCCAAACUUAGAUGUUGUCCGAAGUUGUUGUUCAUUGCUUUGUAUGUCAAAACUGAAGUUUUAGAAUUGGCAAUGAAAGAAACAGAAGGAUGGUAUCUUGUGGUUAACUUAAUGGCAUGGCAUGUUACACAAUAAGUACUUCUAUUACUAAUGCGCAGCUGGCCUAAUGAACUGGAGAUGUAAUGAAUUUUUUCUUUUUUUGGAGUUGAAAGUCCUUUCAACAUUGUAAUCAGAAUAUUAUACAACAGUAGGACUUCCUACGUCUUCUCUCUUCUUCUGGUUUUAAAAAAAUCAGAUGACUUCUAGCUCUCUUGCCUCUAGCUCUCUUGGCGCCGGUACUUUAUGCUAUUAAAUCACCCAAAACUUUGCUGAAGCUGAGGAAUAGAAAGUAACUAUUGUUACUAUGAGCAUGCUAGUGCUUAAGUAAAGCUCAGAGAGUUAGUAAGGAUAUAUCCCCUGCCGUACAAGACAAACAAGAAAAACUGGUCCUACCAUAUGAAGUCUGGGCAAAUGCUGAUAUAGAUCCAGUGAUUUUAAGGCCUAGCAUUACAAGCUUAAUAUACUUUUCAGACUCUGUAUACAAACAACUUUAAGGGAUAUAAAAUAGUACUAGUUUACAUGAGCUUGGUUGGUACCUCAAUUUGCUCGCUUCCAUGAUUUCCAGGUUAGAUUCAGUAGUCAAAACAUUGUUAGAUUUAGUUGGAAUUAGGGACCCCGCAUAGUUUAUUUGGGUACUUAGGUAAAGACUAUCAAUAUGGCCAAAAAGAAUAAACUUAGGAUGCAACCCUAGUGUUCACAAAUGGGUCGAGGAAAUAGGACAAAACAAACUGAAUAAAGGACUAUAUAACCGACUAAGGGUUGCAAGUUAAUUUUCUUGUAAAGGACCACAGAUAGUACAUUUCACAGUUAGUGGCAAGUUAAUUUUCAUCCGAGCUACAACUAUAUAACUAAAUGUGCAAGCUGUUUUCACAUGUUGUUGCCUCUAGCUCUCAUGGAUUGCAAUGUCCACAUGUUGUAGGUUUAACUUACAUAUAAAUAAAUGUCCCACGAACUUGUUUUUAUGGAUUUCAGCAUUGUCAGCUUGUACACUGGGUUUCCCUUUGUGCCUUAUUUGUCCACCCAAAUACAUCUUUUGAUCUCUCUCGGUUGGAUAUCCGUCAUCUGUUGAACCUUCCAACGCGUGAUGUUUAACUUUGUAGAUGAUAAUCGGAGACCAUAUUGUUUGCAGAUAAAAGCCACAAUGCAGAAUAUAGUUGGAGAACAACAUAGUGAUUCAUCGUCCGAUGAUGAAGAACUUGAGUUCUUAGCUUUGUUUGGUGUUAAUGCACCUUUGAAUGCACGCUACAAUGUAGCUGGUGUGGGUGGCGAAAAGCGUCGUUUUUAUGACGGUGCAAAAAGUGGACAGGACUGGAUCGAUGACCUUAAAGCAGGACAUCAUGACAGAAUGCUAAAUGCCAUGAGGAUGGAUGUUCCUUCUUUCUUAAAGCUAUGUGAAAUUUUAGUCAACGGAAAUUUCAUUAAACAAGAUUAUCGCAAAAGGGUUCAGGCUGAAGAGGCUAUAGGCAUGGCUCUACAUUGUGUGAGCCAUGAUGAACGGCAUCGAAAUCUUGCCGAGAGGUUUCUCCACUCCACUGAAACGAUCCACAGGAAUAUUAAGGAGGCAUUGCAAGCUAUUGUGCGUUUAGCCCCGAUUCUAAUACGGCCGAGGAAUGAGACUGGUGUGCAUCCCAAGAUAUACAACAGCAAUGCCUUUUAUCGAUGGUUUAAGGUUAACAGCUUCUAUUGUCCUUCCAAGACCUUUUGUCCGUAGUCUUGCAAGCAAUUUAACAGGAUACUAGAUUGUGUGGUUGUUCCCCGCUUCUAAUACUAAUAUACACUUAGUUGUUUUCACAUGGUAGGACUGUGUUGGCGCUAUAGACGGAACUCUGAUUCCCGCCAGUGCGCCACUAACUCGGCAACGUGUUUUUCGUAGUAGAAAAGGUGAAAUUUCACAGAACGUGCUAGCUGCUUGUGACCACGACAUGCGAUUCACUUAUAUUUAUGCUGGUGUUGAAGGGAGUGCUCAUGAUGCUAGAGUUUUUCAGCAUGCUGUGUUGUCCCCUGAUUCUUCAUUUCCAAUGUCGCCUGCAGGUUAAGUUAUCCUUCCUAAUGUUUUGUCUUUUCACAAUUGUGAAACUGGUUUAAGUUCAACUGAUUGUGUAAGCUCUCCGGGCCUAAGUAACAUGGUUUCCCUUCAUCUAUGUCCUCAACUAGGUAAAUACUAUCUUGUUGACUCGGCUUACAAGAAUAUGCCUGGUUUUUUGGCCCCGCAUAAGGGCCACAGAUACCAACGAGACCAGUUUGGCGGGGGAUCUGGUGGACCAAGAGGCAAGUAUGAGCUUUUCAAUCACCGUCACUCGCAACUCCGCGAUGUCAUUGAGCGGACCUUCGGCGUGCUAAAGGCUAGAUUCCCAAUCUUGAAAGGGCCAAUGCCAAACUACUUGAUGAAUAGACAAGUAGAAUUGGUAAUUGCCUGUUGUGUAUUACAUAACUUUAUCAGGGAUGAGCAUCCGCAUGAUGAGUUGUUUGCAAGGGAGUCCGGGGAAGAUGAAGAAGAUUAUGCGGAUCCGGGUGCACAACCCCAGCAAAUUGACUUAUCUGCUGCAGCACAGCGCAAUUGGAAUAGUUUUCGGAUGGCCAUAACUGAUCACAUGUUCGACCACCGGAAUGGGAGAUAUGUUCCACACUAGUAUGCCUGUGGUGUGCCAGUUUGAUGCUCAAACUUAGCUUCAAGUGUUUUUGUACUAUAUGAAAUAUUUGUACGUAAUGGCUAAAACUGUAGCGGGGAACUGAUGUACCUUUUGCAUUCCAAUUUGCCUUUAUUUUGGAUAUUCUGGACUGAUCGCUAUGUAACCUUGUGCUAAGAUAUGUGUUUUCUCUGUUUACACAUGGCCCUAGUAUUAUGGUUUUGCAUAACCAGAUUUUAUUCUCUGUUCGAUUGCUCCACCUUUGCUCGAAACUGAUUCAACAGUGUUAGGUCUCUUUGUCCUACUGGUAAACCUCGGUGCCUGCAAAAUUUGUGAUAGUGAAUCUGUUUGAAAUAGUGGAAAUAUGAGGGAUAUAAUGAGUAAUGCAUCAGACUUACAUUUGUAAAUUUUUUGGCCAUGUGAUUCUCUACGCCACCAAAGGCCAUUCAUAUUCCCAGACAAACAUCGGCUCCGGUGUUUCAUUUCGGAGUUGCGCCAGUGUUUCCCUGGAACGCAAAAGGCCAUUCUUAUUCCCAGUAAAACACCGGCGCCGGUGUUUCGUCCAGGAGUUUCGCCGGUGUUUCCCUGGAACCCAAAGGCCAUUCUUAUUCCCAGACAAAUCUACGGCGCCGGUGUUUCAUUCCGCUGUUGCGCCGGUGUUUCCCUGAAACGCAAAAGGCCAUUCUUAUUCCAAGGAAAACACCGGCGCCGGUGUUUCGCCCUGGAGUAGCGCCGGUCUUUCCCUGGAACCCAAAGGCCAUUCUUUUUCCCAGGAAAACACCGGCACCGGUGUUUCAUCUGAGGGUCGUGCAGGUGUUUCCCUGGAACACAAAGGUCAAAAUACAUAAAAUAACACCGGCGCCGAUUUUACUCUUCUUAAGAUGCGCCGGUGUUUCUCUGACAUACAGAUAAUGAACUUUGGCUUUCGAGCAUUGGCUUUUGACCGAAUUUCUAAUUUCGACCGCAAUUGUCUAAACCAAACCUUCAAUAUACUCUUCGCUUCGCCGCUUCAGUCUUCCUCGCUUCAGCCCAAUUCAUUUGUUUUGAUUGUCAUUUCUCAGCUGCUACCGAUCAAUUCAGCUCAGCUGGGUAUUGGUAAUCCCUUUUUCCCUUUUUUUCCUUUCAUCUUCGCUGCUUCACAUUUGGUUGCUGGGUUUGUAGCCUUCGCCGGUUCAUAGCCUUCUGUCCUCUCCGCCCUCUUCCGUCCUCUUCGCCGUCGCUUCAUUUCUCGGCUACUACCCAUCUCAGCUUAUACCAGGUUUGUUUAUCAUUUUUCCCUUUUUUUUCCUUUCGUUUUGGAAUACUGGGUUUUGGUUGCCCUUCCGUCCCCUCAGCCCUCUGUAUAAUGUUUAUGUACUGCUGUAAUUUUUGGGCAUAUGAUCCUUAUUAACUUGUCAUUGCAGCAGCAGCUAAAAGAUUAUAUUGUAGGAUGAUCUGCCUAAAUCAUUUUUUUUUUGGUUUGUCCUAAAUUAGAUAAGCUGAUUAACCUAAAUCAAAUUAGAUAAGCUGUCAGCCAUCUUGCAUCCCUGCAAUUUUCAUUUUUUUUGACUCGGUAGAUAAUUUGGUUGCCCUGUUGUUGAGUUGCGUCGUUGCUGAAACUGGAACUUAACAGGGAGGUAGACUCCCUGUUAAUGUUUUUGGCUGACAAUGAAAAAUGUCAAUUAAUUGGUGGUCAGGUAUUAGAUGUUGGUACUAAACUGUUGAAUUCCCAGUACUUCACUGCUAAAUUCCACCAACGGCCUCAGUAAAAGUCUUUUUCUUUUCGUAUUAUCUGAAAACUGGAUUAAAAAAAAAGGAAAAAAAAGUCCUCGGACUUUCAGUUGGACAGCCUAUCAUAUGGUCCCUUGUGUCACUUAAUUCAGUAAUUGCUUUCCGUAGGCAUUGUGGAGUUGUAUUAUAAUUUGAUAUUGAAGCAUGUAGAAAGUUUAACUCUGAUUCAAGAACUUCCAUUUGGCGAAUUGGGAUGAAUUUUUGACACGUUUGAUUACUUGGUGAAGUGAAGUGAGAAUUUGACAGAAGCUUCCAAAACAUGUUUUUCAGUUGUUGAACAAAUCUUCUUGUUUGUCUUGUCAGGUUAAUAUAACAGGUUAACAUAGAUAUAAUAACCAUGACUCUUUCAAUAAUAAUCUCAUACUACCAUUUAUCAUAGUUGCCAGUCUUUCAAUCUUUAGCUAAUAUAGGUAAACACUUAAUCCUAUAAUUCGAAAACUGUAAUAACCAAAGUGCAGUGACACAAAGAUUCUAUGAUGAAACAGAAUUUGAUUUUCUGUACAGCGAGGUUCUUUUCUUUCUUUGGCCAAAGCUUUUUCUGCUUCUGUCUAUAAGACAAAAUGUUUAUACAUAUCCGGUUUCUGUCCUUUUGGUUUAUAUUCUUCAAAUCAUCUUUUCUACAAUCCAGCAUUAGUGUAUUUCACAGAAGCUCAAAUGCUAGUCCACUUAUUAAAUAAUAUAAGUCCCUUGCUAGGCUCUUGCUACUAAAUCGUUCCGUGACGUCCUGUUUCUGAAAGCCCUUUUACUUCCAUUAGAUCGAAAACCUUUUGUCCGUGGGUCACAAUCGAAAACCUUUUGAGGAGAUUAAUUAGGUGUUGUUUGAUUUAAUCAGUUUUGGUCAACGAAGCAACGUAGCAAACUUGAGUCAGUUGACAAUGCCACCUAGGAAUACAAAAAGAGGCAAAUGAAAGAGGAGUCGGGACCAAAACAGCGGUGCUAGCACCAGUGCAGGCCCAAACUUCGAUGUUAGUAGGUUCAGUUCAGUUGAAAAUCAAGAUUGGUAUGUCGUUCGUGCUAAUAAUACAGUUCUAGUUGAAGUGGACCUUGAUCCUAUCUUUGAUGGGAAAUUUCACUUUCGAGAACAGUUUGCAACAAUGGGGUGGGACUGUAUGUUAAAUCUACCUCGACGGUAUUACCUGAAUUUGGUGCUGCAAUUCUAUGCUAACAUCUCGAAUAAAGGCAGUGUCAAUUCUGUAGAACUACAGAGUUAUGUGAAAGGGGUACAUAUAACUCUAACGAGACAGACUCUGUCUGAGAUUUUAAGAGAUGAUGACGAGGGUCCCGUGUUUGAACAUGGAAAGUACAUAGUCCGAGGGGAUCCAACAUGGCAAUUCGAGGUCACUCUCCCUAAGUAUACCAGUAGCUUUAAUUCUUUUAAAACCAUAGCGGAUCCUGUCACGGGGGACUUAAGAAUGGAAUUAGCACCUAUUCCCACUAAGAGUCUUACGCUCCGGCACAAUUUAUUGGUAUAUUUGUUGAACCACAACAUUCUGCAGGCUUCAAGCAGCAAGAAUGAAGUCCGGGUAAUGGAUGUGUAUUUCCUAGACAAAUUAGAGGCUGGUUUAGGCAAUGUAUCAGGGAUUCCGAUAUCCGCAAUCAUACUCGGUGCCAUGUCAAGAACUGCAGUGUUUAAGGGGGCUAAGAAAGCACUACCCUAUGCUAGGACACUAACGCGUAUCUUUGAGCACUUCGGUGCAAAUUUGAUAGGUGAAUCGUACAACACUGCAUCAGCAAUAGUGAACCAAGCCACAAUCAACCGAAUUGCCUAUCGCAAUGAAACGGAAUUGGGUGAGAAAGAACAACAAGAAGAGGGCGAAAACAGGCAGGCCGCAACUGAUGCAGGGUCUUCUCAGGCUACAAAUGGGCGAACGAUUCAUGACAUGAUUGAAGCUGUGAUCACUGAGAUGCGUUCAAUGCGUGAAGUGGUUGAUCGGUUGGAUGGAAGAGUAAAUGCAGUCGAGGGGCGAUUGUCUGCGAUCGAAGACAGAGUGGAGGCAUGGAGUGGCGGUCAAAACACAAGCCGAGUGGGGCGAAAUGAACACGAAAAUUAGUCACAGGCUAUAAUCUUUGUUUUUAGAUUAUUCUUUUGUAGCUAAUGUGCUAGGCAUAUGUUACAAGUCUAACACAGUUGACAUGUCAAUAUAUUGAUUUGCUAUAUGACAUUAGGGACUAAAGGAAUGUUGGUUAUGAGCUGCUGCAUAUCCUUGCUUUCAUUUGUAGCCUUAUCCGUAGGUUGCAAUUUUACUCCGUACUAUGGCCAGGUGUAGAAUGUCAUGAUGAAAUGGCUGAACCUGAGGUAUGAAUAACAGACAUUGUUAUUUCAAUGUAGGACUUAUUUUUAUAUCUGCUGCAUUUAUCAAUGGAUUCCUGUCAAUUUUUGUAUGCCCCCGUUCAUAAUGGCCACUCAUGCUAAUUGACUGGGGCCUCUGUUUAGCUUUGCAACCAGCAAUCUGCCACUUUUAAGCCAAUCCUUUGUUGCACUUCGUAACAUUGGGCCUGUUUAGCAACAUUACCCAGGCAAAACUGCACCUUUUAGUUCCACGUCUAUAGCAAACGCGAGGAAUGUUCAUAGGCAGUUUUGAAAUGAUCAUUGCAAUCUCAGGUCAGAAAACUACCCUAUUCGCUUGGCGUGCCAUUGUUUUAUGUUCUGGUUUUCAUAAAAGGCUCAUGCAGGAGAAUUUGGAUGCUGAUUUUAAUUUAGUGCCCUCGUAGCCUUCACCUUUGCAUAUUAUAGAUCCAGAUCAUAGUCCCAAUUCUCCUGACCGUUACAGCCUUUUAUACUUAUUUUAAAUCGCUUGCUGAGACUAUGUUUCAGAUAAGGCAAUUGAUUGCCUAACCAACAAUCAAAAGGUUGGCGCCAUAUUUUCCAGUGAAAUUUCCAGCAAUCCAAACAACAUACUUGAACAAGUGCAAUCCAAACAAGUUUCCAUGUUUUCCGUCGGAAAACAAUAGUGAUUUUCCAUCGGAAAAUCGAAAUCCAAACGCCACCUAAAUUUGUGGCUACGAUAAGGCGAUUCUCAGUAGACAUAGCAGCUUGUGGGACCUAGAUAGAACUCUAUCCAAGUGUAUGAAGUCUAAAGUUGCUCUGGGCGGUGCCCUGAACGAGAGAUAGGCCAAGCUCAAUAGAAAAGUUGCAGGUGCUCCUAAGGCAUCCUAUCUUCUGCGGCCUGUUCUUGCUGCUAGUUUAUGUUCAAGCAUGUUCAAACCUUGUUAUGGCUGGUUCCAUAGUUAAGUUUCUUCCAGGAUUUGAAGGACCCCUCCCCUUUGAACUCGAAACCGGGUGAGCCACUAAGCAUAACAUAUAUAUAAUAACAGUAGAAAUUAACAUUGAUCAAAACUUAGAAGAAAUAGUUGAUCCAUUUUCUGAUAUUAUCAGGUAUAUUGGAGUUGGUGAAUCAGAGGAUGGGCAGCUCUUCUACGCUUUUAUCAAGUCAGAGUCAAAUCCUCAAUCGGAUCCUCUUAUCCUUUGGUUAGAUGGAGGCCCUGGCUGCAGUUCAUUCAGUUCACUUUUCUUUGGGAUAGGUGAAUUCUAAUGCCUUACACUUUGCAUUAGGUGUCACCAAAAAAAAAAAGAACAAUUGCGCCACUAUUUUGAUCUUGAUUUUGUAUAAUCUUGAAACUCUGCAAAUAGCUUUUCUGGUUGAAACUCUGCAAAAAAGACAAAAGACGUUGUCUGGUUGACGAAGCUUUAUGUAAGGUUUUUUGUUUUGUUUUUUUUUUUUGGGUAAAAAUAUUAAUUUUAUUGAAUAGCAUCCAUUUGUCGCCGGUAGCAACUGCUACAAACAUCUGUACAAUAACUAACUACACACUCACAUCAAAUUAAAAAGCCCAAAAUAUUAAUCAAGCUCCAAAAACACGCACCUAAAUAUUUUUUCAUAUGCAUUACUACAAUAAAGCUUUUGAAAAACAUUCCUAAAAACAGCUAAUUCAAAUGGAGCCAUAAUCUUUAUUUGUCUUUAAUGUUCAAGUGAUGAUGACUGAUAAACUGGAGUGCCAGCAUUUGAUCAAGUCACUGGCCCGUGAUUUUCUGUUGCAGGACCAGUAAUUUUGGAGCCAGUGUCGUUCGAUGGCACUCUGCCCAAGUUGGUAUUAAAUCCCUCUACUUGGACCAAGGUAAACUCAAGAAUUGAGUUUCUCUUUUCUUUUAUUUUAUUUUCUUGCGAGAGAAAAAGAGAUUUAAGUUGAUGAGUAUAUCUUAAGACUCAUAGAAGUGUUACAUGAAAAGGUUAUUGAGAAACAUAUAUAAAUAAUAUUCCAAAUUUUUUCUUUUUUCCUUUUUUUUUUGAAAUAAUGUUCAAAUAAUCUUUAUCCAAACAAACCUAAUUUUGAAGAUUAAGAAUUCGAGUUGACUGCAAGGUUGAGAAUCAUUUCUUGUUACUUGUUAGGUUGUAAGCAUCAUCUUUCUGGAUUCACCAGUAGGAACGGGUUUUUCUUAUGCUAAGACUGCACAAGCUUCUCAAUCUUCUGAUUUACUAGCCUCUGAUCAAGCUUAUGAAUUUAUCAGGAAGGUACACGCCCAUCACUCAGCUAAUUAAUGAAUUGUAAGGCUUCAUGGAAUGUUGGACAAUUACUAAUCAGGAAAAUGCCAUAUUUGUCUCUAGACCCUUUAUUAUGCAAAAAGACCAAUGUACUAUCAUUUAAUUAUUUUCCUUCUGAAUAGUGGAAUCCUGCAUGGUCUGCCCAAAAUUGCCUCCAUUGGAUUCAAGUUCUCUAUGAAAACGGUUUUGAUUGUAUGGAACAGUUGACAGUGGAAGAUGAAUAAAAGUGACAUCAAUAAUAAUUGGCUAUGGUAGUUGAUAGGGUGAAACAUCUCAAGAGAGCCCAUCAAAGAGUCCAAUAUGUAAAUUAGGAAUCCAACUCUAACCCAAAAGUUUAAGUCAUUGGAUCUUGGGCCCUUACUUAUAUAUUAAUCGCUCUUUCUCCAUCUCACGGAUCAUUGUGGAACGUAAUCUUUUACUCAUGAACUUAACAGUAGUUUCCGCAGUUAGCGUCAUGGGAGCUAUAGUAGAGGAGGAGGUUAGGCAUGUGGCUCUUGCAUGGGGAAAGAUCCCAAAGUCUCGUGAAAGGCGGCAAUCUCUAGAAUGGAAUAUCCCAUUCACAGUGUUUAGUUAGUGAAAUGUUCUGAUACAGGCUCCUAUGAUAAUUAGUUUAACAUGUAUAAUGAAAUAUUCUAUCUCUUGUACAAACUUGUCCCAUAUCGAUAAACUUACAGUUUUACCUUAAAAAGAUAGUGGAAGAUGACUAAUUUUGAAUUUGAUGCUUACAAUUCAAUUUUGGGUACAAAUUUCAAUAAGCGCGGCAAUUUGUUGUCUUUUUGCAUGUUGUUGUAUCUUAAUGUCUACAAUUGGUUUGCUAGUGCCUAUGGUACACAGUGCAAUUACAAUUGCCUUUUAUAGAGGCUCGGGUGGGCGAUAUUUAUUACGUUUUUACCAAUUUGAACCUUGAGUUAAAAGCUUAAUUUCCUUUGAAAUGGGAAAGAAAUUAUAGUUAAAAAGAUGUUUACCUUUUACAAGAUUGCUUUUGAUAGUUGAUUAUACUGCAGUGGCUACAUGAUCACCCAGAGUACAAGUCGAAUCCAUUCUAUGUUAGUGGAAUCUCGUAUGGGGGCAUUCCUGUUCCAAUAUUAACUCAACUUAUAUCAAAUGGUAAGAUUUUUUCAAUGUGGCUCUUUACCCUGGGGAAGUUUUUUGGUUGUGUUACAAUCUAAUUAUUGAAAUUGUUAUGCAUCUACACAGGCAUUGUAAGAGAUCUGAAUAUACUAUAAAUGCUCUCUGUAAGCUUGUAGUAUAUGCGAAGUCUCUUUAGGUAGGAAUAUAGUUGCCACCUUAAGCUAAAUGGGUUUUAUUAAUAUAAUGCAGAGCUUUAAGAGGGGGAAAAAAGGUUAAAAGUUCCCUCAAAAAUUUGCAGGCUUUUUAUUCUUUUCUGUCCAAUGUUAAGUAAUAAGAUGCUCCAGAACAAAGCAAGAAAACAUUUCUUUGACCAGUUCAGAGUUCUACACUAUCUCCUGCCACAAGAUGAUCAGUUGAAGUUUGCUAAAUACAGAGAGUAUAGGAUCAAUGCUUUGUUGCUCUAUGACUAGUAAGGCACUAAAACUUGCAUGUAUUUUGGUGUUAUUCCAGGAAACGAGGACGGCAUUGAACCAUGUAUUGAUCUUAAGGUUUGUACCUUUGUUGAUCUUCUCUUUUCUAGUCUACCUAAUCUUGAUUGAUUACAUACUAUUUGGAGAAAAAUUUAUCAUCCUGAGUUUAAAACUGAGACGUUUCCAUUUAUGGUUUCAGGGAUACAUACUUGGAAAUCCAGUGACGAAAGCUUCAGGACUUCUGAACUAUAGGGUUCCGUUUGCUUAUGGGAUGGGGCUGAUAUCUGAGGUAACUUAUUUCUUUUGUUUGUUACCUACUGAUAUUUUAGAACACUAUCAUUUGUCACGUGCAUUCUUACAACGUAAAAUUACCCUGAUUUUCUUAUUGACCUGUAUAUUUACAAUGCAGUCCUUGAAGGUUAGCUGUAAAGGGGAAUAUGAAAUCAUAGAUCCUAGUAAUCCAGUGUGUUCGAAAAAUAUGCAGGCAUACAAUGAGGCAAGCAAUCAUAUCUAUGCAAUUUUUAUGUGACUCUAUUUUCAAAAAUUAGGCAAGGCCUAAUGGAUUUACUUAAAGCGCCGCCUAAACUCAAGAAAGAGGGUCAGAGUUAAGGAUUUUUAGUAUAACCGUUUCUGAAUAGUGUAAUAUCAUUUGAAGAAGCAGUAAUUCAUUGUAACUUACUCGUACAAUUUCGUAAUAGAGUUUCAGUUAAUGUUAGGGGCUUACACGAGCACUGAUCGAACAUCAUAUUUCUGUUGCGAAAUUGUAAAAGUUAACAAUGAAUUACUCUAAUUUAUUCAAACAAUAACACACUUUCCAGAAACGGUUGUACUGACAAUUGGUUCCUACCCCUUCCCUUUAAUUUGUGGGCUACAAAAGGUGGGAAGAAUCAGAAAAAAGGAACAGGCAACCAGAAUGAUGGUGUUAAUAAUUUUCUUUUGCAGUUGGUUCGUAAUAUUGACGAUGAACAGAUCUUGAUUCCCGUAUGUCAUCCCCUUUCACGAGAGCCAAAUAAAUUAUUUACUGGUGGGAGAUCCAUUAUGCAAAUGUUGUAUGAGAAGUUUGAAGAGCUAGACGUUCGGGAAUCUACUCCAGUCAAAUGUCGAGUAAGAUACUACUAGUAUCGUUCUAUGUAAACUCGCGGAUAAGAGCAUCAGUUCUUGGUAGCACAACUGAUCGCCGUUUCUUUUGUUCACUGGCAAUCGUAGAUGGAAUGGGUUAAGCUCGUUGAGCACUGGGCUAACAACAAAAGUGUCCAAGAGGCCCUCCAUGUGCGAAGGGUAUGUCUAAAUCGAGCACUAUGGUAUGUAGCAUUUGAAUGCCGAAGCAAGCCUGAACUGAUUUCUGUAAUCACAUUGCAGGAAACUAUCGGACAGUGGUUAAGAUGCAACGAUACCUUGCCAUACAUAGAAAAUGCAGGGAGUGUUGUAUCAUAUCAUGCAAACCUUAGCACUAAAGGUUAUAGAUCCCUUAUAUACAGGUUUGGUACCUAACUCUAAAUCUUGAUGCAUGUAGAUUAACAGCAGUGAUUUUAAGUACCGAAAGUGGAGUACUUUGUGAUGCAGUGGUGACCAUGAUCUGAUGGUACCGCACAUUGAAACUCAAGCAUGGAUAAGAUCUCUACAUUACCCAAUUAUUGACGAUUGGAGGGAGUGGAUUCAUCAAGGCCAAGUUACCGGGUUGGUUCAAGAUUGAAAAUGUUCCUUUCUUGAUUACCAUUAACACGAGAUAAAAGAUAACUUUACCCAACUCAUCUAAAUUUGUUCUGUUUUCCUGCUCCCAGCUAUACAAGGACCUAUGCAAAUAGGAUGACAUUUGCAACAGUGAAGGCAAGAAAUUCCUGUUUCUAUUGCUUCAAUGCAAGAUUUGUUCACAUGGCAACAACUAACAACAUGGUUAGAACAUUCUUGGGACUAACUAGCACCCCUUUUUCUUUUUCUUUUUUUGGGUGAAGGGAGGAGGCCAUGUUGCUUAUGAGUUCAAGCCUGCCGAAUGCAGAACUAUGCUUGAGAGAAGGAUAUCGUAUCAGCCUCUCUAAUCAGUUGGCAUAUGGAUAUGAACAUCUUUGAUCACUUCCGAGCAUCAAAUGUUCCACUCUUAAAUAUAAAUUGUUGUGACUUUGGGUCAUGAGACGCUUCUACUCCAAGUCUCCAAUGGAUUGCCUUCUUAUCGAGAUAUGAUUAGCAGAAAAGUGAAUAAAAUGUAGUAGUUAAAAUGGGAAUCACGUUAGCCUCCAAACCUUUCUAUAUGACUGUUGAAGCUUUUACUUUGAAAAUGUGUCAUUGAAUUAAAUUUCCUCAAUUUUGCAAUAAAUAAAAUUUUGAAUUCACAGGAAAGUACAGGUUUGGCAAAGAAUUCAAAUAUUUUUUUUAAAAAAAUUGUUACUCCAUUAAACAUGAAUGGAGGGAAUCUACCAAAGCAUUUAAAAGGUGCAGAGGAGUAGGAAAAGGAAUUUCUUAUUCAUAAUUGAAAAGCAAUUUUCUUGAGAACACUUUUAAAAACUAAAGAAUAUCAAAAGAAUAAAUCCCUCAUGUCUAGGAUUGUUCUAAUUACUUUUUCAGCAAAACUAUAACUCAAAAGUACCUUAAAAGCUUCUUUUUUUUUUUUUUAAGAUAGCUCCAAAUUACCUGUUUGUGGUCACGGAUAAUCUGGUCAUCAAAGGAUUACACUUGACUUACACUUGAGUAGAUUCAAUCUUUAGAAAUUCAAUAGGUCAAAUUGUGCUACCCAUCUCAAAAAGUGGUGCGACUUAAUCUAGACUAUUGAAUUUUUAAAAAUCGGAUCUUCCAAGUUUUGGCUGAACGUGUUAAGGGUAUCAGGAUCUCUCUAUUUAUGAUGAGCCUGGCAACAUCGUUCAAAUCCUGCUAGUGCUAAGGGGAAUGGGGCACAUAUGGGUGCACGGGCUCAAGUUUUUGCCUACUCAUAUGGGAAGGAGGAAUGCCAGGCUCAAUCAAUAUGGGAAGAUGAGACGUGCCCAAUCAACAAAAACCUCGAGGAGAGAUAGAAGGUGAAGCGUGACGGAGAAAACAGAGAAUAGAGUUUGAACAUGUAUUGGGUGGACUCUUUCUGUGUAUGAAAGAAAGAAGGCAAGGUAUGAUGCAGAAAAGCACAGAACGGAUGGCGACUGAAACAUGGUUAGACCUCAAGGUCCUCAACUCUUGAUCUGUACUUUGAUCAAACUUCAAAGGAGGUAGUGCAAAUAACCCUUUAAUGUUUUAAACAAGUCAUUUUCUUUUCUUUUCUUUUUUUUGUUAUUUGAAGGAAAACAUUUACAACAAAAAAGAAAAAAAUAGUUAUGUAAGUGAACUUUACAUGCGUUACAGUUUGUGAAAUUCGUCAAUUCUCUCUAGAAUUCUGUUCGGUGGAUUGAACAUAAGCGCAACAUUCCACAACAUCAUCUUAGUAACACCUAAUCAAAUAAACUUCUACUUCUCGUGAAAAUCAAUGUUCAAAAGCACAUCGGGUUAUCAGAUGAACUUCCACACAAGGGUAAAAUAUAUCUUGACAGAUAAAAGGUAUUCUAACAGUUCAAAGAAAUCUCAAGUCUCCAAUCUGCAUA